rnacentral:lncRNA from 1 species
GCCUUAUUUCUAUCACAACAAUUGCUCAAAAGAAAAUUUGACAUUUUCAAAGAUACUGAAACAAAAAACAAUGCAAAGAAAUCAUAGCAGCUGAAUGUUGUUGCCCAGAGCCAGGUACUAGGCCUUUAAUACUGCAGAAUAGAGAAGAAAAACGAAAGAUCGAGAUAGAAGCUUCAGCGUCUCCACAUUACGAAUUCAUUCGGGGAGCAGAAGACGAAAACUAGCAAGCAUGAAAUCUUGCAAAAUACAUUGUCUCAAGUUUGUAAAAGAUGAUGGAUUAAGAUUCAGAAGUGGGAGUCAGAAACAAGUUUACUAACCUGUUAAAGAAGCACUUAUAUUGCAGUUUGCUUGGUGUUCAAUACUCUGGUGGAUAAACUAUGAGCUUAACUGGGCUAGUCUUUUUACUCUUUUGAUGCAAAAGCACUUCCAAUUGUAGUUGCACAAUUCUCCUUGCAGAUGAAAAUGCCGAAUCCUUGGUAUGCUCAACUUUGAUCAUCUCGAGGCUUUUCAUGUGCACAAAGUCAGAUAGGAUCCGCUCAAGUGUUUUGCACUGCUUGAGAAUAAGGCAUCUGAGUUCUGGGAAGUCAUUGGAUUUAGCAUCCCAACGCGUUUAAAUCUGUGGCUCCAAUGGAGAAAACUUUCAGAGAAGGAAAAACCCCCUUGUUUUGUCUUCCAAUAAUCUCCCUUGAAGGCAUAGUCCUUCAGCUUGAGAACCUCAAGAUACCAAAGAUUUCCGAGUAUAGACAUGUAGUCCCAAUUUAGACUUGUGUUAUGCAGGCUCAGCCUUGUCAGCCUUGGUGGGAACUUGUGUGCCUGAGGAAGGGCAAGCAGCUUGGAGCUCACAUCAUCACAGUAUAGCUUCAAAUUUUCAAGAGAGUUCAGUUCGCAAAGACAAUCAAACAAACUAGACUCACCAUUGGCUUCCAUAAGAUUGUUUAACUUCCCACAUAUUCCAAGCUUUUUAAGGUUUCUAGCCCUUUUAAACACAUCUUUUGUAAGACUUUCAGGUGAAACGAUAGAUAGAGUUUGUAGGCUUUCAUCGCCAGGAGAUUGCUCCAGACAUUUAGGCAAGAUUGUGGAGGUAUUAGUAUAUAGACACCUUAGCUUUGUCAAGAGUGGAGGAUGUGAUGUGAACUACAAGAGUUUGCAAGUUAAGCAAGCUAGAUAUUUUUCUGGGAAGGACUGUUAGCUCGCAACAGAUGGCAAUAAACUUUAGCAGAACAAGGUUAAGCAGUUGGGUGGGAAAACGAGUUCCAGGGAGCUUGGUGGACAAGAUAUCCAACACUCGGAGUAGUUUGAACUGCUUAAAUACAUCUGAGCAGAGAUGCGGUUCAAUGUUGUUUCUUCCAGGCCAAAGCUCAAGAAUUAACGGACUUUCUGAGCAGGCUGUUGAUUGGAAACGUAGCUCGCGAAGUGUGAGUUAAUGCAGCAAAGGCGACGGUUGGAAGAUGAAACCGUCCCCACGUCACAUUCUUGGAAAAAAUUUUCAGCUUUGGCUGUCCUUUUGCAGAAGUCACGCAGCGUAUCAUGGACUAAACACGUCUUAAUCCGACCACUUAAGGUUCUCUGCCUCACCAUCACUAAGGGCCUGUUUGGAAGUGAGUUUUUUGGCCAAAUUUUUUAGUUACAAGUUUUUUAACAAUUUUAGUUACAGGAACUCAAAAAAAUUAUCAAAUUUUUUAAUUUACACACUUCAAAAUAUCUAAUACACAAAAAACUUCUAUCUUUCUUCUUCUUUCUCCCCCACCCCAUCCACCAUACCUUCAUCGCCGGCCACUACCUCCACCGCCGUUUCCGACACCGGCCACCUAUUCCGGCACCGGCGUUCCUAAAAUUUUUUUUCUUCCUUACUCCCUCCCUCUCUCCUUCCCUCCCCUCUCCCCCUUCCCUCCUUGGCCAAACUCCCCCGACCUAUGCAGCAGCAACAGUUACUUUCCUCCUGCUCUGGUUUUUCUUUCUCCCUCCAGUCCCGCCAACGCUACGGCUGACGGGGGAACAGGGGAACAGGGAAGGGGGUGGCGGGAAACGGGAAACGGGAAGGGGAACAGGGAGGGGGAAACGGGAGGGGGAUGGUGUGCAAAGGGGGGGGAAGGGGCAGAGGAGGUGGCGGGAGGAGGGGGUGGCAAGGCAACGGGGGAAGGGGAAGGGGAAGGGGAAAGGGAGGAGAAGGGUGGCGGGAGGGGGAAGGAAGAAAAAGAAGAAGAAAGAGAGGAAAGAAAAAAAAGAAAAUUGAAAAAAGAAAAAAAAAAAGGAAAAAAAAAUUCACCUUACAAAAACUUUUACAAAAUUUUUUAUCUUACAAAAACUUCUACAAAAAAGUUUUUCACCUUACAACUUGUCCACAUGUGUGGGGACCACCUAGAUAGCUUUAGUCUAUCUUUCUUUUGUUUCUUAAAUAGGGAGAACGUAGGGAAAGAAGACAUCUCUAGUUUUUAGUCUUUUAGUUUAGUUUUAGUUUUUCUUUCUCCUGACUGGCCUCUGACACACGCCAGGUGUUCGACGAUAUUCCCCAACGGGAAAACCACAUUUUAUUCCUUGCUUCUUAAUAGAAAACGCAAUGCCUUUGCAAUCUAUUAAUCCGUAUGGUGAUUUAAUUAUGCGGCGUGGCUAAGUCUUCCAUCUAGUCAAGGGUCAACUCGACGGCGCAGUCCCGCAAAUCUGUGAGAUCUAAUUAGUUUUCACGUGUUCCUUUAUCUAUUAAUAUUUGCAUGUUGUCUGAUUUAAUUUUCAUGGGAUUAUUUUGUUAAUUGGAUGUCAAGGGCCCGAUGUUCUCCCUAUUUAAGAAACAAAAGAAAGAUAGACUAAAGUUAUCUAGGUGGUCCCCACACAUGUGGACAAAGCCUCCAAAGUACUUCUUGUUCCAAGUCUCUUUUUCGUAGCUUUCUUUGAAGAGCCCAAAUGACUUAUAACUUUGUGGUCCCUACCAAUCCAAGGGCCCAAGGAUUGAAGCCCUUAGAAGUCUCCAUAUUCUUCAUAAAAUCCCUCCUUUUUGGUAGUUUUCUGUUUCAUUCCUGAAAUUAAGUCCAGAUACCAAAUAUGAGUAGAUAUCAGCAAUUAACACAAUAUUUAUCAGGGAUAAAAGGGGAAAUUAAUAAUAAAAUUACUAACAAAUUAUACCCUAUCAGGGGGAGGGGGUUGCUUGCAGAGAGGAGGGGGAAGGGGCAGAGGGGUUGGCGGGGGAAGGGGUGACGGGGGAAAUGCAGAGGAGAGGAGAAGGGGAAAGGGAGGAGAAGGGUGCGGGAGGGGAAGGAAGAAAAAGAAGAAGAAAGAGAGGAAAGAAAAGAAAAGAAAAUUGAAAAAAAGAAAAAAAGAAAAAAGAAAGAAAAAAAAAAGAAAAGGAAAAAAAAAUUCACCUUACAAAAACUUUUACAAAAUUUUUUAUCUUACAAAAACUUCUACAAAAAAUUUUUUCACCUUACAAAAACUUCUACAAAAUUUUUUCAAAAACUUCUACAGUGCACUACGGUAAAGUUUUAAUCAAACUCCCAAAAAACUCAAGUUCCAAACAAGCCCUAAGUUCCUAUCAACCAAUUCCCGCAAAUAUCGCUCUGCAGUUUCCUCCAUGCUUUCUCGAUCAAUUUGGGGAAUGAAGCCUUCCGCUAUCGAACAAUUGAAACAAUUUUGAAACUUGGAUCUCCAAGUCUUCAGGGAAGACACUAAGGUAGAGAAAACAUGACUUGUACACAUGAAGCAAGUUAUCAUAACUCCGCCUUAUUAAAUCAUCCACUAAUUGUUUCUAGCUAUCACUAUAUAACUCAUCCAUACUAAGUGAUUUUUGAGCCAUAUUCUCCCACCACUUCUCGUUUUCUGGAUCAUUCCUCAGAAUUCCUGUUGUUACCAAUAUUGCUAAUGGUAGCCCGCCACAUUUUUUCAAAAUUCUUGAUUCAGCAGGUCGCAGCUUAUCUGGACAUUCAUUUUCAUUGAAAACCUUCGUCCUCAGUAAUUCUUCAGCUUCUUCUUGCUGCAUAAUUGCCAUGGAUAGGGAUCAGUCUUUGUUGCAACACGCUUGGCCACAGACUCUUGUCGAGUAGUUAUCAACACCCUACUGCCCUUGUUAUGAUCUGGAAAAGCAUCCUUGAGAUCUUCCCAUGCUUUUGUAUUCCAAACAUCGUCCAUGACAAUCAAAUACUUGUACUUCAGUGUCUCUCGGACCUCAGCAACUAAUUCUUGCACCGACAUGUUACGAUCCCUAAUGUCCUUGAUGAAGGUACUUAGUAUACUAAGAAGCACUUCUUUCUUGUUGUAAUCCUUCGAAACACUAACAAAUAUGCGAGUGACAAAAUGAUAUUCAACUUGAGGGUUAUUCAGAACCUUUCUAGCAAGCGUUGUCUUCCCGAGUCCAAGAAUUCCAUGAAUCGACACUAUUUCAAGUGGGUUUUCGUCACCAUGUUGCUCUGCCUCUUUCUCUUUCUGUCGGACCUGCCUGGGUCUAGGUUUGGUACGCCAAGAAGGCCCAGUACUGUCUCAGCUGCAUCCUCAAACUCAAUGAUUCUGUCCUCCAUUGAUUGCUUGCAAGCUAUUUGCAUGAAAGUAAAGGAAUCAAUGACGGAUUGAAACAGUUGAGCUAGGAGAUAAUAAGGGCCUGAAAGUUUAAAGCUCUACUCUUGAAUCUAAUGAAGGAAUCUGAGACAGGUAUAAAAUGCAGGAGGACAGGAUGGAUCCAGAUAAAUUACCAAACAUUCAAUAUUGUGAAGGUGGUAGCCACAAUUUACGUUAGCACAAUAACCGAUUAUUACUUGCAAACAGCAGAGAGUCACAAGACAUCCAAGAAUUUGAAACUGUUAGAGAUGUGCACAUGUGCCUUAGUCUGCAGAACGAGUCUUUAGGAAUGUUUUAUUUGUUGCUUGUUUUAGGAAAUCAGUUGCAUAUGUUUAGGAGUUGUUAUUAUGUAGUGGGUUAUGCUUAGAAGUCAUGGGAACAUGGUUGUUAUAUUUUUCCCUAUAUAUAUUCAGCAAUAAAGAAGUAGUUUUGUGCUUCCCAAAAGCUGAACUACAAAUUGGUAUCAGAGCUUUUAUUUUGAGGGACCUAUAAGAUUGAGUGAUAUAAACAAAAACUUUCAGAAUGGAGGCUGAUACACAAUCACUCUUCAAUCAUGUUAAUCCACCAGUUUUUGAUGGCCAAAAUUAUCAAGCAUGGGCUGUUAGGAUGACAGUCCACCUUGAGGCAUUAGAUCUUUGGGAGGCUAUAGAAGAAGAUUAUGAUGUUCCACUGCUACCAGCAAAUCCAACGGUGGCACAAAUGAAGAAUCAUAAGGAUAGAAAAACAAGGAAGUCAAAGGCUAAAGCAUAUCUUUUCUCUGCCGUUUCAAGCAACAUAUUUACCAGGAUCAUGAAUCUGGAAUCAGCCAAAGACAUAUGGGACUAUCUCAAGAAAGAGUACCAGGGCAAUGAAAGAAUGAAGAAUAUGCAAGUGCUCAACCUAAUCAGAGAGUUCGAGAUGGUGAAGAUGAAGGAGUCAGAAACGAUUAAAGACUACUCUGACAAGCUGCUAGGCAUUGUUAACAAGGUGAGACUGCUCGGUAAGGACUUUUCUGAUGAGAGGAUCGUCCAAAAAAUUCUUGUCACUUUGCCUGAGAAAUAUGAGUCUAAAAUUUCUUCUUUGGAAGAGUCUAAAGAUCUGUCAAGCAUAUCCUUGGCAGAGUUAGUUAAUGCUUUACAGGCUCUAGAGCAAAUAAGAAUGAUAAGUAGGGGUGGCCACGGGUCGGGUACCCGCCCCGAAUGCUAAUUGGCUGACCCGACCCUAACAUAUCGGGUCACUAUUUUUUUGACCCUAAUCCGCUCCGAACUUCCUCGGGUACCCGAUCCUCGGAUACCCGAAAAAUAGGGGCGGGUCAUAGGGUACCCGCCCCUAUUUAAAGAAUGCAAAUUUUGCAAACUCAUAAGACAUAAGAUGAACCUGCUGGACGAUAGCAUCAUUCAACAAAAAAAAAAAAGGCAACAACAUCAUUCAAACUAGACAAAGACAAAGCAUAUUCAAAUCUCAAAAAUGAUCAGUAGCAGUAGUUCCACACUAAAUCAUAAAGUUAGAAAUAUCUACUCUGAUACAUAACUUCCAAAAAGGGCAUAUAAAUGAGAAAAAUGUACACUAUAUAGACAUUCUCAAAUCCAGCAAACAUGGCAUAAUGCAUUGACUAGGCAUAAAUCAAGAAGCUGUCUUCAUUUUCCUCCCCUAGCCAUGCCAUGACAGUUUCAACAACCUCAAAUGUUUCAACAACCUCAACCUUCUACAACACAUGAAGGAGCACAAUCUUCAAGAAUCAUCAAUCUUCAAUAUUAAUAAUUAGGGGUGAGCAAUUACGGUAAAUACCGAUUUACCGACCGAAAUCGAUUUCAAUUUGGUAAAUCGAAUUUGGUAAUUCGGUAAUUCGGUCGGUAAAUCGGGGAUAUAGUACAAGUUGAAAUCGAAUUAGGUUCGAAAACGAUUUUAUAGUUUUUGAAUUCGGAUAUACCGAAUUCGAAUUCAUUUCGGUAAAGCGGUAAUAAUAUACCGUUUUCAAUUUCGAAAUUCCCGAAUUAAGUUACAUAGGAAAUAGUUCAUUAUGUCCGAUAUUCAUAUUGGUCCAAUUUCAGAUUUUCAGACGUGGUGCCCUAAUUCCGCUCUUCGUCCCCUCUUCCUCUCGCUCCUCUGCACUGCCGCGGCCCGCGGCGCAGUCCCAUCUUCCUCAGUUCCCCUCUUUCUCUCGUUUCUUCUCCUCUCCUCAUUCUGCUCAGUCCUCUCCUCAGUCAGUCCUCUGUCCUUUCCUCUCCUCUGCUCAGUCCACUCUUUCUCCGUUUCCCAUUCUGACCGAGGUUUCACCAUUGCUGACCGAGCGGAGCAUCCACUAUCACCAGGAGGUCCAGGACCACAGUUCGCUAGUGCUGAUUCCAGUGAAGCCUUGGAUAAGCCUAUCAGGUAAAUGGGUUUAUGAAAAAGACUCAAUAAUUGGAUUUUCAUUUGGUGUUUUUUUUUUCUUUUGGUAUUUGAUUCUGGAUGUCGUUGUUUAAUUUGCUAGUUUUUUUAUAUGGGCUAAUUUAAUUUCAGUGGAACUUGUAUGAUGUUUGAUGCUCAAUUUCCUUCCUGAUUGAAUCUUGAUAAAAGUUAUGAGUUUUUGAAUUGGAUAAGAGUAGUUGAGCCGGUACAAACUUGAGCAAACUUGGAUCAGUUUCAUUCUUCUUCUAGUGCAGCAAACUUGAGCCGGUUCUCCCUCUCUUCUUCUUAAUCUUUGCAUUUACAAAUCAUCUAAUGUUGAUUCCUGGAUUUUUUGUCCUGUCAGGUAUUAUUGUUAAUGGAAACAUUGCCUGGUAUUAAGUGACCGUGGACGUUUUAUUCGUGUGAAUUGCCAAAAUGGAUAGACUGUUGAACUCAAGUCAAUGUCGAAAUUGGUUCAUUUCUUCAUUUAAAGCUUUAGAUCUGUUCCAUAUAUUUUUUUUGAGGUUUUGGCCUCUGUUUUGUCAUGGCAUUAGUGGGAAGUCUUUUGUACAGAUUAUCACAUGUGCCAAUUAUCUGGCCACUAGAAUACAUACUCCAAUACCCAUUGUCUUCGAUUAUCUGAAAGGAGAAAAGUAAACAUUAUUCUAGGCUAUCAUUAAGCUUCAAAUUUACCAGUAGCAACUGAUGUUACUGCUUACGAUUGCAAUGCUGCUUAGGAUGAAGAUGAUUGAUGCCCACUUAAAUGACUAGGAGUCAAGAGCAUACUGUUGCUUGUAUGGGAGUGACCUUGUAAUUAUGCAGCUUUAUCAUAUAAUUGGAAUUUCGAUGUUAGAUUAAUUACUAAUGCUUUUGUUUGUGCGUGGGACUUUGUGGUCUUAGUAAAAACAUUCCCAGACAGCACUCAUUGUGUCUCUAGUUGAUUUUCUCAGCGUUCAUUGAAUGUUGUCCUGAGUUGGUUCUUCAAUUUCAUCUAGUCUUUUAUUUCAAUUUUAUUGCUAAAUGAUUGUUGCACUAAAUUGUAUAAUUUAUUUGCUCAGAUUCUCGCAAAACUUAAGGUAUGUCUACUACUAAUGAGGGUGAGAGUAAUCCAAGUCACAAUGAGUUAGAACAAGAAGGAUCAUCUAGAGGUCUUCUUCCUAGUCCUACAACACAAAGCUGUGAAGAAUCUGGUUUUGGCAAGAAAAGAGGAGAGUACAAGAAGAGGUCCAAAGCUUGGGAUCAUUUUCAUGUAAAGCAUGUGAAUGGAGUUCGUCAUGCAAUUUGCAAAUACUGUGAGAAGGACAUAGCCGCGGAUCCCAAAAGUCAUGGUACGACUCCCCUUAAUACUCAUGUAGCUAAAUGUCCUCUAAAUCCUAAAAAUAAGCACACUGGCCAGGCUACUUUGUGUUUGGGUGAAACUGAAACAUUAGAGGGAGAGGUUAAAGGGGCACUCAUAAGUUGGAAAUUUGAUGCGGAAGCCAUUAGAAAAAGCAUAGCUUAUAUGGUAAUUGUUGAUGAAUUGCCAUUUAAACAUGUAGAGGGUAGAGGUUUUCAAUACAUGAUGCGGACUGCUUGUCCAUCAUUUAGAAUUCCUUCGAGGUGGACUAUUUCUAGAGAUUGCUAUCAGCUGUAUUUAGAUGAAAAAAUUAAGUUGAAACAUCUCUUGAAGAAUAACAGUGGCAAAAUUUGUCUAACCACAGAUUCUUGGACAUCCAUUCAAAGGAUAAACUAUAUGUGCCUCACUGCCCAUUUCAUAGAUAAUGAUUGGAAACUGAACAAAAAGAUCCUAAAUUUCUGUCCUAUUGCUAGUCACAAGGGAACUGAAGUUGGUAAGGCCAUAGAAAAGUGUCUACUAGAAUGGGGAGUUGAUGAUAUCCUAACUGUUACAGUUGACAAUGCAAGUUCCAAUGAUGUAGCUGUCAGCUAUUUACGAGGAAAACUUCAAAAUUGGGGGAAAGCUGUGUUAGGGGGGAAAUGGACUCAUGUGAGAUGUGUAGCUCACAUAGUGAAUCUAAUUGUUAAUGAUGGCAUCAAAAAACUGGGGGAAUCAGUUGAUUGUAUCAGGGCAGCAGUUAGAUAUGUUAGACAGUCACCUUCUAGAUUGAAAAAAUUCAAGGAAUGUGUGGAAAUUGAAAAAAUUGAAUGCAAAAGAUUGCUCUGUUUAGAUGUCUCUACUAGGUGGAAUUCUACAUAUCUAAUGCUAGACACGGCUCAAAGGUUUGAGCGGGCUUUUGAGAGGUUCGAGGAGCAGGAUCCUUACAUGCUUCAAGAGUUAGAAAAUCUGCCAACAAAAUCUGAUUGGACAAAAGCUAGAUUCUUGGUAAUUUUUUUGGAGAACUUUUAUCAGCUAACUGUGAAGGUUUCUGGUUCCAAAUAUGUGACUUCAAAUAAUUUUUUCACUGAUAUUAGUCACAUACAUGGCAUUUUAAUUGAAAUGGCAGCAAGUGAUAAUGAAGAAUUAAGUUCAAUGGCAAGAUCAAUGAAGGAGAAAUAUGAUAAGUAUUGGGGAAAGAUUGAAAAGAUGAAUAUGCUGAUUUUUAUUUCCUCCAUGCUUGAUCCUCGAACUAAACUUGAAUACCUUGAAUUUGUGGUUUGCCAAAUGUAUGGUGAGUCCGAUGGUACAACAAUAGCUGGCCUUGCAAAAGAUGCAAUGUUUGAGCUGUUUAAUGAAUACAAGAUGCUCAACACACCUGCCUCAAAUUCUGUGUCUCAUGUUUCUUCACUUUCAAGUGAAUCUCAAAGGAGUAAAACUACAUUUUAUGGACAUGGGAAUGCCUCUAAAACAAUCACUGAUCGGUACAAGUUGGAGUUUAAGAAGAGAAAAAUGGAACUUGGGGGUAGGGAUGCAAAAUCUGAAUUAGAGAAAUAUUUGAAUGAGGAUUGUGAGGAAGAUGAUGAGAGAUUUGAUAUCUUGUUAUGGUGGAAGGCCAAUAGCCUUAGAUUCCCAAUCCUUUCAAAACUUGCUCGUGAUGUGUUAGCAGUCCCAAUUUCUACUGUGGCCUCCGAAUCUGCUUUUAGUACCGGAGGUCGUGUUCUUGAUACAUUUAGGAGUUCUUUGACUCCUAGAAUUGUGCAAAGUUUAAUAUGUGCUCAAGAUUGGUUUCGGUCCUCCAAGACAGAAUUAAAUGUAGAAGAAAAUCUGGAAGAACUUGAAGCCUUCGAAUCUGGUAUGCUAUCAAAAUUUUUAUUGCAAAAUUUGAAGUAUUUCUUUAUUUCUAAUAAUUGCCUUUAUGAUACUUCAUGAAUUUUGUUUGUUCUUGCAGAGUUGCUGAAGACCGGAACUGAAUCAACUGUAAUUGACCUUUGAGAGGUCACAAAUGCUGAAGUUUGAGAGUUGAACCACCUAUAAUUGUUUGUUCUUGUGGAUUGUGGAUUGUUUCUAGAUAAUUGACCUUUAUGAUUUCUGGAUUGAUUUCUGUAAUUUCUGAUUGUGGAUUUAUGAUUUCUGGAUUUGUGGAUUUGUCAUUUCUGGAUAUGUAUGAAGUUUGGGAUAGUUAGUAAUUUUGAAGUUUUCUAGAUUCUGUUUGGAUUUGUGAUUUCUUAAGUAAUGCUGUUUUGAACUGGUAGGCGUUAGCUACUGGGAAGAGGUUUUAUAUGUUGUGAUUUGGUAGUGCAAUCAUCUGGCUAUUGUGCCUAUGGACGUGAUUACUACUUCUAUUUUUUGAUUAUUUUGGUGCAGCUUUAUGAAUGAUAAUUGUGAACAGCACUUAUUUUAUUGCUAGAAAUUAUUUUAUUAUACAAAGCAAAACAGGCUGCAAUUGCUUCAGGAAUUCGGUCAAUUCGGUCAAUUCGUGUUUACCGAAUUCAAUCCGAAUUGAAUUCGAAUUCGGAAUUUGGUAAUUCGAAUACGAAUUAGGUCGAAAUAUCCCAACACCAUUUACCGAAAAUUACCGAUUUCAACCUACCGAAUUACCGAAUUCGAAUUCGAUGCUCACCCCUAAUUAAUAAUAGAAUGCUCCAUUGAAACCUGAAAAAAAAAUUUCCAAGAAUAAAAGCAACCAAGAAAUAUAUUAGCACAAGUUGAAACUCAAAUGAAUAAGAAAAUUUGCACUGAUGCUCCAUAAUAAUAAUACUCCUACAUUUGUUUAGUGCAUAUCAGCACUGAUGCUCCAUUAAAUUGUAGCCAUUCAACGCAAAAAACCAAUUCCAAUUCCAAUUCCAAUUUUCUUGUGCUAGUUCUAAAGAAUUAAGAAAGCAUGACAGUAGAGAAUCAAGUAAAAAUGAUAUCACUACUCUAUAAAGAAUGGCAUUUUGAAGGCAGUAAUUUACUCCCUAUUUGAGUGCAGGGAUCCUUUCUUUUCGCACCCAAUCAAAUACAGAGGAGGCACUGAUACAUAUAUUAGAUGUCCACCGGCUGCUUUAGCUUUUAACCAAACAAAUUUAUUCAAAAUAAAAGUUGUUCCUAAUCAAUAUCCACACAUUCCUCAAGAAAAAUUCCAACUCCACAUCGUUGCCAAAAUCAGAAACCUAUCAAAACAUGAGUUAACAGCUCCAGAUCACUUCCUCAGAGCCAUCGCAUGAGUUGCAGAAAGGGCAAUCGUGAAAUUCAAAGCAUGAGAAUCAAGCAACAUUUUCACUUUUAAGUAUCUGAGUCUUAAUUUUUGUUUUGCAUUUCCAGUGUCUGUUUUUUGGUAUCUCUUUAACACUAGUUUCCUUUUAUUAGUGAAUGUAAAUUAUGUAAUAGUGAUGAUAUGAAGCUUUUCCGUGACAAAUGUAGGGUUAACACUUCCCAAAAUAAAAAUUACUUCCCAAAAUUUUUACUAAAAUUUACUUUUGGUCAUUUCUUCAAACAAUUUGAGAGCAUAAAAAAGAUUAGCAGGUCCAAGUUCAAUUUGAGUCAUGGUUGACCCAAAAAUUUUCAACAGAUGAAACAAAAUUUUAACCAUUCAUAAUGACAAAAUGAUAAAAGCAAAUAAGCAUGCUAAUCAAAAGCAACGAAAAGCAAUUGGCAUGUGAUUCAUAUAAACAUUUGAAAUUAUUAAAAGGAAAUUUGGGAUAGAAGGCAGAAAGACCUUUAUAGGGCUAUUCUGAAUCUCUGAUAAUGGUUCGGCAGAUAGUGGUGGAUUCCAACGACGACCAGCGGCAACUCUUGCACUUCAGCUCUUCCUUUUCCUCUCGUCCUUUUUUUAUUUUGGCUUUUUUUCCUAGUUUUUCUUUUCUUGAUUUUUCCUUUUUGAAUUUGGAUGGAAUAUAAGAGUUUAAAGCUAAGAUUGAAGGACUUUUGGAGGUUGGAUUAGAUAAAGAUUGAAAAGAUGGAAAUGGUCUAUAGAUUUUUGUGGGUGAAGUUUAAGGGAAGGUGCAAAAUGGAAGCUGAGGUCUCUGGUUUAGUUUGAUUAAGGCUGUUGAUAAUGAAGGUGAAGAAGUUGCGACGGCGCUGAAGUGAAGACUGAAGGCUGGAGUGUCGAUUGUCGACUGAGAUAUGUUAGGAACUUAGGGUUAAUAACUUUAAAAUAUUAUAAAUUUGCCCCUAUAUUUUUUAAUAUUUGUAAAAUAUACCCCCGGGUCGGGUACCCGCGGUUUUAGAUUUUGUGAUCCGUAUCCGUAUCCGAAUUUUAUGGGUACCCGACCCUAUCUGCUCCGCUGAUAAAAAUAGGGUCGGAUACCCUAAUUUUCGGGGCGGGUCGAUCGGGUUUUCGGAUUUUCGGAUUUUUUUGCCCACCCCUAAUGAUAAGGAAAGAAGAAAUUGUAGAUGGUGCUUUCAAAACCAAAUCAGAAAAUUCAAGAGGAGAAAAAGACAAGAAAAUUAUGGAGAAGAGCAGCAAGUUUAGCAAAGCCAACAAAAAUGAUGCAAGUUCACCUUGCCCAUAUUGCAAGAAGUUGAACCAUAUGCCAAAAAGGUGUUGGUGGAGACCUGAUAUCAAGUGUAGAAAGUGUGGCAAUAUGGGACACAUAGACAAGGUCUGCAAAUCGCAACAGUUCAAAACAGCAGGAGUGUCCACAGAACAACAAGAGGAAGAACAACUCUUCGUGGCUACGUGCUUUGCUACCAAUAACAGCUCAAGUGAUUCCUGAUUGAUAGAUAGUGGCUGCACCAACCACAUGACCAAUGAUCAAGCUCUUUUUACAAAAAUUGAUAAGACUCUCAUUUCCAAAGUAAAAAUUGGAAAUGGUGAGUUUAUCUCAGUCAAGGGAAAGGGACCGUGGCUAUUGAAAGCUUGACAAGUUUGAAACACAUCACUGAUGUUUUAUAUGUGCCUGAUAUUGAUCAAAACUUGCUUAGUGUUGGACAGCUUGUUGAAAAAGGCUUUAAAGAUAUUUUUGAAGACAAGUGGUGCUUAAUCAAGGAUGCAAGGGGCAAAGAUAUGUUUAAAGUGAAGAUGAGAGCCAAGAGCUUUGCCUUAAAUUUGAUGGAGGAUGAGCACGCAGCACUUGCAAGUCAUAUAAGCAAUGCAGAAUUGUGGCAUAAAAGACUUGGGCAUUUCCAUCAUGCUGGACUUUUAUAUAUGCAGAAAAAUAACUUUGUGAAAGGUGUAGCAUUGUUGGAGAAUAAACUAGCAGAUUGUGUGGCUUGUCAAUAUGAAAAGCAAGUAAGAAAACCAUUUUCUCAAUCAGCCUGGAGAGCAUCACACAAGCUGGAACUUGUACACACAGAUGUUGGAGGAUCUCAAGCAACUCCAUCCUUGAAUGGUAGUAAAUACUAUAUUAUCUUUAUAGAUGAUUAUACUAGAUUUUGCUGGAUUUAUUUUCUCAAAUCCAAAGCUGAGGUUGCUAACACUUUUUGGAAGUUUAAAGCUUUUGUGGAGAAUCAAAGUAAUUGCAAGCUGCGCAUAAUAAGGUCUAACAAUGGGAAAGAGUACACAAAUGAAGUUUUUGACAAGUUUUGUGAGGAAACCGGCAUUGAACACCAACUCACAGCAUCUUACACCUCACAACAGAAUGGUGUGAGUGAAAGGAAAAAUCGGAGCAUCAUGGAGAUGGCGAGGUGUAUGCUAUAUGAAAAGGAGUUACCAAAGAAUCUUUGGGCAGAAGCUGCAAGCACAACAGUUUUCCUGUUAAACAGGCUGCCAACUAGAACUGUACAAGGAAAAACACCAUUUGAGGCUUAGUUUGGCUACAAACCAGAUUUACAAAAUCUAAGAAUUUUUGGUUGCCUCUCUUUUUCUUAUGUGCCACAGGUGAAACGAGACAAACUUGAUAAGAAGGCAGAAGAAGGUAUUUUUGUUGGUUAUAGCAGCACUUCCAAAGCUUACAGAAUUUUCCAACCACAAAAUGGGAAAAUUAUUGUAAGUCGAGAUGUCAAGUUUAUGGAAGAUAAACAAUGGAGUUGAGAGGAAUCAUUAGAAAAACAGGUGCUAGUGGAUUCACAUUAUCUUGAUGACAAUAUCGAUGAUGUCCCAACUCGUGGCACAAGACCUCUAUCUGAUAUCUAUGAAAGAAGCAAUGUUACUGUUUUUGAACCUGCAGAAUUUAAGGAAGCAGGGAAAGAUGACAACUGGAUUGAAGCCAUGAGAGAGGAGCUUCGUAUGAUCGAGAAGAAUGGCACUUGGGAAUUGGUAAACAAACCUCAAAAUAGAAAGAUCAUUGGAGUGAAAUGGGUUUACAGAACCAAAUUCAAUGCUGAUGGUUCUGUUAACAAACUCAAAGGUAGGUUAGUUGUGAAGGGGUAUAGUUAAAUUUUUGGGGUAGAUUUUUCAGAAACUUUUGCUCAUGUUGCACGUUUAGACACUAUCAGGAUGUUGUUGGCCUUGGCUGCACAAAAAGGUUGGAAACUUUACUAGUUGGAUGUAAAGUCAGCCUUUUUAAAUGGUCAUCUUCAAGAAGAAAUCUAUGUUGAACGACCAGAAGGAUUUCAUGUCAAAGGACAGGAGGAGAAAGUUUACAUAUUGAGAAAGGCUUUAUAUGGCCUUAAGCAGGCUCCUAGGGCCUGGUAUAGUAGAGUUGACAAUUAUCUUCAAAGUCUUGAGUUUGUUAAAAGUCCAAGUGAAGCCACUUUAUAUGUGAAGAAAUCAAAUGCCAACUUAAUUAUAGUGUUUGUUUAUGUUGAUGAUCUGCUUGUUACAGGAAGUAAUGAGAAGCUAGUGGAUGAAUUUAAAGCUGAGAUGUUCAAAAACUGCAGCACAUUUGUAAAGAUGGCUUCUACUCCAAGUUCUAUUGCCUUGUCCAUCUCUCACUGAUUUGUUUCUUGCUUUGAUUUCUCUGUUGAAAGAGGAAAGCAAGCUAAAAUCUGAUCAUUAUUACUAGGUCGGAUUUUCCCCCACGGUACGUUGACUUGACUUGGAUGCUUGCCCUAUCCCCACAAAGUCAUCAGCUCAAGGUGGGGCAGCAACCAACGACUUGAUGUAGAAUAGAAAUUCUCCGAAAAUCCAUUAUUGGUUUGCACUCUUAUCCGAGAUUUCGUAGAAAUUUCAUCAACCGAUACAUGGUUCAAUCUCUUUCAAAUUUUUUAUUAACCCUCUUGGAUUCACUUUUAUUUCCUAGUCGCCUAUAGUAAAAGUAGAUAUAGAAUAAGAAUUAUUAUAUUGACAAAAAAAAAAAAAAAGCAACCGAUGACUCGAUGACUACUUUGUGGGGUGGGGCAGAAACCAAUGCAAGUCAGUCAAGUCUUUCCACACACAUAUAUAUAUACUAGGCAUUGUGCCCCGCGAGUUUCGCGGGUGCCCAUUAUUGACUGUUUAAGAGUAAUGUAAGAUUUAUUUAAUAAUUAAUAUUUAGAGUGUUUUAUAUGAUAGUAGGGUUGGAAUAAUAAAUAGAGGAACAAUAUAUUGGAUUAAUAUAUUUAUAAAUAGAUAAAUAAUAUUGUUGUGAUUUGUAUUUAAUUUUUUAAGAGUAACAGGAUGUAAAUAUUAUUUAAAUUAAUGGAAUGUAAAUCAUUUUUUAAGAGUUGAGAUAAAUUAAUAAUUUGAAAUAAUUUCGAUGUGUUUAUUUUUAUAUUGUUAAAUAUAAGUGGAAGUAGAAUAAAGAAAAUUUAGAGAAUAGAUAAUUGCUAUGUGUAAGAAGCUGUAGUGGACAUGUUUAAUUAUGAUUGUUGGAUAAAGUCUCUGCUGAUGAGUUGCAGAUGAUAAUUGUUUUCAUUGAGCAUGGUGAACAAGAUGACACUUCCUUCAUGUAAGAAGUGUUUUUGUGUAAAUAUUGGCCAACCUUCUGUUAUUUCUAUUCCUUCUAGCUGAAAGAUCCAUCGAAUUUUAGCAUGAUAGCAAUUGAUGACUCCUAUGUUGUCUGUUUGUAUAUGCGAUGGUAUAUCACUAAUGAGUACUUGAGAUAAAAAAUAGGGAAAAAAUGUAGUUGCAUUAUGAAAUGAGAGUAGCAUGGUAGUGUAUGAAUUAUAUUGAUUGGAAUGUAAUUUGUAUGAAACUCACAAAAAAUUCAAAAUCGUGUGUUAGAUAAUGGAAGAGUUUAGUAUUAGAAAAACUAAAAGAAAGAAAUAUAGUGAAGAAUAUAAAUUCAUAAAUAUAAUAUAUACAAAUUAAGGAUUUUUAACAAUUUGAAAUUAUAAAUUUAGAAUCAUAUAUUUGUAUUUAUUGAUCAAAUAAUUGUUUUUUGAAUCAAUAAAUAUUGGAUUGAUUUAUUUUUAAGUUUAUAUAUAUUAGAUACAUGUCAAGUACAUAUGAUUUUCAUUCAUUUGUAUUAAUACGAAAUAGCAUAAUCAAUUUAUAUAUUUGACUGGAUACACAUAGAAUUUGUAUUCAUUUGCAUAUAUUAGAUGCACGUAGGAUUUUUAGUGAUUUGUAUAUUUUUUUAUAUUUAAUAUUUUUGCUAAUAUAUACAUUUUGGAGAAAACUAAUUAAAUUUAUAUACAUUAGAUACAUGUUAAGUACAUAUGAUUUUCAUUGAUUUGAAUUAAUACGAAACAGCAUAAUUGAUUUAUAUAUACUGAUUGGAUACACAAAGAAUUUUUAUCCAUUUGCAUAUAUUAGAUGUACGUAGGAUUUUUAGGAAUUUGCAUUUUUUUCAUAUUUAAUAUUUUUGCUAAUAUAUAUUUUGGAGAAAAUUAAUAAAUAAGCAACAAAAUAAAAAAAGCUAUUUUAUGUAUUAUAUGUGCAUAGCAUUUUUAGCGAUUUGUGUAUUUUUUUAAUAGUUAAUAUUUUUGUCAAUAUACACACUUUCGACAAAAUUAAUAAAUAAGCGAGUUAAUAAAUAAGCAGAUAAAUAUAAAGAAGGAGAGAAAAUUAUAAAUAUAGAAAUAGUCUUGAAAUUAUAAUUAUUUGAUAUAAAUAACACUUAUUAUAUGUUAAUACAAGGCAAUAUUAUUAAUUUAUAUAUAUUAGAUAUAGGUUAAACACAUAUAAUUUUCAUUGAUCUGUAUUAAUACAAAACAGCAUAAUCGAUUUAUAUAUAUUGAUUAGAUACAUAUAGAAUUUUUAUUCGUUAGUAUGUAUUAGAUAUACAAAGGAUUUUUACUGACCUGCGUAGUUUUUUGAUAUUUAAUAUUUUUUUCAAUACACACACUUUUGACAAAGUUAAUAAAUAAGUGAGUUAAAAAAUAAGCGGAUAAAUAUAAAGAAGGACGGAAAAUUAUAAACAUAGAAAUAGUGUCGAAAUUAUAAUUAUUUCACAUAAAUAACACUUAUUAUAUGUUAAUACAAAGUAGUAUUAUAAAUUAUAUAUAUUAGAUGCAUGCCAAUCAUAUAUGAUUUUCAUUGAUCUGCAUUAAUACAAAACACCAUAAUCGAUUUAUAUAUAUUGAUUAGAUACAUAUAGAAUUUUUAUUCAUUUGUAUGUAUUAGAUAUACAUAGGAUUUUUAGCGACUUGCAUAUUUUUUUAUAUUUAAUAUGUUUGUGUAUAUAGCAACCUGCAUAUUUUUUUUAUAUUUAAUACGAAACAGCAUAAUUGAUUUAUAUAUACUGAUUGGAUACACAAAGAAUUUUUAUUCAUUUGCAUAUAUUAGAUGUACGUAGGAUUUUUAAGAAUUUGUAUUUUUUAUAUUUAAUAUUUUUGCUAAUAUAUAUUUGGAGAAAAUAAUAAAUAAGCGAAUAAACAUAAAAAGAAUGCUAUUUUAUGUAUUAGAUGUGCAUAGCAUUUUUAGUGAUUUGCGUAUUUUUUAAUAGUUAAUAUUUUUGUCAAUAUACACAUUUCAACAAAAUUAAUUAAUAAGCGAGUUAAUAAAUAAGCGGAUAAAUAUAAAGAAGGAGAGAAAAUUAUAAAUAUAGAAAUAGUCUCGAAAUUAUAAUUAUUUGAUAUAAAUAACACUUAUUAUAUGUUAAUACAAGGCAGUAUUAUUAAUUUAUAUAUAUUAGAUAUAGGUUAAACACAUAUAAUUUUCAUUGAUCUGCAUUAAUACAAAACAGCAUAAUCGAUUUAUAUAUAUUGAUUAGAUACAUAUAGAAUUUUUAUUCGUUAGUAUGUAUUAGAUAUACAAAGGAUUUUUAGUGACCUGCGUAAUUUUUUGAUAUUUAAUAUUUUUUUCAAUACACACACUUUUGACAAAGUUAAUAAAUGAGUGAGUUAAAAAAUGAGCGGAUAAAUAUAAAGAAGGACGGAAAAUUAUAAACAUAGAAAUAGUGUCGAAAUUAUAAUUGUUUCACAUAAAUAACACUUAUUAUAUGUUAAUACAAAGUAGUAUUAUUAAUUAUAUAUAUUAGAUGCAUGCUAAUCAUAUAUGAUUUUCAUUGAUCUGCAUUAAUACAAAACAACAUAAUCGAUUUAUAUAUAUUGAUUAGAUACAUAUAGAAUUUUUAUUCGUUAGUAUGUAUUAGAUAUACACAGGAUUUUUAGUGACCUGCGUAAUUUUUUGAUAUUUAAUAUUUUUUUAGUCUCGAAAAAUAGUCUCGAAAAUGCAAAAGCUUUAAAUUAAUAAUUUAGUAGUUAACAAAUAUUAUGGAAGUUACAUUUUUGAAAUAGAGGGAAAUUAUCCUAUAUUUUUAAAAACAAUUGGUCGUAUUAAUGGAAGCUAAUACAAAGUGGCACAAUUGAUUUAUAUUUAUUAGAUACACACAAAAUUUCUGUCGAUAUAUAUAUUUUCUAAAAAAUCAUUAUUUUUGUCGACAUAUAUAUUUUGGAGAAAAAUGAAUAUAUAUAUAUAUAAAGGCAUACAAAUAGGAUGCAAGAAUAUAUAUAGAUUUGGAUAGCCCAAAAAAUUCGCGUCUGCAUUAAGGAAUGGAAUGUAGCGGCUGCACAGCUGCAACAAACAAAAGUAAAGAAACAAUAAUUAAGAGAGAUAUCAUUGAAGCAUCUAUCUUAUUAUUCAAUGUGUGUAUCUUGUUUCUUGUAUAUAAAUUAACAAUGUGAUAUCGAAGCAACAUAUAUAAAUUAAAGAUUUUUAACAAUGUGAUAUUAAAAAUUAAGAAAUCAUAUAUUUGUAUUUAUUAAUCGAAUAAUCAUUUUUGUAUUCUAUGAGUAUUAGAUCGAUUAAUUUGUAAAUAAAUGUUGCUGGAAAGAAUAGUACUUGCAUUAAUUUUUUGGGAAUUAAUAAGAUUCUAAAAUUUAAAGAUAAAACAAUUUCAAAGAGUCCGUUAGUUUAUUGAUAUCGAAAAUUAAUAAGCUUGAUUGAAUAGCAUAUAUGAAAAAAUAUUUAUUUAAUCAUGAAGGAAUUUAUUUAUUGAUCAAUCAAUAACUUACUCAAUUUUUUGGGAAUUAAUAAGAUUCUAAAAUUUAAAGAUAACACAAUUUUGAAGAGUUCGUUAGUUCAUUGAUAUCGAAAAUUAAUAAUGUUUGAUUGAAUAGCAUAUAUGAAUAAAUAUUUAUUUAAUCAUGAAGCAAUUUAUUUAUUGAUGAAUUAAUAUCUCAUUCAAAAUCAACGAAUAGAUAAUGUAACACAUAAAAUUUAUAUUGUUCUGCAUAUAUUAGAUGCACACAGAAUUUUUAUUGAUUUGUAUAUUUUUUAGAAAAUCAAUAUCUUUGCUAAAUAUAUAUUUUGGAGAAAGUUAAUAAAUAUAAAAGAGCAGAAGAAAUUAUAUUUUGAAGAAGGAGAAAGUUAAAGAAGGAAGUUAUAUGUUGAAGGAAGUUAAUAAAUCAAAUCGAUAAAUUAAUAUAUUUUUGUCAAUAAGUUAGAUAACAAUUGCAGCAGCCGAAGAUGCACAGAAACAAAGGACAAAACUGUUAGCUAACAAUUGCAGCAGCCGAAGGAUGGACAGCAAACAAAGGACAAAAUUGAGCAUAAAAUUACAAAGAAACCAGGACAAGGGCACAAUUGGAAGAAGGGAACAAAAGCAGAAAUGAGCAAAAAGCACCAGCAGCCAAAGGGCUGCACGGAAGCUUGGAAAGGACCAAAAAGGACGAAAUCAGCUGCGAAACCACAGCAAACCGGCACAAUCAACUGUUCAUCAGGCUUCGCGGCUUAAGUAGUUUAGAUAUUAUAUAUAUUAUAUAACCAAGGGCAAAUUUCAUAAGCGGCCUUCCCUAGUGGUAGUAUAUGUUGAGAAAUUUUAUUUUGGUCCAAAAGACGGUUCUAUUUGAAUUACACAACUUGGGAUGGGAAAUUGCCAAAUUAUGCAUGCAAGAAGUUAUAUCACUAAGGUACUCGUUACUGAGAAUAUUGUUAUUAAAAAUCAAUUUUCUUGUAAUGUUUGGUGAAAGGAAGAAAGAAAAUUUUUAAAAUCCUAACAAAAGAUGAAAGUACAUUUUUUAAGCCAAUCCCACUAUAUGUGUGUAUAUAUCUAUACAUAUAAGAAUGUAAGUGGAAGGUUUUAAACUCGAAACUUCUUUAUUUGCAUUCCAUUCUCUCCUACCAUUCAACUCAUCCCUUCUUUCUACUCCCAUACAUUUAGUAUAAUUUUUUAUUUUUGAAAAACAAAGUUUUUACCGUUUUUGGACUAAAUGUGGCCAAAAAUAAUUAAUUCAUGUACUAAAUGUGGUGCAUCUAAAAGUUUGGCAACGAGAUAUAUCCCUAACUCAAAGUUUAAGGAUAAAAAGUGAAUUUUUCCCCAUGGAUAAAGUAUAUGUUGGAGGAACUUUUUUGUCAAAAAUAUACAGAAUUUAAUGAAAGUACUUACGACUACUAUUGGAUCUUGAAUUCUUGGGAAAUUCUUCACUAUAUAUUCGAGAUGUUAUUGUGAGUUUUCCUGUCUAUUUCAUGUGUAUGGCAUGAUAGGUUGUUAGACAAUCAAAAUAAAAUUACUUAUUCUACAAUAAAUAAAAAUUAGAGUACAGUGGUAAGUAAGGUUAUGUCCACAUGGAUUAGAAUAGUUUAUUAUUUUCAGAGCGACAGUUAAAUAAGGGGAUUUUUCGAGGAAAUUAAACUAACUAAUUAACUCUAAUAAAGACAAAUAUGUAAAAAUUAAUUAAAUCUAAAUAAUGAUAAUGAAGGUUCUAGCCAAAGUAAUAACUUCAGAAAUGGUUCAUACAACUAAUUAGUGAUAUUUUUUUAAUCUGUUGCGCACUUGAAAGAUGUAGGCAACGGAAUGAGGAAUUAGAUUUUGACCAAAAAAUAGAAUGAGAAAUUGGAGAUAGUUACUUUAUGUUUUUUUAAUAUUUCAUUUUUCCCCUAUGAUGUUUUGAAUUGUUUUCAAGGUUCCUAAAACAUUUUCUAAUGUCAUUUGCAAGGUCAAUUUUGAUGUAUCUUUUCAAAUAAGUCCCCUACAUUUUGUUAUAGACUCAUUAAUUUGCAUUUAAAAUUCACAAAUAUCAAAUUAGGGUUAGGCUUUAAUACUUUUGAAUUUUCCUAAGCUGUGUGAAACAAAAAUUGAGACUAAAGGAUACUUAUUAUGUCACUAAUAUAUCUAUAGGUUAUUUCUUCAUGCUAUUUUAUUUAUAAUUAAUAUUUAUGACAUAAUGAUGAUGUCACCCAAUUUUGAAACUGGUUCGACCUCGAUCUAAUUCAUUGGCCCCUAAACCCUGAAUUUGGUCAAGUCGGCAUCCAGUCCGAAUUUGAAACCAUAGCUUAAAAAGAUUGAGGUGUGACAGGUGUCUGAUUGCCCCUUCUCUGCAAGUUUUAUAAAGCCAUUUCAAGAGGAGCAAUUAGACAUGGGAAAUAAUGAUCUGAAGAUCUUCAUUUCAUCCAAAGAAAUGGAUUACUGACCUUCUCAGGCGCGUUUAGCUUGGACAGCCAAUUUACUCAUUUUACACCACCGAAUUUUUGUACUUUUGUACUUUUUAUGGUUGUGUUGUUUUAAUGUUCUUUAUCCUGUCUCAAACUGUAUGGUGGGAUCGCUUCCUUGGAUAUAUGUUGUUUCUAAGGAUUUAAAUGAACGAAGCAGCUGUUCUUGUUUCCCAAAUUUUAGUUAUGUUUCCAACAAAUGUUGCAUUACGUUCUUUUACUAAUUAGCUGCAUUGUAACUACAAAUUCAGUCAAUCUUUUCAUACCAUUAAUAAUUUGGUUACAAAAUGGCGAUCUACUAAUCUAAUUACUAAGUUGCGACAAUUUAGACAUCUCUUUUUCAUAGUCGUAUUGUACAAUUUCUUAGUCUACUCACUCAACUUCUGGUCAUCCCAACUCUACCCGUAAUUGGAGAGGCCCUUGGUCCCUAAAGGACAGCUCCCCAGUUUGCUGAUUGAAUGUUGAUACUAUGUGUUUAAAAGAAAAGCCAUAGAAAAGACCCACGCACAGUUGGUGAUGAACGCAGUAAACAGUAGAACAUGAUUGUCUGGGAAGGAGGGGUAUGAACAUAAUUGUGAUGAUAUAGACAAAGACGCAAGUAUGUAAAUUAAAAAAGAGAGGGGUUAAAUCCACACCUUAAAUGUCAUAAAACUAUUGAAGCCCUUGACAGUUAAUGGGUUUCUGCUAACUUUUUGUUUAUUCUAAAUUUUGCUUUCACAUAAAAUAAAUGAUUUGCUAUGUAGUUUUUUUUUAUGAGAAUAAUUACUUUUCAAUCUUUUUACCUUGCACAUGUGUUUCAAUUUUAUAAUCUCUUAUUUUAUAAAAACUAUCUAAUGGACAGUGAAUUUCAAAACAUAAAUUUCAUGGCAUUAGUGAUUUUUGGGCCAUCUUAUGCGUAAUAUACAAAAUUUUAAUUUUUUAUCAGAUAACAAUAGAUUUUACUAUACUAUGAAUAUUUCUCCUAAAAAAAAUCUUUUUUUUUUAAGAUUUGAGGAUAAUCACAUUGGGGUUUUGAUCACUACAUGAUUAGGUGAAGUUAACUAGUAGAGCGAGGUAUUUGGGUAGCCACUAAACUUUUUGAAUAGUCGAAUUUUGACCGCUCAACUAUUAAUAGUACUUUUUACCCAUUGAACUAUGAAAAGUAUAAAUUUUUGAACAUUUCGUCUGAUUCCACCGUUAACUCUGCUAAAUCUAACUAUUAAUAGUAUAUCUCAUAAAUCAUGCGAACUAUUAAAUCUGAUAGAGUUAAUAGUAAAAUCAGACGGAAUGACUCAAAAUUUACACUUUUAAAACAAAAGACUCAAAAUUUACACAUUUGAUAGUUCAGUGGGUAAAAAUAUACUAUUAAAAGUUAAGUGGUCAAAUUUUGACUGUUGAAAAAGUUUAGUGCUACCCGAAUAAUUUGCUCUAACUAGUAUUAAAUGGGAAAAUUUAUCAAUUUAUUAGGUUGACUUUGACUUUUUUCUAUUAAUCGUUUGUUUUAACGGGAAAAAUCACAAUUACACUUGAACCCAAACCAUAAGGGGGUUAUACAUAGAUUUUUAAACUAAAGGGAAGGUUAUGUGGUAAAUUACCAAAUCAUAAGAGGUAAAAAGUAAUCUACCCUUAUAUAUAACAUAACAUACUAUGAAGGCAUGUUGAUUAAACAAGAAGUAUUGUUCUUUCUUCUUCAAAAUCCAAUCACAUUUAGUGGUACUAGUAGAACGGUAGACUUUGUAUGUGUGUAUACAUACAUAUUAACACACGUUGAGAUUGUGCUCCACUAACGAAUUAACAACAUUAUAGUUGAUGUCUCAUGAGAAUUUAUACCUAGUGCCUACAGAUCAUGAUGCUAAGGACUCAACCAAGAGAUACAAUUACAAUAAAACUUUUAAAACAGGGCAGCCAAGCAGAACUCAGUACUAUAGAAAUUGAUAAAAAGUAGUAAAAGGUACGACAGGUUGCCUAGUAUCGUUUUGGAGAUAAACACAAAACGGAGAGCCAUCAGUAUAACUUGAUUUUUCACUGACUGUAUGGUAAAGAUUUGCAAACAAUAAAACCACAAGAGUUUGUUGGGAUUGAAGAAUAUCUGGAAAAAAAUUUGAUUUUAUUUAAUGUAUUACUUUUUUGAUGUGAUUAUGUGAGAUAUAGUGAAAAAAAAAACAUAUUUUGUGAACAAGAAGAAAAAUUUUUCGCAAAUCAUCCUAGCUACACGAACCCUGUAGCUCUCAGAUAAAUGCUCAAAUCAUCCUAUCUAUGUCAUCCCAAAUCACCAAAAGUGACAUAUAUAAGAUAAAAAAAUAAUUAGAAAACUUGUGAAUAAUAAAAAAAAAAAAUUCUCAAAUCAUCCUAUCCUAAUGAACAAUGUUUUAAAUGCUCUGGUAGUUUUGGAACUAUCAAUAGUCUACACUACCCCAAGCAUCUCGCAAUUAUACAUGACCCUCCAUUGAAUUUAUCAUUCCAAAGCUCUUACAUUCUAUACUUCUAUUGGAGAAUUUAAAUGGCUUAAAACAACAAUGUCAACAAAAUUAUAAAGGUAUCUAUGCUUAAAACAAAUUCCAACUUAUGGCUUCUAGCCAAAGUAAAACCAAAUUCGUGAUUGUCCAACAAGAGCAACAUAUCUUAAGGAACUGAUACCAAAAGAAGCUUAUACUAAUAUUUGAUACUAUGACUCUUCUUAAAUUACCAAAUCCUACAAAGGAAUUACAACUUAGAAAUAUUAAUGAUAGGUCAAGAAAACACCCUCAAAUACUGAUGACUUGGGGAAUACUUUUACUAACUUAAGAAUACUUAAGGAGAACUAGGAAAGGUGCUCUACAAUAAAAGACGAUUCAAAUCUAGAACCCCACGUUACCAUAAUUUUAUACGAGUUCUAACUUCUGAAAUGCUAUGCCACACUAAACACUGAAACCUUAAGUAACUUGUAGCCCUACGAAAAACUUACGCUUACCAUUUCUACUUGAAAGUCCUCGACUACCAGUAGCUUAGCUAGGACUUUUUUAUUAGGUGGCAAAAUUUUGUGUCGAAAAAUGGUAAUUUCCAAAUGUAAUUUUAAAUUUUUGGCUUGUAUUUUUUGUUUAAUUUCUAUUUCUUAGCUUUUAAAUCUUGAUAUCUGAUUGUAACUCAAAGUAAAAUAUUUUAUCAAAUUUUUUAUAAACAAGUUCUUUUUAUCACUACACUACUUAAUAAAUAAACCAAAUCUUAGCCUAUCAAACAAAACAAGGAAGCUACACGUUGUCAGUAUUUCGAAACAGAUGUUAGGUGUCAUUUACCCAAAACAAUAAUAAAACUUAAAGCAUCCAAACCCAAUAAAAUUACUUCAAAAAUCAUUAUUCAAUAUCCAUUACAAUUCAAUUAAAAUUUCAAAAUGCUUCUCAAUUUCAGUGUCUUAAUCAAAUGCUUUUGAGCCAAAAAUGAAAUUUGAAUAUUACGUUGAGAUAAAAGAAUCACACACAAAAAAAAUAAAGUGUGAUAAGCAUUACCUUUCUUUACAAGUUCUAUAUCAAACAAAUUCUACUAGAACAAAAAUAAGUUCAUGACCUUUACAAAUGAAUCUUGUAAAAAAUAUAUUGCCUCUAACAAUUGAUAUGCAAUUUGCUAAAUGAAAUUACUUAUAGUUAUUUCAAAAAAAAUUGUAUUUUAUGUAUAUAUACGAAAUUAAAAAAAAAAAAGUAUAUAAGUGAUGGGGUUGGGCAUCCGUGGGUUCUCAAGAGGCCCGUGGUUUCUCAAACCUCUUGUCCCAAUCCACCUCCCGCGCGUAUUAUUGGGUACUUGACCCAAUUUUGCCUGGUCAAGAAAUAUAAAUCAGGUAUCUAAUUUUCAAAAUGCAUCAAAGUGACUUUCAUAGACCAACUAGUAUUUUUGCCUGCUCAUCAUUGAGGUGACGUGGCGGUGGAAAGGGGGAACAGGGUGUUGACGUGUGUGUAAGUGCAGGUUCUUAACUCUUGGAGAUUUUAAAUAUUUUGGGUAUUUCUUUGGUGUAUUUUUCGUUAGUAUUCAUCUUUCUAUGGUUUGGUAUGUUGUUUAACUAGUUACUAUAGAUGUUUUUAUAAAAAUAUAUUUCUAAAACAUCCCAAAAGCAUACUUCUUAUUUUAUACGUAAAAGCAACAUUCUUAGUUAUUUGGGUAAAAUACAAAAAACCAUUUUGUGGUUAAACUAACCUACGGAAAAGCUCUUUAUAGUUUUAAACCACACAUUUCGGCCCUCAUGAUUUGAACUAAUUUGAAACAACAAUGGAAAUCGUCAAAACUAAUAGAGGAGGAUGAAAUCAUAUAAUUAGCCUAAUAUAUAUAUAUAUAUAAGCAAUAAAAGAACUUCUAAUAGUCAUUCUAUUAAGCAAAUCUAUGGAAAAAGCUCCUGUGGUUAAACCAACUUACGGAAAAAGCCCCUUAUGAUUACACGUUGCUUUUAUUUAUUUAUCUUGUACAUAAGAAUAAGGUAAGGUAUAUUUGAAAGUUUUUCUUUAUCUAUUUUGUGUAUAGAAAUAAGGAGAGUUUUAUUUGGAAAUUUUUAUUUAUUUAUUUUAAGUAUAGAAAUAAGGUGAGUUGUAUUUGGGAGUAUGAGUUAUUUUUUUGAAAAUUUUACGAGUUCUAAGGGGUUUAAUAGAUAUAUCAGCUAAAAUUUGAUUUUAGAAAUUAUUUUCCAUGUCAAGCAACCUCAAACUCAUUAAUUUAAAUCAUUUUUGUCUAUUUUUCACAUGUUCAAACCAUAAGUAAUGGAUUGUAUGAUUUGAAACUAUAAGGGAGUUUUUCUAUAGGUUUACUAAACCACAAGAGGCUUUUCUAUAUUAUUACUCUAAGAAUAUAAUAGGUAUAUCAAUUGAAAAUUUGUUUGUUUUUAGUACAAUACAAAAGAAACUAUUGCGAUUUUCAUCAUUUUUUUUAAAUUAGUUCAAACGAUAAGGUACCGGAAUGUAUGUUUUAAAACUAUAAGGGAUCAUUCUGUAUGUUCGCUUAACUUCAAGGGCUUUUCUAUAAUUUAUCCUUAUUCGAAUGAAAUCUGCUUACAUGUUGAUGUUUAAGCUACUCAUUUCAAUAAGAGGGUUUUUCUAAUGUAUGCCUGUUGGACACCCUUUAAUACAUGCAAUCUAUUAUGUGAAUACGUACACUAAUUAUUAUUAUCUUUCCUUAUAUUUAUAUAUUUUCUUAAUUAAAUUUAUUUUUUCAAAGAAAUUAAUAUUUGAACUACAUUUUAACAAUACUCAAAGGAGUGACCCUACUGAUAAAAUCAAGAAAACAAUUUCAUUAAAGCGGAUAACAAAAUUCUCUUCGACCUUGCAAAAUGAAUUUGGUUGGUCCGACCCAAACUCUGCCCAUAUUGCCCAUCAAAAAUAGGGCCAACUUUUUCUUGAAAGUGGUCUGGGCUGAGGAUGGGAAAAACUGAACUCCCAUUUUCCAAGUGGGUCAUACUAAGCUCGGCCUGUUUUCAGAGAGUCCCAGAGAGGCUUAUACAUGAGUCUGAAGUAAUUAUCUCUGAGAGAAGGGGUAAUACAAUUGGAAUUUUCAUACAAUUAUGCGAUUGUUGUAUAUUUUACUUAAUUUGUUGUAUACUUCAUUUCUUUGUUUUAUACAUAAUUUUUUUUAUAAGAAGCAAAACUCAUUAACAAAUUACUAAAAAUCGUGCAGCACAAUUUGAUCUACAUCACUAUCCUAAUGGUAGAUUAAACAUGUAUUAGAAAUUAUAGAUCUGCGAUUUAAUAUAUACAAUGGAUUCGAAAAAUUAUAAACAUAUUUGAAAAAUAUAAGAAAUUUGAAAUUUGUUUUUUAACAAAUAAACCAUAGCAGUUCCCUUUUGUGUAUGUUGUAAUCGAUAAAUCUACUGGUCAAUGGUUUUAAACUCCAAUAAUGAUGGUGAAAUCUAUCAAAAUAGAUUCAAGAUUCGAAAAAAAUUCAGAUCUGACUUUCUAAGGCACUUAAAUAAAGGACACCUACGUUGCGUCUGUUUGUUCAUUUUUGUUACCUGCAGACAAUCUCGACACAGCUGCAAACUUGUGUGAUUUAAAUACCUUCUCCCGAGUGUCUUUUUCUUCUUUGGAUAUCGUCCGCAAGGUAUUCAAUAGAGCUGGCAAUUUGUCCCAAGUCCCAAUGGGCUACCCAUGCCCAAAGGAACUUUGGGCGGGAUGGGUAUUAUAAUUUGGUAUUGGGUUUAAGUUGGGACACAUCCCAACUAUACCCAUUAAUGAAUGGGAAAGGAUGGGAAAUACUUGGGUACCCAUUGGGCUCAAAUGGCAAGGGCUCCGUUUGGAUUAGCUGUUUUUGGGGGGUGUUUUUGAAAUAUUUUAUUGUAGCAGUGUAUAUGAAAAAUUUUUACUAUAAAAUUUUUUUGAAAUAUUUGAUAUACUAAUAUGGAUGGGAUGUUUCUUGAGUUAUUGUAUAUUACUGUAACAUUGUAUUUGAAAAACUUAUUUUUUGAAAAAAUAGUCAAUCCAAACGGAGUCUUAGAUUCAAAAAUUAUCUUUAACAAUUUUUAUAGUCAUACCAGCGAAUAUAAUCUAGUAGUCUCCCUAGUCAUUAUCCACAAGAAUUUCCAACAUUUCAGUUAGUUUAGACCUGUCAUCCUUGGACAAUGAUGAGGAUAAAUAUUCAACAUCCUAAGGACCUUGGCCAUCUUGAUAUAUGUUGGAAUAUGGUUGUAUAUCUAUCUUUUCCUUUAUUUGUUAAUCCAAUUUUUGGUGGGAAUCUUGAAUAUAAAGCACUUGCAUGUUUAUUUAAUAAAACUAAAAGAAAUUUAAUAAAUCAAAAAUAUUAAAAUUAUAUAAAAAAUAAAAAAUGAAUUAAAGGAAAAAAAAAUAUGUAGAAAAUGGAUUUGGGUAUUGGGCGGGAUCAAUCUAAACACAUCCCAAAAUGAUCCCGCCCAAGUUAGUCCCAAAACACAUAUGGGUAAGGUUUGGCCCAAACCCAUAUGACUCGGUUCCAUCUCAAACCCAAGCAAAUCCCGCCCAUCCCGCCCAUUUUGCUACCUCUACUAUUCACUAAAAUUCCUAAUAUUCACAAGCUGGAAUGCAUUCUCAUUGCGUAUACUGAACAUAAUUGGGUGUCAGCAGACAAGAUUCUAGUACUUGACUUUCCCUCUGGCAAUUAGAAAGUUGACUCUAUCCGGUUUUCUUUUCCCUUGGAGCAAAAUUUCAGCGAUCGAAAAUCUUCCCAAUCUGGAGGUCCUCAAAGGAACAAAUGGACAUGGGAAACACUGAUCUGAAGAUCCACAUUUCAUCCCAUGAAAUGAAUUACUGAUCUUCUCAUGUCUGUUUAGUUUGGUCAGUCAAUUCACUCAUUUUACAUUUUCUAUUAAUUUUCUAGUUCUGUACUAUUACUGGUACUGUUGCAUCAGUCAGCCAUCAAGAUCAUGCUAUUCCUGUUGUUUUAAUACGCUUUAUCCUGUCUCAAACUGUGUGAUGCGGGGACACUCCUCAUGAUUAUUAUUGUUUCUAAAGAUUUAAAUGAAGCAGCUUUUUUUCCUUUCCCAUUUUGCCACUUGGAUUACACAAUUUUAUUUAGUCUCAAGAAGGUAAGAAUACUCUUGGAUAGGGUAUUUGCCUUUCUUUUUAUUUUGUGCCUCAUAAGAAAUUCUAACCAUGACUAUCAAUGUUUUCAGGCUAAUUGUUCUGAAAGAUGGAUCAAAAAGAGGUUCACAUUGCUCGCUCAAUGAUUUUAUCAGACUAACUGUCGUGAUUGUUGAUUCUUGGUCCACUAACAAGAAUGUAACAAACAAAAAAAACAAGAAUGUAACACACUGGAAAAACGCCAACCAGAUGGAAAAAUUAAAGGAAAUGGUGUGGCAAUAAGAAAGAGAGUGGAUUCCAAUAAACCCCCUGCAAAAGUGUCUUUCUUCAAUUGCCCCACUAAACAUUUAAUUGAACAAAUCCAUCCUUGUACUAUUACAAACUUCCCAUUCAACUACCAUUGGGUCUAGCAGCUCAAUUUUAGGUUGAACCAGUCACGUGAAGCAUACAUGGUUUCAUGAACUGACCAGAUUGUUGAACUAAUUAAACUACUAAGAUGAACUCUAGAUAAUUACACCUUUGUAAAAACAUUUGACCUACUCAAACAUAAAAUACGUUGUACUUCACAAUGAUAUUUUCUAUUAGUUUUUCCGAUUUUGAUUGCAAUAUUUUAGAGUUUUUACAGAAAAAAUGCACUGUAACAAUUUGAUGUAUGUGAGAUAAAAAGAUGAUUAAAAAAUGUGUUUACAAAAAAAGGUAAAAAAUUUUAGGGGGAAAAGUGACCAUCAAAACAAGGCUUGAAAAUAAAUUUCAAUUAUGAUAAUAAGCCAAAAGCUAUAAAUAAUAGAAUUUUUGGCAUUAUGGGGAAUUACUAGAUUGUUUUAGAAAAUUUUCGAUCAAGGGUAAAUAAAUAAAAUUUUAUAAUUAAGAAAUUGUGGGAUAAUUUGGUCAUUUUAUGAAAUGAUUAUGUGUUGCAUAUGACUAAUUCCGGUAAAAAUUUGAGCUUCCUGAUUAAAUAGUACCUGAUUGUGAAAAUUGUAAUAGCACCAGUGUUGAUUGGUUCAAUUAAAUGUUCAAGGAGCUAAUGUGAAGAAAAGGCAUUUUCCGGAGGUUUGUUGGAGUUAAACAUAAGAAAAAUUCGAAGGUUUGAAUGAUCUCAUAGUAGAUGUAAUCAUUACUGGGAUCUUUUUUUCCCAGAAAAGAGAAAAUUUACAAUGAUUUUUAUUAUUUUCAAACUAGGAUUGACGGUUAAUUACCACCGAAAUGGUAUCUAAAUAUCCAAAAACUAAUGUUUGAAUAUCCAAAAAUCAUAUGAAUACUCGCAUUAGUUUUGAGAAACUUUUUGAUCAACACAAUUCAAGAUAAAGCCACAAAUUAAUGAAGAAAGGUUGCAAUCCUUGAUCAUUCUCAAUCUCAACACUAUAAAGAUUUGGUAGGAAUGAUUUGUUGUAGUAGAUCAUUUACCUACUAUUAAAAUUCUUUACAAAAACACACUAUAGUUCAAAUAAGUUUGUCUAACUUUAUAAAUGACCAAAUUUUGAAAAUUCUCUAAUACAAAUAAGUCUAGGUUCUACAUUUUUUUUUGGUGCAUUGGAGAGCCUCUGGCUCAUUACAAGGACACUAGACGGGGAGCUGUCACUCACUCCCAUGAUAUCCUGGCCCAAAGUCUCUCCCAGUCGAGUCAGGGGCUCCUUCAACCACUUCACUCCUAUUUCUUGCCUCAAACUACUCUUGGCUAAACAGUCCGCACUCGCAUUCCCUCUCUCCAAGUGUGGACAAGCAUAACUUCCCAUUCCCUCCUAAACCAUUCCUGUAUCUACUUAACAAGUCGAGUAAAGACCUGUGCUAGUACCAGUCUUCAACAGAGAUAAUGCUGUUAACGAUUCUGACUCUAAUACCAAGCCAUUUCUAAGCCAUACAUCAUUCCCCACAGCUCCGCCACGACAUUUGUGGUUAUCCCCAGGUUCGCUACAAAAUCCCCCUUCCAUAGACCCCUAUAGUCUCGUAUUAGUCCCCCUGAUCCUGCCUCUCGCAGGUUACCCGUAGCAGCCCCAUCGACAUUGACUUUCAUCCAGCCCUUUGGUGGCUUUACCUAGCUAAUAAACGUCAACUCCUUCCCCUCCAUCUAGGGCUGCAAAUGAAUCGAGCUGCUCACGAGCCGCUCGAGUCAAAAUUUGACUCGAGUUCGGUUAAUAUCGAACUCGACUCUAGAUCGAGCUGGCGAUAUCGAACUCGAACUCGAGUUCAAACUCAAAAUAUUAAACUCGUUAGCUCGCAAGCCAGCUCGCGAGCUCGAGUAUAUAUAUAUGUAUAUAUAUAAAAUUUUUAAUUUUACUAUAUAUAUUUUUUAUUUUAAUAGUAAAAUUACAUAUAUAUCCCUAAUAUUUUAUUCUCUAUUAAAAAAAUAAUUAUUUGUUAUUUUUAUUAGAUUAAUAUAUAGAAACUCGAGCUAACGAACUACUUGCCAGCCAGAAAUCGAGCUAUAUUCCGAGCUGACAAUUCGAGCUGCUCGCAAGUUAGAAAUCGAGCUACAGCUCGCGAGCCUUGUCGAGUCAAGCUCGAGCCUGGUUUUUCCUUGGUCGAGUCGAGCUCGAGCUCGAAUUUGAACCCAUCUAUGAUUAAGUCGAGCUUGGCUCGAUAAGUCCAAAACUCGACUCGACUUGUUUGCAGCCCUACCUCCAUCUUACCUUCGGACUGAAAUGUUGUUUGCACUUGCUUUGCUUGAGCUAGCACUUGCCUAUAGCUACAUCUCAGCUUGCUGCCAUCCCCUGCACAGCAAAAAGCAUUUCUAGCUGACCAGGCCAAAUAAACCAAGUUCUGAAAUAAUAAUUACCAGCAUACUUCCCUAUCUGUCCCAACAUUUCUCUCUCGGAGGUUCCAAUCCACCCAGUCUUUUAGCUCCAGUCUUCCCUAAAGUGAUCCUAGUCUAGGUUCUACUUUACCAACAGAACGAAUUACUUGUUCAGCUGAGGUAUUUGGCAGUUCUAGGAACUGUGAAAGUCCAUUGCAUCAUCCAUAAACCAAUCUAACAAACUUGGAAACUUUCAUUGUGGGAACAUUUUCUCGUAUUGUUUCACUAUCAGAUACCAUAUUGAAUCUGAAGAAAGUAAGGCAUUUGCACAUUAGGAGAAAGCCUAGAUUUUAUUCCACUUUUCGGCUACCCACCAACAAUCUUGACGAUGCUGCACAGUUAUGCAAUUUAGAUACCUUCUCUGACACAAUUCUUUCUUCAUGAGAGAAUGCGGACAAGAUAGUCAGAAAGUUUCCCAAUAUUCGCAAGCUGAAAUGUAGCAUCGAACUCCUUGAAUCUGAUUAUCCUGCUUCGGGUGCAUCCGACAGGAUUCUAGUACUUUACCCCCUAAGUCAACUAGAAUCACUUAUUUUGAAGUUGAAAAGCUAUGUUCAAUGCUAGUUUGAGUUCAAUUCUCUUCCACUAUUAAAAAAUUGACUCUUUCGCUCUUUUACUUCCCUUAGAGCAAAAUAUCAGCAAUUGAAAAUCUACCUAAUCUUGAGGUUCUCAAAUUACUUGACGGAGCAUUUGAGGGGGGAAUAUGGAACAUGGAAGAAUAGGGGUCCCUAAAAGGUAGUUUCUUGAAAUUGGCUUCCCUGGAUAUUGUCAAGUGGACCGUCUCUGAGUGCGUGGAAUGUUUUCCAAGGAUAAGGAAAUUAAUUUUGGAAGAUUGUCACUUUUUGGAGGAGAUCUCUUCUUGUUUGGGGAAUUCAAGUCUUGAAAUAAUUGAGGUGUCUAAUUGUCCCUGCUCUGCAAGUUUUAUAGAGCCACUUCAGGAGAUACCAAUGGACAUGGGAAAUUUUCAUCCAAAGAAAUGGACUACUGAUCUUCUCAAGCUUGUUUAGUUUGGACAACCAAUUUACUCAUUUUAUUUUUCUCAAAUUUUUUUUUUACUUUUGUACUGUAACUAGUUGUGUUGCAUCAGUCUAACGUCAAGAUCAAGUUACUCAUGUUGUUUUAUUGUUCAUUAUCCCGUCUCAAACCUAUGUGGUAGGAUCACUUCCUAGGAUAUUUGUUGUUUCUAAAGAGUUAAAUGAAUGAACCAGCUUUUUUUGUUUUUCAAAUUUUAGUUAUACUUCCAAGAAUAACUGCAAAUUUUGUCAAUCUUUUCAUACCAUUAGUAGGUAAUUUGUUUACAAAAAAGAAUGACAGGGUGUCAAGCCUGUGCAAUAAUAAUAACCUGCUCAAACAAAAGCUAAUUCUGUAGAUAGUGAUAAGCAGGGUCGAAUCCACAGGGAUUGGGAGUAAUUGUUUCUUUUGAAAUUCACAAUAACAAGGGGGUGCUUUUGUAUAAACGAUAACAACCAAAGGAGUUCAAAUAAAAAUAAAUAGCUAACUAAGAAUUAAAUGACAAUUUACUAAAAUCAGAGUAAUAAUAACUAAAGGUCUAGCCAAGAAAUAACUUCAGUAAUAGUUUAUCUAAUUGAUCAUCGAUGCAAAGGUAAUUCCAAUUAUUUAUUGAUAAAUAGGUUAUAACUGUCAAACAAGCGAUGACAGUCAACCCCUCCUUACCGUGUCAGUGAUUAAGGUACGCCCAUUAAUCACUGCUCUAAUUGAAAAAUAAUCUUACUGCUCUAAUUGAGAAAUAAUCUUAGGUACGCCCGUAAGAUUUAAUUUCCCAAUUGCCUUACGUAUUAGAGGAACCCUAUUCUAAUCAAAUAACGCACUACUAGAGUUAUUUUAAGUUAGCCCGCGUAUCCCCCCGACACGAAUCUAAUCAUGCCAGUUGUCACUAAUUCAAGGCGAUUAAACAAUUACGGAUUUAAUGCCCUAAUUGACAAUAAAUUAUCAAGUUAACUAAUUAUCCGAAUCCAAAACAAUCAAUUAAUUAAAUAAUCAUAAAUACUGCAAUCAGGGGAUAUGCGAAUACCAAUAAAUAAAAAAAAGAUAAAAUUAAAUCGAUCUCACAAUUUUUAGACGAACCAAACCCUCCGUUGUUCUUUGACUAGAGUGAAGAAAUUAGCUCAUAUUGGAUGCGAAAAACCCACACAAAAGUGAAGAGAGAGCCGCGGCCAUCAAUUGGAAAAUGGGCAAAUUCAAUUCGUUCUCGCCAAUGAAAGAAAAUGAAGCUGCAGAGAAGAAUUCAAUGCUUCCCUGUUUGUUUUUCCACAUACGAAAGAAGGAAUAACUUACUAAAAGACGAAAAGAAAAGUCAAAAGCUAACCUAAGAAAAUUGACUCCCGAUUGUCUGCUAUCUCUAUUCCCUAUCUAAUUGCUAUCCCUUCUUGCGGCGGCUCCCCAGGGAAAGGAAUACUCCCGUCUUCGGUUCAGCCGUUGCCAAACGAAAAGGCCAAAGAUUUUUUCUUUUCCAAAAUUACCCCUAGGAUAAGCGCUGCUACUUGCACUUCUUUUCUAUCAAAUUGGCACUUGUUAUCAUAUUUUGGUUCUACUCCCUAAAAUAAAUGUCAAAUACUAAAAGUGAGUAGAACCCAGCAAAUAAUUCACAUCGGGUCAGGUAAUAGGGAAAAUUAAUAAUAAAAUAAAUUGAGUUUGUUUGGAUAGAGAGAAUUUGGUUUGCAAAAUUUAUUCUCACAAAUUCCAAUCACCUUUUUAUCUUCCCAAUCACCUUUUUAUUUCACAUACAUCAUAUCACAAAAAGUGCUACAGUAAAUAUCUCAAAUAAAUCAUCCAAAUAAACUCUUAUCCAAACAAACUCUUAUCCAAAUAAUUAAAUUGCACCCUAUCAAAGAAUGAAUGCCAUUGACUAAUUUAAUUACUAGGAUUUCAUAAUUUAUCAAUUCUUUUUUCCAUUGCCUACUUCUACAAUUUCUUUCUGCUAGGUUUAGCAGUCUAGUUAUCCAACCCGAGUCCAAUAAUGAGAUUAAAUGAGUAUUUUGUACCCACUUGGUACUCACGAAUCUUUCCUCCUCCUCCUCCUUCUCUCUUUUGUCCCCAAUUUGCCAUUCUUAUUAUUCAAUUUUGUUGUUGAGUUUGUAUUUAUAUUCUACAUCAGGAGUUUUACAAAGAAAUCUCUCAUUUUAAUGGUUAUAAUUACAAUGGAUUUAAGUGAAUUAAAAUAUGCUAAGGGUACCAAUUCAAGUGUCAUAUGCACUAGACAAAGAAAAUUUUAGGGGGCCCACAUCCUAGUAUGAGAGAAGUCUUAGUUAAGCAUCAAAUCAAAAGAGCAAAUGAUGGGACUUUGGACCGUUAAACAUUUUAUAAUAUUUAGUCUUUUUUGUGUUUUCAGUUUUACUUGCCUUUUGAGUCUUGGAAUUAUUUUCUAGAAUUUUAUACUAUCUCUUUUGUACUUUUUUAUAGUAAAUAUGUUACUUUUUCGCCAAUAGACAUAGGUCAAUUCGACCGAAUCAUGUAAAAUUUUGUGUUUUUCUGUUUUUUUAUUUGAUUUGUUAUUGUCUUUAUUGCAUUAUCAAGAACCCUGCUGUUCUUGUUGAUCAUUUUUUUGGAACUAGAUCUAGCAAACUAGUAUCAAAGUUUCAGGCUCUGGGUUCGACGACAACGAUGAUGAUAACAGACUAUCAAUGUCUAUUUCAAAAUAUUGAUUUAACGCUAUAGAGAGUGAAGAAAAAUCUCCCGUUGGAGUUUAGUUGAGUUUUGAAAAAGAGCUAUUUUGCCUAUUGGAACUCGUUGAGGACGUUGUGAAGAAAGUAAAGCAAGAUUAUUAUGUUCGAUAUUUUAGCCCAUUGGGAUUUGUUGCACUUUUGUGAGUUUUGAUCGGUAGGGACCUAUUGAACCUUCUGCACCUUGGCUCAUUGGUGGUUCAUUGAGAUCUGUUGGCACUUUUGUGGUUCAGUGGGAUUCAUUGAGACUUUAUGAAAAAAGUGGAGUAUGUUUGCUAUUUAUCAAUGUUAGAUACACGUCAAAAUGGAGAUUGUUGAGUUUAUUUUUGUAUCCCACAUUGAAAGUUUUACCAAGAAAUCUCUCCUCUUAGUAGUUAUAAAUACAAUGCAUUUAAGUCAACUAGGGAUACCGUACAUGCGUUGUACAUGGUUGGAUGAUAUGUAGUUAUAUCAUUUUGUUUUGUUUUUAUAAUGAGUUUACCUUUGUAAUGUAGAGUUGGGAAUAGAAGCAAAGGUGGGAAUUGCAUGUUACAAAAUUUUGUAAAGUAAGCAAUUCAAAGCAAUCUUAUUGAAUGUAAGAUGAAGAAAAAGAGAAGAUAUUAAGCGUAAAAUCGUAAUCAUUAGUGUUUUAAUCUUUCUCGACUUUUAUCUUCUUUUUCAAUUGAGUUUUGAGCUUGGAUGCAUUACUUCUUGCUCCCCCCCCCCUUUUUGAUUUUGAAGGACUGUAGUGGAACAUCAUCGUCAAUUUUAAUCACCUUUGAAUUUUUGUCUUUUAUUAUGCUUUGCCGAGCAUGUUGUUUAGAUGUAAUAGAUGGAGUGGCAUUUUCUUGUUUGUUGUAUUUGGUAGUUGCUCGAAUGCUAUUGCCACCAUUGAUAGAUGUCCAUGAGAGGAGUGCCCCGAUCUUAUUAAGCUUGAUGAGGAAUUUGAACUCCUUAUGCUUUGGGGCAAUCAUUUUCUUAUACAACUUUGAUUUCUCCUUAUCCUGUUGGGUUUUCAGUAUUUCUAAAUCAGAUAGGUUUAAAUUGAAUGCUUAACUAAUAAGAGUUGAUGUGUUUAUUAUUUUAAUAAUUUUUAGGAACUUACCUUGAAAGAUGUAGUGUUAUCUAUGUAUUCUUGUAUUGGGCAUCCAAUAAAAUUAUUUGCCAAGUCCUCAAAUAAUAUUAUUGUUGCUACAUCUUGUCCAUCGACGACUUCCAUCCUUAUAUUGUACCUAUUUUGGAAAUGAUAUUAAGUUGUUAACUGUGCUUUUCAAGUUUGCCUUUUUAAAGUCUAGCUUUCAUGUCAUGUAUUUAAUUGAGUGACUUACCUUGGUGUAAAAUCUUUUGUUGGAUGAUUGCAUUUGGGGCAUUCUGCAUCUUCUUCGAAGUUGAUAAUUUUGGUGUUACAUCCUUUACAAGCAUUAUAGUAUAGUUCGACUUUGUUCUCUAUAUUGUUAACAAUUGCGUUGGAAGUGUAGAAAGCAUGCUGCAAAAAGCAUUUAUUUGUUAUUGUUUUUAUGAUGUUUGGCUUUUUUUUUCAAGGAAUUUUCUAAAUUGAAGAUUUAUGAGACGAUAAAUUUACCUCUUUCAAUGAAUGUUGUUGAUGAAUAAUAUUUUUGAGUUGAAUGUGCUCGACCAAGUCCAUCUUGUUCUUUAAGGUUGCGGCUUCAAUAUUUUCACUUUUCUUUGUAAUGAUCCUAUAUCAAUUUUCAGUAUUGUAAUUCAAGGCAUUCAAUUUAUAUAAAAAAAAAGUCUAAAAGAAUUUGUAUUCAUACCACUUUUGAAGUUUCAAAACUUCUUUGCAAUUUGGAUUGACUUUUAGAGUUGACAUGAAUGUUGUUGACAGUUGAAACUCUCCUAGAAUAUUUUAAAAUGUCAAGUUGUAAUUAUAAUACUAUUUUAUUUUUACUAUUGAUAUUUUUACCUUGGUAUUCAGACAUUUGGAUUUGUAUUGCUACAAUUGCUGGUUUUUGAGAUGCAACUUGUUGUAGAAAUUGACCUUCAUUAAAUACCAUAUCUCCCUAUAAGAUGAUUUUCAGUGGCAAACCUAUAGUGUCAGGAUAAUUUUUAUAUUUUAAUAUAAAAAUGUUAGGCAUGAAGUAAUGAUUGCUAAGUUUUUUUUUUUUAGUGUAAACAGGAGGACUCGAACCCGAGACCUCUUGCUUACACUCCCUUCCCCCGUACCACCCAACCCAACCCUUACCCCCAAUGAUUGCUAAGUUGUGAAAUAGGAAAAGUAUUAGGUGGCUGAAUUAUGAACACUCUACGUAUAAAGGAAAAAGUGAUGCUAGACGUAUGUUUUUUUUCAUACUUGGAGCUUCAAACAUUUAUAUAGUAAGAAAGCAAGCUAAAAAGUAAUCUACUUUUUGUUUAUUAUGGUGAUUUCUCUCUUUUGAGUGUAUCCACCUUGUCUUUUUGGAAGCACCAAUAUUUGAGCCACACUUGUAACAACUCACUCCAAUGAUAUCUGUAGAAAAUAAGUUUAUUUUGAAUGUAAAUAAGUACAACAAUUCAGCCUAACAAUGUAGAAAAUUGUUAGAAGUUUUGCACAAGAAAUUUGAUUGAUUUUGGAAGAAAAUGUUACCUAUUUGUUUGUUGAUAAAGUCUGAUUUUUUUGCCUCUUCAAACUCAAUAGGUGCAUAGAUAAUGUUCCUUGUUGGUACAUGAGAAUGGUCUUCUUUGAUGUGAGUGUAAUUUCGUAGGACCAAAUCAAUCUCAUUGUUGACAUUUGCAUACAAAGUGUUUGUUUUAUUUACACUUCCAUUUGAAAGUAAGUACAACUUAUUGUAUUGAAAAUUAUGUCCAAAUCUUGUGAUGAUAUCAUCAAACAUGAUAGCUUGAAUUUUUGUUCCCUGUAAAUUUAUUAAAAUGUAAAUAAGAAAUGGUAAUAAAUUGCAAAAUAUAAAUAAAAAUUAAUAGAUGAAUAUGAAAGUAUAUAUUUUCUCACUUUAUCAUGGACCAAAAUUAAAUUUUGCAAAGUUGAAGAAGAAGCAGAAAAAGGAAUAAAUAUAGUGGUGAUUUGAUUAUUAGUCGCCAUAGUAAAUAGACAGAAUAUUAGAGUUUUUUGUAAUUUUUUUAAAAAAAAUUAGAAGUAAGCUUUGACAUGUUCACUUUUUAAAAAAAUCAUUUUCUAGCCAAUCAAUUAAUUUUAAAAUUUGAAAAAACCAAAUACAAAAGCAAAAAAAAAAAAAAGAAAUAAUAGUAACUUGGUCCUGGAAAUGGGAAUAAAUUACAAAGUAUAAAUAUAAAUUAAGAGAUGAACAGAAAAAUAUAUAUCUUCUCACCUCAACAUCAACAAAAAUCAAUUCUGCAAAGUUCCAGAUUUCUGUUUUUCAACAUAAUGCUCGAUAUUAAAUUUUUGUAAUAGUAAAACUCGAAUUGUCCACAUCUUUUCUUUUGACUUCAGUGAACCGAUGAAACGGUUCUCUUGUAUUGCCAUGAUACCUAAAAAUAUGAGGGAAAAAAACUCGAAACUGGUAGAUUAGUAAAAUGAAAUGUGAAAAUACAAAUAUAGUAAAGGUUUUAAGCAUAAAUAUAAUACGUAAAAGGGUAUUUGAGAAAGUAAAUUAAUGGUAAUAAAAAACAAAAAAAAGGAAAGGAAACAAGGAUAACAGAUCACAGAUGUGGCAAUGUUUUCCUAACAUCUACACGUAAAACCAAACAAUUUUUGCUUUCCUUUCCACCUCCUCCCUCUCCUGCCCAAUUCUCUCUCUCUAUAUUUUUUUGGCAAAAUCAAACUAUUCUAUUUGUGUCUGUUGAUCGAUGAAUUUGUAUUGCAUGGUUGUAUUGAAGGGAAUGUAAAGAGAUAUCACCAAGUUUGAGAAAGGUAUGUGUAUUGCACAUACCUAUAAUACUUCUUUUGCUCUUCUUCUGUUUCUUUUCUCUCUUUUCUGUGUCUAAGGGUGUUGGAAAUUGGGUAUAGAACUUAGUAAAGAUGCGAUAUUUAUAUAAAUGUAAUGUUGUUUUCUAUGUCAUAUGAAUUAAUUUUUUCAGUUUCUGUGAUUAAUUCGUUGUUUAGCUUCAUAUGAUUUUAAGAUUGUAUUUUAAAUUUUGGUAGGGGUUUUUAGUUUUUGUUUUUUAGCUGUUAAUGAUCGGUGUAAAUGAUUCGUAGUGGUAUUUCAGUUGGUGUUAAUGAUUCAUAGCAUUAUUUCAGUUUUAGAUUUUCUGUAACCUGACUGUUCAGUUUUUAAUUUUUAUAAUGAUUGUAGGGGUUGCAUGAUUGCAAGCCAUAAUUUUGAAAACUGAAAAGGUGCAACCCGCAUUAGGUCAGGAGUAGUACAUAGCACACCCUGAUGGUGAGACUAUGGUAGAUGAAAUUCAACACUUUCAAGAUGCAAGAUAGGUUUCAGCUUAGGAAGCUAUCUGGAGAAUUUUUGAAUUCAAUCUUAAUGAGAUGUCCCUAGCCGUCAUCAAUUUGCAAGUGCAUCUCCCUGGAAAUAAUGUGUGACUUAUUGAAAGAAUCAAAAUCAAAAAAAUCUUCUCCAAUGGUUAAUUUUAUUGGAAUGUUAUUCUCAUCUUCUUGGUUCAUUUGCUAUUCAUUUUAUGUCAUUUUAUGAAUAGUUUUCGAUUUUUUUUUUUAGUUUUUGUUGUUUUGAGGGUUGCUAUCAAUGCACUACCACUUACAACUAUAUCUUGGAUGCUUUUUUUUUUGGAAAGUAGUUUCAUGUCCUAAGAAUAUGCAAUGGAUGACAUUUUCUCUAUUAAAUAUGAUGUUUUUAGUUUUAGAGUUCUAGUCACUUGUGACCCUUUGUCUUAUCUUGGGUGCAAUAAUUAAACUUUAACCCACAAUUAAGAUUAUAUGAAACCUUAACAACAAAUUUAAAAAGGCAUAAUUGGAAUAACAAAAUUUCUAGUCACUUGUGACCUUUUGUCUUACCUGGGUACAAUAAUUAAACUUUAACCCACAAUUAAGAUUAAAUGAAGCCUUAACAACAAAUUUAAAAGGGCAUAAUUGGAAUAACAGAAAUUAAUAUCAAAAUAUUGCUUACACUCACACUCCAAAGUAGACUCAUGGUACUUUUUAUACAUUAUCACUUACAACUAUAUCCUGGAUGCUUUUUUUUUUUUUUUGGGGCAGUGGUUUCAUGUCCCGAGAAUAUGCAAUGGAUGACAUCUCUCUAUUAAAUAUGACGUUUUUAGUUUUGGAGUUCUAGUCACUUGUGACCCUUUGUCUUACCUUGGGCACAAUAAUUAAACUUUAACCCAUAAUAAAGAUUAUAUGAAACCUUAACAACAAAUUUAAAAGGGCAUAAUUGAAAUAACAUAAGUUCCAGCCAUUUGUGAUCCUCUGUCUUACCUUGUGUGCAAUAAUUAAACUUUAAUCCACAAUUAAGAUUAAAUGAAGCCUUAAUAACAAAUUUAAAAGGGCAUAAUUGGAAUAACAGAAACUAAGAUCAAAAUACUGUUUAGACUCGCACUCCAAAGUAGACUCAUGGUACUUUUUUGGAGAAUUUUUGAAUUCAAUCUUAAUGAGAUGUCCCCAGCCAUCAUCAAUUUGCAAGUGCAUCUCCCUGGAAAUAAUGUGUGACUUAUUGAAAGAAUGAAAAUCUAAAAACUCUUCUCUAAUGGUUAAUCUUAUUGGAUUGUUAUUCUCAUCUUCUUGGUUCAUUUGCUAUUCACUUUAUGUCAUUUUAUGAAUAGUUUUCAGUUUUUCUUGUUUUGAGGGUUGCUAUAAAUGUACUACCACUUACAACUAUAUCCUGGAUGUUUUUUUUUUGGAAAGUGGUUUCAUGUCCCAAGAAUAUGCAAUGGAUGACAUUUUCUCUAUUAAAUAUGAUGUUUUUAGUUUUGGAAUUCUAGUCACUUGUGACCCUUUGUCUUACCUUGGGUGUAAUAAUUAAACUUUAACCCACAAUUAAGAUUAUAUGAAACAUUAACAACAAUUUUAAAAAGGCAUAAUUGGAAUAACAAAAUUUCUAGUCACUUGUGGCCCUUUGUCUUACCUGGGUACAAUAAUUAAACUUUAACCCACAAUUAAGAUUAAAUGAAGCCUUAACAACAAAUUUAAAAGGGCAUAAUUGGAAUAACAGAAAUUAUGAUCAAAAUACUGCUUACACUCACACUCCAAAGUAGACUCAUGGUACUUUUUAUACACUACCACUUACAACUAUAUCCUAGAUGCUAUUUUUUUUUUGGGCAGUGGUUUCAUGUCCCGAGAAUAUGCAAUGGAUGACAUCUUCUCUAUUAAAUAUGAUGUUUUUAGUUUUGGAGUUCUAGUCACUUGUAACCCUUUGUCUUACCUUAGACACAAUAAUUAAACUUUAACCCAUAAUUAAAUUAUAUGAAGCCUUAACAACAAAUUUAAAAGGGCAUAAUUGAAAUAACAGAAGUUCUAGUCAGUUGUGACCCUUUGUCUUGCCUUAGAUGCAAUAAUUAAACUUUAAUCCACAAUUAAGAUUAAAUGAAGCCUUAAUAACAAAUUUAAAAGGGCAUAAUUGGAAUAACAGAAACUAAGAUCAAAAUACUGCUUACGCUCGCACUCCAAAAUAGACUCAUGGUACUUUUUUGGAGAAUUUUUGAAUUCAAUCUUAAUGCGAUGUCCCCAGCCGUCAUCAAUUUGCAAGUGCAUCUCCCUAGAAAUAAUGUGUGACUUAUUGAAAGAAUCAAAAUCUAAAAAAUCUUCUCCUAUAGUUAAUCUUAUUGGAUUGUUAUUCUCAUCUUCUUGGUUCAUUUGCUAUUUAGUUAUGUCAUUUUAUGAAUAGUUUUCAGUUUUUUCAGUUUUUGUUGUUUUGAGGGUUGCUAUUAAUGCACUACCACUUACAACUAUAUCCUGGAUGCUAUUUUUUUUUUUGGAAAGUGGUUUUAUGUCCCGAGAAUAUGCAAUGGAUGACAUUUUCUCUAUUAAAUAUGAUGUUUUUAGUUUUGGAGUUCUAGUCACUUGUGACCCUUUGUCUUACCUUGGGUGCAAUAAUUAAACUUUAAUCCACAAUUAAGAUUAUAUGAAACCUUAACAACAAAUUAAAAAGGGCAUAAUUGGAAUAACAAAAUUUCUAGUCACUUGUGUCCCUUUGUCUUACCUUGGGUGCAAUAAUUAAACUUUAAUCCACAAUUAAGAUUAUAUGAAACCUUAACAACAAAUUAAAAAGGGCAUAAUUGGAAUACCUAGGUACAAUAAUUAAACUUUAACCCACAAUUAAGAUUAAAUGAAGCUUUAACAACAAAUUUAAAAGGGCAUAAUUAGAAUAACAAAAUUUUUAGUCACUUGUGACCCUUUGUCUUACUUGAGUACAAUAAUUAAAGUAUAUCCUAGAUGCUAUUUUUUUUGGGCAGUGGUUUCAUGUCCCGAGAAUAUGCAAUGGAUGACAUCUUCUCUAUUAAAUAUGAUGUUUUUAGUUUUGGAGUUCUAGUCACUUGUAACCCUUUGUCUUACCUUAGGCACAAUAAUUAAACUUUAACUCAUAAUUAAAUUAUAUGAAGCCUUAACAACAAUUUAAAAGGACACAAUUGAAAUAACAGAAGUUCUAGUCAGUUGUGACCCUUUGUCUUGCCUUGGGUGCAAUAAUUAAACUUUAAUCCACAAUUAAGAUUAAAUGAAGCCUUAAUAACAAAUUUAAAAGGGCAUAAUUGAAAUAACAGAAAUUAAGAUCAAAAUGCUGAUUACACCCGCACUCCAAAGUGGACUCAUUGUACUUUUUAUAUAAUAAUGAUAAUGAUAAUGAUAAUGAUUUAAAUGUGUUAAAGACAUCAAUCCAAGUACCGUAUGCACUAGUUCAAGAGAAUUUUAGGAGACCCAUAUCUAAUUUGAGAGGAGUUUUGGUUAAGUAUCAAACGAAAAGAGCAAAUUAUGAACCUUUGGAUCGUCAAGCAAUUUGAAUUAUUUAGUCUGUUUUGUAUUUUUAGUUUUAAGUGCCUUUUAGCCUUGGAAUUAUAUCCUAGGAUUUCGCACUCUUUCUUUUAUAUUCUUUUUUUGUUAUAAUAAAUUUGUUAUCCUUUUACCCAUAGAUUAAAUUUGCUAUCCCUUUAUUAACUAUAUAGACUAAGGGCGGAAGCCUGGUGUACACGUGGACGUGGUCGUCCUCCGCGUGGCGACUGGGGAUUCGUUUGUUUGCUGCUGGCGUGGAGCGGCUGCGUUGUUUAUUUCCCCCCCCCCGGCUGUUUUCUUCUUUUCUUUUUUUCUUCUUGCUCGGUGGGAGGCUGGCUGAGGUCGUGGGUCACUUCUCUGCCACUUGCUCAGUCUCCUGUGUACCAACUCCACCAAGCUGAAGCUUUUCCUCCUUGUGCGGUAUUCUUUGCAGCUCAAGUUUUACCCUCAAGUUUUACCCUCAACUCAAGUUUCACCUUGUACGACCCGUCUUUCGUUGGCCCUAUUUGCCUGCAUCCGUUAGGUUGGCUCCGUCAGGUGGUCGUUGCAUCUCUCUUCUUCCUUUUUCGUUGCCACUGUUUAGCUCUGUUGUGGCCUUCUGGAGUUGCUGUCUUGAGCUUGCCACGUGCUCCAGCUGCUCCCACUCCCAACUUGCUGUUUGCCUUCCACUCUUGUACGCCUUCCCGCUCCGCUGCCCCGUCUUUCAUUUUGUACUGUUUUCCUGCUCCUCAGUCCUGUCUCCAUCUACUCCAUCCUGCCUCCAUCCUGCAUCCAUCUUCCCCCACUUACUUCUUCACCCACUUCCGCUUUCCCCUCACACAAAACUGUUCCUUUAGCUAUCUUGCACGCCUUCUCCCACCUGCUCUGACCUCUUCCAACCUGACCUAUUAGUUGACUGCCAUCAUGAACCAUGGUGCUUCUCCUCUUGCCUGCUCGUCGAAGGCCGCUAUUUGCCCUUUUGUUCCUGUUUUGGUGUUGUUGCUGCUCCUUGCCAUUGCCCUCUUUGCUGCACCAGGUUAUCUCCGCUGCUCUUUCGUUGCUCAGCUUCCACUCCCCCCCCACCCCCGCCCCGCCGCCGUCCCCCUCCCUCUCCCUCUCCCUCUGUCUCCCCGUGUUGUCCAUUAUAAUUCCGGGCUGCCUCUGCUGCUUACACCCCUUUGCUUGCCAAUAUUUGGGCUCGGUCUUUCCCCCAUACCGUUAAUACCUCCUCCCAGGCCUACGAUUGUCCUCGGAUUGCCGCUGAACAAAACCCCCGUCUUGCCUAGCAUUUUGUUGCCGGCACUGUGUUGUUCCCAGCUUUUGUUCUCUUUUCCCCCUGGACUGCGUUUAGUGCGCUGCUCGUGUGUUCCUUUUUGGUCCCUUUCCUUUCAGUUUAUUCGCAGCUCUUUGUGCUUCUUAUAAUUGCUUCCCUUUUGUUAUGUUCCCUGCUUUCCGCUAUUUUCUUAACCUUUAUGUCGCUUUUGCUUAUGCAGGCCAACUUCGGCUCGCCCCUCUACCGUGUCCUCUCUUAGCCUCCGUUUACUGCUUAAGGUAUUUUGUCUUCUGCUUGCUUUCAUAUCAUGCUGGUGUGCUUUCAUAUUUACUCUUUCAGUUGCCUCGCUCGAUUACAUGCUCUGCUUGUUAACAUAUAUAGUCUAUGUGCGAAUGCCAGGGUUCUCAAUUGAGUUUUAAUUGCUGACUUGGCAUCUCCUUAUUGGUGAAUUGAUGGUAGUUCCCCCGAUCAAUUGAGAUGAUGGAUUCAAUUGAGGACAAAAUUGAGAUUUCGCCUCCUUAUUGGAUGGACAGAGUUGCUGAGAAUUCAUUUACGCCGCUCACCGUGUCUCUUCUUCUUCGAAGCUAUUUUCUCUCUUUCUUCUCUGGUUCCUUCUCCCUUGCUUCUCCUUUAAUUAAACAUUAAACAACAGUGCAAGACAAAUCAGAGGUCAUACAUUGGUCUUCUUCUUGCAGGUUAAAGGGUAUUUUCCUUUCUCUUUCUCUCUUAAUUAGCCUAAUUUUCAUUUUUAAUUUUUUUACAACCUUUCUCUAUACAGCCUUUAUUUUUUCCUUUUAUUAAAGUAGUUAUUUACGAUCUAUUUUGUUGCUAUCGUUUUCUUUUCUAUUGUUUGGAUCUGUAGGUUUCCAUGGUACUGGUUUCAUUUUCUUGCUGAAGUAUUUCUAUCUAUUUUAUGCCUAAUUUCUUCUUUCUUUUUUGCCAUAAUUAUUUUGUUAUUUUGCAGGUUUUUGUCGAAAUUUUCUUUGACUACUCACUUUUCUUGACUGGUUGCAACCAUUAUCAGUAUCACAAGUUUUAUUUUCGGACCUUUAUUUUCUCUUUUAUUUUUUCUCUGAGAUACGUUACAAAUGGCUUGUAGAUCUACUAGAUUUUAUUCUGUUCUCCGGAGGUGUCGUCUGCUCUUUUAUUUUCUUAAAUUUUUUUAGAACUUUAAAAAAAACUCAGUCUCUACGCAUUUGGACCCAUUUGGAAUAUUUCCUUUUUCUUUCUUAUUCUUGAGCAUCUGCUGAGUUGUUACGAGAGAAUAGAUGUUGAAAAAAUUAGUUGAGCCGUAGUGUUUUUGCGCUAUAAACAAUCUUUGAUCUAAUUUAAUCAAUUUUGCUUAAGUUUUUGUCGGUGAAUUAAUCCGGAGAAAGGAAUGAGUAGGAACCUUUUUUUUAACCCCUGGAGUAAGGUAAAUUACUCCAAAUUUAGUGCAUAGUGUCUGGUUAUUUCUUGUUUUGAGUCUUUUCCUGCCAUUGUUGGGAUUUUUUUGGUCUCUUGUUUUUGUAUCCAUGAUGGCUUUAUGUUCAAUUCUGCUUAAUUAGACUGAAACUGCUGUAAUGGCUGGACUAAUUUUAUCAGCGUUGACUUGAAAAUAGUACUUUUCUUGAUAGGACUUAUCAAUAUCUAUCUUAUGAAUCUAAGUUGUACAAACUAACCAAUUGCUUUUUACCUAGGGGCAGUUUUUGCUUAAUACGACUAAUAUAAAUGGUUUUGAUGCUUGUAGGUAGUAAAACAUUUGCCAAAGAAGAAGUCCCAAAUAUUAGAUUUUUUGUACAGGCUAGAAGCGGUAAGUAAAUUGCCAUUUUUCUUAGAAAUACUAAAUUAUGCAUUUAUUCUUGGCUACUUGUUCGUCUUUAUGAAAUCAUUCAACUUUUUGAAAUCAAUUGAAGGAAUAACUGGAAGAUGCUAUUGAUGCUUAGUGUAUGUGUUUUGGUGUUUGUGUGUGUGUGUGUAUUUGAAAUUUCUUUGACUUUGUAUACCAUAAAUUUGGUUUUCCAUCAGAUAACAUGUUCUCUAAGAUUGCAUAUUUAACCAAUCUAAUCAUUUCAAGCCAAAUGACCAAUUUUCUUGUUAUGGGGAGUGUAUUAUAUAAUUUAGAGAUGAUAUGCAGGCACAAAAGUUAUUUGGCAGCAGAUGGACUAAAAUUGCAAGAGUUUAGGCAGUUAAAAAUAGUUGUUAAACACAGAAAAUGAUCUGUUAAUAUUUUUCUUACAUAUUGCAAGAGUAGUCAUAUUUUGUACUUUGUCCUUUAUUAUUAGUUUCAUCGUUGUAUUAUUUUUUAAAAUUAUUUAUAUAUCAUUCCAAUUUUUUUUAAAAUCAGUAGAAUUCUAGAAUCACUGGAACUUGGUUGAGGUCAAAAAGGAGUUGAGUGGUCAUCAAUGUAUCAAAAUUCUCAUGUUUUUGGUGUUUUUGCUUCUUAUUCUCAAAUUCAGUGGUGACAUUGGCUUUAAAAAUUUACAUCUCUUUCUUCUUCUUGAAUAAUGUAUUAAAUUAUGUGAAUAAUGUAUUUUCUGGUUUGACAAGUGCAAAUAUAGCAGAUCAUUUGUUCUCUCUUUUUGAGAACCAUUGACCAUUUUCCAAAAUGGUAACUCUAUAUAAUUGGAAAAUAUUAUUGUUUAUAAUUUUGUUGGUAUGGUCAUUAAGAAACAAACAGUAAAUUAAGGUUUUUAUGCCGACGCUCUUAUAUCUUUUAACAUUCUGUUCCCAGGUAAAACCAUUUUAUGGAUUGCAUUGUAUUGACAUAAAGAGGUAUCGAAGACUGCUACUUUUGCUUAAUGUUGAAUUUUGCAUACAAGUUCCGUGAAGGUAAGAUGCUCUAUCAACUCAGUGUGAAGUCUUGCCGCAAAAGAAAUUUUUUUUUAUUUUGUAUCUGGGUUGGUUUCCCCAUAUAGGGAGGGUGAUAGAACUUUCAAAAUUGAAUUUGAGGUGAGAAAUGGGGCUGGCAAUAGUUGGAAUUUGACGAACUAUUGUUCAGUAUAGCAUUGAUUAGGACCUAGCAUUUUGUUCGAAUAUUAUGGAUUGGGCUGAAAUUUGACUAUAGUUUCACUAUAGCAUUUAUUAGGACCUAGCAUUUUAUUCGAAUAUUAGCAACCAAAAGAAAAUUUUCUUAAAAAUGGUUCAUUUUGGUAUGCAUUCCAGAUUACAUCAGCUCCUUUCUUAAAGUUUGCGUUUCAGAUUACAUCAGCUUGAAAUGUUUAGAGUCGAUUCAUUGUAAGUUGACAACAUAAAAUGGUUCACCUCAUAAGGCCUUCAAUAUUAAAUCUGCAACAUUAUACUUUUAAGUGGUAUACCCUCAUAUAAUCCACGGGAGUUUCAACUUUCUAUUUGACUGGUUGUUUGACAGGUCGUCAGCCUGUGCAAUAAUAAAAACCUGCUCAGCUAAACUUAAUUUCUGUAGAUAGUGGUAAGCAGGGUCGAAUCCACAGGGACUGGGAGUAAUUAUUUCUUUUCAAGUUCACAGUGACAAAGGGGGGUGUUUUUAUCUCAGGGGUAACAAUUUAAGCAAUCCAACUAAAAGUAAAAUAAUAAAAAUAAAAUAGCCAACUAGAAAUUAAAUAACAAUUUACUAAAAUCAAAUGAAUGAUAAUUAAGGAUCUAGCCAAGGAAUAACUUCAGCAAUGGUUCACCUAGUUGAUCAUUGAAGCAAAGGCAAUUCCAAUUAUUCAUCAAUAAAUAGGUUAUAACUACCAAACAAGCGAUGGCAGUCAACCCCUCCUUACUGUGUCGGUGAUCAAGGUACGUCCGUUAAUCACUGCUCUAAUUGAGAAAUAAUCCUAGGUACGCCCAUAGAAUUUAAUUCCCCAAUUGCCUUACGUAUUAGAGGAGCCCUAUUCUAACCAAAUAACGCACUACCAGGGUUAUUUUAGAUUAGCCCGCGUAUUCCCCUGACACAAACCUAAUCAUGCCAGUUGCCACUAUUUUAGAGCAAUUAAACAAUUACGGAUUUAAUGCCCUAAUUGACAAUAGAUUAUCCAAUUAACUAAUUAUCUGGAUCCAAGACAAUCAAUUAAUUAAAUAACCAUAAGCAUAGCAACCAAGAAAUAUGCGGAUACCAAUAAAUAAAAGGAAAAGAUUAAAUUAAAACGAUCUCACAAUUUUUAGGCAAACCAGAGCCUCAGUUGUCCCUUGACUAGACAAAGGGGUUUAGCUCAUUGCUGAUGAGGAAAACCCAUGUAAAAUCAAAGCAUCAGUCGCGGCCAUAGUAUAGAAAUUUAGGAAACUUCAAUUCAAUCGAAGGAAUAAAGCAAAGUAAGGUUACAAAGGAUGAUUUUGUCUUCAAUGCUCCUGACUCACGUAGGAGGUAGCCACAAAAGAUUCCAAGGAAAAGUCAAAAGCUUUCCACUACAAGACGAAGGAGACCAAACGGUCAAAGGAAAAGCUAAACUAUAAAAAUGGAAAAAACUAAGAGGGAAGCCAGCUCCCUACUGUGCGGCGGCUCCCCCAGGGGGAGGAAGAAGACUCCCACUUCAGCCCUUCGUUCCUCCUUUUAAUGCUGCGCUCUGCGAAUUACCAAAAAGGCCUUGUAUCUUCUUGUUCCAAAAAUGUCCUGAAUGCCUGCUACUUGAACUCUUUCCUGAUAACUGUCAAAUCGGCACUUAUUAUGGUAUUUUCGUUCUACUCCCUGAAAUAUAUGUAAAAUACUAAAAGUGAGUAGAAUCCAGCAAUUAAUUCACAUCGGGUCAGGUAAUAGGGAAAAUUAAUAAUAAAAUAAAUGAUAAAAUUACAACCUAUCAUUGUUUAAACAGUUAACGUCAACUUUGUUAGGGGAUUACAUUUUUAUCUUUUAUUAGAAAUAUGUUUUAAUUUGAGUUUUUGAAUUUCAAGUCAUCACAUACCCUUGUUCUUUCUUAUAAAAUGAUGAAAACCAGUUAGAUGACUCCAGUGUACUUGUUUUACAAUAUUGUCACAUUUUUCAAAUUUUCAAAUCGCUCCUAAGAUUCUUUUCAUUGAUCUUGUUUUAAAUAAUCACUUGUGAUAUGGUACUUCUGACAGAAUUACGGGCUGAAUUUCUAGGAUGAAGAGUGCGAAAGUUGAUUAACUACUUGAGAUGACUGCUUUUUCGCUUUUCUCCUAUACUGUCAUGAUCAAGACGCAAGAUAAUAUCUUUCCAACCACGAUCAGUGUGCAUUUGACAGUUUGAAUUUCUUUUUUUUUCUUAAUUCUUGCCUCGGUGAUGAUUAGUAAUCAUCCAAAAUUAUUUAUGUAUAAAUAUAUUUAUGGGAACAUCAACGAUUGUCUAGGGAUCAACUGGCCUCUUUACUUAUUCGAUAAUUCCUUUCUCAUAUUUUUUUUUCUAUGAUAGCGUUAUUGCGUUCAACUGAAUUGUGUUUUUCUUCAAUUAGGAAGUGUUUGGCUUCAACAAUUUAUCACAGUAUUAGAUGACAGCAUCCUUAAUUUUGUACAAUGCAAAGCUAUGGUUCCAACCUACCUUUUGUAAAUUUAUGGUUGAUUUUGAUACACAUACAAAGCUGUGGCUAUAAAGCACGUGCUCCGUCUCAUACCAUUGCAUCUUCUCAAACAACUACAGGUCUCUCUAGACAUCCACAAAUCACACUAUUUUUAUCUUUAAGAGUCAUGGUCAUAUGAGUUCUAUAUCUCAAGAUAUAGCUAUGUUAUUGGGAGAGCUCCCGAUAUUAAGGAUUCAACUCUAUUGAACAUAUUACACUACUAAUCAUCACCACUUUCAUGCCUACUAAUCAUCACUGCUUUUCCGUAUUGCACUAUUAAAUACAUUACAUUACUCAUUUUCCAAUCUUCUUAUUACUUUUCCUCAAAUUUUAAUUAUCAAUAUACUUAUUCAAAACAUAAUCCUGAAUUCAUCUUUAUUAUUUUAAUUCAUCAGGAUUACAAUAUUUCAAAAAUAUAUCGGACAUUAGUGGGCAUAAUUCCAUUCAUCCACCGCGCGAUGCGCGGUGAUCUCCUCCUAGUACCUAGAUAUAGGUCAAUUCGACUGAACCAUGUGCUUUAUUUGCUAUAUUAUUAUUUUUAUUGGGUUGCCAAAAAUCCUCUUACUUUUAUUGGUCAAUUGCUUGGAAUCAGACCCGACAAAUUCUGCAUGGAGUCUCGGGAAAAGGUACUUGCUUAUAAAUACUCUUGGUAGAUCAACUUGCGUUUCCUUUAUGUGAUUUUAUUCCCAUCACAAGACCUUUUGACCAGGAAUACCAAUAGUGUUUUCAGACCUGGAUUAUCUGACUAACUGGAUCUAAAAGAUGGAUCAAAACGACUUUCACACUCUUAGGUUCACAUUGCUCAAGUAAUGAUUUUAUUCUAAUAACUAAUUGAAACACAAAAUCAUUGCCAGCUAGACGUAACCAUGAUACACAAACAAGAAUAUGAUACUGCGCACCACUCUGUGGUUCAACUCAAUGGAAUCAAACAAUUCUGUAUUUGGUUUUUGGUGCUCGAAGUUCGGUCAGCCAAAAAAACCAGUCAUGUGAAAAGCAUAUGAUUUCGUGAACUGACCAAAUUACCAAUCUCUUGCUAUUUAUAAUCUCACCACGAAAGUUUUGAACCAUAACAAAAUAGUCAAUAUGAGCUCUCGAUAAUGUGCAUAUUAUGAGAACAUUAACAAAUUAACAGGUUCAUUAAUAAUUUUUCAUAUUCUUAGUAAGUAUUAUAAGGAGCCAAUAAAAAUCAAAGGUUAUAAUGAGCAAGUUGUUGAAACUAUUUAGACAAAAAAAAGUGUCAAAGAUAAACAAAUGAAAAUAGAGUCCUACUAAUUUUUAGCACUUCCCGAAAGAUAAUAAACAGCAUGCACUGGUUCAAUUUUCUAUGACCUGCUGACGCUAUAUAAGUCCAGGUUUUUUGGGUCAAUAAUUCAGCUACAAAAUUAUUCCUUAUGAAUAAAUAAUAUAUCUAGUUGUGAGUAUAUAUACUAGCAACAACGGAGGAAAUUUCCACAUCAUAAGAGUUUUAAGAAAAGGUCCCAAAUAGUCAAGGUUUUGGAAAAAAAAUUCAAUAAAUGUGAUUUCUAAACGAUACAGUCAUACGUUAUUUAAGUAAUAUCUACCUAUAUAAAUUGUAAAAAAAAAUUUAUAAAUGCAUCAUGUGAUAAAAAAAAAAGAUUGCAUUUCACUAAAUGCGCUUUCCACAGUUUGAGAAAAAGUUUAAAAAAAAAUAUUACCCUUUGAAAAUUUUUCUUAAAAUGUCUCACUUUUUUGGAAUUCAAAAUCCAGAAAGAGUUGAGCACUUGAUUAAACGUGUAUACUGUUGUAGCCUAAUUGGCUUGUCAAACAUUCUGACUGAAAAUAAGGAAAUAUAAAUGUUCUAGCAGAGGAAUUCAUUACUUUUUCACCUGUGAAAUUGUGAAAUUUCUUAUACUUUCCCUUUUUUUUUUCUGGGCAAAACUGUGAAAGUAAACUGUGAAAAGAAGCGCAAGUUGCUCGACAAAAGCGAAAACUUUAGCGAAUAAAAGUAGGAUUGAUUGACUUUUCACAUCUCAAAACAGAACCGGUGGAGUCCACAUAUUAAGAUGAAAUAAUGCCAGUGAGGAGCCCAAUAAUUCAGUAGCCCUCCACUGCUUCUGCAAUAGAAAGGAUAAAUAACUAUAUCCAGCCAAGAAUAGGUAUAAAGAAAGAUUUAUAUCAGCCAGAUGUGAAAUACUUUAUAUAUUUGCAACAAAUCUGCAAAGAAAAGGCCAAAUUAGCCCACCAGGUCCAGCACCAGCCCUCCCAACUGGGCAAUGACAGACCCUCUUUACCAGCCCUCCCAAUUGGACUGUGCACAAAUUCUCUCGACAACCUCGAUCUAACUUCUUCUGAGCUCCGAGCUUUCUAGUUUCUGAAAGAGAGAUAUGUACAACUUUUUUCAUCAUUCCUAGCCAUAUUCAUUGACUUACUUCAUCUCUAAAUUUAACUCAUCUUCCUUUCGUUAAAUGGCCUCCAGUUGUCUUACUUGCAUUUCAGCCAUCUUGGAUGAUCUGCAGUUGCUGGAGGAUCUGUGUCCUAAAACUCGAGUUUGGGAGGACGAGUUCACUGACUUGAGGACAGCAAAAAUAUUUCUAGGAACUUUCAGACCAUUUCUUCUAUCUGUGAGAAAGUGGGGCGAUGAUGAUGAUGCAAAUCUAGGAGCACUGGUUGCUAGGAUGAAAGAUUUCAUUUCCAAACUGGGGCAGGCGAUUCACGAGUUCUAUCUUACUAGUGUGGAAGAAGGAUAUCGUAUGGACCUUGCUAUAUAUUUCCUCGAUGGUCUAGAAGAAGAAGCGUCAUCUCUCGUAGAAGAAAUCGAGGAUUUAGACAGCUCAUCAAGGUUGUCUAGCAAGUCCCUGGUAAAGAAAGAUGACCUAAUGGAUGUCAUGAACUCUCUUCUGGAGAGCCUCCGGAACAUCGGCUUAAUAGAUGUCUUAGAAGAUGAUGAGAAGCUAACAUUCUGGAAAAACUUCAUCUGUUUUGUUACACUUCAUGGCAUCGAUGAUGGGCAAUUGGGACCUUUACUGACACACACCAAAUCUGUCGCUGUCAACGCAGCACUCAACUAUCUCAAGUGGAGCCUUUGCAAAUUCACGUUAAAAGGCGAUCCUGUUUGGAACCUGCUGCCGAAGAUCAUUCCUGUAGAACCUGAAGUGCAUAGGACUUGUUUCCAGGCCCUGAUUGCUUCAAAGAAAUCAAGACAACAAUACGAGAAAAAUGAUGAGCACAUAUUCAGAGUCUUCAUCGAUUCUCUCCUAAUCUAUCUUUGGGAGAUACUAAAGACUGGAGCUUGUGUUAUGAUGUCUUUGAAGGAUCGAUUGAAAAUGGUUUAUGAUGGGUUGAGGUCCUUGAGAAUCAUUCUCAAGGGGAACCCCGACGUGUUUGAUCAGAAAAUGAGAGAUCUUACUGGACUCCUCCUCUGUGAUUCAGGACUUGUUAUUUUUUCCCUUUCUCUCAACGAAAUUAAAGAUGGAUCAGUCAAGGAAAUGGAUCUGGAGUCUUUUCAUGAUUUCCUGAAAAGGAUAAAGCUUAUCAAGGCAAUAGUUGCAGAGAUAUAUCCAGAAACAUCACCAUCAUCCAAGUUUCCCAGGACUAAUGAGUUGGGAUUUAUCGAUUUUCUUCUAAAAUAUAUCGGAGAUUUGACAAAUCCUGAUGCUCGUUCAGUUGCUCUUUCAAACUAUCCAAUUCAAGCAAUCCAAGAAGAACUUGUUUACUUGCGCUCCUUCUUGGGAAGAAUUGUGGAAUUGCGCAAUGAAGAUCAGGAGCUUCAAGCACUUUGGGAUCGUGUUGUUGAGGUGGCAUACAAGAUAGAAUUUCUUAUCGACUCCUUGUUGGUUGGAGACAUUCUAGAUUCUUCUUCAACCUCAUUUGAUUCCGUUGAAGAAGAAAUUAAGAUUAUCAAAGCUGCGGCCUUGAACAUUUUUGAUAAAAAAACACUUGAUCUCAAUGUUAAGGAAGCUACCAAGAGACCAAAUAACAUGCCAUCACAGGGAAGCAUGCCAAUAAUCAAUGACAUGAUCGUGGGAUUGGAGGAUGAGGCAACCUCAAUAAUCAAUCGACUCACAAGAGGAUCCUCCCUUCUGCAAAUUGUCCCCAUUGUAGGUAUGCCAGGACUUGGCAAGACAACUUUAGCUAAAAAAGUUUACAAUAAUUCUUUAGUUACGUCGCAUUUUUAUAGACAUGCUUGGUGUACUGUCUCUCAAGUGUAUCACAGAAAAAAUCUGUUACUUGAAAUUUUGACUUGUAUUCACUCCAAACUUCCUGAGAAAUUUUCUGAGAUGUGUGAAGAAGAUUUGGCUGCAGAAGUCAGAAGAGGUCUGCUAAGGACUAGAUAUCUCAUUGUUUUGGAUGAUAUAUGGGACGCUGAAGCAUGGAAGGGAUUGGAAGCAUCAUUCCCUGACAAUCAAAACGGCAGUAGAGUGAUCGUGACAAGUCGAAAGUCUGAUAUUGCUACUUUGAGAGAUGAACUUGAUGAAGGGCCUCAUUUCCUCCGUCCGCUGACUCCUGAUGAGAGCCGGGACUUGCUAAACAUGAAGUUAUUUCCUGGAAAUGAUUUGCCUCCGCCAGAAUUAUGCGAACUGCAAAUGAAAAUCGUGGAAAUGUGUCGAGGACUGCCACUUACAAUCGUCAUUGUAGCUGGAAUUCUGGCAAAUGAGAACCAACGUCGUCGGAAAGAACUUGUGGACGGUUUAAGUUCAAGAAUCGUCUCUAGUACAGAACAAUGCUCUGCUGCAAUAGAGUUGAGUUACAAGAACCUACCAGAAAAUUUGAAGCCAUGCUUUCUAUACUUCGGAGCAUUUCCAGAAGACCAUGAACACACUGCUGAGAAGUUGAUUUGGUUAUGGGGCGCUGAAGGAUUUACCCAGAAAACUCAGUUCAAGAGUGCAGAGGAUGUGGCAAAUGAUUUCUUAAUGGAUCUUAUCCACAGAAGCUUGGUCAUUGUUUCCAAGAAAAGAUCCAUUGGCGGUGUCAAAGCUUGUCGCGUUCAUGAUUUGCUACAUGAGUUUUGUGUGACAAAAGGCAAAGAAGAAAAUUUUCUGCAGCUGGUGCGUGGGUAUGAUGAGAUAUAUACUUUCAGAGUGCCACGCAACCUACGCCGCCUAUGUAUCAACUCUAACCCAGAGCACUUUUGCAAGUCCAGGUUAUUUGCUCCCACAAUCCAUUCUCUAAUACACUCCGGUCGAGGUAAAAGGCACCGACGUUGUGGAUCAUCCAUUUUUGGUAUCUUCAAACUUGUUAGAGUGUUAGAAUUGAGCAACAUAAAUGUAGGUACUACUUUUCCUAGAGAACUAGAAUUACUGGUUCAAUUGAGGUACUUGGCAAUUCUAGGACAUAUGAGCUCAAUUCCAUCUUCUAUAGCCAAUCUCUUGCAUUUGGAGACUUUCAUUGUGGAAACAUUUGAUCGGACUGUUUUACUACCUGAUACUGUAUGGAAUCUGAAGAAGCUAAGGCACUUACAAAUAAAGGACAACUACAGUGUUAGUUCAUUUUUUUUACCCACAGACAAUCUUGACACAGCUGCAAUCUUGACAAUCUUGACAUACCUUCUCCGGUUUAUCUCUUUCUUCUUGGGCAAUCGUCCGCAAGGUAUUCAUUAAAAUUCCUAAUAUCCACAAGCUGAAAUGCAUUCUCGUUGCGGGUAGUGAACAUAAUUGGGUGUCAGCAGACAACAUUCUAGUACUUGACUUUCUAAGUGGCCUAGAAUCACUGAAUCUGAUGUUCAAUCAUUAUGCACGUCCUCCAAAUCCAUGCUAGUUUGAGUUUCAAUUCCCUUUGGCAAUUAGAAAGUUGACUCUAUCCAAUUUUCGUUUCCCUUGGAGCAAAAUUUCAGCGAUCGAAAAUCUUCCCAAUCUGGAGGUUCUCAAAUUACUUGAUCGAGCCUUCAAGGGGGAAAUAUGGAACAUGGAAAAAGAGGGCUUCCCUAAAGUAAGAUUCCUGAAAAUAGAUGACUUGGAUGUUGGCAAGUGGACUGCCUACGAGGGCGUGGACUGUUUUCCAAGUCUACAGAAACUAGCAUUGAUAAGCUGUCGCUCUUUAAAGGAGAUCCCUUCUUGUUUGGGGAGUUCGACUCUUGAAAUUAUUGAGGUGUCUCAUUGUCCCUUCUCUGCAAGUUUUAUAGAGCCACUUCAGGAAGAACAAAUGGACUUAGGAAAUACUGAUCUGAAGAUCCUUAUUUCAUAAGGUGGACUACUAAUCUUCUCAAGUAUCUUUGGUUUGGGCAGCCACUUUUACUCCUUUUACCUGUUUUUUUUUUCCUAGUCCUUUACUUCUGUACUGCUACUGGCUUUGCUGUAUCAGUGUAGCAUCAAGAUCAGUUAAUUAGGUUGCUUUAAUGUUUCCUAUCCUGUCUCAAGCUGUGUGGUGGAAUCAUUCCCAGGAAUCGUGUUGUUUUUGAAGAUUGAAAUGAAUGAAGCAGCUAUCUUUUUUCCCCCCUAAGAUUUUAGUUAUGGUUCCAAGAGUGUUUCACGCAUUCUGUAAGUUAAUACUACUGCUUAGCUACAUAAUGUUACAAAUUUAUUGCCUUUCCACGCCAUUAGUAAUUUGUUUCGAAUGCCAAGUCAUCAAAUCAGGAUAAGAAGAAUCACUAAUGUUGUCUAGCACCCUAGCCCAAAGGCCAAUAACUUUUAUUUGCUUUGUUAUUGUUUUUAUUGAAUUACUAAGAACCCUAUUGUUCUUGUUGGUCACUUUUCUGAAAUUAGACCUAACAAACUAGUAUUAGAGUUUCAGAUUUUGGGUGCGGCAAUGAUGACGAUAAUAGACUAUCAAUAUCAAUUCCGAAACAUUAAUUUAAAGCUAUAGAGAGUAAAGAAAAAUCUCGCGUUGGAGUUCAGUUGAGUUUUGAAGAGAGUUAUUUGACCCAUUGAAACCCACUGAGGAUUUUAUGAAAAAAGUGGAGCAAGAUUACUACGUUCGAUAUUUUAACUCAUUGUGAUCUAUUGAACCUUUUGUAAAUUUUGACCCAUUGGGACCGGUUGAACUUUUUACAUCUUGGCUCGUUGGUGGGUCUUUGAGGUCUGUUAGCACUUUUGUGGUUCAUUGGGAUUCGUUAGGACUUUAUGGAGAUGGUGAAACAUGUUUGCUAUUUAUCGAUAUGAGAUACACACCAAGAUAGAGAUUUGUUGAGUUUGUUAUUGUAUCCCACAUGGAAAGUUUUAUAAAUAAAUCUCUCUUUUUAGUGAUUAUAAAUACAAUGGAUUUAAGUGAAUUUAAAUAUGUUAAGGGCAGCUGUGCAAGUGUCUUAUGCACUAAUCCAAAAGAGUUUUAGGAAACCGACACUCCAAUCUAAGAGGAGUUUUGGUUAGGUAUCAAACCAAGAGAGUAAAUUAUAAAUCUUUUGGACCCGUCAAGCAUUUUGUAUUAUUUAGUCUCUUUUAUGUUUCUGGACUGUUAAGCAUUUUAUAUUAUUUAGUCUCUUCUUUAUUUUCAAUUUUAGGUGACUUUUAACCUUGGAAUUAUUUCCUAUGAUUUCGUAUUUUCUUUUUUAUACUCUCUUUUAUUAUAAUAAAUCUGCUACUCUUUCGUCCGUGAAUUAAAUCUGCUGUCCCUUUACCCGUGAAUUUAAGUCAAUUCGACCAAACCACGCGUUUUAUUUGUCUUAUUAUUAUCUUUAUUGAAUUUUCAAGAAUUCUUUCAUUUUCAUUGGUCAAUUUCUUGGAACCAAACCUAACAAAUUCUGCUUGGUGUCUUGGAACCAAAACACCAAAACUUGCUUUUCUUUUUUGUGCACUUGCUUAUAAAUACUCUUUGGUAGAUCAACUCGCGUUUCUUUUUUGUACUUUUAUUCCCAUCGCAAGAACUUUUGACCAGGAAUACCAGAAGUGUUUUCCGACCAGGAUCAUCUAACUGACUGACUAACUGGAUCUAAAAGAUGGACCAAAACGACUUUCACAGUCUUAGGUUCACACUGCUCGCGUCAUGAUUUUAUUCUAAUAACUAAUUGAAACACAAAAUCAUUGCCAGCCAGACGUAACCAUGAUACACAAACAAGACUAUGAUACUGCGCACUACUCUGUGGGUUCAAUUCAAUAGUGCUCGAAGUUCGGUCAGCCAAAAAAACCAAGUCAUGUGAAAAGCAUAUGAUUUCGUGAACUGACCAAAUUACCAAUCUCUUGCUAUUUAUAUAAUCUCACCAUGAAAGUUUUGAACGACAAUAAAAUAGUCAAUAUAUAUGAGCUCUCGACAAUGUGCAUAGUAUGAAAACAUUAACAAAUUAACCUGCUGACUCUAUAUAAGAUCAGCUUUUUGGGUCAAUAAUUCAGCUACAAAAUUAUUCCUUAUGAAUAAAUAAUAUAUCUACUUGUGAGUAUAUAUACUCGCAACUAUGGAGGAAAUUUCCAAAUCAUGAGAGUUUUAAGAAAGGGUCCCAAAUAGUCAAGGUUUUGAAAAAAAAAUUCAAUAAAUAUGAUUUCUAAACGAUGCAUUCGUACGUUAUUUAAGUAAUAUCUGCGUACCUAUACAAAUAGUAAAAAAUUUUUAUAAAUGCAUCAUGUGAAAGAAAAAAAAAUGGAUUUCACUUAUUGCGCUUUUCACAAUUUGAGAAAAAGUUAAAAAGAAUAUUACCCUUUGAAAAUUUUUCUUAAAAUGUCGCACUUUUGGGAAUUCAAUAUCCAGAAAGAGUUGAGCACUUGAUUAAACGUGUAAUUGUUGUAGCCUAAUAAGCUCGUCAAACAUUACUGACUGAAAAUAAGGAAAUAUAAAUAUUCAUUACUUUUUCACCUGUGAAAUUUCUUAUACUUUCGUUUUUUUUUUGGGGUAAAACAGUGAAAGAAAGCUUGGGAGCAAGUUGCUCGACAAAAGCGAAAACUUUAGCGAAUAAAAGUAGGAUUGAUUGACUUUUCACAUCUCUCAAAACAGAAUCGGUGGAGUCCCAGUUGUACAGCCAGUUGCAACAAAGUUUCUGCAAAGAAAACGCCAAAUUAUCCCCCCCAGGUCCAGCACCAGCCUUCCCAACUGGGCAAUGACAGACCCUCUUUACCAGCUCUCCCAAUUGGACUGUCACAAAUUCUCUCGAUCUAACUACUUCUGAGCUCAGAGCUUUCCUAGUUUCUGAAAGAGAGAUCUGUACAACUUUUUUCAUCAUUCCUAGCUGCAGAGGCCCCGUUCUGGGCCCGGACACGUGGCAGCCCAGGAAUAGCCGAGCUGGGCCUUGGCCCUCAGACCCCUGGCAGCAGCCCUGGGCUGCACCGACUAGGGCUCCCAGAGGAGGCGAGGGUCCAUCCCGAAGAGGUCGGGGAUAAUCCCCCUGAGUGCGGGAUACCGACUAUUCCGGGCAAGUCCCGAAACGUACGGAGGUCGGGCUCCCCCACAGGUAUAAAUAAUAGCAGACAUCAACUGUACAAGGUACGCUCACUAUUGGCAAUUCACCCCCGACCGUCAAUACCUCCCGUGAACCCAUACUCACCGGAAAAUUAACUUGACCGUCGGAGUGCCCUCGGGGACUACCCUCGGGCCCCCUUUGUGAGAUCACCUUUGUUUGUUUUGCAGGCUUAGGAUCAGCUCUUCCAUCAGCACCCCGAGAUCAUCAGUUCAGCUCGGUCCGGGGAAGUUCCGUGCUUCUUCAGUUGGCGCCGUCUGUGGGAACCGUAAGGUAAGUGAGAUUGUGUUGAUGGCCAGGACGCGAUCCAAGCGCACGGUAGAGAGCACCGGCCCUGGGGGCGGUGAGGGGUCCCAGCGAAAGGAGGCUGAGGCGUCUCGGGGCGCCGGGGGAUCAGCCCUUUCAGGGGACCGGAGGCAGCAGAUCUUUCAGUUCGUGACAGAGAAUCUCCCCAUGCUGGAAGAUAUAAUCCGACAGGCGAAGGAGGGAGAUGGGGCUAGGGGUGCGCAGGCCUCCAAGGCCAAGGGGAAGGAGAAGGAGUCACCCCCUGACCCUUCGGAGGAGGAGUCACGAGACCAGCCCCCUAGGAGGAAACGACCUCGGACUCCACCUCGCCCGCGAGCCUCGGAGGUCGGAGACAGCGAGAGGUAUUCUCGCGGCCGGUCCGCGAGGAGCCGUCCCAGAGACUCCUCCCCACGGAAGUCCACAAGGAAUGGGUUCGAGCGUUCCCCUGCUCGGUCCGUCAAGGGCCGACCCCGCGACCCCCUUUAUCUGGAACCUGCCCGGGAUGAGCUCGAGCAGAUCUUGAGGCCACGGCCGUACGAGGACAACUACGCAACCUCGCCCUUUACCCGGGGGAUAGAGGACUACCCGCUAUCCCGGAGGUUUAAGAUUCCGAGCAUCGAGAUGUACGAUGCCUCUACAGACCCGGAAGACCACCUUUCGGUCUUCCUGACACAUAUGCGUCUGCAAACCGCCGCGGACGAAAUCCGCUGCAAAACUUUCCCUAUGUUCCUGAAGGGGAAAGCUUGGCUCUGGUUCCAAGGCCUGAAGCCGGGGUCUAUACGGAGUUUUCCCGAGCUGGCUCCGCAGUUUGCAGCUCAGUUCGUCUCCUCGAAGGUUUACGCGAGAAACGCAACCCACCUGAUGUCCAUCAGACAAAGGCCUGACAAGUCGCUGAGGAACUUCAUGACCCGCUUCAAUGCGGAGAGCUUGCAGGUCAAGGACAAAGACGAAAAGGUGGUAAUGGCCGCCUUCACAAACGGGCUCCGGGUAGAAGAGCUCUUCUACGAUCUGGCCAAGAAGCCUCCCGUAAGCCUGGAGGAGCUCCUACGCAGGGCGCACGAGGCCGCUAAUGCGGAGGAGGCAGGUCGCCUGAAGAAAGAAUCAGAUCGGGAGCUCGGAGAUCGGAAGGGUCGGACAAACCCUCCAGAGGGCAAGGACGCCCCGGCCAAGAAAAAUGUCUUCGACUGGCUCUCGAAGGAGAAGGCCCCUGCUCCGCUGCCUCUCCCAAAGAAGACCUACACCCCUCUGACACGGCCCAGAGCACAGAUCUUGGCUGUUAUGGAGGCGGAAGGGCUGGGAGAUCGGCCGCCCAAGAUGGGAACGCCCCGGAACAAGAGGAACCAGGACUAGUACUACGCCUUUCACCGCGACGUCGGACACAACACGGAGGGAUGUUGGGCCCUGCGUAAGGAGAUCGAGGACCUGAUCCAGCGAGCCUUUCUAGGGCGGUUCGUACGCCGACCAGGUGGGGAGCCCGGGCGCAACCACUACGGAGAUAGGAACGGGGGACAGCGUCGCGACCGCCCAGAGCGGCGUGACUCUCCUCGGAACCACUCCCCCGACCUGGACGGCCAGAACCUAGCGGGGGUGAUAAACACCAUCGCUGGGGGCCCCACGGGCGGAGACAGUCACACAGCUCGGAAGAACAAGCGACCUCCCCCCGAGGGGGACGACUCCUUGAAGCGUUUGCGCAUGGAUGAGGAGAUCACCUUUGGGCCGAGGGAUGCGGUCCCCCUAGCAUCCGGGAACCACGAGGCCAUAGUGAUAGACGUGGUCACCAACAAUUUCCGGGUGAAAAAAGUGUAUGUCGACCAGGGUAGCGCGGUCGACAUUAUGUUCUAUCGGGUGUUCAAGGAGCUCGGGUUGAAGGACGACCAGUUGACCCCGGUCCGAACGCCACUGGUGGGCUUCACCGGACCACCCAUUCAUCCGGAGGGAAUGAUCUCCCUGAUGGUCACGGUAGGGCAGGCCCCCAAAUGCCGGACUAUCCCUGUCAAUUUCGUGGUGGUCAGGCAGCGAUCUUCGUACAACAUGUUUCUGGGUCGGCCAGCUCUGAACGCCCUCCGAGCUAUCCCAUCCACCCUCCACCUGAGUGUUAAGUUCCCCACUCCAGGAGGGAUAGCCGAGGUGCACGGUGAUCCAGAAGUGGCCAGAGCUUGCUACUUGGCCACGCUCCGUGGGCAGGAGAAAGUGGUCGCCCAGACGACCUGUUUGGAGCCCUACAUCCCGGGGGACGAGGCCCAGCAGGUGGGCACGCAGGACGAGAUUGAAAAAUUUCCCUUGAGGGAAGACCGACCAGACCAGGUGAUCCGCAUGGGCGCGCUGCUGCCCCCCGAGGAGAAGGAAAGCUUGAAAGCCCUGUUGAGGAAGUACUCCCAGGUCUUCGCAUGGACGAAGGAGGACAUGCCCGGGAUUCCAACGGACCUGGCAGUCCACCACCUCGAUGUGGAUCCUCACUUCAAGCCGGUGAAGAAGAAGAAAAGGAGUUUCGCCCCCGAGAGGAAUGAGGUAAUCAAAGCGGAGGUCGGCAAGUUGCUGGAAUCCAAGAUCAUCCUGGAGGUCUACUACCCGACCUGGUUGGCCAAUCCCAUCCUGGUCAAGAAGGAGGACCAGACCUGGAGGAUGUGCGUAGACUUCACGGACCUUAACAAAGCUUGCCCGAAGGACUGUUUUCCCCUGCCAAGGAUCGACAGGUUAGUAGACUCUACUGUGGGUUUUGACGUUUUAUGCUUUCUGGAUGCCUUCAAGGGAUACCACCAGAUAGAGAUGGCUGAAGAGGAUCGAAAUAAGACCUCCUUCAUCACCGAGGAGGGAACCUACUGCUACAGGACCAUGCCGUUCGGGUUGAAGAACGCGGGAGCUACGUACCAGCGCCUGGUCAACAAACUAUUCCAAAACCAGAUCGACAGAAACAUGGAGGUCUAUGUGGACGACAUGAUCGUCAAAAGCCGAACUGACCAGCGGCUCAUACCCGACCUAAGGGAGAUCCUGGAUAUCCUACAGGAGAGCCGGAUGCGCUUAAAUCCGAAGAAGUGCACCUUUGGGGUCAGGUCGGGAAGGUUUCUCGGUUUCCUGGUGUCCCGAGAGGGGAUCCGGGCCAACCCGGAUAAACUCCAGGCCAUCAUGGACAUGGCCCCUCCGAGGAACGUGAAGGAAGUCCAACGGCUCACCGGGAGGAUGGCCGCCCUGAAUAGGUUCCUCUCGCGCUCCGCGGUCCGGGGGCUGCCCUUCUUCCGAGUCUUGAAAGCGCCUAAGGAUUUCCACUGGACAGAGGAGUGCCAGAAAGCCUUCACCGACCUGAAGGCCUAUCUGGCCGAGCUGCCUACUUUGACCGCCCCGGAGCUAGGAGAGACUCUGUUCCUUUACCUAUCCGCCUGCGACGAGGCCGUCAACGCAGUCUUGGUGCGGGAGGACGGGGGGGUUCAGAGGCCUGUGUACUACGUCAGCCGCGCUCUACAAGGGCCAGAGACGAGGUACACGACGGCGGAGAAGCUGGUCCUUGCCUUGGUACACGCUGCUCGCAAGCUCCGCCCCUACUUCCAGGCCCACAGCAUUGUAAUCCUGACUGACCAGCCCCUGCGUCAGAUACUCACCAAACCGAAGUCUCGGGCAGGAUGACCAAGUUGGCCGUCGAGCUAGCAGAGCACGACAUCGGCUAUCAGCCUCGCAAGGCCAUCAAGGCCCAGGCCUUGGCAGACUUCCUUGCUGAGGGGGCUAGCUUGAGCUUAACCGAGCUGAGCCCCCUGCGCGAGGAGGCACAGCCGAAGGAGCCCUGGGUAUUGUUCGUAGACGGGGCCUCCAGCAAGGACGGAAGCGGGGCAGGACUGCUACUCAUUUCACCUACCGGGGAAGAGCUGACCUACGCCCUCCGAUUGGACUUCCCCACGUCCAACAACGAGGCCGAGUACGAGACCCUGCUCACAGGAUUGCGGAUAGCCCACCAGAUGGGAAUAACCGCGAUUCAGGUCAGGAGCGACUCACAGCUCGUCGUCCUUCAAGUCCUCGGGGAGUACGAAGCCAAGGACGAGGUUAUGAAGAAAUACCUGGCUAAGGUACGGGAGGCAGUGGCCUUGUUCGGAACAUUUGAAAUCGAGCGGGUGCUGAGGUCCCAGAACAAGCGUGCAGAUGCUCUUUCAAAGUUGGCGUCCUCCUCAUUUGCACAUCUGAGCAAGGAAGUCUUGGUAGAGGUGGUAAAACAGAAAAGUAUCGACCAGGUCCAGGUCCUGGUUAUAGACGGCUCGACCACCUGGAUGACACCCCUCAUUGACUUCCUCAGCUCGGGUACCCUCCCCGAGAGCAAAACCGAGGCCCGCCGAAUCCAGCUCAGAGCUGCCAAAUACGCCUACGCUGGGGGAACCCUCUAUAGGAGGUCAUACUUGUCCCCCUGGCUAAAGUGCGUGACCCCGGAGAAGGGCGACUACGUACUCCGGGAAGUCCAUGAAGGCCUAUGUGCGGCACAUGUAGGAUCUCGGGUACUGGCGAAAAAGUGUCUUCUUCUGGGCUACUAUUGGCCCUCCGCCUUCGGAGACGCCGCAGAGCUGGUACAGAAAUGCCGAGCUUGCCAGGUGCACGCCUCGCUGUGCCACCAGCCAGCUCGGGAAAUGAUCCCCAUUCACAGUCCCUGGCCUUUCGCCCAAUGGGGGAUAGACCUCCUAGGUCCCUUCCCCCGAGCCCCUGGCAGGUACGAGCACCUCGUGGUGGCCAUCGACUACUUCACAAAGUGGAUGGAGGCAGAGCCCCUGGUCUCUAUUUCGGGGAAGGCGAUUCAGAAGUUCAUUUGGAAGAAUAUAGUCUGUCGUUUCGGAAUUCCACAUGUUCUGAUAUCUGACAAUGGGCGCCAGUUCGCCGAAAACCCUUUCAAGGGCUGGUGCGCCGAGCUCGGGAUCAAUCAACACUUCACGUCGGUCGGCCAUCCCCAGGCUAACGGUCAGGUGGAGAACGCCAACCGAACCAUCUUGCAAGGGCUAAAAACUAGGCUAGAGUUGGCCCAGUCUAACUGGCUAGAGGAGCUCCCUAGUGUUCUCUGGGCCUAUCGCACCACGCCUAGGGCGGCUACUCACGAGACCCCGUUCUCCCUGACAUAUGGGGCGGAGGCAGUGGUCCCCGUGGAGAUCGGCCUCCCAUCCCCUCGGACCCAGAACUUCGUUGUGACAGCCAACGAAGAGGAGUUAAGGUGCAGCCUGGACAUGCUAGAAACUAAGCGGGAAGAGACAGCAAUUCGGAUGGCUAAGUACAAAAGCCAGCUCGCCCGCUACCACAACGCCCGAGUAAGGAGCAUACAGUUCCAGCCAGGAGACCUGGUCUUGCGAAAGAACUCGAUCAGCAGAGCUUACAGUUCCAACAAGCUCGACCCAAACUGGGAGGGCCCAUACCAGAUCCUUGAGGUGAGUCGAGCUGGCUACUGCAGGCUCGCCAAGAUGGAUGGGUCUGAGGUACCCCGUACAUGGCACUUCUCAAAUUUGCGGUUAUUCGUAGAGUAGAUUAGGCCAAGAUGUUUCACAUUCGGGAUGUAAGUUUCAGUUUCAUCAUUGAAUAAAAUGUGUAACUUUCCAGUUUCCAAUUCAUUAUUUGGCGUUUAAGUUCAUGUUUUAAACUAGCACACUCAGCGCUCCUUCACUAAGUGCCUUAGUGGGGGGCUGGGGUAAGUGAUGAUGUGAGGUCGGCACGUUUGAGCUGGGGAAGCUUGACGCGCUGCCCAGGACUCAUGAUAUGCUCGGCCCCAAGAGGUUGGCACGGCCUGAAUAUGGAAGUUCGGUGCUCGACCCAGGAGGUCGGCGUGACCGCCCGGGAGGGUCCGAUCCAAGAGGUUGGUCCAGAGGUUAAGGUUUGGUGCUCGGCCCCAAGAGGUCGGCACGGCCUGAAUUUGGAAGUUCGGGGCUCGACCCAAGAGGUCGGCAUGAACGCUUCGGUGCUCGACCCAGGAGGUCGGCAUGACCGCCCGGGAGGAUCCGAUCCAAGAGGUUGGUCCAGAAGUUGUUUGAUGCUCGGCCCCAAGAGGUCGGCGCGGCCUGAAUUGGGAAGUUCGGUGCUCGACCCAGGAGGUCGGCAUGAACGCUUCGGUGCUCUCCCCAGGAGGUCGGCAUUAACGCUUUUCAAAGUUCAAUUUCAACGCUCGACCCAAGAGGUCGGCAUGAACAAAGUGCCUCGAAAGGCGGAGGCAGGAAUACUUCCGGGCUAACCGAAGUGAGCACAGGACGGUAAGGUGAAAUAAUUUUCCUCAAAUUUUAUAUAUGAACUUAAAGCCUAUCUAUUACAAAGUUCCCAUGCCGCCUGUCUAUUACAAAGUUCCCAAGUCGCCCCUCCCCCCACAGGGCCCGCCAAGCCACAAGAGCAUUUUCAACUGGAGCAUGGUCACAUCCUUUUAAGCAGACGGAAAGGGUUCUGGAGGGGUCGCUGACCUAAACCACCGGCUCCUUCCCGGAGGCUCUGCCAGGAGACUCGUCCUCCUCCAGGGGAACCUCCGCUAGCUCUGCUCCAACGUCGGUUCGACUGACCAGGCUCUUCAGGGCAUGCCCCUUCCGGUACCCAUCAAAGAGCCAGUCCAGCCUAUCCUCGGCCGUAGGAUUGUAGUCCUUGAAGUCCGCCACGUUGAAGCCGGGGAGGUUGAGGCUCUGCACCUGGGUCAGGGCCCGCGUAGAGCCGACUUGGAGAAUGGGCUGGUUGAGGAGGGCGACGUCCACUUCGAACUGUUCGGAGGAGAUGAACUCCCGAACGGCCUUCUUCCGCUCCCGGCUGAUGGAGCCGGAGAGCUCGAUGGCAUGCUCCUCCUUCAGUUUAAUCACGCCAGCCUUCUCCUGGUCGAGCUCCGACCUGGUGGAGGCGAGCUGGACCUGAGCCGUAUCCAGCUCCUUUUCGGCCUUUCCCAGUUUGGCCUUGAGGGAAUCCGCAUCCUGGAGAGCCUGGGAGAGCCUCUUCUCCGUCUCCUGAUUCUUCUUCCGCAGCUUCUCCAAGUCGGGGGACAGCUCGGAGAAGCAGGUCACCAGAGCAGCACCAGCGGCGUUGGCCUGCGGAGGAGGGGAAACAGGUCAGCACGUCAUGAUACCCAACUAAAACAUAGGGGCAAAACUAACCCAUGGGCUAGAGAACUUACUUGGGCCUGGGCGGUGAAUUACAUGUCCUGGAGCUCGGCUGGGGCGGCGAGUUCCAUCCACCUCUUGUCCCGCGGGAGGACCGAGCCCACCAUCAGCUCCCGAGCUGCCUCUGGGAAUUGGGCCCGGUCAUUGAUGGACAACCCCCAAGGUGGACAGAAGUGGCGGGGGUCGUGCAUGGUAGGGGCCUGGCCCGCCUUCUUGGGAGGGAUGUGGCGGAAGUGCCACAAGCUCGGGGGAGGUGACUCUUGGGCGUGCUCUUCAGCGGAGCCAACGACCACGUGGACUGGGCCCCCGGAGGUCGCCAGGGGGAGCGGCUGCGGCGCGACCAGCGCGAGCUUCUUCUGCCCGGCCUGGGAGGGCUCGUCCCCUCUGCCCCUCUUCUGCCCGGCCGCCUUCUUCUUGUUGGCGACCUGCUUGGAGGGGGACAGCUGCGAUGCCUCUUUCUGGGGGGCUGAGCCGCUCCCCGGGGUGGAAACCCCUCCUGGGGCCCCCUGAGCAGUGUCAGCCUGGGAGGCGGAGGUGACCUCAAGAGGCACGCCCAGCAGCUGGGAGAGCUUCCUCACUGCAGCCAACACAACCAGAUAAGCAAAAGGCAGGGCAGUACAAGAAACCACAAUAUACUAUAAAUGCAACAGGGGCAAAGCCGGUGUUACAGGUGUCGAGUUCGGGCUUGGGGGUCACCACUUCCCCAGAGGAUCUGGACAACGUCCCUAUCAGCCCGGCUGCGGAGAUCUGCUCGGAGGAGAGCUUGGUGACGUCGUGCUUCACCUUGGAGCCCAGCAGCUGGCUGAGGGUAUCGUAGCCCAGGUCCUCCGGGUAGGAGUCGGCCUUGACCCCCCCAACCUUCCACACAUUUGGGGGAAAAUGUGUGGAUUUGACAAAGAAAAAGUCCUCCUUCCAAUCCUUCACGGAGGAGGGGAGUCCGUGGAACAACUCCUGGGCGCCUUUUCCCCCCUUGGUUUGGGGACCACGACGGGAAAAGUAGUACCAUCCCGGGAGGGCGGUCUUAAGAAUGAAGGCAGCUCGGAAGAGGGAGAGAGAGUAGGGGAUGUCGCAGAGAAGGCAGUAGGUCAGGAAUCCGGUGAUGAUCCGGAUGGAGGUGGGGUGAAGCUGGGUGAUUCUGAGCCCCCAGUGAUUCAGAAUCUCGGUUAGAGUUGAAUGAAUGGGGAGACGGAGCCCUGCGAUGAGCUGCUCCCUGUAGAUGGCUACGAAGCCGGGGGGAGGUCGGCAGGCUCGGUCGUCGGGCCCGGCCGCCCUCGGCUCGUAGGACGGAGGGAUGGAGUACGACUUGGCCAGCUCGGCCACGUCCUGGGGGGAUAGGAUGGCCUCCUGUAGGUCUGGAUAACCAUAGGAGAAUUCGGGGUCAUUCCCCGGCUCCGAAGCGGGGGUCCCCUCAGAGGGAUCCCUGCCCUCCCCAGCUCCGCCCUGGGCCCCGCCGGGGGAGUCGUGCGGAGACUGGGGAGAGGAGGUGGUCGCGGCCUCCCGCUCGAGGUAGGCGUCGAGCUCGGCCGCCUCCUCUAGAGCGCGGGCAGAAAAAGUAUGGGAUGAAGGGGAACUCAUAAUGACUGUGGGGUCGAGCAGGUCAGGGUUGGAAGCAGAAGAAGAGGAAGGAGGAGGAGGGGAAGGCGACGGCGAGGAUGAGGACGACGAUGAGGAAGAAAUGAAGAUUCUGGUGGCUCUGCGAUGGGCCGGAGACGGGGAUGCGGUGGAAGUAACGUCGGAAUGACCCGACAUAAAUAGCAGAAGGUGGCAGAAGGCAAAAGAGACUGCAGAAAGGGGAGAUGAAUCGCAAGAAGGGACUUACUGAUGAUAGUCAAGGCAGAAGAAGGAUGGAAGACUCGCCAGAAUCUGGGCACAGGACACCGGAAGCUGCCGGACAGUGGAAAUGCGAAUGCACAAGGAGAGUGGCAAUUCAAAAUGCACAAGAGGAAGCGAAAGUUGCAAAUGGAACAGAUGGGAGUGCGGCGGCCCCUAUUUAUGGGGGGAGGAGUGGGGGGAAAACGGUUGCGUGAAUUUGAACCGAUCCCCAUGUGAACGCAUUUAAUGCUGGUACGAAAACCGAAGAGGCGUGACAACUGAAAGGACGCGGGCACAGCGUCCCUGUGACAGCACUGUACCAGGGGUGGCCUCGGCAGAGUAGUGCGCGGCUCUGGCCUCCCACGUGGCGGAGGUAGAUUAGGUCUGCCUGACAGUCCUACCUAAUCUAGGGGGAUAGUGCAGAGGCCCCGUUCUGGCCCCGGACACGUGGCAGCCCAGGAAUAGCCGAGCUGGACCUUGGCCCUCAGACCCCUGGCAGCAGCCCUGGGCUGCACCGACUAGGGCUCCCAGAGGAGGCGAGGGUCCAUCCCGAAGAGGUCGGGGAUAAUCCCCCUGAGUGCGGGAUACCGACUAUUCCGGGCAAGUCCCGAAACGUACGGAGGUCGGGCUCCCCCACAGGUAUAAAUAAUAGCAGACAUCAACUGUAGAAGGUACGCUCACUAUUGGCAAUUCACCCCCGACCGUCAAUACCUCCCGUGAACCCAUACUCACCGGAAAACUAACUUGACCGUCGGAGUGCCCUCGGGGACUACCCUCGGGCCCCCUUUGUGAGAUCACCUUUAUUUGUUUUGCAGGCUUAGGAUCAGCUCUUCCAUCAGCACCCCGAGCUCAUCAGUUCAGCUCGGUCCGGGGAAGUUCCGUGCUUCUUCACUAGCCAUAUUCAUUAACUUACUUCAUCUCUAAAUUUAACUCAUCUUCCUUUCGUUAAAUGGCCUCCAGUUGUCUUACUUGCAUUUCAGCCAUCUUGGAUGAUCUGCAGUUGCUGGAGAAUCUGUGUCCCAAAACUCCAGAUUGGAAGGACGAGCUCUUUGACUUGAGGAGAGUAAAAAUAUCUCUAGGAACUUUCAGACCAUUUCUUCUAUCUGUGAGAAAGUGGGGCGCUGAUGAUGAUGCAAAUCUGGGAGCACUGUUUGCUAGGAUGAAAGAUUUCAUUUCCAAACUGGGACAGGCGAUUCACGAGUUCUAUCUCACUAGUGUGGAAGAUGGAUAUCAUAUGGAACUUGCGGCACAAAUCCACGAUGAUCUAAAAGAAGAAGUGUCAUCUCUCGCAGGAGAAAUCAAGGAUUUAAAGUACUCGACAAGACUGUCUAGCAAGUCCCUGGUAAAAAAAGAUGACCUAAUGGAUGUCAUGGACUCUCUUCUGGAGAGCCUUCGGCACGUUUGCUUAAUAGGUGUCUUAGAAGAUGAUGAAGAGCAGGAACUAUGGGAAGACAUAGAAGAGAAGCUAACAUUCUUGAAAAACUUCAUCUGUUUUGUUACACUUCAUGGUAUCGAUGAUGGGCAAUUGGGACCUUUACUGACUCACACUAAAUCUGUCGCUGUGAACACAGCACGCAACCAUCUCCUGCGUUGCUUUAGAUCAUUCCCGUUAGAAGAAAAUCCUGUUCGGGACCUGCUGCCGAAGAUCAUUCCUGUAGAACCCGAAGUCCAUGGGACUUGCUUCCAGGCCCUGAUUGCUUCAAAGAUAUCAAGACAACCAUACGAGAAAAAAGAUGCGCACUGAAGAAGCACGGAGCUUCCCCGGACCGAGCUGAACUGAUGAGCUCGGGGUGCUGACGGCAGAGCUGGUCCUAAGCCUGCAAAACAGAUAAGAACGAGCUAGCAAAGGGGGGCCCGAGGGUGGUCCCCGAGGGCACUCCGACGGUCAAGUUAGUUUUCCGGUGAGUAUGGUUCACGGGAAGCACAAACGGUCAGGUGUAAUUUGCCAAUAGUGAGCGUACCUUGUACAGUCAAUGCGUGCUAUCAUUUAUACCUGGGAGGAAGCCCGACCUCCGUACGUUUCGGGACUUGCCCAGAAUAAUCAAUCUUCUGCACUCAGGGGGAUCAUCCCCGACCUCUUCGGGAGGGACCUGUGCUGCCCUCCGGAGCCCUAGCAGAUCGGCCUAGGACGGCCGCCUGGGGCCUGAGGCCGAGGCCCAGCUCUGCCACGCCUGGGCUGCCACGUGUCCGGGCCCAGGAUGGGGCCUCUGCACUAGCCCCCUAGAUUAGGUAGAGCUGUCAGGUAGACCUAAUCUACAACUGCCACGUGGGAGGCCAGAGCCGCGCACUACCCUGCCGGGGUCACUUCUGGUACAGUGCUGUCACAGUGGCCGCUCCGCUCACGUCCUUUCAGUUGCCACGACUCUUCGAUUUUCGUACCAGCAUUAAAUGCGUUCACAUGGGACGGUUCAAUUUCAAGCAACCGUUUUCCCCCCAUUUCUUUCCCUUAUAAAUAGGGGUCACCAGAUUUCCAUCCGCUCCCUUUGCCACUUCUUCUCCCCCUUGCGCAUUUCGGCAUUCCCAUUCUCCUAUGGUUACCCCGAUCUGCAGGAGGCUACCCUAUCACCCAAGGCUGUGGCCGAACUGGCCAAGUCUUACUCAAUUCCUUCGGCCUUCGAGCCGAGGGCGGCCGGGCCCGACGACUGAGCCUGCCGACCUCCUCCCGGCUUCGUAGCCAUCUAUCGGGAGUAGCUCAUUGCAGGGCUCCGUCUCCCCAUUCCUUCAGCUCUGGCCGAGAUUCUGAACUACUGGGUGCUCAGAAUCACCCAAGUCCACCCUACCUCUAUCAGGAUCAUUACUGGAUUCCUGAUCUACUGCCUGCUCUGCGAUAUCCCUUACUCUCUCUCUCUCUUCCGAGCUGCCUUCAUGCUCAAGGCCGCCAUCCCGAAUGGUACUACUUCUGCCGCCGUGGUGCCGGCCAAACCCGGAGAGGAAAAGGCGCCCAAGAGUUGUUCUACGGAGUCCCCAGCUCCGUGAAGGAUUGGAAGGAGGACUUCUUCUUCGUCAAGUCCACACAUUUUCCCCUAAUGUGUGGAAGGUUGGGGGGGUCAAGGCCGACCCCUACCCGGGGGAUUUGGACUACGAAACCCUCAGCCAACUGUCGGACUCCAAGGUGAAGCUUGACGCCACCAAGUUUUCCACUGAGCAGAUCUCCGCGGCCGGGCUGAUGGGGACGUUGUCCGGAUCCUCUGGGGAGGUGGUGACCCCCGAGCCCAACCUCGACACCUGUAACGCUGACUUUGCCCUUGUUGCCUGUUGUAUUUACAGUAUAUUGUAAUUUUUGAACUGUCCCAUCUUUUGCUGACCUAGUUGUGUUCGCUGUAGUGAGAAAGCUCUCCAGGUUGCUGGGCGCGUCCCUUGAGGAGGCCACCUCCACCCCUCAACCAGAGAUCGCCCAGGGGGCUUCUGCGGCCUCCCCGGUCCCAGGGGGCAGCUCAGCCCCCCAGACAGAGGCACCGCAGCCAUCCCCCUCCAAGCAGGCCGCCAACAAGAAGAAGGCGACCGGGCAGAAGAGGGGCAGGGCUGACGAGCCCUCCCAGGCCGGGCCGAAGAGGCUCGCGGUGGUCGUUCCACAACCGCUCCCCCCGGCGUCCUCCGGGGGUCCAGUCCACGUGGGCGUUGGCUCCGCUGAGGAGCACGCUCAGGAGUCCCCUCCUCCGAACUUGUGGCACUUCCGCCAUAUCCUCCCCCAGAAGCCGGGCCAGGCCCCCACCAUGCACGACCCCCGCCACUUCUGUCCCUCCUGGAGGCUCUCCAUCAACGACCGGGCCCAAUUUCCCGAGGCCGGUCGGGAGCUGAUGGUGGGCUCGGUCCUCCCAAGGGACAGAAGGUGGAUGGAGCUUGCCGACUCGGCCGAGCUCCAGGACAUGUACUUCACCUCCCAAGCCCAAGUAAGUUCCCUGCCCUUGGGCCAGUUGCGCCUGUGUUUUGAUGGGAUAGCGUAGUGUGCUGACCUGUUCCCUUCCUCAGGCCAAUGCUGCUGGUGCCGCCCUGGUGACCCGCUUCUCCGAGUUGUCUCCUGACUUGGAGAAAUUGCGGAAGAAGCAUCAGGAGACAGAGCAGAAGCUCACCCAGGCCCUCAAGGAGGCGAGCACCCUGAAGGGCAAACUGGGCCAAGCGGAGAAAGGGCUGGAAACGGCUCAGAUCGAGCUCGCCUCCGUCAGGUCAAAGCUCGACCAGGAGAGGGCGAGCUCAGAGAAGCUGAGGGAGGAGCACGCCAUCGAGCUAUCCGGCACCGUCAGCCGGGAGCGCAAGAAGGCUGUCCGGGAGUUCAUCUCCUCCAAACAAUUUGAGCAGGACGUCGCCCUUCUCAACGGGCCCACCUUCCAGGCCGGCUUCACGCGAGUCCUGGACAGGGUCAAUGCUCUCGGCCUGCCUGGUUUCGACUUGGCUGCUUUCAAAGAGUACAACCCUAAGGCCGAGGAGAAGGUAGACUGGCUCUUCGAUGGGUACUGCAAGGGGCAUGCCCUGAAGGAGCUGGUGCGCAGGACCGAUGUGGGGGUCGACCUGGCGGAGGUCCCCUUGGAGGAGGACCAGGAUCCCGGAAAAGCCCCCGGGAAGGAGCCGGUGGCCUAGGGCGGCGGCCCCUCUAGAAACCCUUUCCGUCUCCUUAUAAGGAUGUGACCAUGCUCCAGUUGAAAAUGCUCUUGAAGGUCCAUCUGAGACGGAAAGGCUCCCCUGCUUGAAUAGCCUUCACCGUACGCCUCUCAGCAAGUUUAAGGUGUACCCUCAACUCCUGCUCCAGGCGGACUACCAGCAAGAAGAAGGGGGCCCGAGCUGUAUUCUCUUCAUAGCUCGGCACAUUUUGUAGCAGAUAGGCAGCUCGGAAGCUUUGUAAUCGAUAGGCAGCUCGGAAGUUUUGUAAUAGAUAGGUUUUGAAUGCAUAUGCGAAAUUUCGAAGAGUUAUUCUGCCUUUCUUGCCUGCACGCAACGCCAUGUGCCGACCUCCUAGGCCGAGCACCAAACGCGUCACCUUUUUAAUCCAGCAAUGGAGUUGCCCAAUUGGCAAUCUAACUAUUAAAAUCAUGUGCCGGCCUCUUGGGUCGAGCACCAAAUAAACUUACUGAGGGGAUGUGCCAGCCUCUUGGGGUUGAGCACCUAAACAUUAAGGGCGUUCUCACCGACCUCCGGGGUCAAAUGCGGGGCCCCCGGAUUCGAAGGCUGGGGGCCUGGUCAACCUCCCGGGGUCGGGCUUCUACUUCGAAGCGGUAGCCCGUGCCGACCUCUUGGGGUCGAACCUCGGGCUUCGAACUCCUCUUCCGCCGACCUCCUGGGUCGAGCGCGGGGUUUCCAGAACCCUUCCAAGCCUCCAAUUUUUCCUCAAUCGUGCCGACCUCCUGGGCCGAACACUUCACCUGGAUUCCGACUUCCAAGUCGUGCCGAUCUCUUGGGCCGAACACUUCACCUGGAUUCCUUCCACUCCGAAGCGAUAACCCGUGCCAACCUCUUGGGGAUCGAACAUCGGGUUUCGAACUCCUUUUUCGCCGACCUUCUGGAUCGAGCGCGGAGUUUCUAGAACCCUUCCCAGUUUCCAUGUUCUUCCUAGUCGUGCCGACCUCCCGGUGUCGAGCAUCGCCUGGAAGCUUUUAAUUCGUACCGACCUCUGGGACCGAACACUUCACCUCGAUUCAUCACUACCCUUAGCACCCCACUAGGACAUUUAGUGAGAGAACUCUAAGUGUGCUAGUGCAAGGUGCAAACUUUAAAUCUUGAAAGGAAACAAGUACAAGUGAAAUUAAAACUGUGAGGUCGGGCUUUUAUUGAAUGAUAAAACAAAAAUUCGGAUUUCAAAGAACAGACAACUGAGCACCCUGGUCUAACCUACGCUACAAACAGUCGCAGAUUGGAGAAGUGCCAAGUACGAGGUACUUCAGAUCCAUCAAUCUUGGCGAGUCUGCAGUAGCCAGCUCGGUUCACCUCAAGGAUCUUGUAUGGACCCUCCCAGUUUGGGUCAAGCUUGUUGGAACCGUAAGCUCUGCUGACCGAGUUCUUUCGUAAGACCAGGUCUCCUGGCUGGAACUGUACGCUUCUUACUCGGGCGUUAUGAUAGCGGGCGAGCUGGCUUUUGUACUUAGCCAUCCGUACCGCCGCUUCUUCACGCCUAGCCUCCAGUAUGUCCAAGCUGUACCGCAGUUCUUCUUCAUUGGUCCUUGCAACGAAGUUCUGUGUCCGGGGCGAGGGGAGACCAAUCUCCGCGGGCACCACCGCCUCUACUCCGUAAGUUAAGGAGAACGGGGUCUCAUGGGUGGCCGUCCUGGGCGUGGUACGGUAAGCCCAGAGGACACUGGGGAGCUCAUCUAGCCAGCUCGAUUGGGCGGAGUCCAACCUAGUCUUCAACCCUUGCAGAACGGUUCGGUUAGCGUUCCCCACCUGACCAUUGGCCUGAGGGUGACCGACCGACGUGAAGGGCUGAUUGAUCCCGAGCUCAGCGCACCAGCUCCGGAAGGGGUUCUCGGCGAACUGGCGGCCGUUGUCGGAUAUCAAGACGCGCGGGAUGCCGAAGCGGCAGAAGAUGUUCCUCCAAAAGACCAAGGGGCCGACGAUCGCCUUCCCCGAAAUAGAGACCAAGGGCUCUGCCUCCAUCCACUUCGUGAAGUAGUCGAUUGUCACCACGAGGUGCUCGUACUUUCCAGGAGCUCGGGGGAAAGGACCUAGGAGGUCUAUCCCCCAUUGGGCGAAAGGCCAGGGGCUGUGAAUGGGGAUCAUUUCCCGAGCCGGCUGGUAGCGCAGCGAGGCGUGCACCUGGCAAGCUCGGCAUUUCUGUACCAGUUCUGCGGCGUCUCGGAAGACGGAUGGCCAAUAGUAGCCCAAGAGAAGGCACUUUUUGGCCAACACUCGGGACCCCACAUGUGCCGCACAUAGCCCUUCAUGUAUCUCGCGGAGGACAUAGUUACCUUCCUCGGGCGUCACGCACUUUAGCCAGGGAGAUAAGUAAGACCUCCUGUAGAGGGUUCCCCCAGCGUAGGCGUACUUGGCAGCUCUGAGCUGGAUCCGGCGGGCCUCGGUUUUGUUCUCUGGGAGGACACCUGAGCUGAGGAAGUCUAUGAGGGGCGUCAUCCAGGUGGCCGAGCUGUCUAUAGCCAGGACCUGGACCUGGUCGAUACUUUUCUGUUUUACCACCUCUACCAGAACCUCCUUAUUCAGGUGUGUAAAUGAGGAAGAUGCCAGCUUUGACAGGGCGUCUGCGCGCUUGUUUUGCGAUUUUGGUACCCGCUCGAUUUCGAAGGUAUCGAAAAGGGAUACUGCAUCUCGCACUUUGGCCAAAUAUUUUUUCAUGACAUCCUCCUUGGUUUCGUACUCCCUGAGGACUUGGAGGACGAUGAGCUGAGAGUCGCUCUUGACCUGGAUCGCGGUUAUCCCCAUUUGGUGGGCUAUCCGCAAUCCUGUGAGCAGGGCCUCGUACUCGGCUUCAUUGUUGGACGCGGGGAAGUCCAAUCGGAGGGCGUAGGUCAGCUCUUCCCCGGUGGGUGAGAUGAGUAGCAGACCUGCCCCGCUUCCUUCCUUGCUGAAGGCCCCGUCUACGAACAACACCCAUGGCUCCUUCGGCAGUACCUCCUUGUGCAGGGGGCUUAGCUCGGUUAGGCUCAAGCUAGCCCCCUCAGCAAGGAAGUCCGCAAAGGCCUGGGCCUUGAUGGCUUUGCGACUUGAUGGCUUUGCGAGUCUGAUAACCGAUGUCGUGCUCGGCUAGCUCGACGGCCCAUUUAGUCAUCCUGCCCGAGAUCUCGGGCUUGGUGAGUAUCUGACGCAGGGGCUGGUCAGUCAGGACUAUAAUGCUGUAAGUCUGGAAGUAGGGGCGAAGUUUGCGGGCAGCGUGUACCAAGGUAAGGACCAGCUUCUCCGCCGGCGUUUUCCUCGUCUCUGGCCCUUGUAGAGCGCGGCUGACGUAGUACACCGGUCUCUGAACUCCCCCGUCCUCCCGUACCAAGACCGCGCUGACGGCCUCAUUGCAGGCGGACAGGUAAAGGAACAGAGUCUCCCCUAGCUCCGGGGCGGUCAAAGUAGGCAGCUCAGCCAGAUAGGCCUUCAGGUCGGUGAAGGCUUUCUGGCACUCCUCUGUCCAGUAGAAAUCCUUAGGCGCUUUCAAGACUCGGAAGAAGGGCAGCCCCCGGACCGCGGAGCGCGAGAGGAACCUAUUCAGGGCGGCCAUCCUCCCUGUGAGCCAUUGCACUUUCCUCACGUUCCUCGGAGGGACCAUGUCCAUGAUGGCCUAGAGUUUAUCCGGGUUGGCCCGGAUCCCCUCUCGGGACACCAGGAAACCGAGAAACCUUCCCGAUCUGACCCCAAAGGUGCACUGCUUCGGAUUUAGGCGCAUCCGGCUCUCCUGUAGGAUAUCCAGGAUCUCUCUUAGGUCGGGUAUGAGCUGCUGGUCAGUUCGGCUUUUGACGAUCAUGUCGUCCACAUAGACCUGCAUGUUUCUGCCGAUCUGAUUUUGGAAUAAUUUGUUGACCAGGCGCUGGUAAGUAGCUCCCGCGUUCUUCAACCCGAACGGCAUGGUCCUGUAGCAGUAGGUUCCCUCCUCGGUGAUGAAGGAGGUCUUAUCCCGAUCCUCCUCAGCCAUCUCUAUCUGGUGGUAUCCAUUAAAGGCAUCCAGAAAGCAUAAAACGUCAAAACCCACGGUAGAGUCUACUAACCUGUCGAUCCUUGGCAGGGGAAAACAAUCCUUUGGGCAGGCUUUGUUAAGGUCCGUGAAGUCUACGCACAUCCUCCAGGUCUGGUCCUCCUUCUUGACUAGGACGGGAUUGGCCAACCAGGUCGAGUAGUAGACCUCCAGGAUGAUUCUGGACUCCAGCAACUUGCCGACCUCCGCCUUGAUCACCUCAUUCCUCUCGGGGGCGAAGCUCCUUUUCUUCUGCUUCACCGGCUUGAAGUGAGGAUCCACGUCGAGGUGGUGGACUGCCAGGUCCGUUGGAAUCCCGGGCAUGUCCUCCACCGUCCAUGCGAAGACCUGGGAGUACUUUCUCAACAGGGCCUUCAAGCCUUCCUUCUCCUCGGCUGGCAGCAAUGCCCCGAUGCGGAUGACCUGGUCGGGCCGCUCCUCCCUCAAGGGGAAUUCCUCAAUUUCGUCCUGUGUGCUCAACUGCUGGGCCUCGUCCCCCGGGAUGUAGGGCUCCAAACAGGUCAUCUGAGCGACCACCUUCUCCGGCCCGCGGAGCGUGGCCAAGUAGCAAGCUCUGGCCAUCUCUGGAUCACCGUGCACCUCGGCUAUCCCUCCUGGGGUGGGGAACUUCACACUGAGAUGGAGGGUAAACGGGAUAGCUCGGAGGGCGUUCAGAACUGGCCGACCCAGGAACACGUUGUACGAGGAUUGCUGCUUGAUCACCACGAAAUUGACAGGGAUGGUUCGGCAUUUGGGGGCCUGCCCUACCGUGACCAUCAGGGUGAUCAUUCCCUCCGGGUUAAUGGGUGGCCCGGUGAAGCCCACCAGAGGUGUUCGAACCGGGGUCAACUGGUCGUCCUUCAACCCGAGCUCCUUGAACACCCGAUAGAACAUGAUGUCAACCGCGCUACCUUGGUCGACAUACACCUUCUUCACCCGGUAGUUGUUGGUGACCACGUCUAUCACUAUAGCCUCGUGGUUCCCGGAUGCUAGGGGGACCGCAUCCCUCGGCCCGAAGGUGAUCUCCUCAUCCAUGCGCAAACGUUUCAAGGAGUCGUCCCCCGCGGGGGGAGUCGCUUGUUCUUCCGAGCUGUGUGACUGUCUCCGCCCGUGGGGCCCCCAGCGAUGGUGUUUAUCACCCCCGCUAGGUUCUGGCCGUCCAGGUCGGGGAAGUGGUUCCGAGGAGCGUCACGCAGCUCUGGGCGGUCGCGACGCCGUCCCUCGGACCUAUCUCCGUAGUGGUUGCGCCCGGGCUCCCGACCUGGUCGGCGUACGAACCGCCCUAGAAAGCCGCGUUGGAUCAGGUUCUCGAUCUCCUUACGCAGGGCCCAGCAUCCCUCCGUGUCGUGUCCGACGUCGCGGUGAAAGGCGCAGUACCGGUCCUGGUUCCUUUUGUUCCAGGGCGUCCCCAUCUUGGGCGGCCGAUCUCCCAGCCCUUCCGCCUCCAUAACAGCCAAGAUCUGGGCUCUGCGCCGUGUUAGAGGGGUGUAGGUCUUCUCUGGGAGUGGUGGCGGAGCAGGGGCCUUCUCCUUCGAGAGCCGAUCGAAGACGUUUUUCUUGGCCGGGACGUCCUUGCUCUCUGGAGGGUUUGUCCGACCCUUCCGAUUUCCGAGCUCCCGAUCUGACUCUUUCUUCAGGCGACCUGCCUCCUCCGCCUUAGCGGCCUCGUGCGCCCUGCGCAGGAGCUCCUCCAGGUUUACGGGAGAGUUCUUGGCCAGAUCGUAGAAAAGCUCCUCUACCCUGAACCCGUUUGUGAAGGCGGCCAUUACCACUUUUUCGUCUUUGUCCCUGACCUGCAAGCUCUCCGCAUUGAAGCGGGUCAUGAAAUUCCUCAGCGACUCGUCUGGCCUCUGUCUGAUGGACAUCAGGUGGGUUGCGUUCCUCGCGUAAACCUUCGAGGAGACGAACUGGGAUGCAAACUGCCGAGCCAGCUCGGGAAAGCUCCGUAUAGACCCCGGUGCUAGUCCCUGGAACCAGAGCCGUGCUUUCCCCUUCAGGAACAUGGGGAAAGUUUUGCAGCGGACUUCGUCCGCGGCGGUUUGGAGGCGCAUAUGCGUUAGGAAGACCGAAAGGUGGUCUUCCGGGUCUAUAGAGGCAUCGUACAUCUCGAUGCUCGAAAUCUUAAACCUCCGGGGUAGCGGGUAGUGCUCUAUCUCCCGGGUAAAGGGCGAGGUUGCGUAGUUGUCCUCGUACGGUCGGGGCCUCAAGAUCUGCUCGAGCUCAUCCCGGACAGGUUCCAAAUGAAGGGGGUCGCGGGGUCGGCUCCUGACAGACCGAGCAGGGGAACGCUCGAACCCAUUCCGUGUGGGCUUCCGUGGGGAGGGGUCUCUGGGACGACUCCUCGCGGACCGGUCGCGGGAAUACCUCUCGCUGUCUCCGACCACCCAGGCUCGCGGGCGAGGUGGAGUCCGGGGUCAUUUCCUCCUGGGGGGUUGGUCUCGUGACUCAUCCUCCGAAGGAUCAGGGGGUGACUCAUUCUCCUUCCCCAUAGCCUUGGAGGUCUGCGCACCCCCAGCCCCAUCUCCCUCCUUCGCCUGUCGGAUUAUAUCUUCUAGCAUGGGGAGAUUCUCCGUCACAAACUGGAAGAUCUGCUGCCUCCGCUCCCCUGAAAGGGCUGAGCCCCCGGCGCCCCGAGACGCCUCAGCCUCCUUUCGCUGGGACCCCUCACCGCCCCCAGGGCCGGUGCUCUCUACCGUGCGCUUGGAUCGCGUCCUGGCCAUCAACACAACCUUACUUACCUUACGUUCCCACAGACGGCGCCAACUGAAGAAGCACGGAGCUUCCCCGGACCGAGCUGAACUGAUGAGCUCGGGGUGCUGACGGCAGAGCUGGUCCUAAGCCUGUAAAACAGAUAAGAACGAGCUAGCAAAGGGGGGCCCGAGGGUGGUCCCCGAGGGCACUCCGACGGUCAAGUUAGUUUUCCGGUGAGUAUGGUUCACGGGAAGCACAAACGGUCGGGUGUAAUUUGCCAAUAGUGAGCGUACCUUGUACAGUCAAUGCGUGCUAUCAUUUAUACCUGGGAGGAAGUCCGACCUCCGUACGUUUCGGGACUUGCCCAGAAUAAUCAAUCUUCCGCACUCAGGGGGAUCAUCCCCGACCUCUUCGGGAGGGACCUGUGCUGCCCUCCGGAGCCCUAGCAGAUCGGUCCAGGACGGCCGCUUGGGGCCUGAGGCCGAGGCCCAGCUCGGCCACGCCUGGGCUGCCACGUGUCCGGGCCCAGGAUGGGGCCUCUGCACGCACAUAUUCAGAGUCUUCAUCGAUACUCUCCUAAUCUAUCUGUGGGAGAUACUAAAGACUGGAGCUUGUGUUAUGAUGUCUUUGAACGAUCGAUUGAAAAUGGUUUAUGACGGGUUGAGGUCCUUGACAAUCAUUCUCAAGGGGAACCCCGACGUGUUUGAUGAGAAAAUGAGAGAUCUUACUGGACUCCUCCUCUGUGAUGCAGGACUUGUUAUUUUUUCCCUUUCUCUCAACGAAAUUAAAGAUGGAUCAGUCAAGGAAAUGGAUCUGGAGUCUUUUCAUGAUUUCCUGAAAAGGAUAAAGCUUAUCAAGGCAAUAGUUGCAGAGAAAUAUCCAGAAACAUCACCAUCAUCCAAGUUUCCUCGGCCUAAUGAGUUGGGAUUUAUCGAUUUUCUUCUAAAAUAUAUCGGAGAUUUGACAAAUCCGGAUGCUCAUUCAGUUGCUCUUUCAAACUAUCCAAUUCAUGCAAUCCAUGAAGAACUUGUUUACUUACGCUCUUUCUUGGGAAGAAUUGUGGAAUUGCGCAAUGAAGAUCAGGAGCUUCAAGCACUUUGGGAUCGUGUUGUUGAGGUGGCAUACAUGGUAGAAUUUCUUAUCGACUCCUUGUUGGUUGGAGACAUUCUAUAUUCUUCUUCAAUCUCAUUUGAUUCCGUUGUAGAAGAAAUUAAGAUUAUCAAAGCUGCGGCCUUGAACAUUUUUGAUAGAAAAACACUUGAUCUCAAAGUUAAGGAAGCUACCAAGAGACCAAAUAACAUGCCAUCACAGGGAAGCAUGCCAAUAAUCAAUGACAUGAUCGUGGGAUUCGAGGAUGAGGCAACCUCAAUAAUCAAUCGGCUCACAAGAGGAUCCUCCCAACUGCAAAUUGUCCCCAUUGUAGGUAUGCCAGGACCUGGCAAGACAACUUUAGCUAAAAAAGUUUACAAUAAUCCUUUAGUUACAUCGCAUUUUUAUACACGUGCUUGGUGUACUGUCUCUCAAGUGUAUCACAGAAAAAAUCUGUUACUUGAAAUUUUGACUUGUAUUCACUCCAAGCUUCUUGAGAAAUUUUCUGAGAUGUGUGAAGAAGAUUUGGCUGCAGAAGUCAGAAGAGGUCUGCUAAGGACUAGAUAUCUCAUUGUUUUGGAUGAUAUAUGGGACGCUGAAGCAUGGAAGGGAUUGGAAGCAUCAUUCCCUGACAAUCAAAAUGGCAGUAGAGUGAUCGUGACAAGUCGAAAGUCUGAUGUUGCUGCUUCGAGAGAUGAACUUGAUGAAGGGCCUCAUUUCCUCCGUCCGCUGACUCCUGAUGAGAGCCGGGACUUGCUAAACAUGAAGUUAUUUCCUGGAAAUGAUUUGCCUCCGCCAGAAUUAUGCGAACUGCAAAUGAAAAUCGUGGAAAUGUGUCGAGGACUGCCACUUACAAUUGUCAUUCUAGCUGGAAUUCUGGCAAAUGAGGACCAACAUGGUUGGAAAGAACUUGUGGACAGUUUAAGUUCAAGAAUUGUCUGUAGUACAGAACAACGCUCUGCUGCAAUAGAGUUGAGUUACAAGAACUUACCAGAUAAUUUGAAGCAAUGCUUUCUAUACUUCGGAGCAUUUCCAGAAGACCAUGAACACACUGCUGAGAAGUUGAUUUGGUUAUGGGGGGCUGAAGGAUUUACCCAGAAAACUCAGUUCAAGAGUGCAGAGGAUGUGGCAAAUGAUUUCUUAAUGGAUCUUAUCCACAGAAGCUUGAUCAUUGUUUCCAAGCAAAGGUCCAUUGGUGGUGUCAAAGCUUGUCGCAUUCAUGAUUUGCUGCAUGAGUUUUGUGUGACAAAAGGCAAAGAAGAAAAUUUUCUGCAGCUGGUGCGUGGGUAUGAUGAAUUAUAUACUUUCAGAGUGCCACGCAACCUACGCCGCCUAUGCAUCAACUCUAAACCAGUGCACUUUUGCAUGUCCAGGUUAUUUGCUCCCACAAUCCGUUCUCUAAUACAUUCCCGACGUCUUGCUUUAGAGAGUUCAUCCAUGUUUGGUAUCUUCAAACCUGUUAGAGUGUUAGAAUUGAACAACAUAAAUCUAGGUACUACUUUUCCUAGAGAACUAGAAUUAUUGGUUCAAUUGAGGUACUUGGCAAUUCUAGGAAAUAUGGAUUCAAUUCCAUCUUCCAUAGCCAAUCUCUCGAAUUUGGAAACUUUCAUCCUGAAAACAGUUGUUCGGACUGUUUUACUACCUGAUACUAUAUGGAAUCUGAAGAACCUAAGGCACUUACAAAUAAAGGACUUUGAUUGUUCAUUUUUGUUACCCACAGACAAUCUUGACACUGCUGCAGACUUGUGUGAUUUGAAUACCUUCUCCGGAGUAUCUUUUUCUUCUUUGGAUAUCGUCCGCAAGGUAUUCAGUAAAAUUCCUAAUAUCCACAAGCUGAAAUGCAUUCUCGAUUUGGCUAAUGAACAUAAUUGGGUUUCAGCGGACAAGAUUCUAGUACUUGACUUUCUAAGUGGACUAGAAUCACUGAAUCUGACGUUCAAUCAUUAUACAAGUCUUCCAAAUCCAUGCCAGUUGGAGUUUCAAUUCCCUUUGGCAAUUAGAAAGUUGACUCUAUGCGGUCUUCUCUUCCCUUGGAGCAAAAUUUCAGCGAUCGAAAAUCUUCCCAAUCUGGAGGUUCUCAAAUUACUCCGUGACGCCUUUGAUGGGGAAAUAUGGAACAUGGAAAAAGAGGGGUUCCCUAAAGUUAGAUUUCUGAAAAUAGCUGCCUUGGAUAUUGUCAAGUGGACUGCCUACGAGGGCGUGGACUGUUUUCCAAGUCUACAGAAACUAGUAUUGAAAAGCUGUACCUUUUUAAAGGAGAUCCCUUCUUGUUUGGGUAGUUCGACUCUUGAAAUUAUUGAGGUGUCUUGAAAUUAUUGAGGUGUUUCAUUGUCCCUUCUCUGCAAGUUUUAUAGUGCCACUUCAGGAAGAACAAAUGGACUUGGGAAAUACUGAUCUGAAGAUCCUUAAUAAGGUAGACUACUAAUCUUCUCAUGUAUCUUUGGUUUGGUUUGGAACCCACUGCCCUCGAGCUGCCAAUUGCUGCUAGCUCACGGGAUAUCAACUGGACCACGAUAUUGAUAUGGAAAAGGAGGAGGAUGAGACAGAAAUACUCAAUCACUAGCCAGUCCAGAAAGUAGCAUUUGUUUGUCUAGCCUUAAUGUUUGCUAAAAUGUCCAAUUGCUGCUGUAUCAGUGUAGCAUCAAGAUCAGUUAAUCAGGUUGCUUUAAUGUUUCUUAUCCUCUCUCAAACUGUGCGGUGGGAUCAGCUAUCUCCUUUCCCCCCCUAAGAUUUUAGUUGUGAUUCUGUAAGUUAAUGCUACUGCUUAGCUGCAUAAUUGUUACAAAUUUAUUGCCUUUCCACACCAUUAGUAAUUUGUUUUCGAAUGCCACCGAUUAAUGUAUUUACCUGGAUUUGCCAAUUUAUCAGUUCUUUUUUCAUAGUGUUUCUUGCAUUACAAUUUCUGAUCUUCCCGCGAAUCAUAAAAAUAUGACCCGCUAGCUCAAUCUUUGUUGUUUGGCACCCCUGAUCAUCAAAUCUGAGGCCUCACAAGUUUCGUUUCAAACCAGUUUGUCCUAGAGUGUAAAUAAGUGAAAGGUCCAAUGUAAACAAGUUUUAGUAAUGUGUAAACAAGUGGGAUCAUGGUGUGAAAAAAUUAAAAAUAAGACUCUCAACUGAUCUGAAUUGAAACUUGUGAAACCCGCAAAUCCAACCCGAGCCCAAUAAUAAGAUUAAAUGAGUUUUCGUACCCACUUCGUGCUUAGGAAUCCUGGGGCUAUUCCCAGUACUACGUUGGCUGGCCUUUCCAUUUUCACCUUUGCGUUGCACGUGGUGUUUUGCUGGCAGCAAUAAUGGCGCAAAUGAUGCACGGAGGAAUUGUUAAUGUACGUUGUUGGACGUUCAAGGGAGCCAAAAAAUUUAUUAAUUAGAGGGUUAAAAAUACACAAACCUAAAAAGUUGAGGGUUGACUGGGUUUUUUACUCUUAAUAUGAUUGUGACUUUAUUCUUCUUCCAGCCACCUAGUUCUGUUGGUGAUUAAUUAAGGAAAAAUCAUUUAAAACGUGUCUCAUAUUUUGUGAAAUAAAUUUUUUCAUCUCAUAUUUUUAAAAUAUUGACUUUACAUCCCAUAAAAAAAAAUUGACUUUACGUCUCUUAAAAAAAUGAAGUCUGUCAAAUUUACUUAACUACAAAUAGAAUCUAACCCUUUUUCACGUAUUAAAAUGAUCAUGUGUUGGUGAUCUAUUCAGGUCAAAAAAUUGUGGGUGAUGACCCAAGCACAGUUGGUGAUGACUGCAGUAAGCAGUAAAACUAUGAUUGUCAGGGAAGGGGUAUGCAAAUAAUUGUAAUGAUAUAGACAAAGGCGCAAGUAUGUAAAUUACAAAAGAGAGGGUUAAAUCCACAUCUUUCCAUCCCAAAAUCCACACCUUAAAUGCCAUCAGAAUAUUGAAGUUCUUGACAUUUAAUGGGUUUCUUCUAACUUUUUGUUUAUUCUAAAUUUUUGCUUUCACAUAAAGAAAUGUUUUGCCUUGUAGUAUUUUUUAUGAGAAUAAUUAUUUUUCAAUCUUUUUUAUCUUUCACAUGUUUUUUCGAAUUUUAUAAUCUCUUAUUUUAGAAAAGCUAUCUAAUGGAUAGUGAAUUUCAUAACACAAAUUUCAUGGCUUUAGGGAUUUUUGGGCCAUCUUAUGUGUAAUAUAUAAAAUUUUAAUUUUGUUUAUGAGAUAACAAUAGAUUUUACUAUACUAUGAAUAUUUCUUCCUAAAAAUAUAGUUUUUUAAGAUUUGAGGAUAAUCACAUUGGGGUUUUUGAUCACUACAUGAUUAGGUGUAUUUAACGAGUAGAGCAAAUUAUUUGGGUAGUUACUAAACUUUUCGAAUAGUUGAGUUUUGACCACUCAACUAUUAAUAGUAUGUUUUUACCCAUUGAACUAUUAAAAGUAUAUUUUUGAAUCAUUCCGUCUAAUUCCACCGUUAACUCUAUUAGAUCUAACUAUUAAUAGUAUAUCUCAUAAAUCGUGCGACUUCUUAAAUCUGGCAGAGUUAAAGGUGGAAUCAGAGGGAAUGGCUCAAAAUUUACAUAUUUGAUAGUUCAAUGGAUAAAAACAUACUAUUUGUAGUUGAAUGGUCAAAUCUUGACCAUUGAAAAAGUUUAGUGGCUACCCGAAUAAUUUGCUCUAACUUGUAUUGAAAGGAUAAAUUUGUCGAUUUAUUAGUUUGAUUUUAAUUUUUUACUAUUGACCGUUAGUUUUUCCGUAAUAACUAACGAUGGCACUUGAACUCAAACUAUGAGAUAAUUAUAUAUGAAUUUUUAAACUAUAAGGGAUUAUGUCGUAAAGGACUAAAUCAUAACGGGAUAAAAAGUAAUUUACCCUUAUAUAUAACAUAACAUGCUAUGAAGGCAUGCUGAUUAAACAAGAGGUAUUGUUCUUUCUUCUUCUAAAUCCAAACACAUUUAGUGGUACUAGUAGAAAGGUGGACUUUGUAUGUGUGUGUAUACAUACAUAUUUGAGUAUUUACGAUUAAGAUAGCUAAAGACCACAUAUUGCGAUUGUGCUCCACUAACGAAUUAACAACAUUAUAGUUGAUGUCUCAUGAGAAUUUAUACCAAGUGCUUACAGAUCAUGAUGCUAAAGACUCAUCCAAGAGAAACAAUCACAAUAAAACUUUUAAAACAGGGCAGCCAAGCAAAACUCAGUACUAUAGAAUUUGACAAAAGGUAGUAAAAGGUACAACAGGUUGCCUAGUUUCGUUUUGGAGAUAAAUACAAAUCGGAGAGCCAUCAGUAUAACUUGAUGUUUUGUCCCUCCAAGGUAGCCGACUUGGUGGUGUAGUCCCUAGUUAGGGCAUCCACCAGAGUUCGACCCUUGUAACAAAAAUGGAGAAUAAUCCAACAUUGUUUCACUUAGGUAACUUAUAGCCCUACGAAAAACUUACACUUCCAUUUCACCAUCAUUGUUUCACUAGGCAAAAACAUUUAGUAUUCCUUCUACUUGAAAGUCCUUGACUACCAGUAGCUUAGCCAGCAAACUUUUGUGUGUCGAAAAUGGUAAUUUCCAAAAGUAAUUUUAAAUUUUUGGCUUGUAUUUUUUGUUUAAUUUCUAUUUCUUAGCUUUUAAAUGAUCUGAUUGUAGCUCAAAGUAAAAUAUUUUAUCAAAUUUUUUAUAAACAAGUUCUUUUUAUCACUACACUACUUAAUAAAUAAACCAAAUCUUAGCCUAUGAAACAAGACAAGGAAGCUACACGUUGUCAGUAUUUCGAUACAGAUGUUAGUGUCAUUUACCCAAAACAAUAAUAAAACUUAAAGCUAAUUACUUGAAAAAUCAUUAUUCAAUAUCCAUUACAAUUCAAUUAAAACUUCAAAAUGUUUCUCAAUUUCAGUGUCUUAAUCAAAUGCUUUUGAGCCAAAAAUGGAAUUUGAAUAUUACGUUGAGAUAAAAGAAUCACACAAAAAAAAUAAAGUGUGAUAAGCAUUACCUUUCUUUACAAGUUCUAGAUCAAACAAACUCUACUAGAACAAAAAUAAGUUCAUGACCUUUUCAAAUGAAUCUUGUAAAAAAUAUAUUGCCUCUAACAAUUGGUAUGUAAUUUGCUAAAUGAAAUUACAGUUAUUUCAAAAAAUUUGUAUUUUAUGUAUAUAUACGAAGAUUAAAAAAAAAAAAGUGUAUAAAUGAUGGGUUGGGCAUCCGUGGUUUCUCAAGAGGCCCGUGGUUUCUCAAACCUCUUAUCCUAAUCCUCCUCCCGCGCGUAUUAUUGGGUACUUGACCCAAUUUUGCCUAGUCAAGAAAUAUAAAUCAGGUAUCUAAUUUUCAAAAUGCAUCGAAGUGACUUUCAUAGACCAACUAGUAUUUUUGCCUACCCGUCAUUAUUGACGUGAGGUGGUGGUGGAAAGGAGGAACAGGGUGUUGACGUGUGUGUAAGUGCGGGUUCUUAACUCUUGGAGAUUUUAAAUAUUUUGGGUAUUUCUUUGGUGUAUUUUUGUUAGUAUUCAUCUUUCGAUGGUUUGGUAUGUUGUUUAACUAGUUACUAUAGAUAAAAAUAUAUUUCUAAAACAUCCCAAAAGCGUACUUCUUAUUUUAUACGUAAAAGCAACAUUCUUAGUUAUUUGGGUAAAAUACAAAAAACCAUUUUGUGGUUAAACUAACCUACGCAAAAGCUCUUUAUAGUUUUAAACCAUACAUUUCGGCCCUCAUGAUUUGAGCUAAUUUGAAACAACCAUGGAAAUCGUCAAAACUAACAGAGGAGGAUGAAAUGAUCUAAUUAGCCUAAUAUAUAUAAGCAAUAAAAGAACUUCUAACAAUCAUCCUAUUAAGCAAAUUUAUGGAAAAAGCUCUCCUGUGGUUAAACCAACUUACGGAAAAAGCCCCUUAUUUAUUUUGUACAUAAGAAUAAGGUAAGGUAUAUUUGAAGGUUUUUAUUUAUCUAUUUUGUAUAUAGAAAUAAGGAGAGUUUUAUUUGGAAAUUUUUAUUUAUUUAUUUUAAGUAUAGAAAUAAGGUGAGUUGUAUUUGGGAGUUUGAGUUGCUUUUGAAAAUUUUACGAGUUCUAAGGUGUUUAAUAGGUAUAUCAGCUAAAAUUUGAUUUAAAAAAUUAUUUUCCAUGUCAAGCAACCUCAAACUCAUUAAUUUAAAUGAUUUUGGUCUAUUCUUCACAUUAGUUCAAACCACAACUAUUGGAUUGUAUGAUUUGAAACUAUAAGGGAGUUUUUCUAUAGGUUUACUAAACCACAGGGGGCUUUUCUAUAUUAUUACUCUAAGAAUAUAAUAGGUAUAUCAAUUGAAAAUUUGUUUGUUUUUAGUACAAAUGCAAAAGAAACUCAGACGAUUUUCAUCGUUUUUUUAAAUUAGUUCAAACAAUAAGGUACCGGAAUGUAUGUUUUGAAACUAUAAGAGAUCAUUUUGUAUGUUCACUCAACUUCAAGGGCUUUUCUAUAAUUUAUCCUUAUUCGAAUGAAAUCUGCUUACAUGUUGAUGUUUAAGCUACUCAUUUCAAUAAGGGUUUUUCUAAUGUAUGCCUGCUGGACACCCUUUAAUACAUCUAAUCUAUUAUGUGAAUACAUAUACUAAUAAUUAUUAUCUUUCCUUAUAUUUAUAUAUUUUCUUAAUUAGCUUCAUUUUUUUCAAAGAAAUUAAUAUUUGAACUGCAUUUUAACAAUGCCCAAAGGAGUGACCCUACUGACAAAAUCAAGAAAACAAUUUCAUUAAAGCGGAUAACAAAAUUCUCUUCGACCUUGCAAAAUGAAUUUGGUUGGUCCGACCCAAACUGGGCCCAUAUUGCCCAUCAACAAUAGGGCCAACUUUUUCUUGAAAAUGGUCUGGGCUGAGGAUGGGAAAAAUUGAACUCCCAUUUUCCAAGUGGGUCAUACUAAGCUCGGCCUGUUUUCAGAGAGUCCCAGAGAGGCUGAUACAUGAGAUUGAAGUAAUUAUCUAUGAGAGAAGGGGUAAUACAAUUGGAAUUUUCAUACAAUUGUGCGAUUGUUGUAUAUUUUACUUAAUUUGAUGUAUACUUCAUUUCUUUGUUUUAUACAUAAUUUUUUUUUAUAAGAAGCAAAACUCAUUAACAAAUUGCUAAAAAUUAUCCAGCACAAUUUGAUCUACAUCACUAUCCUAAUGGUAGAUUAAAUAUGUAUUAGAAAUUAUAGAUCUGCAAUUUAAUUUAUACAAUGGAUUCAAAAAAUUAUAAACAUAUUUGAAAAAUAUAAGAAAUUUGAAAUUUGUUUUUUAAUAGAUAAAUCAUUGCAGUUCCCUUUUGUGUAUGUUGUAAUUGCUAGAUCUACUAGUCAACAAUUUUAAACUCCAAUAAUGAUGGUGAAAUCUAUCAAAAUAGAUUCAAGAUUCGAAAAAAUUCAGAUCUAAUAACCAGAUCUGAAAUAAAUUUAGAUGUAACAUUAAAAAAAUAAAAAUAAAUAAAAAUCUCCAUAGGAAUCCUUAGAAGAACACCAAAAAAAAAAUACACAUAAUUGGUUUGGGCCUAAUUAGGUAUGUCAAUGGGUAGAGUCUGGAUCUGAAUCAAAGGGAUCCAGAUUCAGACCCAUUUAAUUUAGUUAGACCCAAACCCAGAUCCAAACCCUUUUGGGUUUGAAAAGUAAGUCCAUACUCAGAUCUUUAUGGAUUUGGAUAUCCAAUGGGCAUCCAUGUGUAUUUUCUAAAAAUACUAAAGUAAAAAUGUACUAAAAAUAUAUAGAGUUCAUAAAUAAUAUAAAUACCAUCCAAUUUUUGUUUGCAAAUAAUAAAAUUUAACAUUCAACAAGUUGAAUGCAAUAUUGUAAACUCAAAGAAAGAAUUAUUAUUGACUACUUCUAUAUAUUUUCAAAGUUUCAACUACAUCCACAUCAAUAUUUCAUUUAUUUGCCUUUACCUUUUUUCCUUUUAUUGAAAAAGUUUGUACCAAUUACAAUAACAACUAGGAUUAGUUUUUAAAAAAGAAAACAACCAUAACAUAUAUAUUAGUCUUAUUAAAAAAAUGUAAUUUUGUACCUCUUUCUCUUAUUUAAAUCUUAAUGUUGGUAGAUGUCUCGCAAUCUAGUACUAAAAUAGUGAAUGAAAUAAAAGUCAUUUGACUAAGAACCUAUGGCAAAUAAAUAAUAGAAUAAGAAGAUUUAUAAACACAUACUCUUUUUUUUUUUUGAUUCAAUCCAAUCAUCAGUAGUCACUAAUGUUUUGACCAUAUCUAGAAGCAAUUUGGCAUGAGUCUCGUCAAUCACUCAGCCACUAACACUAAAUGCAUAUUUUGAUGCCAUAAAAUUUUACCGCAUUCGAUCCAAUAGCCAUAACAUAUUAUAUUGUUUUAUAAAUUUUCUAAUAUAUAUUAUGUAAUUAAAUAUAUAUGGGUCUGGGUAAGAUUUGAUAUGAAUUUGAAUUUGGAUAUGGAUUCUAGAAAAUUAGACUCUACCCAAAUCCAUGACUCUCUCACAGGGUCCGGGUCUGGGUAGGGUCUAGAUUUGAGAAAUUAAAUUCAAACCCUAUCCAAAUAAAUUAGGUUUGGAUUGGAUUUGAAUAAGAUCCAACCCAUUAACAUGCCUAAGCCUAACAGAUGAAAUGGGCAUGUGCACUUAGGUACAUACUAAAAGACAUAAAAGGGUUCUUGAAAAAAAAAAGGAAAAAGAAAAAAGGGUGAUAAAGGAGUCACAACAAACCAACAUUGUAUAAGUACAAAUGCAGUUUUGUACGUCCCUGGGUGUACUUCAUAUCGUAGUACGAAUAAAGACUUCAAUCUUGGUGUUGGGUAAUGGAGUUCCUCUCUUUCUAUCCAAAUAUCGAAUUCCCAAAUUAUCCCUAGUUUGGAUCGAGUUCUACUUGUAAUUCUAAUUAGUACAAGGUAUCAUGUUCUGGUCCAAUGACAAAAGGAUGAAGGUGUAUAUCAAUUCAAUUCAGGGGCAGGGGGACAAAUAUCUUUUUCGUCUUUGGAUAUCGUCCGCAAGGUAUUCAGUAAAAUUCCUAAUAUUCACAAGCUGGAAUGCAUUCUCAUUGCGUAUACUGAACAUAAUUGGGUUUCAGCAGACAAGAUUCUACUACUUGACUUUCCAAGUGGACUAGAAUCACUGAAUCUGAUGAUCAAUCGUUAUACACUUCUUCCCAAUCCCUUUAGCAAUUAGAAAGUUGACUCUAUCCGGUUUUCUUUUCCCCUGGAGCAAAAUUUCAGCGUUCGAAAGUCUUCCCAGUCUGGAGGUCCUCAAAGGAACAAAUGGACAUGGAAAACACUGAUCUGAAGAUCCACAUUUCAUGCCAUGAAAUGGAUUACUGAUCUUCUCGUGUAUGUUUAGUUUGGUCAGUCAAUUCACUCAUUUUACAUUUUCUAUUAAUUUUCUAGUUUUGUACUAUUACUGGUACUGUUGCAUCAGUCAACCAUCAAGAUCAUGCUAUUCCUGUUGUUUUAAUAUGCUUUAUCUUGUCUCAAACUGUGUGGUGCAAACACUCCCCAGGAUUAUUGUUGUUUCUAAAGAUUUAAAUGAAGCAGCUUUUUUUCCUUUCCUAUUUUGCCACUUGGAUUACACAAUUUUAUUCAGUCUCAAGAAGGUAAGAAUACUCAUGGAUAGGGUAUUUGCCUUUCUUUUUACUUUAUGCCAUCAUGCGAAUAUUUCCUUACUCAUUGCUUAUAAGAAAUUCUAACCAUGAUUGUCAAUGUUUUCAGACUAGGAUUAUCAGACUAAUUGUUCUGAAAGAUGGAUCAAAAAGAGGUUCACAUUGCUCGCUCAAUGAUUUCUUUCUCAUAACUAAUGAAAAUAUCGCCAGCCAGUCGUGAUUGUUGAUUCUUGGUACACUAACAAGAAUGUAACACAGUGUACUACUUCUCGGUUCAAUGGAAUCCAACCAUUCUGUAUUUGGUUUUGUGUUAAAAACGCCAACCAGAUGGAAAAAUUAAAGGAAAUGGUGUGGCAAUAAGAAAGAGAGUGAAUUCCAAUAAACCCCCUGCAAAAGUAUCAUUCUUCACAUUGCCCCACUAAACAUUUAAUUGAACAAAUCCAUCCUUGUACUAUUACAAACUUCCCAUUCAACUACCGUUGGGUCUAGCAGCUCAAUUUUAGGUUGAAUCAAUCACGUGAAGCACACAUGGUUUCAUGAAUUGACCAGAUUGUUGAACUAAUUAAACAAUUAAGAUGAACUCUAGAUAAUUACACAUUUGUAAAAACAUUUGACCUACUCAAACAUAAAAUACGUUGUACUUAACAAUGAUAUUUUUAAAGAGUUUUUUCCUAUUUUGAUUGCUAUUUUUUAGAGUUUUUACAGAAAAAUGCACAGUAACAAUUUGAUGUAUAUGAUAUAAAAAGGUGAUUGGAAAAUGUGUUUACAAAAAACGUAAAAAAAUUUUUGGGGAAAAGUGACCAUCCAAACAAGGCUUGAAAAUAAAUUUCAAUUAUGAUAAUAAACCAAAAGCUAUAGAUAAUAGAAUUUUUUGCAUUAUGGGGAAUUACUAGAUUGUUUUAGAAAAUUUUCGAUCAAGAGUAAAUAAAUAAAAUUUUAUAAUUAAGAAAUUGUGGGAUAAUUUGAUUGCUUUAUGAAAUGAUUAUGUGUUGCAUAUGACUAAUUCCGGUAAAAAUUUGAGCUUCCUGAUUAAAUAGUACCUGAUUGUGAAAAUUGUAAUAACACUAGUGUUGAUUGGUUCAAUUAAAUGUUCAAGGAGGUAAUGUGAAGAAAAGGUAAUUUUAGGGAGUUUAUUGGAAUUAACCAUAAGAAAAAUUCGAAGGUUUGAAUGAUCUCAUAGUAGACAUAAUCAUCAAUAGGAUCUUUUUUUCUUCGAAAAGAGAAAAUGUACAAUGGUUUUUAUUAUUUUUAAAUUAGGAUUGACGGUUAAUUACCACCGAAAUGCUAUAUAAACAUCCAAAAAUUGAUGUUUGAAUAUCCAAAAACUAUAUGAACAAUCGCAUUAGUUUUGGGAAACUUUUUGAUCAACACAAUUCAAGAUAAAGUCACAAAUUAAUGAAGAAAGGUUGCAAUUUUUUAUCAUUCUCAAUCUCAACGCUAUAAAAGUUUAGUAGGGAUGAUUUGUUGUAGAAGAUCAUUUACUUACUAUUAGAAUUCUUUAAAAAAACACACCAUAGUUCAAGUAAGUUUGUCUAACUUUAUAAAUGACCAAAUUUUGAAAAUUCUCUAAUCACAUAAGUCUAGGUUCUACUUUUUUUUUUUGGUACAUUGGAGAGCCUCUGGCUCAUUACAAGGACACUAGACGGGGAGCCGUCACUCCCACGAUAUCCUGGGCCAAAAUCUCUCUCAGUCGAUUCAGGGGCUCCUCCAAUCACUUCACUCCCAUUUCUUGCCUCAAACUACUCUUGGCUAAAUAGUCCACACUCGUAUUUCCCUCUCUCCAGGUGUGGACAAGCAUAACUUUCCAUUCCCUUCUCAACCAUCCCUGUAUCUGCUUAACAAGUUUUGAGUAAAGGCCUGUGCUAGUACUAGUCUUCAACAGAGAUAAUGUUGUUAAUGAGUCUGACUUUAAUACCACUUUCUUGUGCCCUUGCUCCCAAACCAUUUCUAAGCCGUACAUCAUUCCCCACUGCUCCGCCACUACAUUUGUGGUUAUCCCCAGGCUCGCUACAAAAUCCCCCUUCCAUAGACCCUUGUCGUCACGUAUUAGUCCUUUUGACUCCUGCCUGUGCUAGGUUACCCGUAGUAGCCCCAUCGACAUUGACUUUCAUCCAACCCUUUGGUGGCUUUACCCAGCUAAUAAACAUCAACUUCUUCCCCUCCAUCUUACCUUCCUUCUGCAACACUGUUUGCACUUGCUUUGCUUGAGCUAGCACUUGCCUAUAGCUAUAUCUCAGCUUGCUGCCAUCCCCUACACAGCAAAAAGCAUUUCUAGCUGACCAGGCCAAAUAAUCCAAGUUCUGAAAUAAGAAUUGCCGGCAUACUUCCCUAUCUGUCCCAACAUUUCUCUCUCGGAGGUUCCAAUCCAUCCAGUAUUUUAGCUCCAGUCUCUUAAACUGAUCCUAGUCUAGGUUUUACUUUACCAAGAGAACGAAUUACUUGUUCAACUGAGGUAUUUGGUGCUAAGAAGAGAGAAGCUUUUAGAGAGAGAGAGAGAGAGAGAGAGAUUGGGGAAGUUUUCCAUGUAUUUCUCUUAUCAACAUACAAAGAUACAAGUGCCUAUUUAUAAGAUUACACAAGAGUAGUAAUUAGUGUCCUACCAACUACUAACACCUAUCAAAUCCUUAAUUGAUACACAUUAACUCCUAAUAGAAUAUUUACAACCUCACCUACCAACUACUACAACUUAAUCCAACACUCCCCCUCAAGUUCGUGCAUAAAUAUCGUACAUGCCCAACUUGCCUAAUGAGUUGUUGAAAAUUUUAGUCGGCACAGCUUUUGUGAGUAUAUCGGCUAGUUGAUCUUCUGACUUCACGAACGGAAACCGUAUCGCUCUUUCUUCAAGGUUCUACUUGAUGAAGUGUCGAUCGACCUCAAUAUGUUUAGUACGAUCAUGUUGAACCGGAUUAUGGCUGAUAUAGAUAGCAACUUUGUUAUCACAGGAUAAGUUCAUCUCUGAUUGAGGAGCAAAGCCAAUAUCGGCCAUCAGCCUCUUGAGCCACAGAAGUUCACACAUUCCUUUAGCCAUGCCUCUAAAUUCAGCUUCUGCACUCGUAAAUGCUACCACCUUUUAUCUCUUGCUUCUCCAAGUAACUAGAUUACCACUGAUGAAUGUAAAGUAGCUUGCGGUUGACUUUCGAUCGGUGGCACCUCCUGCCCAAUCGGCAUCAGUAUAACCUUCGACAUUGAGAGUGUCGUUCUUGGAAAAUAGGAGACUUUUUCUAGGAGGCCCUUUUAAAUAUUGAAGGAUCCUCAUCACAGCUUCCAUGUGUUGAUUACUAGGUGAAUGCAUAAAUCGACUGAUCACACUGAUUGCAUAGGCAAUAUCAGGCCGAGCAUGUGACAGGUAGAUCAGCUUACCGACCAAUCUCUGACAUCUCUCUUUAUUAGUCAGCUUCUGAUUUGGAAAUUCUCCCAACCUGCGGUUCUGCAUAAUCGGCGUAUCAGCAGGUUUACAGUCUAAAAGCCCAACUUCUGCCAAAAGAUCCAGCACAUACUUUUUUUGAGAUAUGAGGAUGCCUUGUGCCGAUCUUGCCACUUCAAUUCUCAAAAAGUACUUGAGAUUUCCUAAACUCUUAAUUUCAAACUCAGCAGCCAGCUGAUCUUGUAACCUAGAGAUCUCCUCUUCAUCAUCUCCUGUAAUAAUCAUGUUAUCAACAUAGAUUAUUAAAACAGUUACCUUUCCAUGCUGAUGCUUCAGGAAAAGAGUAUGAUCGGCAUUACUUUGCUGGAAAUCAUAUUUCUUCAUAACUAGAGUAAAUUGGCCGAACCAAGCACGUGGUGACUCUUUAUGCCCAUACAAUGCUCUCUGCAAUCGGCACAUAACAUUUGUUUCUGGUGCUGAAGAGUAUCCAAGUGAAAUAUUCAUGUAAACCUCCUCCUCAAGAUCUUUAUGCAGAAAGGCAUGUUUCACAUCAAACUGAUGCAAUGGCCAAUCCAAAUUUGCUGCAAAGGACAACAGUACUCUGACUGUAUCCAAUUUAGCUACUGAUGAGAACGUUUCCCGGUAAUCGAUGCCAUAAGUCUGAGUAUAUCCCUUGACAACGAGUUGAGUUUUAUAUCUGUCAAUCGAUCCAUCAGCCUUAUACUUGAUUGUGAAUACCCAUUUGCAUCCCACCGUUUUCUUCCCAUCUGGCAGUGUGACCAAAGUCCACAUGUCAUUUUUCUGCAAUGCCGACAUCUCAUCUUUAAUUGCUUGAGUCCAAUUUGGAUCCUUGAAGGUAGCAUGCACAUCAUUUGGAAUAUCAGCUAUUGACACAUUAUUCACAAAGGCUUCAAGAGGUUUAGAAAGCCUGUCAGUGGACAUGUAAUUGGCAAUAGAAUACUUUGAUCGUUUUGUACGAGUCUCUGGAGAGUAUUGAGACGGUGGCUUGCCACGAGUGGAUCUGUCAGGUAAUACAUAUCUUACAGUAGUAUCCAAAAUAAUAGUAGGAUCGGUAAGAGUACUUACCUCAAGGAUAUUCUCAGGAGAUGUAUAGUCAGGUAUUGAGGAGAAAGGGGUUAUAUCAGCAACUGGUAGAUCACCAACACCCCCUAUAUCAGCACCAUCUGAAUUAGCAGCAGCACGUUCAUCAUGCUCAUCAUAUUUCCAUCAGCAUUAUCAGUAGAAGAAUCAGUAGCAGCAGCAUCGGCAGCAGAAUCAUCAUGUCAUGCUAAUCCUGGCCAAUUCUUUUCUUCCAUAUCCCUUAUUUCCCUCUGAAGAGAUGAAUUGGAUGCCGAUAAGAAAAAUGUUUCUAAUUCCAAGAAUAUGACAUCCAUUGUCUCAUACAUCUUGCUAGUGAGUGGGUCAAAGCACCGAUAGCCCUUUUGUGCAUUGCAUACCCUAUGAAGACACACCGAACAGCACAAGGAUCAAGUUUAUUUCGUUGAUUCUUGUGCAAAUGAACAAAUGCCAUGCAACCAAAUACUCUUGUUGGAAGCAUCAGGACCGAUGGUAGAGUGAAAUACUGAGACAGUGAUUGCAGCGGGUUUGAAAAUUAAUAGUUUUUUAAGGCCAUCUAUUUAGCACAUGGACUGCCGUUGUGACUGCAUCAGGCCAAUAUCGGCAUAGAACAUUGGCACCGAUUAGUAAUGCUCUUGUUGUUUCAAGUAAGUGCCAAUUCUUCCUCUCGGCUACUCCAUUUUGCUGUGGAGUUGGAGUGCAGGAUGUUUCAUGUAUAAGACCGUUGGCAUUAAAGAACUCUUGUAGUGGCCGAUUAUCAUAUUCACCACCAUUAUCAGAUCGAAAAAUCUUAACUAUAGCUGAAAACUGUGUACGAAUCAUAGAACAAAAUGAUUUGAAAAUAUCAAGUACUUCAUUCUUAUGUUUCAACAGAUACAGCCAAAUCAUUUGAGUACAGUCAUCUACAAAAGUUACAAACUAACGGACUCCACUAGAUGAAGUAAUCGGUGAGGGCCCUCAAACAUCAGAAUGUACUAAAGCAAAAGAAGUAUCAGUCUUAUUCAAACUGAUGGGGUAUGGGACUCUAUAACUCUUAGCUAAUACACAGACCUCACACUUCAAAUCAGUAGUAUUGAUAUUUGAGAAGAGAUUUGGAAAUAGGUGAUUCAUAUACCUAAAAGAAGGAUGUUCUAGUCGCUGAUGCCACAACCGGAUAUCUCGCUCUUUGGUGUUAUCAGCACUUUUUAUCUGAUUGGGUCUAUCGAGAUUGAAAUCAUCAAUGUAAUAUAGAUCCCCUCUCCUAGUACCACGACCCAUUGUCUCUUUUGUGAGAAUAUCCUGAAGAAGACAAAAGGUUGGAUACAUUAGUGCUAUACAAUGUAGAUCAGCAGUUAUUUGACUCUCUAAUAAUAACUUAUUUGACAGUGAGGGAAUCAAUAAGGUAUUCGGUAGAGACAAAGAUGGAGAUAAAGUAGCAAUCCCAACUUUUGUAACUGGAUACUAAACACCAUUAGCAUUGCAGAUCAUCGACCGUCGUGGUUUUGUCACCGAUGAGAAAUUAUUGGGAUCAUAGGUCAUAUGAUCGCACCUGAAUCGACAAUCCAAUUACUAUCACGUCGAUUGGGGUAGCACAUAUCUUGAUGUUGAUCAGCAGAAUAUGUAGAAAGCACCUGGGCAAUAUCGAGGACAAUAGCUGUUGUUGUUGUAUCAGCAGUUGUAACAGCCACUCUUCCAGAGCUUCCAUCUUGAUCAGCAACAUUUAAUCGAUCAGUCCGUUGAUUUCGCCCUUUGCGCUCUUUCCACCAAGUUGAGUAUCCAUGCAGUUUGAAGCACGCAUCCUGUGUGCGCUCUUUCCUACCGCAAUGAAUACAGCUAUCUUUCCCAGUUGGCAUCACAGAUUGGGCCACUAUGAUCGGCUCAUUCUUCUUUCCCUUGGAUGCCAUGACAGUGCCGAUUGGACUAUCUCCGCCUGUCAGCAUUACCGAUUGCCUAUUAUUCUCAUGUCAAACAUAGGCAUAUGCCUCUUCUACUAUCGGAAAAGGUUUCAAUCACAGAAUAUCACUCUGAAUUUGAUCCAAUUGAUCAUCUAACCCAUCGAGGAAAGUGUAUACCCUCUCCUCCUAAAUGAGAGAGUUAUACCUGUCGAUAUCGACAGCACACUCCAUUGGGUUCGACCGACGAAAGUCAAUUUCUCUCCACAAGCCUUGCAGGUUGUUGUAGUACUUCUCAAUCGGCCCGCCAGCUUGUCUUAACCUGGUCACCCUCCGCCUCAACUCAUACAACUGGGAUAUAUUAGCCCUAUCAAAGUAUGUAGUAGCAAUAGCAUCCCAUACCGCUUUUGCUGUAGGAAACGGAUGAAGGUACCGAUCAAGGAUGGGUCCAUAUUGUUUAUCAGCCAUCCUUUCACAAUAGAAUCUUCAGUCCGCCACCGUCGGUAUGCCGGAUCUGUCGGUGAGGUUGAGGGAAUUCACCAUUGAUAUUUCCCAACUUGCCCUUCCCGGAGAUGUAUAUCUCGACAACUUGGGACCAUAAGGCAUAGUUGGUGUCGUCCAACUUAAUGUCGAUUUGAACCGUAGAUGAAUCAGUACUCGGUGAAGGCUUCUGACAUCUAUUCAGGACUUCCAUCAUUCGGGUGGCCAAUUCCUCUAGAACUAUGUCAUCCUGCCCUUUCUCACCUUACAUGAGCACAGAUGAUUCAGCCAUGGUUAUUGCUCAAAGAUUAUCAGAGUAACACUUUGGAGCAGAGAUCUUAGAAUCCCUACUCUGACACCAUGUUAAGAAGAGAGAAGCUUAGAGAGAGAGAGAGAGAUUGGGGAAGUUUUUCAUGUAUUUCUCUUAUCAAUAUACAAAGAUACAAGUGCCUAUUGAUAGGUUUACACAAGAGUAGUAAUUAGAGUCCUACCAACUACCAACUACUAACACCUAUCAAAUCCUUAAUUGAUACACAUUAACUCCUAAUAGGAUAUUUACAACUUCACCUACCAACUACUACAACUCAAUCCAACAUUUGGCAGUUCAAGGAACCAUGAAAGUCCAUUGCAUCAUCCAUAAACCAAUCUAACAAACUUCGAAACUUUCAUUGUGGGAACAUUUUCUCAUAUUGUUUCACUGUCAGAUACCAUGUUGAAUCUGAAGAAACUAAGGCAUUUGUGCAUUAGGAGAAAGCCUAUAUUUUAUUCCACUUUUCGAUUGCCCACCAACAAUCUUGGCAAUUCUGCACAGUUAUGCAAUUUAGAUACUUUCUCUGACACAAUUCUUUCUUCAUGGGAGAAUGCGGACAAGAUAGUCAGAAAGUUUCCCAAUAUUCGCAAGCUGAAAUGCAGCAUCGAACUCCUUGAAUCUGAUUAUCCUGCUUGGGGUACAUCCGACAGGAUUCUAGUACUUGACUCUCUAAGUCAACAAGAAUCACUUAUUUUGAAGUUGAAAAGCUAUGUUCAAUGCCAAUUUGAGUUUCAAUUCUCUUCCACUAUUAAAAAAUUGACUCUUUCGCGCAUUUACUUCCCUUAGACCAAAAUAUCAGUAAUCGAAAAUCAACCUAAUCUUGAGGUUCUCAAAUUACUUGAGGGGGAAAAUGGAACAUGGAAGAAUAGGGGUCCCUAAAAGGUAGUUUCUUGAAAUUGGCUUCCCUGGAUAUUAUCAAGUGGACUGUCUCUGAGUACAUGGAAUGUUUUCCAAGGAUAAGGAAAUUAAAUUUGGAAGAUUGUCAUUUUUUGGAGAAGAACCCUUCUUCUUUGAGGAAUUCAAGUCUUGAAAUAAUUGAGGUGUCUAAUUGUUCCUACUCUGCAAGUUUUAUAGAGCCACUUCAAGAGAUACAAAUGCACAUGGGAAAUUUUCAUCCAAAGAAAUGGACUACGGAUCUUCUCAAAUUUAUUUAGUCUGGACAAUCAAUUUAUUCAUUUUAUUUUUCUCAAUUUUUUUUUUUUACUUUUGUACUAUAACUAGUUGUGUUGCAUUAGUCUAACAUCAAGAUCAAGUUGCUCAUUUUGUUUUAUUGUUCAUUAUCCCGUCUCAAACCUGUGUGGUAGGAUCACUUCCUAGGAUAUUUGUUGUUUCUAAAUAUUUAAAUGAAUGAAGCAACUGUUUUUGUUUUUCAAAUUUUAGUUAUGCUUUCAAGAAUAGCUACAAAUUUAGUCAAUCUUUUCAUACCGUUAGUUCGUAAUUUGUUUACAAAAAAGAACGAAUGCCAUCGACUAAUUUAAUUACUAGGAUUUCAUAAUUUAUCAAUUCUUUUUUCCAUUGUCUACCUCUACAAUUUCUUUCUGCUAGGUUUAGUAGUCUAGCUGUCCAACCCGAGCCCAAUAAUGAGAUAAAUGAGUAUUUUGUACCCACUUGGUACUUGCGAAUCUUUCCUCCUCCUCCUUCUCCUUUUUGUCCCCAAUUUGCCACUUGCAUUAUUCAAUUCUGUUGUUUAGUCUGUCUUCGUAUUUUACACCAGGAGUUUUACAAAAAAAUCUCUCGUCUUAGUGGUUAUAAUUACAAUGAAUUUAAAUAUGCUAAGGGUACCAACUCAAGUGUCAUAUGCACUAGAUCAAGAAACUUUUAGAGGGCCCGCAUCCUACUCUGAGAGGAGUUUUGAUUAGACAUCAAAUGAAAAGAGUAAGUUAUAAGACUUUGGACCAUUAAGCAUUUUAUAAUAUUUAAUCUCUUUUGUGUUUUCAGUUUUAUGUGCCUUUUGAGUCUUGGAAUUAUUUUCUAGGAUUUUGUACUCUUUUUUUGUUAUGGUAAAUCUGUUACUCCUUCGCCAAAUAGAUGUAGGUUAAUUCAACCGAACCACAUAAAAUUUUGUAUUUUUCUGUUUUUUUUAUUUGCUUUGUUAUUAUCUUUAUUGGGUUGCCACAAACCCCACUGUUCUGAUUGAUCAAUUUUUUGGAACCAGACCUAGCAAACUGGUAUUAGAGUUUCAGGCUUUGGGUUCAGUGACAACAAUGAUGAUAACAGACUAUCAAUAUCAAUUUCGAAAUAUUGAUUUAACGCUACAGAGAGUGAAGAAAAAUCUCCCAUUGGAGUUUAGUUGAAUUUUGAAGAAGAGCUAUUUCGCCUGUUGGAACUUGUUGAGGAUGAAGCAAGAUUAUUAUGUUUGAUAUUUUAGCCCAUUGGGAUAUGUUGAAUCUUUUGUGAGUUUUGAUCCGUUGGGACCUAUUAGGGGGGGAGGGAUGUGUUGGGUGGUACGGCGGGAGGGAGUGUAAUUGUGAGAUCUUGGGUUCGAGUUCUCUUGUUUACACUUAAAAAAAAUAAUAAUAAUAAAAAAAGAUCCGUUGGGACCUAUUGAAUCUUUUGCAUCUUGGCUCGUUAGUGGGUCAUUGAGGUCUAUUGGCACUUUUGUGGUUCAUUGGGAUUCAUUGAGACUUUGUGAAAAAAGUGGAGUAUGUUUGCUAUUUUUACACGCCAAGAUGGAGAUAUUGAAUUUAAUUUUUGUAUCCCACAUUAGAAGUUUUAUAAAGAAAUCUCUCCUCUUACUAGUUAUAAAUACAAUGCAUUUAAGUGAAUUUAAAUGUGUUAAGGGCAUCAGUCCAAGUGCCCUGUAUGCACUAAUCCAAGAGAAUUUUAGGAGACCCACAUCCAAUUUGAGAGGAGUUUGGGUUAAACAUCAAACGAAAAGAGCUAAUUAUCAGACUUUGGACCGUUAAACAUUUUGAAUUAUUUAGUUUCUUUUGUAUUUUCAGUUUUAUGUGUCUUUUGGCCUUGAAAUUAUUUCCUAGAAUUUCAUACUCUUUCUUUUAUAUUCUUUUUUAGUUAUAAUAAAUUUGCUACGCUUUCGCCGUCGUCUUUGGACUAAAUUGGCUCCCCUUUCGCCCAUAAAUAUAGGUCAAUUCGACCAAACCAUGUGUUUUAUUUGCUUUAUUAUUAUUUUUAUUGAAUUGUCAGGAAUCCUCUUAUUUUCAUUGGUCAAUUUCUUGAGACCAGACGUGACAAAUUCUGCUUGGAGUCUCGAAAAAGGUACUUGCAUAUAAAUACUCCUUGGUAGAUCAACUUGCGUUUCUUUUUUGUACUUUUAUUCCCAUCACAAGACCUUUUGACCAGGAAUACCAAUAGUGUUUUCAGACCUGGAUUAUCUGACUAACUGGAUCUAAAAGAUGGAUCAAAACGACUUUCACACUCUUAGGUUCACAUUGCUCAAGUAAUGAUUUUAUUCUAAUAACUAAUUGAAACACAAAAUCAUUGCCAGCUAGACGUAACCAUGAUACACAAACAAGAAUAUGAUACUGCGCACUAUCCUGCGGGUUCAAUUCAACGGAAUCAAACAAUUCUGUAUUUGGUUUUUAGUGCUCGAAGUUGGGUCAGCCAAAAAAACCAGCUGGAAUAGUGGAAACGGUGCGACAAUGAGACAAAGGGUGAGUCCCACUUUAAUAUAAUACAAGUGGAAUCCUAGAUGUAGAAAUAUAAGAAGGCGGGCCCCUCUUCAUCGAAAGAAAUUAUCUUUUCGUGGAUACAACACUUCAAAAAUAAAUUUCAAAAUUAAUCAAAUUUGCCCGACAUAGAGGCAAUUAAGAAAGCCGCAUACGUAAAUAUAUAACCAGUCAUAUGAAAAGCAUAUUUCGUGAACUGACCAAAUUACCAAUCUCUUGCUAUUUAUAAUCUCACCACGAAAGUUUUGAACUACAAUAAAAUAGUCAAUAUGAGCUCUCGAUAAUGUGCAUGUUAUGAGAACAUUAUCAAAUUAACCGGCUCAUUAAUAUCUUUUUUCAUAUUCUUAGUAAGUAUUAUAAGGAGUCAAUAAAAAUCAAAGGUUAUGAGCAAGUUGUUGAAACUAUUUAGACAAAAAAAAAUGUCAAAGAUAAACAAAUGGAAAUAGAGUCCUACUAAUUUUUAGCAUUUCCCGAAAGAUGAUAAACAGCAUGCACUGGUUCAAUUUUCUAUGACCUGCUGACUCUAUAUAAGAUCAGGUUUUUUGGGUCAAUAAUUCAGCUACAAAAUUAUUCCUUAUGAAUAAAUAAUAUAUAUAGUUGUGAGUCUAUAUACUCGCAACUAUGGAGGAAAUUUCCAAAUCAUAAGAGUUUUAAGAAAGGGUCCCAAAUAGUCAAGGUUUUGAAAAAAAAUUCAAUAAAUGUGAUUUCUUAAUGAUGCAUUCGUACGUUAUUUAAGUAAUAUCUACCUAUAGAAAUAGUAAAAAAAUAUAUAUAAAUACAUCAUGUGAAAAAAAAAGAUUGCAUUUCACUAAAUGUGCUUUUCACAAUUUGAGAAAAAGUUAAAAAAAAUUACUCCCUCCGUCUAGGGCUGCAAACGAAUCCAGCCGCUCGCGAGCGGCUCGAGUCGAGCUCGAGCUGGUUCGAGUCGAAAUCGAGCUCAAAAUAUUAAGCUCUUGCAAGCUCGAGUAUAUAUAUAAUAUUUUUUAUUUUUUUUAUUUUAAGUAUAUAUAUAUUUUUUAUUUUUAAGUAUAUAUAUUUUUUAUUUUAAUAGUAAAAUUACAUAUAUAUCCUUAAUAUUUUUAUUAUUUAUUAAAAAAUAUAUUAUUUUAUUUAUUUUUUUUAAAAAUAAAAUAAUUAUUUUUUUAAUUUUUUUCGAGCUCGAAAAUUGCCGUUCGUCGAGCUCGAGCUCGAGCUUGGUAAAAUUUAGUCGAGGCUCGGCUCGAUUAACCCAAAACUCGACUCGACUCGACUCGACUCGUUUGCAGCCCUACCUCCGUCCCAUUUAUUUAGUUAUAUUUGGGAAAUCCAACUUUUUAAAAAUAGUGAUUUGAUUGUGAUAUUUAUACUUUUCUUUUUAAUUUUAUCCCCACAAAUUCAAAUUUUAAAUUUGAAUGGUAACAUGCAUAUGAUUAGAAAAAAAGGCUAUAUUGGAAAGAGAGAUUAAAAGGUGUUUCAACUUUACUAACAUGACAGUUGUUUUGGGACAUUCCAAAAUGAAAAAUAUAAUAAUUUCAAUGAGAUGGAGGGAGAUUAUCCUUUGAAAUUUUUUCUUAAAAUGUCUCACUUUUUGGGAAUUCAAUAUCCAGAAAGAGUUGAGCACUUGAUUAAACAUAGUGUUGUAGCCUAAUAAGCUUGUCAAAAAUUACUGACCAAAAAUGGCAAGUGAGUUUUUUGGAUGUUUGUCUAAAACUUUAUUAUAACUUACUGUAGAAGUUUUUUAAAAAAUUUUUGAAGUGUGUUUUUUUUUAAUAUUUUGAAGUGUAUAGUUUAAAAACUUUGAGAAGUUUUUUGAGGUUACUGUAGCUAAAUUUUUUUAAAAAACUUGUAAUAAACAAACUUAGCAAAAAAUUUGUCUACCAAACAAGGCCACAGACGAGGAAUUCAUUACUUUUUCACAUGUGAAAUUUCUUAUACUUUCCCUUUUUUUUUGGGCAAAACUGUGAAAGUAAACUGUGAAAACAAGCGCAACAUCUCAGAACAGAACCGGUGUUGUCCCCAUAUCGAGAUAAAAUAAUGCAAGUGAGGAGGAGCCCAAUAAUUCAGUAGCUCUCCACUUCUUCUGCAAUGGAAGUAUAUUUGCAUCAAAGUUUCUGCAAAGAAAAGGCCAAAUUAUCCCACCAGGUGCUAGGCAUUGACAGACCCUCCUUACCAGCACUCCCAAUUGGACUGUACACAAAUUCUCUCGAAAACCUCGACCUAACUUCUUCUGAGCUCAGAGCUUUCCUAGUUUCUGAAAGAGAGAUCUGUACAACUUUUUUCAUCAUUCCUAGCCAUAUUCAUUGACUUGCUUCAUCUCUAAAUUUAACUAAUCUUCCUUUCGUUAAAUGGCCUCCAGUUGUCUUACUUGCAUUUCCGCCAUCUUGGAUGAUCUGCAGUUGCUGGAGGAUCUGUGUCCUAAAGCUCCAGAUUGGGAGGACGAGCUCAUUGACUUGAGGACAUUAAAAAUAUUUCUAGGAACUUUCAGACCAUUUCUUCUAUCUGUGAGAAAGUGGGGCGAUGAUGAUGAUGCAAAUCUGGGAGCACUGGUUGUCAGGAUGAAAGAUUACAUUUCCAAACUGGGACAGGCGAUUCACAAGUUCUAUCUUACUAGUGUGGAAGAUGGAUAUCGUACGGAUCAUGAUAUAGAUAUCCCCGACGAUCUAGAAGAAGAAGAGUCAUCCCUCAAACAAGAAAUCAAGGAUUUAGACAGCUCAUCAAGGUUGUCUAGCAAGUCCCUGGCAAAGAAAGAUGACCUAAUGGAUGUCAUGGACUCUCUUCUGGAGAGCCUUCGGUACGUUUGCUUAAUAGAUGUCUUAGAAGAUGAUGAAGAGCAGGAACUAUGGGAAGACUUAGAAGAGAAGCUAACAUUUUUGAAAAACUUCAUCUGUUUUGUUUCACUUCAUGGCAUCGAUGAUGGGCAAUUGGGACCUUUACUGACUCACACUAAAUCUGUCGCUGUGAACACAGCACACAAUUAUCUCCUGUGGGGCUUUAGAUCAUUCCGGCCAGAAGAAAAUCCUGUUCGGGACCUGCUGCCGAAGAUCAUUCCUGUAGAACCCGAAGUCCAUAGGACUUGUUUCCAGGCCCUGAUUGCUUCAAAGAUAUCAAGACAACCAUACGAGAAAAAAGAUGAGCACAUAUUCAGAGUCUUCAUCGAUACUCUCCUAAUCUAUCUUUGGGAGAUACUAACGACUGGAGCUUGUGUUAUGAUUUCUUUGAAGGAUCGAUUGAAAAUGGUUUAUGACGGGUUGAGGUCCUUGAGAAUCAUUCUCAAGGGGAACCCCGACGUGUUUGAUGAGAAAAUGAGAUAUCUUACUGGACUCCUGCUCUGUGAUGCAGGAGUUGUUAUUUUUUCCCUUUCUCUCAACGAAAUUAAAGAUGGAUCAGUCAAGGAAAUGGAUCUGGAAUCUUUUCAUGAUUUCCUGAAAAGGAUAAAGCUUAUCAAGGCAAUAGUUGCAGAGAAAUAUCCAGAAACAUCACCAUCAUCCAAGUUUCCUCGGACUAAUGAGUUGGGAUUUAUCGAUUUUCUUCUAAAAUAUAUCCGAGAUUUGACAAAUCCUGAUGCUCAUUCAGUUGCUCUUUCAAGCUAUCCAAUUCAUGCAAUCCAUGAAGAACUUGUUUACCUACGCUCCUUCUCGGGAAGAAUUGUGGAAUUGCGCAAUGAAGAUCAGGAGCUUCAAGCACUUUGGGAUCGUGUUGUUGAGGUGGCAUACAAGAUAGAAUUUCUUAUCGACUCCUUGUUGGUUGGAGACAUUCUAGAUUCUUCUUCAAUCUCAUUUGAUUCCGUUGUAGAAGAAAUUAAGAUCAUCAAAGCCGCGGCCUUGAACAUUUUUGAUAGAAAAACACUUGAUCUCAAAGUUAAGGAAGCUACCAAGAGACCAAAUAACAUGCCAUCACAGGGAAGCAUGCCAAUAAUCAAUGACAUGAUCGUGGGAUUGGAGGAUGAGGCAACCUCAAUAAUCAAUCGACUCACAAGAGGAUCCUCCCUUCUGCAAAUUGUCCCCAUUGUAGGUAUGCCAGGACUUGGCAAGACAACUUUAGCUAAAAAAGUUUACAAUAAUCCUUUAGUUACAUCGCAUUUUUAUACAUGUGCUUGGUGUACUGUCUCUCAAGUGUAUCACAGAAAAAAUCUGUUACUUGAAAUUUUGACUGGUAUUCACUCCAAACUUCCUGACAAAUUUUCUGAGAUGUGUGAAGAAGAUUUGGCUGCAGAAGUCAGAAGAGGUCUGCUAAGGACUAGAUAUCUCAUUGUUUUGGAUGAUAUAUGGGACGCCGAAGCAUGGAAGGGAUUGGAAGCAUCAUUCCCUGACAAUCAAAACGGCAGUAGAGUGAUCGUGACAAGUCGAAAGUCUGAUGUUGCUGCUUCGAGAGAUGAACUUGAUGAAGGGCCUCAUUUCCUCCGUCCGCUGACUCCUGAUGAGAGCCGGGACUUGCUAAACAUGAAGUUAUUUCCUGGAAAUGAUUUGCCUCCGCCAGAAUUAUGCGAACUGCAAAUGAAAAUCGUGGAAAUGUGUCGAGGACUGCCACUUACAAUCAUCAUUCUAGCUGGAAUUCUGGCAAAUGAGAACCAACAUGGUUGGAAAGAACUUGUGGAUGGUUUAAGUUCAAGAAUCGUCUCUAGUACAGAACAAUGCUCUGCUGCAAUAGAGUUGAGUUACAAGAACUUACCAGAUAAUUUGAAGCAAUGCUUUCUAUACUUCGGAGCAUUUCCAGAAGACCAUGAACACACUGCUGAGAAGUUGAUUUGGUUAUGGGGGGCUGAAGGAUUUACCCAGAAAACUCAGUUCAAGAGUGCAGAGGAUGUGGCAAAUGAUUUCUUAAUGGAUCUUAUCCACAGAAGCUUGAUCAUUGUUUCCAAGCAAAGGUCCAUUGGUGGUGUCAAAGCUUGUCGCAUUCAUGAUUUGCUGCAUGAGUUUUGUGUGACAAAAGGCAAAGAAGAAAAUUUUCUGCAGCUGGUGCGUGGGUAUGAUGAAAUAUAUACUUUCAGAGUGCCACGCAACCUACGCCGCCUAUGCAUCAACUCUAACCCAGAGCACUUUUGCAAGUCCAGGUUAUUUGCUCCCACAAUCCAUUCUCUAAUACACUCCGAUGGAGGUAAAAGGCACCGACAUUGUGCAUUUGAGAUUUCAUCCAUUUUUGGUAUCUUCAAACUUGUUAGAGUGUUAGAAUUGAGCAACAUAAAUCUAGGUACUACUUUUCCUAGAGAACUAGAAGUACUGGUUCAAUUGAGGUACUUGGCAAAUCUAGGAAAUAUGGAGUCAAUUCCAUCUUCUAUAGCCAAUCUCUCAAAUUUGGAGACUUUCAUCGUGGAAACAUUUCGUGGGGUUGUUUUACUGCCUGAUACUAUAUGGAAUCUGAAGAAGCUAAGGCACUUACAGAUAAGGAACUUUAUGUUACCCGCAGACAAUCUUGACACAGCUGCAGACUUGUGUGAUUUGAAUACCAUCUCCGGUGUGUCUUUUCAUUCUUUGGAUAUCAUCCGCAAGGUAUUCAGAAAAAUUCCUAAUAUCCACAAGCUGAAAUGCAUUCUCGUUUGGGGUAAUGAACAUAAUUGGGUUUCAGCAGACAAGAUUCUAGUACUUGACUUUCCAAGUGGACUAGAAUCACUGAAUCUGAUGUUCGAUCAGUAUACACGUCUUCCUUGCCAGUUUGAGUUUCAAUUCCCUUUGGCAAUCAGAAAGUUGACUCUAUCCGGUUUUCUUUUCCCUUGGAGCAAAAUUUCAGCUAUCGAAAAUCUUCCCAAUCUGGAGGUUCUCAAAUUACUUGAUCGAGCCUUCAAGGGGGAAAUAUGGAACAUGGAAAAAGAGGGCUUCCCUAAAGUAAGAUUCCUGAAAAUAGAUGACUUGGAUGUUGGCAAGUGGACUGCCUACGAGGGCGUGGACUGUUUUCCAAGUCUACAGAAACUAGCAUUGAUAAGCUGUCGCUCUUUAAAGGAGAUCCCUUCUUGUUUGGGGAGUUCGACUCUUGAAAUUAUCGAGGUGUCUCAUUGUCCCUUCUCUGCAAGUUUUAUGGUGCCACUGCAGGAAGAACAAAUGGACUUGGGAAAUACAGACCUGAAGAUCCUUAAUAAGUCAGACUACUAAUCUUCUCAAGUAUCUUUGGUUUGGGCAGCCACUUUCACUCCUUUUACCUGUUUUUUUUCUCCCUAGUCCUUUACUUCUGUACUACUGUACUUCGUGCUUAGGAAUCUUGGGGCUAUUCCCAUUACUACGUUGACUGGCCUUUCUAUUUUCACCUUGCGUUGCACAUGGUGUUUUGCUGGCAGUAAUAAUGGCGCAAAAGAUGCACAGAGGAAUUGUUAAUAUACGUUGUCGGACGUUCAACGGAGCAAAAAAAAAAAAAAUCUAUUAAUUAGAGCGUUAAAAAUACACAAAAGGGUUUUUUACUCUUAGGGUGCGUUUGGUUCUACAGAAUUGGAAUUGCAUUGGAAUUGGAAUUCUAUAAAAUUAGAAUUCUAUGAAUUGGAAUUCCAAAACAUUUGAAUUCUUUUGUUUGGGUAAUGCAUAGAAUUGAUACAUAAUUCAUUUGAAAUUUUAAAUUCUUUGUUUGGAUGGGAGAAGAAUUCAUUAAAAAUUAGAAUUGUUUCCAACUAAUAUUUCCUUACAUAAAAAAUUUCUUUUUUUUACUAUAUAAUAAUUUUUAACAUUUAGCUAAUUGUUACUAAAGCUUUAAGGAAAAAACCAAUUAGUACCUUUAAUAAUUUAUUUUUUCUUGCAUUUAACUAAUUGUUAAUAAAGCUUUAAAAGAAAAAAAAUUAGUUCCCUUUUUGCAAAAAUAAAAAAAUUCUUUUUUUUAAAUUAAAUUAUAUUAAAUAAAAAAUAAUUGUAUAUUCUAACUUAAAAAGUAGUUAAUAUUUAUCGAGUUAAAACCUUGAUACUUUUUUAAAGUUAAGAACUUUAAAUUUUAGAAAAUCAAAAGCCUACUCUAUGAUAUGAAUUGGGAGGAAAAUCAUAACUUGUACCUAUUAUAAAUAUGUGAGUUUUGUAUCUUACAAGAAAUUUCAAUAGAUGAAUACGCAAACAAAAUGUUUUUAGCCAAAAAAGAAAAGAGAAAGAAAAGCACAGUUAUACAUUGCUACUAUUUUUCAAUAAAUGGCCAUUCUAAUAUUAAAUUAAGUUCGAAUAAAUUCCUAUCAAAUUUCAACUUCCAUGAUGGCUUUGUCUAAUUUGAUAGUCAAUAAACAUUGCUCGUGCUAAAGCAUUCCUAAAUUGUGUCCACUCGCUAGUUGGUUGUACUGUUCGAAUUCGAUUCUCGUUAAAAGCAUUUACACCACCAUCAUUAUUUGGACCAUCAUCUUCCAUUCCAUUUUCCUCAUCUUCAUCUUCCAUUUCAUCUUCAUCAUCAACCUCAUGUUGUACUCUUCGCAUCUCAGCAUCAACUUCAUCCAAGUAAGGGUCAUUUGGUUGUUCUACUCGAAUAAGAUUAUGAAGGAUGGCACAUGCAUUAAUUAUCAUGACAUGAGUCUUAACAUCAAAAAAAGAUGCAUCUCUCAAAAUGGCCCACCGCUUCUUGAACAAACCAAAUGUCCUUUCAAUCACAUUUCUAAUUCUAAGCCUCCAAUUCAGUGGGAAGCAAACACACCCUUAAUAUGAUUGUGACUUUAUUCUUCUUCAAGCCACAUAUAUUUCUGUUGGUGAUUAAUUAAAGAAAAAUCAUUUAAAAUAUUUCUCAUAUUUCAUGAAAUAAAUUUUUUCAUCUCACUUUUGAAAUGCUGACUUUACUAGUAGUGUUGCAUCAGUCUACCAUCAAGAUCAUGCUAUUCUUGAAAUGGAUUAUUAUUGUUUCUAAAGAUUUAAAUGAAGCAACCUUUUUUUCAGUUAUAUUUCCAAGAAUGUUUGGGCUUUCUUUAAGUACUCUUAAAAAUUAAGAAUCCUAUGUGGCAUUUUUAUUGAUUCAAACGUUAAGUUCCAGAAUCCCGGUUCGUUGUGCUCUAUCAGCUUCAUCGUUCUGUAUCAUAAAUAAACUUAAACCAUCAAGCAUUUUGUAUGGUACUAACUAGUAUCAAUAAGCAUGAAAAUGAAUCCAGUCUGCCGCCAGAUUUAAUAGAUUGUCUCUUUCUUUUUCCUUUCCCAUGUUGCCACUUGGAUUACACAAUUUUAUUUAGUCCCAAGAAGGUAAGAACACUUUUGGAUAGGGAAUUUGCGUUUCUUUUUUGUACUUUAUGCCAUCAUGCGAACCUUUUCUUCAUUCAUUGCUCACAAGAAAGUCUAACCAGGACUGUCAGACUAGGAUUAUCAGACUAAUUGUUCUGAAAGAUGGAUCAAAAAGAGGUUCAAGCUGAUAGUUUCACAUUGCUCGCUCAAUGAUUUUAUUCUAAUAACUAAUGAAAUUAUCAAACUAGUCAUGAUUAUUGAUUUUUUUUUUCUGCAAGGGAAUCCUCAAUCGCUAUCCGAAAAUAUGCACUGAAUAAACCCUGCCUGUGCAAUAGCCCAUGAUUGUUGAUUCUUGGUACACUAACAAGAAUAUAACAUAGUGUACUACUCCUCGGUUCAAUGGAAUCCAACCAUUCUGUAUUUGGUUUUGUGUUAAAAACUCGGUCAGCCAACCAGAUGGAAUAAUUAAUGGAAAUGGUGUGGCGAUAAGAUAAAGAGUGAAUUCCAAUAAACCGCCUGCAAAAGUGUCUUUGUUCACAUUGCCCCGCUAAACAUUUAAUUGAACAAAUCCAUCCUUGUACUAUUACAAACUUCCCAUUCAACUACCAUUGGGUCUAGCAGCUCAAUUUUAGGUUGAACCAGUCACGUGAAGCAUACAUGGUUUCAUGAACUGACCAGAUUGUAGAACUAAUUAAACUACUAAGAUGAACUCUAGAUAAUUACACCUUUGUAAAGACAUUUGACCUACUCAAACAUAAAAUACGUUGUACUUCACAAUGAUAUUUUCUAUGAGUUUUUCCGAUUUUGAUUGCAAUUUUUUAGAGUUUUUAUAGAAAAAUGCACUGUAACAAUUUGAUGUAUGUGGGAUAAAAAGAUGAUUAGAAAAUGUGUUUACAAAAAAAUGUAAAAAAUUUUAGGGGGAAAAGUGACCAUCAAAACAAGGCUUGAAAAUAAAUUUCAAUUAUGAUAAUAAGCCAAAAGCUAUAAAUAAUAGAAUUUUUGGCAUUAUGGGGAAUUACUAGAUUGUUUUAGAAAAUUUUCGAUCAAGAGUAAAUAAAUAAAAUUUUAUAAUUAAGAAAUUGUGGGUUAAUUUGAUCGCUUUAUGAAAUGAUUAUGUGUUGCAUAUGACUAAUUCCGGUAAAAAUUUGAGCUUCCUGAUUAAAUAGUACCUGAUUGUGAAAAUUGUAAUAACACUAGUGUUGAUUGGUUCAAUUAAAUGUUCAAGGAGGUAAUGUGAAGAAAAGGUAUUUUAAGGGAGUUUAUUGGAAUUAAUCAUAAGAAAAAUUCGAAGGUUUGAAUGAUCUCACAGUAGACAUAAUCAUUAAUAGGAUCAUUUUUUCUUCGAAAACAGAAAAUGUACAAUGGUUUUUAUUAUUUUCAAACUAGGAUUGAUGGUUAAUUGCCACCGAAAUGGUAUUUAAACAUCCAAAAACUAAUGUUUGAAUAUCCAAAAACUAUAUGAACACUUGCAUUAGUGUUGAGAAACUUUUUGUUGGGAUAUCAAGUGUGAAUCAAUAUCCCACAUCGGAAAGAAAUGAGUAGAAUGAGAAACAUAUAAGUAGGAAUGAUCCAUAGACUCAAUACCUUAAGGUUUUGGGUUGGAUGUGGUGUCAACCCCAUGGUUGUGGUUCCCAUUCUAACUCAUGGUUAAAUUCUCUCCGAGUUAGGCUCUCUCUGAGCCCAACAAGUGGUAUCAGAGCCGAUGGUUCGGCUAGGCAGUGACUCCAGGAUAAAAAGCCAGUGGGAGUGGUAAGGCGUGACUUGGAUAAGAGCGAGGAAAAAAAAGAAUCAUGCAGACCUGCAGUGAGGCAAGCGCAUGUGGGCUCUUGAGCAAGAAUCGUACACUCCAAAUUGAAGUGGGCUUGAUGGAGUGGAUGGGCUAGGGAGAGAGGUCCGAUGUGGAAGAGAUCCACAAUUGAGGGGGAGAUUGUUGGGAUAUCAAGUGUGAAUCAAUAUCCCACAUCGGAAAGAGAUGAGUAGAAUGAGAAACAUAUAAGUAGGAAUGAUCCAUAGACUCAAUACCUUAAGGUUUUGGGUUGGAUGUGGUGUCAACCCCAUGGUUGUGGUUCCCAUUCUAACUCAUGGUUAAAUUCUCCCCGAGUUAGGCUCUCUCUGAGCCCAACACUUUUUGAUCAAAAUUCAAGAUGAAGUCACAAAUUAAUGAAGAAAGAUUGCAACCCUUGAUCAUUCUCAAUCUCAACACUAUAAAGAUUUAGUAGGAAUGAUUUGUUGUAUUAGAUCAAAUUUGAAAAUUCUCUAAUACACAUAAGUCUAGGUUCUACUUUUUUUUUUGUUUUUUUGGGUACAUUGGAGAGCCUCUGGCUCAGUACAAGGACACUAGAUGGGGAACUGUCAGUCCCAUGAUAUCCUGGCCCAAAAUCUCUCUCAGUCGACUCGGGGCUACUCCAACCACUUCACUCCCAUUUCUUGCCUCAAACUACUCUUGGCUAAAAAGUCCGCACUCGCAUUCCCUCUCUCCAAGUGUGGACAAGCAUAACUUCCCAUUCCCUCCUCAAUCAUUCCUGUAUCUACUUAACAAGAUUCGAGUAAAGACCUGUGCUAGUGCCAGUCUUCAACAGAGAUAAUGCUGUUAAUGUCUGACUCUAACACCACUUUCCUGUGCCCUUGCUCCCAAGCCAUUUCUAAGCCGUACAUCAUUCCCCACAGCUCCGCCACUACAUUUGUGGUUAUCCCUAGGUUCGCUACAAAACCCCCCUUCCAUAGACCCCUAUCGUCUCGUAUUAGUCAUUUAGUCCCCCUCCUCUUGCCUCUCCUGGGUUAGCUGUAGUAGCCCCGUCUACAUUGACUUUCAUCCAGCCCUUUGGUGGCUUUACCCAACUAAUAGACAUCAACUCCUUCCCCUCCAUCUUACCUUCCUUCUGCAACGCUGUUUGCACUUGCUUUGCUUGAGCUAGUACUUGCCUAUAGCUACAUCUCAGCUUGCUGCCAUCCCCUGCACAGCAAAAAGCAUUUCUAGCUGACCAGGCCAAAUAGACCAAGUUCUCAAAUAAUAAUUGCCAGCAUACCUCCCUAUCUGUCCCAACAUUUCUCUCUCGGAGGUUCCAAAUUCCAAUCCACCCAGUCUUUUAGCUCCAGUCUCUUAAACUGAUCCCAGUCUAGGUUCUACUUUACCAAAAGAACGAAUUACUUGUUCAGCUGAGGUAUUUGGCAGUUCUAGGAACCAUGAAAGUCCAUUGCAUCAUCCAUAAACCAAUCUAACAAACUUGGGAACUUUCAUUGUGGGAACAUUUUCUCAUAUUGUUUCACUGUCAGAUACCAUGUUGAAUCUGAAGAAAUUAAGGCAUUUGCACAUUAGGAGAAAGCCUAGAUUUUAUUCCACUUUUCGGUUGCCCAUCAACAAUCUUGAUGAUGCUGCACAGUUAUGCAAUUUAGAUACUUUAUCUGACACAAUUAUUUCUUCAUGGGAGAAUGCGGACAAGAUAGUCAGAAAGUUUCCCAAUAUUCACAAGCUGAAAUGUAGCAUCGAAAUCCUUGAAUCGGAUUAUCCUGCUUCGGGUGCAUCCGACAGGAUUCUAGUACUUGACUCUCUAAGUCAACUAGAUCACUUAUUUUGAAGUUGAAAAGCUAUGUUCAAUGCCAGUUUGAGUUUCAAUUCUCUUCCACUAUUAAAAAAUUGACUCUUUCGCGUUUUUACUCCCUUGGAGCGAAAUAUCAGCAAUCGAAAAUCAACCUAAUCUUGAGGUUCUCAAAUUACUUGACGGAGCAUUUGAGGGGGAAAAUGGAACAUGGAAGAACAGCGGCCCCUAAAAGGUAGUUUCUUGAAAUUGGCUUCCCUGGAUAUUGUCAAGUGGACCGUCUCUGAGUGCGUGGAAUGUUUUCCAUGGAUAAGGAAAUUAAUUUUGGAAGAUUGUCACUAUUUGGAGGAGAUCCCUUCUUGUUUGGUAAUUCAAGUCUUGAAAUAAUUGAGGUGUCUAAUUGUCCCUACUCUUGCAAGUUUUAUAGAGCCACUUCAGGAGAUAAAAAUGGACAUGGGAAAUUUUCAUCCAAAGAAAUGGACUGCGGAUCUUCUCAAGUUUGUUUAGUAUGGACAACCAAUUUACUCAUUUUAUUUUUCUCUAUUUUUUUUUUACUUUUGUAGUGUAACUAGUUGUGUUGCAUCAGUCUAACAUCAAGAUCAAGUUACUCAUUUUGUUUUAUUGUUCAUUAUCCCGUCUCAAACCUGUGUGGUAGGAUCACUUCCUAGGAUUUUUGUUGUUUCUAAAUAUUUAAAUGAAUGAGGCAGCUGUUGUUGUUUUUCAAAUUUUAGUUAUGUUUUGAAGAAUAACUACAAAUUUAGUCAAGUUUUUCAUACCAUUAGUACGUAAUUUGCUUACAAAAAAGAACGAAUGCCAUCGACUAAUUUAAUUACUAGGAUUUCAUAAUUUACCAAUUCUUUUUUCCAUUGUCUACCUCUACAAUUUCUUUCUGCUAGGUUUUGCAGUCUAGCUGUCCAACCCAAGCGCAAUAAUGAGAUUAAAUGAGUAAUUUGUACCCACCUAGUACUUAUGAAUCUUUCCUUCUCCUCCUCCUCUUCCUUCCUUUUGUCCCCAAUUUGCCACUUGCAUUAUUCAAUUCUGUUGCUGAGUCUGUCUUCAUAUUCGACAUCAGGAGUUUUACAAAGAAAUCUCUCAUCUUAAUGGUUAUCAUUACAAUAAAUUUAAGUGAAUUUAAAUAUGCUAAGGGUACCAACUCAAGUGUCAUAUAUACUAGAUCAAGAAAAUUUUAGAGGACCACACUCUAGUCUGAGAGGAGUUUUGGUUAGAUAUCAAAUGAGAAGAGCAAAUAACGAGACUUUGGACCAUUAAGCAUUUUAUAAUAUUUAGUCUCUUUUGUUUAGUCUCUUUUGAGUCUUGGAAUUAUCUUCUAGAAUUUUGUACUCUUUUUUGUUAUAGUAAAUCUGUUACUCCUUCGCUAAUAGACGUAGGUUAAUUCGACCGAACAACGUAAAAUUUUAUGUUUUUCUAUUUUAUUUAUUUGCUUUGUUAUUGUUUUUAUUGGGUUGCCAAGAACCCUACUGUUCUUAGUGAUCAAUUUUCUAGAACCAAACCUAACAAACUGGUAUCAGAGUUUCAGGCUUUGGGUUCGGUGACAACGAUGAUGAUAACAGACUAUCAAUAUCAAUUUCGAAAUAUUGAUUUAACGCUACACUACAGAGAGUGAAGAAAAAUCUCCCAUUGGAGUUUAGUUGAAUUUUGAAAAGCUAUUUCGCCUAUUGGAACUCGUUGAGGAUGAAGCAAGAUUAUUAUGUUUGAUAUUUUAGCCCAUUGGGAUCUGUUGAACAUUUUAUGAGUUUUGAUCCGUUGGGACUCGAUAAAUCUUUUGCAUCUUGGCUCGUUGGUAGGUCAUUGAGGUCUGUUGGCACUUUUGUGGUUCAUUGGGAUUCAUUUGAGACUUUGUGAAAAAAGUGGAGUAUGUUUGAUAUUUAUGCACGCCAAGAUGGAGAUUAUUGAAUUUAAUUUUUGUAUCCCCACAUUAGAAGUUUUAUAAAAAAAUCUCUCCUCUUACUAGUUAUAAAUACAAUGCAUUUAAGUGAAUUUAAAUGUGUUAAGGGCAUCAGUCCAAGUGCCCCGUAUGCACUAGUUCAAGAGAAUUUUAGGAGACCCACACCCAAUUUGAGAGGAGUUUUGGUUAAACAUCAAACGAAAUGAACUAAUUAUGAGACUUUGGACCGUUAAGCAUUUUGAAUUAUUUAGUCCCUUUUAUGUUUUCAGUUUUAGGCGUCUGCUGGCCUUGAAAUUAUUUCCUAGAAUUUCGUACUCUUUCUUUUAUAUUCUUUUUUAGUUAUAAUAAAUUUGUUAUCCCUUCGCCUCUCGUCCGUGGACUAAAUUUGCUUCCCUUUGGCUCGUGGAUAUAGGUCAAUUCAACCAAAUCAUGUGUUUUAUUUGCUUUAUUAUUAUUUUUAUUUGAUUGUCAAGAUUCCUCUUAUUCUCAUUGGUCAAUUUCUAAAGACCAGACCUGACAAACUCUGCUUGGAGUCUUGCGUUUCUUUUUUGUAAUUUUUUCCCAUCACGAGAACUUUUGACCAGGAAUACCAAUGGUGUUUUCAGACCAGGAUUAUCUGACUGACUAACAAUCUUUCACAAUCUUAGGUUCACAUUGCUCAAGUAAUGAUUUUAUUCUAAUAACUAAUUGAAACACAAAAUCAUUGCCAGCUGUGGCUUCAAUUCAAUGGAAUCAAACAAUUCUGUAUUUGGUUUUUAGUGCUCGAAGUUGGGUCAGCCAAGAAACCAGUCAAGUGAAAAGCAUAUGAUUUCGUGAACUGACCAAAUUACCAAUCUCUUGCUAUUUAUAAUCUCACCACAAAAGUUUUGAACUAUAAUAAAAUAGUCAAUAUGAGCUCUCGAUAAUGUGCAUAUUAUGACAACAUUAACAAAUUAACAGGCUCAUUAAUAUCUUUUCCCAUAUUCUUAGUAAGUAUUAUAAGGAGUCAAUAAAAAUCAAAGGUUAAGAUGAGCAAGUUGUUGAAACUAUUUGGACAAAAAAAAAAGUGUCAAAGAUAAACAAAUGAAAAUAGAGUCCUACUAAUUUUUAGCAUUUCCCGAAAUAUGAUAAACAGCAUGCACAAAAUUAUGACUUGCUGACUCUAUAUAAGAUCAGCUUUUUGGGUCAAUAAUUCAGCUACAAAAUUAUUCCUUAUGAAUAAAUAAUAUAUCUAAUUGUGAGUAUAUAUACUAGCAACUAUGGAGGAAAUUUCCAAAUCAUAAGAGUUUUAAGAAAGGGUCCCAAAUAGUCAAGGUUUUGAAAAAAAAAAUUCAAUAAAUGUGAUUUCUAAACGAUACGUUCGUACGUUAUUUAAGUAAUAUCUACCUAUACAAAUAGUAAAAAAAAAUUUAUAAAUCCAUCAUGUGAAAAAAAAAAGAUUGCAUUUCACUAAAUGCUAUAUUCACAAUUUGAGAAAAAGUUUUAAAAAUAUUACCCUUUGAAAAUUUUUCUUGAAAUGCCUCACUUUUUUGGGAAUUCAAUAUCCAGAAAGAGUUGAGCACUUGAUUAAACGUGUAAUUGUUGUAAACUAAUAAGCUUGUCAAACAUUACUAACCGAAAAUAAGGAAAUAAAAAUAUUCUAGCAGAUUACGACGAGGAAUUCAUUACUUUUUCACCUGUCAAAUUUCUUAUACUUUCCUUUUUUUUUUUUUGGCCAAAACUAUGAAAGAAAGCAUGUGAGCAAGUUGCUCGACAAAAGCGAAAACCUUAGCGAAUAAUUCAGUAGGAUUGAUUGGCUUUUCACAUCUCAGAACAGAACCGGUGGAGUCCCCACAUUGAGAUAAAAUAACGCAAGUGAGGAGCCCAAUAAUUCAGUAAAAGAAAUAACUAUAUCCAGCCAAGAAUAGGAGUAAAGAAAGAUUAAUAUCAGCCAGAUGUGAAAUAUAUAUAUUUGCAUCAAAGUUUCUGCAAAGAAAAGGCCAAAUUAUCCCACCAGGUCCAGCUAGGCAAUGACAGACCCUCUUUACCAGCUCUCCCAAUUGCACUGUACACAAAUUCUCACGAAAACCUCGAUCUAACUUCUUCUGAGCUCAGAGCUUUCCUAGUUUCUGAAAGAGAGAUCUGUACAACUUUUUUCAUCAUUCAUUGGCUUACUUCAUCUCUAAAUUUAACUAAUCUUCCUUUCGUUAAAUGGCCUCCAGUUGUCCGAAAACCUCGAUCUAACUUCUUCUGAGCUCAGAGCUUUCCUAGUUUCUGAAAGAGAGAUCUGUACAACUUUUUUCAUCAUUCAUUGGCUUACUUCAUCUCUAAAUUUAACUAAUCUUCCUUUCGUUAAAUGGCCUCCAGUUGUCCUACUUGCAUUUCAGCCAUCUUGGAUGAUCUGCAGUUGCUGGAGAAUCUGUGUCCUAAAACUCCAGAUUGGGAGUACGAACUCAAUGAAUUGAGGGCAGUAAAAAUACUUCUAGGAAUUUUCAGAACAUUUCUUCUCUGUGUGAGAAAGUGGGGCGAUGUUGAUGAUGCAAAUCUAGGAGCACUGGUAAUUAGGAUGAAAGAUUACAUUUCCAAUGUGGGACAGGCGAUUCACAAGAUCUAUCUUACUAGUGUGGAAGAUGGAUAUCGUAUGGAACUUGCGGAACAUAUCCCCGAUGAUCUAGAAGAAAAAGCGUCAUCCCUCGUAGAAGAAAUCAAGGAUUUAGACACCUCAUCAAGGUUGUCUAGCAAGUCCCUGGUAAAGAAAGAUGACCUAAUGGAUGUCAUGGACUCUCUUCUGAAGAGCCUUCGGUACGUUUCCUUAGAAGAAGCCUUAGAAGACGAUGAAGAACUAUGCGAAGACUUAGAAGAGAAGCUAACAUUCUUGAAAAACUUCAUCUGUUUUGUUACACUUCAUGGCAUCGAUGAUGGGCAAUUGGGACCUUUACUGACUCACACUAAAUCUGUCGCUGUGAACACAGCAUGUGCAGAGGCCCUAUUCUGGGCCUAGACACGUGGCAGCCCAGGCGGGGCCGAGCUGGGCCUCGGCCUCAGGCCCCUGGCAGCAGCCCUGGGCCGCCCUGUUAGGGCUCGUAAAGGAGGCAGGAGUCCAUCCCGAGGAGGUCGGGGAUAAUCCCCCUGAGUGCGGGAUGCUGGCUAUUCCGGGCAAGUCCCGAAACGUACGGAGGUCGGACUCCCUCAACAGGUAUAAGUAGUAGCAGACAUCAACUGUACAAGGUACGCUCACUAUCGGCAAAUGACCUCCGAUCGUCAAUACUCCCUGUGAACCCUAAUCACCGGAAAGCUAACUUGACCGUCGGAGUGCCCUCGGGGACAACCCUCGGGCCCCCCUUUUUACUAGUUCAUCCUUGUUUGUUUUGCAGGCUUAGGAUCAGCUCUUCCAUCAGCACCCCGAGCUCAUCAGUUCAACUCGGUCCGGGGAAGCUCAGCGCUUCUUCAGUUGGCGCCGUCUGUGGGAACCGUAAGGUAAGUGAGAUUGUGUCGAUGGCCAGGACGCGAUCCAAGCGCACGGUAGAGAGCACCGGCCCUGGGGGCGGUGAGGGGUCCCAGGGAAAGGAGGCUGAGGCGUCCCGGGGCGCCGGGGGAUCAGCCCUUUCGGGGGAACGGAGGCAACAGAUCUUCCAGUUCGUGACGGAGAAUCUACCCAUGCUGGAGGAUAUAAUCCGACAGGCGAAGGAGGGAGACGGGGCUGGGGGUGCGCAGACCUCCAAGGCCAAGGGGAAGGAGAAGGAGUCACCCCCUGAUCCUUCGGAGGAUGAGUCACGAGACCAGCCCCCCAGGAGGAAAUGACCACGGACUCCACCUCGCCCGCGAGCCUCGGUGGUCGGAGACAGCGAGAGGUAUUCCCGCGACCGGUCCGCAAGGAGCCGUCCCAGAGACCCCUCCCCGCGGAAGCCCACACGGAAUGGGUUCGAGCGUUCCCCUGCUCGGUCUGUCAAGAGCCGACCCCGCGACCCCCUUUAUCUGGAACCUGCCCGGGAUGAGCUCGAGCAGAUCUUGAGGCCCCGGCCGUACGAGGACAACUACGCAAUCUCGCCCUUUACCCGGGAGAUAGAGGACUACCCGCUACCCCGGAGGUUUAAGAUUCCGAGCAUCGAGAUGUACGAUGCCUCUACAGACCCGGAAGACCACCUCUCGGUCUUCCUGACGCAUAUGCGCCUCCAAACCGCCGCGAACGAAGUCCGCUGCAAAACUUUCCCUAUGUUCCUGAAGGGGAAGGCACGGCUCUGAUUCCAGGGACUGGCACCGGGGUCUAUACGGAGCUUUCCCGAGCUGGCUCGGCAGUUUGCAGCCCAGUUCGUCUCCUCGAAGGUUUACGCGAGGAACGCAACCCACCUGAUGUCCAUCCGGCAGAGGCCCGAUGAGUCGCUGAGGAAUUUCAUGACCCGCUUCAAUGCGGAGAGCUUGCAGGUCAGGGAGAAAGACGAAAAAGUGGCGAUGGCCGCCUUCACCAAUGGGCUCAGGGUAGAGGAGCUCUUCUACGACCUGGCCAAGAAGCCUCCCGCAAACCUGGAGGAGCUCUUACGCAGGGCGCAUGAGGCUGCUAAUGCGAAGGAGGCAGGUCGCCUGAAGAAAGAAUCAGAUCGGGAGCUCGGAGAUCGGAAAGGUCGGACAAACCCCCCAGAGGGCAAGGACGUUCCGUCCAAGAAAAACGUUUUCGAUCGGCUCUCGAAAGAGAAGGCCCCUGCUCCGCUGCCACUCCCAGAGAAGACCUACACCCCUCUGACACGGCCCAGAGCCCAGAUCUUGGCUGUUAUGGAAGCGGAAGAGCUGGGAGAUCGGCCGCCCAAAAUGGGGACGCCACGGAACAAAAGGAACCAGGACAGAUACUGCGCCUUUCAUCGCGACGUCGGACACGACACGGAGGGAUGCUGAGCCCUGCGUAAGGAGAUCGAGGACCUGAUCCAGCGCGGCUUUCUAGGGCGGUUCGUACGCCGACCAGGUCGAGAGCCCGGGCGCAACAACUACGGAGAUAGGUACGAGGGACAGCGUCGCGAUUGCCCAGAGCGGCGUGACGCUCCUCGAAACCACUCUCCCGACUGGGACGGCCAGAACCUAGCGGGGGUGAUAAACACCAUCGCUGGAGGUCCCACGGGCGGAGACAGUCACACAGCUCGGAAGAACAAGCGACCACCCCCCGACGGGGACGACUCCCUGAAACGGUUGCGCAUGGAGGAGGAGAUCACCUUCGGGCCAAGGAAUGCGGUCCCCUUACCAUCCGGGAACCACGAGGCCAUAGUGAUAGACGUGGUCACCAACAACUACCGGGUGAAGAAGGUGUAUGUCGACCAGGGUAGCGCGGUUGACAUUAUGUUCUAUCGGGUGUUCAAGGAGCUCGGGUUGAAGGACGACCAGUUGACCCCGGUUCGAACACCUCUGGUGGGUUUCACCGGACCACCUGUUAACCCAGAGGGAAUGAUCACCCUGAUGGUCACGGUAGGGCAAGCCCCCAAAUGCCGGACCAUCCCUGUCAAUUUCGUGGUGGUCAAGCAGCAAUCCUCAUACAACGUGUUCCUGGGUCGGCCAGCUCUGAACGCCCUCCGAGCUAUUCCGUCCACCCUCCAUCUCAGUGUGAAGUUCCCCACUCCAGGAGGGAUAGCCGAGGUGCACGGUGAUCCAGAGGUGGCCAGAGCUUGCUACUUGGCCAAGCUCCGCGGGCCGGAAAAGAUGGUCGCCCAGACGACUAGUUUGGAGCCCUACAUCCCAGGGGACGAGACACAGCAGUUGGGCACACAGGACGAGAUUGAGGAAUUCCCCUUGAGGGAGGAGCGGCCCGACCAGGUCUUCCGCAUCGGGGCAUUUCUGCCAGCCGAGGAGAAGGAAGGCUUGAAGGCCUUGUUGAGAGAGUACUCCCAGGUCUUCGCAUGGACGGUGGAGGACAUGCCCGGGAUCCCUACAGACCUGGCAGUCCACCACCUCGACGUGGACCCUCACUUCAAGCCAGUGAAGCAGAAGAAAAGGAGCUUUGCCCCCGAGAGGAAUGAGGUGAUCAAGGCGGAGGUAGGCAAGUUGCUGGAGUCCAAGAUCAUCCUGGAGGUCUACUACCCGACCUGGCUGGCCAAUCCCGUCCUGGUCAAGAAGGAGGACCAGACCUGGAGGAUGUGCGUAGACUUCACGGACCUCAACAAAGCCUGCCCGAAAGACUAUUUUCCCCUGCCAAGGAUCGACAGGUUAGUAGACUCUACCGUGGGUUUUGACGUUUUAUGCUUUCUGGAUGCCUUUAAGGGAUACCAUCAGAUCGAGAUGGCUGAGGAGGACCGCGAUAAGAGCUCCUUCAUCACCGAGGAGGGAACCUACUGCUAUAGGACCAUGCCGUUCGAAUUGAAGAACGCGGGAGCUACUUACCAGCGCCUGGUCAACAAGUUGUUCCAAAAUCAGAUCGGCAAAAACAUGGAGGUAUAUGUGGACGACAUGAUCGUCAAAAGCCGAACUGACCAGCGGCUCCUACCCGACCCGAGGGAGAUCCUGGACAUCCUGCAGGAAAGCCGGAUGCGCCUAAAUCCGAAGAAGUGCACCUUCGGGGUCAGAUCAGGAAGGUUCCUGGGUUUCCUGGUGUCCCGGGAGGGAAUCCGGGCCAACCCGGAUAAGCUCCAGGCCAUCAUGGACAUGGCCCCCCCGAGGAACGUAAAGGAGGUCCAACGGCUCACGGGGAGGAUGGCAGCCCUGAGCAGGUUCCUCUCGCGCUCCGCGGUCAGGGGGCUGCCCUUCUUCCGAGUACUGAAAGCGCCUAAGGAUUUCCACUGGACAGAUGAGUGCCAGAAAGCCUUCACCGACCUGAAGGCCUAUCUGGCUGAGCUGCCCACUUUGACCGCCCCGGAGCUAGGAGAGACUCUGUUUCUCUACCUGUCCGCCUGCAACGAGGUCAUCAGCGCGGUUUUAGUGCGGGAGGACGGGGGGGUUCAGAGACCGGUGUACUACGUUAGCCGCGCUCUACAAGGGCCAGAGACGAGGUACACGCCCGCGGAAAAGCUGGUCCUUGCCUUGGUACACGCUGCUCGCAAGCUCCGCCCUUACUUCCAAACUCACAGCAUUGUAGUCCUGACCGACCAGCCCCUGCGUCAGAUACUCACCAAGCCCGAGGUCUCGGGCAGGAUGACCAAGUGGGCCGUCGAACUGGCCGAGCAUGACCUUAGUUAUCGGCCUCGCACCGCGAUCAAGGCUCAGGCCUUGGCAGACUUCCUUGCGGAGGGGGCUAACUUAAACCUGACCGAGUUAGCCCCGACACCCACGGACACCCCGGCUGAGGAGCCGUGGGUGCUGUUCGUGGAUGGCGCCUCGAGCAAGGAAGGGAGCGGAGCUGGCCUGCCGCUCACCUCACCCACCGGGGAAGAACUGACAUACGCGCUUAGAUUCGAUUUCCCGGCAUCCAACAACGAGACGGAGUACGAGGCCCUGUUGACGGGGUUGCGGAUAGCCCACCAGAUGGGCAUCACCACGAUCAGAGUCCGGAGUGACUCUCACCUCGUCGUCCUCCAGGUCCGCGGGGAGUACGAAGCCAAGGACGAGGUUAUGAAGAAAUACCUGGCUAAGGUACGAGAGGUGGUGGCCUUGUUCGGAACAUUUGAAAUCGAGCGGGUGCCGAGGUCCCAGAACAAGCGGGCAGACGCCCUUUCAAAGUUGGCGUCCUCCUCAUUUGCCCAUCUGAGCAAGGAAGUCUUGGUAGAGGUGGUAAAACAAAAAAGUAUCGACCAGGUCCAGGUCCUGGUUAUAGACAGCUCGGCCACUUGGAUGACACCCCUCAUAGACUUCCUCAGCUCGGGUACCCUCCCCGAGAGCAAAAUCGAGGCCCGCCGAAUCCAGCUCCGAGCUGCCAAAUACGCCUACGCUGGGGGAACCCUCUAUAGGAGGUCAUACUUGUCCCCAUGGCUAAAGUGCGUGACCCCGGAAGAGGGCGACUAAGUACUUCGGGAAGUCCAUGAAGGCCUAUGUGCGGCACAUGUAGGAUCUCGGGUACUGGCGAAAAAGUGUCUCCUUCUUGGCUACUAUUGGCCCUCCGCCUUCCGAGACGCCGCAGAACUGGUACAGAAAUGCCGAGCUUGCCAGGUGCACUCCUCGCUGCGCCACCAGCCAGCUCGGGAAAUGAUCCCCAUUCACAGUCCCUGGCCUUUCGCCCAAUGGGGGAUAGACCUCCUAGGUCCUUUCCCCCGAGCUCCUGGAAGGUACGAGCACCUCGUGGUGGCCAUCGACUACUUCACGAAGUGGAUGGAGGCCGAGCCCCUGGUCUCUAUUUCGGGGAAGGCGAUUCAGAAGUUCUUUUGGAAGAAUGUAGUUUGUCGUUUCGGAAUUCCACAUGUUCUGAUAUCUGACAAUGGGCGCCAGUUCGCCGAAAACCCCUUCAGGGACUGGUGCGCCGAGCUCGGGAUCAAUCAACACUUCACGUCGGUCGGCCAUCCCCAAGCUAACGGUCAGGUGGAGAACGCCAACCGAACCAUCUUGCAAGGACUAAAAACUAGGCUGGAGCUAGCCCAGUCUAACUGGUUGGAGGAGCUCCCUAGUGUUCUCUGGGCCUAUCGCACCACGCCUAGGGCGGCUACUCACGAGACCCCGUUCUCCCUGACGUAUGGGGCAGAGGCAGUGGUCCCCGCGAAAAUCGGCCUCCCAUCUCCUCGGACCCAGAACUUCGUUGCGACAGCCAACGAAGAAGAGUUGAGCUGCAACUUGGACAGGGUGGAGACCAAGCGGGAGGAGGCAGCAAUUCGGAUGGCUAAGUACAAAAGCCAGCUCGCCCGCUACCACAACGCCCGAGUAAGGAGCAUACAGUUCCAGCCAGGAGACCUGGUCUUGCGAAAGAACUCGAUCAGCAGAGCUUACAGUUCCAACAAACUCGACCCAAACUGGGAGGGCCCGUACCUGGUCCUUGAGGUGAGCCGAGCUGGCUACUGCAGGCUCGCCAAGGUGGAUGGAUCUGAAGUACCUCGUACUUGGCACUUCUCCAAUUUGCGACUGUUUGUAGCAUAGGUUAGACCAGGGUGUUCAGUUGCCUGUUCUUUGAAAUCUGAAUUUUUGUUUUAUCAUUCAAUAAAAGAUCGACUUCACAGCUUGCACUUAUACUUGUUCUAAUUUCACUUGUACUUGUUUCCUUUCGAAAGCUCAAGUUUGCACCUUGCACUAGCACACUUAGCGAUCCCUCACUAACUGUCCUAGUGGGGGGCUAGGGGUAGUAGGGGGUUUGGUGUGAAGCGUUCGACCCAGGGGUCGGUACGAACGCGCUUAAUGUUUAAGUACUCAGCUCCAAGGGGCUGGCACAUGAUGUUCGAUCCCAAGAGGUCAAGUGUUCGGCCCAGGAGGUCGGCACGACUGGGAAUUAGGAAUCCGGGGGAAGUGCUCGGCCCAGGAGGUCGACACGAUGGAGAAAAACUUGGAAGCUUGGGAGGAUUCUAGAAACUCCUCGCUCGACCCAGGAGGUCGGCGAAAGAGGAGUUCGAUGCCCGACGUGCGAUCUCGAGAGGUCGGCACGGGCCUUCGAGUCCGGGGGCUCCGCGUUCGACCCAGGAGGUCGGCAGGAACGCCCUUAAUGUUUAAGUGCUCAGCCCCAAGAGACUGGCACACCCCAUUAGUGGGUCUAUCUGGUGUUCGACCCUAGAGGCCGGCGCAUGAUUUUAAUAGUUAGAUUGCCGAUUGGGCCACUCCAUGACUGGAUUGAAAAGGUAACGCGUUGAGUGCUCGGCCCAGGAGGUCGGCACAUGGCGUUGCGGGCAGACAAGGAAGGCAGAAUAACUCUUCAAAAUUUCGCAUAUGCAUUCAAAGCCUAUCUAUUACAAAGCUUCCGAGCUGCCUAUCUGCUGCAAAAUGUGCCGAGCUAUGAAGAGAAUACAGCUUGAGCCUCCUUCCUUUUGCUGGUAGUCCGCCUGGAGCAGGAGCUGAAGGUACACCUUAAACAUGCUGAGAGGCGUAUGGUGAAGGCUUCCCAGGUGGGAGAACCUUUCCGUCUCAGAUGGACCUCCAAGAGCAUUUUCAACUGGAGCAUGGUCACAUCCUUAUAAGAAGACGGAAAGGGUUUUUGGAGUGGCCGCCGCCCUAGACCACCGGCUCCUUCCCAGCAGCUCUGCCAGGAGACUCGCUCUCCUCCAAAGGGACCUCCGCCAGCUCGGCCCCAACGUCGGUUCGGCCUACCAACCCCUUCAGGGCAUGCCCCUUGCGGUACCCGUCGAAGAGCCAGUCCAGCCUCUCCUCGGCCGCGGGAUUGUAGUCCUUGAAGUCCGCCAAGUUGAAGCCAGGAAGGUUGAGGCUCUUCACCUUGUCCAGGGCCCGCGUAGCGCCGACCUGGAGGAUGGGCAGGUUAAGGAGGGCGAUGUCCUCCUCAAACUGCUCGGAAGAAAGGAACUCCCGGACAGCCUUCUUCCGCUCCCGGCUGACGGUGCCGGAGAGCUCGAGGGCGUGGUCCUCCUUCAGCUUGGCCACGCCUGCCUUCUCCUGGUCGAGCUCCGACCUGGUGGAGGCAAGUUGGACCUGAGCCUCGUUCAACUCCCCCUCGGCCUUGGCCAGUUUGGCCUUAAGGGAGCUCGCCUCCUUAAGGGCCUGGGAGAGCUUCUUCUCCGCCUCCAGGUUCUUCUUCCGCAACUUCUCCAGGUCGGGAGACAGCUCGGAGAAGCGGGUAGCCAGGGCAGCACCGGCAGCGUUGGACUGAUAAGGAAAGAGAACGGGUCAGCACGCCACAUCACUUAACCCAGACACGGAGGUAAAAACUAACCCACGAGCUAUACUUACUUGAGUCUGGGCGGUGUAGUAUGCGUCCAAGAGCUCGGAAGGGCUGGCCAGCUCCAUCCACCUCUUGUCCCGAGGAAGGACCGAGCCCACCAUCAGCUCGCGAGCCACCUCGGGAAACUGGGCUCGGUCGUUGAUGGAGAGUUCCCAGCCCGGACAGAAGUGGCGGGGGUCAUGCAUCGUGGGGGCUUGGCCUGGCUUCAGGGGAGCUAUGUGGCGGAAGUGCCACAAGCUCGGGGGAGUUGACUCCUGGGCAUGCUCCUCGGCGGAGCCCACGCCCAGGUGGACUGGCCCCCCGGAGACCAGCGUGAGAGGAGAAGGAUGUGCGGGGACCAGCGCGAGCUUCUUCCCGGGCUGGGAGGGCUCGUCCACUCGACCCCUCUUCUGCCCGGCCGCCUUUUUCUUGUUGUUGGCGGCCUUCUUGGUGGGGGAGGGGGUUCCCUGCGUUUCCUUCUGGGGGGCUUGGCCGCCCCCCACGGUCGGGGUCGCCCCAGGGACCUCCUGGGCAGCUUCUGGCUGAGGAGUGGCGGUCGCCUCCUCAAUGGGCGCGCCCAGCAACUUGGACAGCUUCCUCACUGCAAGAAGAAUCAUGGGGUCAGUCAGAGCAGGAUGGAAAGAGAGUACACAUAUGCAAAUGCAACAGGGGGAAAGCCAGCGUUACAGGUGUCAAGUUUGGGUUUGGGGGUCACCACUUCCCCAGAGGAUCCGGACAACGUCCCAAUCAGCCCGGCUGCGGAUAUCUGCUCAGUGGAGAACUUUGUGACAUCAAGAUUCACCUUGGAGCCCAACAGCUGGUUGAGGGUAUCGUAGCCCAGGUCCUCCGGGUAGGAGUCGGCCUUGACCCCCCCAACCUUCCACACAUUGGGGGGAAAAUGUGUGGAUUUAACGAAGAAAAAGUCCUCCUUCCAGUCCUUCACGGAGGAGGGGAGCUCAAAGAACAACUCCUGGGCACCUUUCCCUCCCUUGGUUUGGGGACCACGGCGGGAGAAGUAGUACCACCCAGGGAGGGCGGUUUUAAGAAUGAAGGCUGCUCGGAAGAGGGAGAGAGAGUAAGGGAUGUCGCAGAGAAGGCAGUAGAUCAGGAAUCCGGUGAUGAUCCUGAUAGAGGUGGGGUGAAGCUGGGUGAUUCUGAGCCCCCAGUAGUUCAGAAUCUCAGUUAGAGCUGAAUGGAUGGGGAGACGGAGCCUUGCGAUGAGCUGCUCCCUGUAGAUGGCUACGAAGCCAGGGAGAGGUCGGCAGGCUCGGUCGUCGGGCCCGGCCGCCGUCCUGGGGUGAUAGGGUGGCCUCCUGUAGGUCUGGAUAACCGUAGGAGAAUUCGGGAUCAUUCCCCUGCUCCGAAGCAGGGGGAUCCCUGUCCUCCCCAGCUCCGCCCUGGGCCCCGCCGGGGGAGUCGUGUGGAGACUGGGGAGAGGAGGUGGUUGCGGCCUCCCGCUCGAGGUAGGCGUCGAGUUCGGCCGCCUCCUCUAGAGCGCGAGCAGAAGGAGAAUGGGAUGAAGGAGACUGAGGUGAAGGAGAACUCAUAAUGACUAUAGGGUCAAGGAGGUCGGGGUUAGAAGCGGAAGAGGAAGAAGGGGGAGGGGGAGAAGGCGACGGUGAGGAUGAGGGCGAAGAUGAGGAAGAAAUGAGGAUUCUGAUGGCUCUGCGACGGGCCGGACUCGGGGGUGCGGUGGAAGUCACGUCGGAAUGACCCGACAUAAAAAGCAGAAGGUGGCAGAAGGAAAAAGGGACACUGCAAAAAGGGAAGAUGAAUCGCAAAAAGGGACUUACUGAUGAUGAUCAAGGCAGAAGAGGGAUGGGAGACCCGCCGGAAUCUGGGCACAGGAUACCGGAAGCUGCUGGAAAAUGGAAAUGCGAAUGCACAAGGAGAGUGGCAAUUCAAAAUGCACAAGAGGAAGCGGAAGUGGCAAAUGGAACAGAGGGGAAUUUGGUGCCCCCUAUUUAUAGGGGGAGGAGUGGGGGGAAAACGGUUGCGUGAAUUUGAACCGCCUCCCAUGUGAACGCAUUUAAUGCCGGUACGAAAACCGAAGAGGUAUGACAACUGAAAGGACGCGGGCACAGCGUCCCUGUAACAGCACUGUACUAGAGGUGACCUCGGCAGGGUAGUGCGCGGCGCUGGCCUCCCACGUGGCGGAUGUAGAUUAGGUCUGCCUGACAGUCCUACCUAAUCUAGGGGGCUAGUGCAGAGGCCUUAUUCUGGGCCUAGACACGUGGCAGCCCAGGCGGGGCCGAGCUGGGCCGAGCUGGGCCCUGACCUCAGGCCCCUGGCAGCAGCCCUGGGCCGCCCUGUUAGGGCUCGUAAAGGAGGCAGGAGUCCAUCCCGAGGAGGUCGGGGAUAAUCCUCCUGAGUGCGGGAUGCUGGCUAUUCCGGGCAAGUCCCGAAACGUACGGAGGUCGGACUCCCUCAACAGGUAUAAGUAAUAGCAGACAUCAACUGUACAAGGUACGCUCACUAUCGGCAAAUGACCUCCGAUCGUCAAUACUCCCUGUGAACCCUAAUCACCGGAAAGCUAACUUGACCGUCGGAGUGCCCUCGGGGACAACCCUCGGGCCCCCCUUUUUGCUAGUUCAUCCUUGUUUGUUUUGCAGGCUUAGGAUCAGCUCUUCCAUCAGCACCCCGAGCUCAUCAGUUCAGCUCGGUCCGGGGAAGCUCAGCGCUUCUUCAGCAUGCAACUAUCUCCUGUGUUGCUUUUGAUCAUUCCCGUUAGAAGAAAAUCCAGUUCAGGACCUGCUGCCGAAGAUCAUUCCUGUAGAACCCGAAGUCCAUAGGACUUGUUUCCAGGCCCUGAUUGCUUCAAAGAUAUCAAGACAACCAUACGAGAAAAAAGAUGAGCACAUAUUCAGAGUCUUCAUCAAUACUCUCCUAAUCUAUCUGUGGGAGAUACUAAAGACUGGAGGUUGUGUUAUGAUGUCUUUGAAGGAUCGAUUGAAAAUGGUUUAUGAUGGGUUGAGGUCCUUGAGAAUCAUUCUCAAGGGGAACCCUGACGUGUUUGAUGAGAAAAUGAGAGAUCUUACUGGACUCCUCCUCUGUGAUGCAGGACUUGUUAUUUUUUCCCUUUCUCUCGACGAAAUUAAAGAUGGAUCAGUCAAGGAAAUGGAUCUGGAGUCUUUUCAAAAUUUCCUGAAAAGGAUAAAGCUUAUCAAGGCAAUAGUUGCAGAGAAAUAUCCAGAAACAUCACCAUCAUCCAAGUUUCCUCGGACUAAUGAGUUGGGAUUUAUCGAUUUUCUUCUAAAAUAUAUCGGAGAUUUGACAAAUCCUGAUGCUCAUUCAGUUGCUCUUUCAAACUAUCGAAUUCAUGCAAUCCAUGAAGAGCUUGUUUACUUACGCUCUUUCUUGGGAAGAAUUGUGGAAUUGCGCAAUAAAGAUCAGGAGCUUCAAGCACUUUGGGAUCGUGUUGUUGAGGUGGCAUACAAUAUAGAAUUUCUUAUCGACUCCUUGUUGGAUGGAGACAUUCUAGAUUCUUCUUCAAUCUCAUUUGAUUCUGUUGAAAAAGAAAUUAAGAUCAUCAAAGCUGUGGCCUUGAACAUUUCUGAUAGAAAAACACUUGAUCUCAAUGUUAAGGAAGUUACCAAGAGACCAAAUAACAUGCCAUCACAGGGAAGCAUGCCAAUAAUCAAUGACAUGAUCGUGGGAUUGGAGGAUGAGGCAACGUCAAUAAUCAAUCGACUCACAAGAGUAUCAUCCCAACUGCAAAUUGUCCCCAUUGUAGGUAUGCCAGGACUUGGCAAGACAACUUUAGCUAAAAAAGUUUACAAUAAUUCUUUUGUUACAUCGUAUUUCUAUACACGUGCUUGGUGUACUGUCUCUCAAGUGUAUCAUAGAAAAAAUCUGCUACUUGAAAUUUUGACUUGUAUUCACUCCAAGCCUCCUACCAAUUUUUCUGAGAUGUGUGAAGAAGAUUUGGCCGCAGAAGUUAGAAGAGGUCUGCUAAGGACUAGAUAUCUCAUUGUUUUGGAUGAUAUAUGGGACACUGAAGCAUGGAAUGAAUUGGAAGCAUCAUUCCCUGACAAUCGAAAUGGAAGUAGAGUGAUCGUGACAAGUCGAAAGUCUGAUGUUGCUGCUCCGAUAGACAAACUUGGUGAAGGGCCUCAUUUCCUCCGUCCGCUGACUCCUGAUGAAAGCUGGGACUUGCUAAAUAUGAAGUUAUUUCCUGGAAAUGAUUUGCCUCCACCAGAAUUAUGCGAAUUGCAAACGAAAAUCGUGGAAAUGUGUCAAGGACUGCCACUUACAAUCGUCAUUCUAGCUGGAAUUCUGGCAAAUGAGGACCAACAUGGUUGGAAAGAACUUGUGGACGGUUUAAGUUCAAGAAUAGUCUCUAGUAUAGAACAAUGCUCUGCUGCGAUAGAGUUGAGUUACAAGAACUUACCAGAUAAUUUGAAGCCAUGCUUUCUAUACUUUAGAGCAUUUCCAGAAGACCAUGACCACACUACUAAGAAGUUGAUUUGGUUAUGGGAGGCUGAAGGAUUUACCCAGAAAACUGAGUUCAAGAGUGUAGAGGAUGUGGCAAAUGAUUUCUUAAUGGAUCUUAUCCACAGAAGCUUGGUCAUUGUUUCCAAGCAAAGUUCCAUUGGUGGUGUCAAAGCUUGUCGCGUUCAUGAUUUGCUGCAUGAGUUUUGUGUGACAAAAGGCAAAGAAGAAAAUUUUCUGCAGCUGGUACGUGGGUAUGAUGAAAUAUAUACUUUCAGAGUGCCACGCAACCUACGCCGCCUAUGCAUCAACUCUAACCCAGAGCACUUUUGCAAGUCCAGGUUAUUUGCUCCCACAAUCCAUUCUCUAAUACACUCCUAUGGAGGUAAAAGGCUCCGACGUUGUGGACUUGAGCUUUCAUCCAUUUUUGGUAUCUUCAAACUUGUUAGAGUGUUAGAAUUGAGCAACAUAAAUCUAGGUACUGCUUUUCCUAGAGAACUAGAAUUAUUGGUUCAAUUGAGGUACUUGGCAAUUCUAGGAGCUAUGAGAUCAAUUCCAUCUUCCAUAGACAAUCUCUCGAAUUUGGAAACUUUCAUCUUUAACAUGGUUGUUCAGACUAUUUUACUACCUGAUACUAUAUGGAAUCUGAAGAAGCUAAGGCGCUUACAAAUAACGGACUUUGAGUUGUCCACAGACAAUCUUGACACUGCUGCAGACUUGUAUGAUUUGAAUACCUUCUCCGGUUUAUCUCUUUCUUCAUGGGCAACCAUCCGCAAGGUAUUCAGAAAAAUUCCUAAUAUCCACAAGCUGAAAUGCACUCUCGUUGCGGGUAAUGAACAUAAUUGGGUUUCGGCAGACAAGAUUCUGGUACUUGACUUUCUAAGUGGACUAGAAUCACUGAAUCUGAUGUUCCAUCAUGAUACAUGGCUUCCAAAUCCAUGCCAGUUUGAGUUUCAAUUCCCUUUGGCAACCAGAAAGUUGACUCUAUCCGGUUUUCGUUUCCCUUGGAGCAAAAUUUCAGCGAUCGAAAAUCUUCCCAAUCUGGAGGUUCUCAAAUUACGUUGUGACGCCUUCAAGGGGGAAAUAUGGAACAUGGAAAAAGAGGGGUUCCCUAAAGUUAGAUUUCUGGAAAUAUCUGCCUUGGAUAUUGUCAAGUGGACUGCCUACGAGGGCGUGGACUGUUUUCCAAGUCUACAGAAUCUAGUAUUGAUAAGCUGUGGCUCUUUAAAGGAGAUUCCUUCUUGUUUGGGGAGUUCGACUCUUGAAAUUAUUGAGGUGUCUCAUUGUCCCUUCUCUGCGAGUUUUAUAGAGCCACUUCAGGAAGAACAAAUGGACUUGGGAAAUGCUGAUCUGAAGAUCGACAUUUCAUCCCAUGAAGAUGAAAUGGAUUACUGAUCUUCUCACGUAUCUUUAGUUUGGUCAGUCACUUUCAUUCCUUUUACCUGUUUUUUUUCUCCCUAGUCCUUUACUUCUGUACUACUACUGGCUUUGCUGUAUCAGUUAAUCAGGUUGCUUUAAUGUUUCUUAUCCUUUCUGAAGAUUGAAAUGAAUGAAGCAGCUAUCUUUUUUCCCAUUCUGUAAGAUUUUAGUUUUGAUUCCAAGGGUGUAUUAUAAAAAUAUGACCAGCUAGCUCAAUCUUUGUUGUUUAGCACCCUAAUCAUCAAAUCUGGGGCCUCACAAGUUUCAUUUCAAACCAGUUUGUCCUAGAGUAUAAAUAAGUGAAGGCCAAUGUAAAUAAGUUUUAGUAAUGUGUAAACAAGACUGUCAACUGAUUUGAAUUGAAACUUGUGAAACCCAUAAUCCAUAGCAAAUCCAACCAGGGCCCAAUAAUAAGAUUAAAUGAGUUUUUGUACCCACUUCGUGCUUAGGAAUCUUGGGGCUAUUCCCAUUACCAUGAAGAAUAUUUGGAAAAAAAUUUUGAUUUUAUUUAAUUUAGUACUUUUUAUAUGAUGUAUGUCAGAUAUGGUUAAAAAACAUAUUUUGUGAAUAAGAAGAAAAAUUUUUCCCAAAUCAUCGUAUCUACACGAACCCUGUAGCUCUCAGAUCAUUGUUGGGAAAAGGAUUUUCAUUUUAUUUAUUGUAGCACUUUUUUUAAGUGGUGUAUGUAAAAUAAAAAGAUAAUUAGGAAACUUAUGAAUAAUAAAAAAAAAAUUUCCCAAAUCAUCCUAUCCUAAUGAACAAUGUUUUAAAUGCUAUUGUAGUUCUCGAAUUAUCAAUAGUCUACACCACCCUAAGCAUCUCGCAAUUAUACAUGACUCUUUAUUGAAUUUAUCAUUCCAAAGCUCUUACAUUCUAUACUUCUAUUGGAGGAUUUAAAUGGCUUAAAACUACAAUGUCAACAAAAUUAUAAAGGCAUCUAUGCGUAAAACAAAUUCCAACUUAUGGCUUCUAACCAAAUUAAUCAUAUGUAAAACGUAGUAUGGCAGGAUUAAAAGUUUGAGAGUUACAUCCAAAUUCAUGAUUAUCCAACAACAGCGACAUAUCUUAAGGAACUGAUACCAAAAGAAGCUUAUACUAAUAUUUGAUACUAUGACUCUUCUUAAAUUACCAAAUCCUACAAAGGAAUUACAACUUAGAAAUAUUAAUGAUAAGUCAAGAAAACACCCUCAAAUACUAAUGACUUGCGGAAGACUUCAACUAACUUAAGAAUACUUAAUGAGAAGUAGGAAAGGUGCUCUACAAUCAAAGACGAAUUAAAUCUAGAACCCCACGUUGCCAUAAUGUUAUACGAACUCUAACUAUUGAUAUGCCACACUAAACAAUGAAACCUUAGGUAACUUAUAGCCCUACGAAAAACUUGCACUUACCAUUUCAUCAUCAUUGUUUCACUAGACCAAAAACAUUUACUAUUCCUUCUACUUGAAAGUCCUUGACUACCAGUAGCUUAGCUAGGACUUUUUGUUAGGCAGCAAACUUUUGUGUGUCGAAAAUGGUAAUUUUCAAAAGUAAUUUUAAAUUUUUGGCUUGUAUUUUUUGUUUAAUUUCUAUUUCUUAGCUUUUAAAUUAUCUGAUUGUAGCUCAAAGUAAAAUAUUUUAUCAAAGUUUUUAUAAACAAGUUCUUUUUAUCACUACACUAUUUAAUUGAUAGGGUGUUAAUUGUUGGUUAUUUUAUUAUUAAUUUUUCCCUUGUCCCUACCAAAUAUUGUUUUAAUUGUUAAUAUCUACUUAUAUUUGGUAUUUGAACUUAAUUUCAAGGAAUGGAGCAGACAAUUACAAAAAAAAUGAGGGACUUUCUGAAGCAAAUUACUUCACACGUGGGAGUCUUCGGCAAAGCUCCAUUAACUAGGUCCACAAGAGGGAAGAAACAGAUUUUCGUUUCUCUUGCUGAUGAGGAGUGCUGGUACGAGAGUUCUACUACCAAGAAGAAACAAGAAAAGGGGAAUUGGCAGGGGCUUUCCUUUGGUACUUUGGCUCUCAAUUUCGACGGGGACCACUGGACAGCAUUAGUCACUUCUUUUGGCUUUAAAAGGAAAAGAACGUACACAGGCCAAGACAUCUUUUAGAAAUUAGUCUUUAGCAUAGUUUUUAGUUUUCUUUCUUUUUCCUUGUCAGGCGCACGUCUACUAUUCGAUAAUAUUUUUCAACGAAAAAAAUAUCUUUUAUUUCUCGCUACCUAGUAAAAAACUUGAUGCCUUUGCAAUCAAUUGAUUUGCGUGGGAAUUUAUUUAUGUGGCGUGGCUAAGUCUUUCAUCUAGUCAAGGAUCAACUCGACGGCGCAGUUCCAAAUAUUUGUGAGAUCUAAUUAGUUUUCACGCGUUUCUUAAUUUGUUAAUAUUUGCACAUUGCCUAUUUGAAUUCCCAUGGGAUUAUUUUGUUAAUUUGAUGUCAAGGGUCCGAUGUUCAAUGUGACUUAUUAAUCUCCUGCCAAAUUUGUCAAUUAAAUCCGUAAUUGUUUGAUUGAUUAAUAUUAGUGGCAACUGACGUGUUUACACACUAGGGGAAUGUGCAAUCUAAUUUAAAUAACCCUUGUAGCGUGUUAUUGAUUGGCGUUAGAUUUUUCUAGAUCUUAAUGCAAUUGUGAAAUUAGUUCCUACGGUCGUACCUAGGAGUAUUUUCUGGUUAGGGGUAAUCAAUGAUCGUACCUUGGUUAUCAAUAAAUUAAGGAAAAAUUAGUCGUUAGAGUUCGUCGGCAACUAUAACUAGCCUAUUAAUAAGUUAAGUGAAUCUCUCUUGCAUCAAUGAUCGGGUAAGUGGGCUGUGUUUAAAUAGUUGUAUCCUUGGCUAGAAUUUAUCUACUCUUGAUUUAAUUCCUACUAUAUUCGUGCUAGUUAAUUAUUUAUUUUUAGUUGAAUUGCUUAAUUAUUUUUAGUUCCAUUCCGAUAAAAUCCCUCUUUACCAAUUGAAAUCUCAAAGAGACAAAUAUCCCCAGUUCCUGAAGAGACGACCCUGCUUGCCACUGUCUACUAUUUAGUAAAUUUUAUCAAUUAAUUAAUUCUGGUAUAUCGGAUUAAGCAAACUCUUCGGGAACAGGGUGAAUCAAGUAACCCAUUGCACACUUAGAGUCCCUGCUCCAGUACUUAGGAUUAAUUGUUGACUGCUUUUAAUGGUAGUUAGGUUUUUAUUAUUAUUAUUGCACAGGUUCGACAACUUAUAAAUUUUUGGCGCCGUUGCCGGAGAUUGACGUUAAUUGUUUGUUUUUUUAAUUCCAAUUUGGUUCUAAUUUUCUGGUAUUUUUCUAGUUUAUGCCUCAUUCUUCUCGUACAGGCGAAUUAAUUUUCGAUCCUGAAGUAGAGAAGACUGCGCGUAGAACAAGGAAAGAAACCAAACAGAUCACAGAGGAGCAGUCCAGUGUUGCAUCUCAAGGACUUGAUCCGGAGGUUGAGUUGACGGAUUUGCGUGAUGAUAACUCAAGUGAUUCAGAGCAAGAGGAAGUCACCAUGGCGAAUGCACAAACACUAAGGGAGUUGGCUGCUCCUAAUUUAAAUCAGCAACCUUUAUGCAUUACUUUCCCAAGUUUGAAUGAUAACACUCCUUUUGAACUUAAAUCUGGUCUAAUUCAUCUUUUGUCGGCAUUGCAUAGUUUACCAGGUGAGGAGCCGUAUAAACACUUGCAAGAGUUUGAUGUAGUUUGCAACAGCAUGAAACCUCUGGGUAUUACAGAGGAGCAGAUAAAAAUGAGGGCAUUCCCCUUCUUCUUGAAGGACUCCGCGAAAGACUGGCUGUACUAUCUACCACCAGGUAGUAUACCACGUGGGACCAGUUAAAGAAGAAAUUUUUAGACAAAUAUUUUCCUGCGUCUCGAGCUGCAAAUCUAAGGAAGGAGAUAUGCGGCAUCAAGCAACACCCAAGCGAAUCCCUCUAUGAGUACUAGGAAAGAUUCAAGACGCUAUGCAUAAAAUGCCCUCAACAUCAGAUAAGUGAGCAACUGCCCAUCCAAUAUUUUUACGAGGGACUACUUUUUAGAAAUAUGAGCAUAAUUGAUGCUGCUAGUGGAGGGGCAUUGGUGAACAAGAUUCCUCGGGAAACAUGGGAGCUAAUUGAAGGAAUGGCUGAGAAUUCGCAGCAGUUUGGUACGAGGGAGGAUGUCCCGACACGUAGGGUGAAUGAGGUAAAAACAUCCUCCAUACAACAACAAAUCUCAGAAUUGACGUCCUUCGUGCGACAAUUAGCUGUGGAAAGUGUUUUACAAGCCAAAGUGUGUGGGGUAUGUGCUGCCGUGGGUCAUUCUACGGAGAUGUGCCCACUGGUUCAGGAAGAAACUGCAAAACAGGUGAACAUGGCUGGUCACGCGCCCGCGCCAAGAAAGCAGUACGACCCUUACUCAAGCACCUACAGUCUCAGUUGGAUAGAUCAUCCCAACCUCAGCUAUAGAGGGAACAGGCAGUCCAAUUUCGUACCAAAUAGGCAACAAGGGUACCAGCAACAGUACCAAUCUCGCCAACCACCGCCCCCUUCGAACUCAAGUCCGUCCAUGGAAGAGAUGAUGAAGCAAUUACUUGCGAAUCAACAAAAGAUGAAUUCAGACCUGCAAAGCAUGAGGAAUCAACUGGAACAAGUACAAUCAUUGCAAACUCAACUAAAUCAAAUGGCCAUCACGAUCAACCGUUUGGAGUCUCAAAUUCAAGGGAAGUUGUCAUCUCAACUUGAGUUGAACCCGAAGAAUGUGAGUGCAAUGACCUUGAGAAGUAGCAAGGAAGUCCAAGGACCCGAACCAGUGAUUCCUAAGGACAAGGACGAGGAACAAAUCUAGAAAGAGUUGGAAGAGGAGGGCAGAGACAACAAAGAUCAAAAGGUACCCCCGGACUUGAUUACUAGAGUUAAGAGUAAUUCACCUUCCUUUCCUAGCAGGCUAGAGAAACCAAAGAAGCAAGACAAGGAGAAAGAGGUCCUGGAGAUCUUCCACAAGGUGGAGAUCAACAUCGCCCUACUGGACGCUAUUAAACAAGUACUCAGAUACACAAAGUUUUUGAGAAACUUGUGUGUCAACCGAAGGAGGCUGAAAGGAGAUGAACGGGUUAUAGUGGGGGAGAACGUGUCAGCAAUCUUAUAAAGGAAACUUUCAUCAAAAUGCGGGGACCCAAGUAUGUUCACUAUUCCCUGUAGGAUGGGUAAUACCUAGAUUGGUAGGGCCAUGUUGGAUCUGGGAGUUUCAAUUAAUGUCAUACCAAAGUCCAUAUAUGCUUCUUUGAACUUAGGCCCUUUGAAAGAUACGGGAAUAAUAAUCCAAUUGACUGACCGAACCAAUGCAUACCCUGAUGGGUUGGUUGAGGAUGUUUGAGUAAAAAUUAAUGAAUUGGUCUUCCCCACUGAUUUUUAUAUGCUUGACAUAGAUGAUGAACACUCCCACGACCCAUCACCUUUACUAUUAGGUAGACCCUUUUUUAGUACAGCUCGAACCAAAAUUGAUGUUAAUAAGGGCAACAUGUCUAUGAAAUUUGAUGGUGAGAUUGUUCAUUUUAACAUUUUUGAAACUAUGAAAUAUCCUUCAGAAUCACAUGCUGGCUCUGUUUUCUUUAUAAAUAUUAUUGACCCUGCUGUACAAGAAGUUUUUGAAAUUGAAGGCAGGAAUGAGUUGAAAGUCGCCUUGACCAGGCACUUCGAGUCAAAGACGACCUCUGGGUGGAGUUGAGCGAAGAGCUCAAAUGUGUGAUCGGAUCAUUUCAAACGUUACCGCCCACAAGAACAAGAUAUGAUCUCGCACCCAUUUUCAUAUCUGAACUUUACCAAAGGCUACUUCCAUCUGUGGUGCAGGCACCUGUCUUAGAGUUGAAACCCUUGUCGAAACACCUGAAAUAUGCAUACUCGAGUGAAAGGGAAACAUUCCUAGUGAUCAUCUCCGUGGGUCUAUCAACGGUUCAGGAAGACAAAUUAUUUCGAGUCCUCAGGGAAUAUAAACAGGCGAUAGGAUGCACCAUCGCCGAUAUCAAGGAAAUUAGCCCCGCCGUAUGUAUGCACUGAAUUCGACUCGAGGAGGGUGCUAAGCCUGUGCGGCAGGCUCAGAGGAGAUUAAAUCCUCUCAUGAUGGAGGUAGUGAAGAAAGAGAUCCUGAAACUGCUGGACGUCGAAAUUAUAUUUGCCAUAUCAGACAGCCCAUGAGUGAGUCCAGUACAGGUGAUCGCGAAGAAGGCAGGGGUGACGGUGGAGUCAAACUAAGAGGGUGAUUUCGUACCAGUUCGAAAGCCUACCGGGUGGCAGCAGUGUAUAAACUAUAGGAAGCUAAACGCCGUCACGAAAAAGGAUCAUUUUACUCUUCCUUUCAUUGAUCAAAUGGUAGAGCGAUUAGCAGGUUAAGUUUACUAUUGAUUUUUGGAUGAAUUUUCAGGUUAUUUUCAAAUUGCUAUCGCGCCCGAGGAUCAGGAAAAGAUCACCUUCAUAUGCCCGUUUGGAACACUUGCAUACAGACGAAUGUCAUUCGGGUUGUGCAAUGCACCCGCUACCUUCCAACGUUGCAUGGUAAGUAUCUUUUCAGAGUAUGUUGAGAAGAUUGUUGAGAUAUUUAUGGAUGAUUUCAGUGUGUAUGGAGAAAGUUUUGAUAACUGUCUAGAUAACUUCAAAUUAAUUUUGGUAAGGUGUAUAAAAGAUAAUCUCGUGCUUAAUUGAAAAAAAAUGCCACUUUAUGGUCGAACACGGAAUAGUUUUGAGUCAUGUAGUGUCGUCCAGGGGUAUUGAGGUUAAUAAAGUGAAAAUAGAUGUUAUAUCUACUUUACCUUACCCCGCGAGUGUGCGAGAAGUGCAUUCCUUCUUGGGUCAUGCAGGUUUCUAUAGAAGAUUCAUCAAAGACUUCUCAAAGAUUGGAGUACCAUUGUUCCAACUUUUGCAGAAAGAUGUGCCCUUCGAGUUCGACAAAGCAUGUAAGGGGGCGUUUGAUAGGUUGAAGGAGUUAUUGACCUCCUCACCUAUUAUCCAACCUCCUGACUGGAACCAACCGUUCGAAAUCAUGUACGAUACCAGCGACUAUGCAGUUGUCGUGGUGUUGGAUCAAAGAGUGCGAAAGGCAGCCCACGCUAUCUACUACGCAUCUCGAGCCUUGAACGAAUCUCAGUUGAACUAUGCGACCACCAAAAAGGAGUUUUUAGCUGUUAUUUUUGCUUUAGAGAAAUUUUGGUCAUAUUUAUUUGGUGCUAAAGUUAUUAUUUUCUUUGAUCAUGCAGCUUUGCGGUAUCUGUUGGCUAAGAAAGAGGCAAAACUGCGACUGAUAAGGUGGAUAUUACUGCUACAAGAGUUCGACCUAGAGAUCAGAGAUAAAAAAGGGACAGAGAACCUGGUAGCAGAUCACUUGAGUCGAGUACAAGUCACCGAGGACGACCUCCCACUGAGAGAAACAUUCCCCGAUGAGCAUUUAUUUGCUAAUAAUUUAUCCUUGCAAUAGUAUGCGGAUAUUGUUAAUUUUCUAGUCACUGACAAGUUUCCUGCAGGAUGGCCUAAGGCAAAGAGAGACAAGUUAAGGAGUGAUGCGAAAUCCUACAUUUGGAAUGAUCCUUACCUCUGGAAGCGUGGUGCCGACCAAAUCAUCAAAAGAUGUGUAGGUGAGGAUUAAUUCCAAUCUAUACUAACCUAUUGUCACUCUUUUGAAUGUGGAGGUCACUUUGGACCAAAGAGAACAGCUGGUAAGGUGCUAGAAAGCGGGUUCUAUUGGCCAACCCUCUUCAAGGACGCCUAUUCAUUUUGUAAGUCAUGUGAUAAGUGUCAACGAGUAGGUAAUAUUUCUUGUAGGGAUCAAAUGACUCAGACCCCAAUGAUUUUUGUUGAAAUUUUUUACGUUUGGGGUAUUGACUUUAUGGGUCCUUUUCCGUCGUCUUUUAGUUUUUUGUAUAUAUUGCUUGCUGUACACUAUGUCUCAAAAUGGGUGGAAACAAAGGCCACUCGCACUAACGAUUCCAAAGUGGUUGCAGAAUUCGUCAAAUCUAAUAUUUUUGUCCGUUUUGGGAUGCCGCGAGCAAUUGUCAGUGAUCGAGGUAGUCAUUUCUGUAACAAGACGAUUGCUGCAGUUUUCAGGAGGUACAGCGUCUUACAUAAAGUCUCCACAUCCUACCACCCUCAAACAAAUGGUCAGGUAGAAGCAUCGAACCGAGAGAUCAAGUCGAUUUUAGAGAAGAUGUUCCGCCCUGAUAGAAAGGACUGGAGUCAAAGGCUGGAGGACGCACUAUUGGCAUAUAGGACGGCGUACAAGACCCCCAUUAGAAUGUCCCCGUACCGGUUGGUAUUUGGGAAACCAUGUCACCUCCCCGUCGAGUUCGAGAAUAGAGCAUUUUAGGCGAUAAAACAGUGCAAUAUGGACAUCGAAGAGGGCGAAAUUCAAAGAAAGUUGCAAUUACAAGAGUUGGAGGAGAUUCGAAAUGAAGCAUACGAGAAUGCGGUGAUUUAUAAGGAGAAAAAUAAGAUUUUUCAUGACCAACAGAUCUCUAGAAAAACAUUCGUCUGUGGGAAAAAAGUUCUACUGUAUCACUCCAAAUUGAAGUUAUUUUUAGGUAAAUUACGUUCUCAUUGGAUUGGUCCUUUUGUUGUGACUAAUGUCUUUCAUUAUGGUGCAGUGGAGAUCCAAAAUUUGAAGAUGGGGAAGAAAUUUGUAAUAAAUGGUCACCGUCUCAACCCAUAUUAUAAAGGGUUUCCGGUUGAACGGGUAGAGAUGAUGCAACUGGAAGACCCGAUUUGCUUCGUUUAAGCAAAUCUGGAUUAUGUCUAGUCAAAAACAUAAAAAGAGGCGUUUUUGGGAGGCAACCCAAAUAUUAGUUUUAUUACUUUUCAUUGUUCAAUUCUUUCGUUUUGUUGUUUCUCAGUUGGGUGGUAGUCGACCCUAAUAUUUUCUUUCACUGUGGCAGGAAAUGCAAUCUUGGCGUGCCCACACCGUGUUAGUGUCUCUCGAGAUCAGUAGACAUUUACCAAUCUUGGCGUGCCCACACCAUAUUGGUAAAAUCUCAACAUCUCGCGACAUUGGCAGAAAGUGCCUCCCGAGAUCAGUGGACGUUUUAUAAUCUUGACGUGCCCACACGGUGUUUGACGACCCUAAAAUAAAUUCAAGAAAAUAAUAAUAAUAGUAAUAAUAAAUAAUAAUAAUAUAUUUUUGUUAUUAUUGCAAGAAAAAGGAAGAAUUAUUUUCUUUUUAAACCCUAAAAAAAUUAAUUAAAAAUUAAUAAAAAAUUUUUUAAAAAAAUUGAAAAAACAAAUCGAAAUUUUUUUUUGAAAUUUUGAUCGAUUAAUAUUUGAAUAAUUUUGGAAAAAAUAAAUAAAAUAAACACCCCAAAAGAAAAAAAACAAAAAAAAGGAAAAAAAAAACUAUUCUUUUUUUCCUUUUUCUCUUUUCUUUUUUCUUUCUUUCCUUUCUUUCUUUCUUCCUUCUUCCCCGCUGCUGUCCCUUUUCCCCUUUUCCUUUCUUCUUCGCCUGACAUCCCUAGCGAACACCGCCGCCCCUGUUCCCUCUGCUCUCUCUCCCUCACCUCGCGGUCACCACCAGCUCUCGGCCAGGUCGCACGCCGCCAGCGCGCGAGCUCGUGCGAUACCAGCGGCGAACGCCGCCGCCCUUGUUCUCCCUGCGCGAUCUCCACCAAUUCCACGUCACUCUCUCUCCUCCCCUCGCUCUCCCUCGCGCGACUCCAUCUGCCCACCACUGCCUAAAGCUGUCCUCCACUUCCACCAGCUCGCCGCAGCUCCUCGUGAGCUCGUACGCCACCAAGCCGCGCGCCACCACUCUUCCCUCAAGCCGCACGACGCCACCAGCAGCCGCGAAGCUGCCCACCGUUCCCCUCACUCUCCCUCUCGAGCUCACGCUCUGCCACGCUAGACCGCCGCCAGCCACCGCUACUCCGCUGCUCACGCCACCCACAGUCACGCCAUUCCCACCUGUCCUAAUUGACAGGUGGAGGUAUUGACUCUUCAAUCUCGAUUAGUAUUUUUCUGGUUCUUCUAUUGCUGGAAUUGCGCUUUUGUUUCGUGGGUUUCUUAAUAGCUAAAAGCAGGGGGUGAUUUAUGCAUUUUCUGGGGUUAAUUUUGGUGGAACUAAGUUUAUUUGCUGCUCCAUUUGGGGAUAUUCUCUGGUAUUGAUUACAUUGUUGAGCAUUGAUUGGGUUUUGCCUACUUAAGGCCUCUAUUUUCAUCUGUGGGGAUCAAAUUUGAGUUGGCUAUUUAGUUUUUCCUUGUGCAUUCACCAGUGGUACUGGCGAUGGAAGUUGUUUUAACAUUUGUUAAUUCUGGGUUAUUGGUUGCCUAAUUGAUCGAGUUGUGACUACUGAGCAUUUGUGAUUGAGUUAUUUCUGUCCAACUUUUGAACUACUUUUGCUGGUUUUGUCGGUUUCUUGGGUCAUUUGCUAAUUUUGGGUAGGUUUCAUUGGGUAUUUGACUGUCCAAUUGGUGACAGUAGUUGAGCUUUUGGGGUGAGCCAAACUUUGUUAUUCUCUGUGAUUGUUGGAGGACAUCGCUGUGCUUUUAUUGUUGGUUCAAUUUACUUGCUGUGCCGGGAUUCCAUGCUUUGUUGACAUUAGCUACAUUUAUUGGGCAUUUGCUUGUUGCUUGGGGGCUGUUGUUCACUCAUCUGGAGUGUUGUUUCUGUAUCUAUUGGUCGCUUUAGUUUCCUGUUGGUUGGAGUGCUAACUGCAACCCAUGGUAAAGCCACGAUCCUCCUCUAGGUCUAAAACACCUAGAACCUCUCAGCCUCUCCCACCCCAGUUCUCCAUUCCUGCCUCUGAUCCCUCGAACGACCCUUCUUCCUCUGGGAGGAGGGCUUGCCUUAGGAGGCAAAGAGGCGUCUAUAUUUCUGACGCUGCACAUUUUGGGGGUAAUUUGAACUUCACCCGGGCCGCCGACAAGCAGCGAUACGCUACUUAUUGUGAACGGCGGAUUAUUCCCUGCCGUUAUAUGGACGCCGCCACCUUGGGCCUUUUGAAUAUUAGAGUUGACUUUGAUCGCUUGAUCCAGGCCAUUGGGUGGCGUCCCUACACUUAUAUUGUUGACCGUCCAACUUUUGUCGAGUUGGUUAGGGAGUUCUAUGCCACAUUCGAGUUCGACCUUCCCACGGAUUACACAACUACUCCCAAUGUCAUCCGUUUUAGACUAAUGGGUCAAGAGUUCCACCAUUCCAUUACUGAUUUCAAUCUAGCACUUGAUUUUAUUGAUCAGGCCUAUGCCGAGUCCCGUGAGUAUGCCGAGAGUGCUUGUGACUACAUACAACCCUUUUUCUCCCGCUAUCGACAUAUUUGGGAGGAGAUGUCCGUAAACAGUGAUAAUUAUGACCCUCGUCUAUCUAAGGGUUCUUAUCUGAAGGAUCCGGCGUCUCGUUAUAUCCACCGUUUCUUGGCAUAUAGUUUCUCGGGUAGGCGAGAUAGCUCGGGCGUGUUGUCUAAACUGGAAUUUUUUUUUAUUUGGUGCAUGCAUAACAACAUUAAGAUUAAUCUUGGGUGCUGGCUCACUUCUCAAUUCAAAUCUGUUUUACCUAAAAAGAAGCUCCCCCUGAUUCUUGGGUCAUACAUUACUCAUUUGGCUGUUAAUUUGCAUGUGCUUGAUCUCUCUAACCAUGAUUUACAUGUUGCUUGUCAAAUAGAGCCCUUGGACAUUCCUUGUCUAAAGAAAAUGGGCUUGGUUCGGGAGGGCGACGACGGAUGGGAGGUUGUUCCCCCGGAACCGCUACACGCCCCCUCUCGGUUAUCUUUUGCCCGCGCCUCCACUGAUGGCAGUGAUCCCGACCCGUCUACUUUCGCUCCGCCUCCUCCCACCCCAGGUGCUGACGACUGGCUCCAACUUCGGAACACAGUUGAGAGACUGGAGACUCGCGUGACCCACAUUGGCAUCAACUUGCAUAGCAUGGCGUAGAAUUUGGCAGCAUUUAUACACCAUGCGGGACUUGCUCCUCAGUUCGCGCCCGACCCACCCCUGUUUUGACGACUUCAGGGAAAUACCAUUGCCCUUAUCCUUCCUUUUUGCUGUUACAUUAUCACAUUGAGGGCAAUGCAUGAUUUAGGUGUGGGGGGGAUCAGUUGUAGUGAUAGUUUUUUUUUUCGAUUUUUUAGUUUUUAGAGGUUCUUCCUUUAUUUUUAGUUAGUUUUUGCCUAUCUUUCAUUUAUUUUCUUUUCCUUUUCUUUCUAGUGAUCAGUUCUUAUAUGAAUACCAAGUUUUGAUGCUAGAUUGUUGUCUCUAAUUCUACUAUUGCCAAGUUUUAUUAAUAAAAGGGUAUCAAAUUAAUGUGGUUGAGUUCAGGAACAUAUCUUUGAUGAAUGUCAGUAAUUGCUUGACUUUUCUAAUUUUUGGUUAAUUUUUCUAGGCAUAGGGAAUGAUUGUUGGCAUUUUUCAUGCGAAUUGGUCCAAUUAUUAAUUUUAGUUAUCUAUGUUUGGAAAUUUGAGGCUGGCUACUGUUAUUUUUUUGUGUUGUUUUUAGAUAUCGUGCUAUAUGUUUGUAAAUAAGAGUUGACUGUACUCCGCUAAGUGUUACUACUAAGUAACCGGGGAUCUUCACCUAAAGUGUCGAUUCUCGCGUCAAAAGGUAGCGAUCUCUAAGAAUACGUGGUCAUAUAGCGAUAGGAGCUGAGUAAUCGGGCUCCUUCAUCUGACAAAUGUUGGAAUUCGCGUCAAAAGGCUCCAAUGGCUAGAGACUAAGUCUUUAGUUACUAUUGAAGAAAAAAAGAAAAAGAAAACAAAAGAGGAAACAAAAAAAGAAGUAAAGUAAAAAGUGUGUUAGUAUAUGAAAAAGUCAGCUUGCCAAUUUGUGAUCUUAAUGUCGAGGUUUUGGUUAAUAGUUGGACCGUUUGCUGAUAAAUGUGAGCAACCAUUCCUUUUUCUUAGAUUAGUUUACUUUAAAUUGGAGGAGUUGGUGGUUUAGAGGCUAACCGUGCUGAUUUUUCUUGGAUCUUGACCUGUGAUGCUUGAUAUUUGUUUUUCUUAGGUAUCUUGGCAAUACGGUAGUUGGAGCAAUAGCCAUUGUCGAACUUUUGGUGUUCCAUUGCUGUUUCCAUGCUUAAGCGCGAGCAUGAUUUAGAUGUAGGGGGAAUUGAUAGGGUUAAUUGUUGGUUAUUUUAUUAUUAAUUUUCCCCUUGUCCCUGCCAAAUAUUGUUUUAAUUGUUAAUAUCUAUUUAUAUUUGGUAUCUGGACUUAAUUUCAGGGAAUGGAGUAGACAAUUACAAAAAAAGGAGGGACUUUUUAAAGCAAAUUACUUCACACGUGGGAGUUUUCGGCAAAGCUCCAUCAACGUGGCCCACAAGAGGGAAGAAAUGGAUUUCCGUUUCUCUUGCUGAUGAGGAGUGGCUGGUACGAGAGUCCUACUACCAAGAAGAAACAAGAAAAGAGGAAUUGGCAAGGGCUCUCCUUUAGUAUUUUGGCUCUCAAUUUCGGCGGGGACCACUGGAUAGCAUUAGUCACUUCUUUUGGCUUUAAAAGGAAAAGAACGUACAGAGGCCAGGACAUCUUUUAGAGCUUAGUCUUUAGCAUAGUUUUUAGUUUUCUUUCUUUUUCCUUGUCUGGCGCACGCCUACUAUUCGACAAUAUUUCUCAAUGGGAAAAACAUCUUUUAUUUCUCGCUUCCUAGUGAAAAUCUUGAUGCCUUUGCAAUCAAUUGAUUUGUGUGGGAAUUUAUUUAUGCGGCGUGGCUAAAUCUUUCAUCCAGUCAAGGAUCAACUCGACGGCGCAGUCCCAAAUAUUUGUGAGAUCUAAUUAGUUUUCACGCGUUUCUUAAUUUGUUAAUAUUUGCACAUUGCCUAUUUGAAUUCCCAUGGGAUUAUUUUGUUAAUUUGAUGUCAAUGGCCCGAUGUUCAAUGUGACUUAUUAAUCUCCUGCCAAAUUAGUCAAUUAAAUCUGUAAUUGUUUGAUUGAUUAAUAUUAGUGGCAACUGGCGUGUUUACACACUAAGGGAACGUGCAAUCUAAUUUAAAUAACCCUCGUAACGUGUUAUUGAUUGGGGUUAGGUUUUUCUAGAUCUUAAUACAAUUGGAAAAUUAGUUCCUACGGUCGUACCUAGGAUUAUUUUCUAAUUAGGGGUAAUCAAUGGUCGUACCUUAGUUAUCAAUAAAUUAAGGAAAAAUUGGUCGUUAGAGUUCGUCGUCGACUAUAACUAGCCUAUUAAUAAGUUAAAUAAAUCUCUCUUGCAUCAAUGAUCGGGUAAGUGGACUGUGUCUGAAUAGUUGUAUCCUUGGUUAGAAUUUACCUACUCUUGAUUUAAUUCCUACUAUAUUCGUGCUAGUUAAUUAUUUAUUUUUAGUUAAAUUGCUUAAUUGUUUUUAGUUCCAUUCCGAUAAAAUCCCCCUUUACCAAUUGAAAUCUCAAAGAAACAAAUAUCCCCAAUCCCUGAGGAGACGACCCUACUUGCCACUGUCUACUAUUUAGUAAAUUUUGUCAAUUAAUUAAUUCUGGUAUAUCGGAUUAAGCAAACUCUUCGGGAACAGGAUGAAUCAAGUAACCCAUUACACACCUAGAGUCCCUACUCCAGUACUUAGGAUUAAUUGUUGACUGCUUUUAAUGGUAGUUAGGUUUUUAUUAUUAUUAUUAUUGCACAGGUUCGACAACCUGUCAUUAAUGAACAAACCAAAUCUUAGCCUAUGAAACAAAACAAGGAAGCUACACGUUGUCAGUAUUUCGAUACAGAUGUUAGUGUCAUUUACCCAAAACAAUAAUAAAACUUAAAGCAUCCAAACCCAAUAAAAUUACUUCAAAAAUCAUUAUUCAAUAUCCAUUACAAUUCAAUUAAAAGUUCAAAUUGUUUCUCAAUUAUAGUGUUCUUAAUCAAAUGCUUUUGAGCCAAAAAUGAAAUUUGAAUAUUACGUGCAAUUAAUUCAAUGAGAUAAAAGAAUCACACAAAAAAAUAAAGUGUGAUAAGCAUUGCCUUUCUUUAUAAGUUCUAUACCAAAUAAACUCUACUAGAAAAAAAAAUAAUUUCAUAACAUUUACAAAUGAAUCUUUAAAAAAAUACAUUUCCUCUCACAAUUGGUAUGCAAUUUGCUAAAUGAAAUUACUUAGUUAUUUCAAAAAAAUUGUAUUUCAAAAAAUUGUAUUUUAUGUAUAUAUACGAAGAUUAAAAAAAAAAGCAUAUAAGUGAUGGGUUGGGCACCUGUGGGUUCUUAAACCUCUUAUCCUAAUCCUCCUCCCUCGCGUAUUAAUGGGUACUCGACCCUAUUUUGCCUAGUCAAAAAAUACAAAUGAGGUAUCCUAAUUUUCAAAAUGCAUCAAAGUGACUUUCAUAGAUCAACUUGGUCAACUAAUAUUUUUGCCUGCCCCUAGUUGAGGUGAGGUGGUGGUGGAAAGGGGGAACGGGGUGUUGACAUGUGGUGGUGGAAAGGUAUCUUAACUCUUGGAGAUUUUAAAUAUUUUGGAUAUUUCUUUGGUGUAUUUUUUGUUAGUAUUUAUCUUUCGAUGGUUUAGUAUGUUGUUUAACUAGUUAUUAUAGAUGUUUUAUAAAAAAUAUAUUUCUGAAACACCCCAAAACCAUACUUCUUAUUUUAUACGUAAAAGCAACCUUCUUAGUUAUUUGGGUAAAAUACAAAAAAAAAAAAAAAAAACCCUGUGGUUAAGCAACUUCUUAUUUUAUACGUAAAAGCAACAUUCUUAGUUAUUUAGUAAAAUAAAAAAAGUCCCCUGUGAUUAAAUUAAACUAUGAAAAAGCCCUUUCUAGUUUCAAAUCUUACAUUUCAACCCCUCAUAAUUUGAACUAAUUUGAAACAACGGAAAUCAUUAGAACUAAUGGAGGUGGACAAACUGAUACAAUUAACCUAAUAUAUAUAAGCAAUAAAAAACCUUUAACAACCAUUCUAUUAAGCAAACUUAUGGAAAAACCCUCUGUGGUUAAACUAACCUACGGAAAAAGCCCCCCCUAUGGUUACAUGUUGCUUUUAUUUAUUUAUUUUUUGCAUAGGAAUAAGGUAAGUUGUAUUUGAAAGUUUUUAUUUAUCUAUUUUGUGUAUAGAAAUAAGUUGAGUUUUAUUUGAAAAUUUUUAUUUAUUUAUUUUAUGUAUAGAAAUAAGGUGAAUUGUGUUUGGGAGUUUGAGCUGUUUUUGAAAAUUUUAUGAGUUCUAAGGGGUUUAAUAUGUAUAUCAAUUAAAAUUUGAUUUAAAAAAUUAUUUUUCAUGCCAAGCAACCUCAAACUCGUUGAUUUAAAUGAUUUUGUCGAUUUUUCACAUUAGUUCAAACCACAAGUAUUGGAUUGUAUGAUUUGAAACUAUAAGGGAGUUUUUCUAUAGAUUUGCUAAACCACUGGGGGCUUUUCUAUAUUAUAACUCUAAGGGUAUAAUAGGUAUAUCAAUUGAAAAUUUGUUUGUUUUUAGUACAAAUAAAAAAAAAUUCAGAAGAUUUUCGUUGCUUUUUUAAAUUAGUUCAAACCACGAGGUACUGAAAUGUAUGUUUUGAAACUAUAGGAGAUGAUUUUGUAUGUUCGUUUAAGCUCAAGGGGCUUUUCUAUAUUUUACCCUUAUUUGAAUGCAAUUGCUUACAUGUUGAUGUUUAAGCUACUCAUUUCAAUAAAGGUUUUUCUAAUGUAUGCCUAUUGGAUACCUUUUAAUACAUCUGACCUAUUAUGUGAAUGCAUACACUAACAAUUAUUACCUUUACUUAUACUUAUAUAUUUCUUUAUUAACUUUAUCUUUUCAAAGAAAUUAAUAUUUGAACUACAUUUUAACAAUGCCCAAAGGACUGACCCUACUGAUAAAAUCAAGAAAACAAUUUCAGUAAAGCAGAUAACAAAAUUCUCUUCCACUUUGCAAAAUGAAUUCUGUUAGUCCACAAACUCGGCCCACAUUGCCCAUCAAAAAGACGGCCAAUUUUUACUUGAAAAUGGUCUGGGCUGAGGUUGGGAAAAAUUUAACUCCCAUUUUCAAAGUGGGUCAUACUAAACUUAGCCUGUUUUGAGAGAGUUCCGGAGAGGCUUAUACACGAGUCUGAUUUGGUGUAUACAUGAGUCUGAGAGAUGGUGUAAUACAAUUGGAAUUUUCAUACAAUUGCGCUAUUGUUGUACAUUGUACUUGAUUUGGUGUAUACUUACAUUUCUUUGUUUUACACAAUUUUUUUCGAUAAAAGCAAAACUCAUUAACAAAUUGCCAAAAAUCGUCCAAUACAAUUUGAUCUACAUCAUUGUUCUAAUGGCAAAUUAAACAUGUACUAGAAAUUAUAGAUUUGCAAUGUAGUAGAUACAAUGGAUCCAAAAAAUUAUAAACAUAUUUGAAAAAUACAAUAAAUUUGAAAGUUGUUUUCUAAUAGAUAAAUCAUUGCAACUCCAUUUUGUGCAUGUUGUAAUCUCUAGAUCUACUAAUCAAUGGUUUUAAACUCCAAUAAUGAUGGUGAAAUCUGUCAAAAUAGAUUCAAGAUCCGACAAAAUUCAUAUAUGAUAUCCAGAUCUAAAAUAAAUUCAGAUGUAACAUUAAAAAAAAUAAAAAUAAAACUAAAAAUUUCUAUAGGAAUCCGUAGGAGAACACCAAAAAGAAAAAAAAAACAUAAUUGGUUUGGGCCUAAUAGAUGAAAUGGGCAUGUGCACUAAGGUACAUACUAAAAGAGAUAAAAGGAAUAAAAGGGUUCUUGAAAAUAAAAAAGGAAAAAAGGGAGAUAAAAGAGUCACAAAAAACCAACAUUGUAAAAGUACAAAUGUAGUUUUGUACGUCCACCAUGAAACCCUAAGCCCUUGGUGUACUUCAUAUCAUAGUACAAAUAAUUUAAAGACUUCAAUCUUGGUGUUGGGUAAUGGAGUUCUUCUCUUUCUAUCCAGAUAUCGAAUUCCCUAAUUAUCCUACUUUGGAUCGAGUUCUAUUUGUAAUUCUAAUUAGUACAAGUUAUCAUGUUCUGGUCAAACGGCAAUAUGUCAAUUCAAUUCAGAGAACUUUAAGUAUUUUUUUUCCUUUUAAUUACUGGCACCUUUGGAAACAUGUUGUCAGCUUAAUACAACUGCUAUUACUGAUUAAAAAUAUCCUAACUGCAGAAUUUAUGAUAUUUGUGAUACGGGAAAGCUAGUUUUAAUUUCCUUUUUUUUAAUAUAUAUAUAUAUAUAUAUAUAUAUAUAUAUAUAUAUAUAUCCCAUUGAGCUAAAAGGUUCUUUUCUCUAUAAGCAAAAUCAUGAUGGAAACCAAAAUGUUUUCUAGAACUAGUUUUCGUAGUUCUAGUCCCUCAAACUUAAUUAUAUAUUAACAUUGUCCAUUGAAAGAAUAGCUUGAAUUAUAAAUUUCUUGAAUACGAUGUUACAUAUGAGAUUGCUGUAGUGGCUCCUAUAAAAUUAAAAUUUUCAAAUCAUGAGAGUUUUAAGAAAGGGUCCCAAAUAGUCAAGGUUUAAAAAAAAAUUCUAUAAAUGUGAUUUCUUAACGAUACAUUCGUACGUUAUUUAAGUAAUAUCUACCUAUACAAAUAGUAAAACAAUUUUAUAAAUGCAUCAUGUGAAAAAAAAAGAUUGCAUGUCACUAAAUGCGAUUUUCACAAUUUGAGAAAAAGUUAAAAAAAUAUUACCCAUUGAAAAUUUUUCUUAAAAUGUUUCACUUUUUGGGAAUUCAAUAUCGAGAAAGAGUUGAGCACUCAAUUAAAUGUGUAAUUGUUGUAGCCUAAUAAGCUUGUCAAACAUUACUGACUGAAAAUAAGGAAAUAUAAAUAUUGUAACAGAUUAAGACGAGGAAUUCAUUACUUUUUCACCUGCGAAAUUUCUUAUACUUUCCCUUUUUUUUCGGGGGUGUAAAACUGUUAAAGUAAAUUGUGAAAAUAAGGGCAAGUUGCUCGACAAAAUCGAAAACUUUAGCGAAUAAAAGUAGGAUUGAUUGACUUUUCACAUCUCAGAACAGAGCCGGUGGGAUCCACAUAUUAAAAUAAAAUAAUGCAAGUGAAAAGAUAAAUAUCCAGCCAAGAAUAGGAAUAAAGAAAGAUUAAUGUCAGCCAGAUGUGAAAUAUAUAUUUGCAACAAAGUUUCUGCAAAGAAAACGCCAGAUCAUUCCCCCCAGGUCCAGCACCAGCCCUCCCAAUUGGGCGAUGACAGACCCUCUUUACCAGCUCUCCCAAUUGGACUGUGCACAAAUUCUCUCGAAAACCUCGAUCUAACUGCUUCUGAGCUCCUAGUUUUCCUAGUUUCUGAAAGAGAGAUCUGUACAACUUUUUUCAUCAUUCAUAACCAUAUAUUCAUUGACUUACUUCAUCUCUAAAUUUAAGUCAUCUUCCUUUCGUUAAAUGGCCUCCAGUUGUGUUACUUGCAUUUCAGCCAUCUUGGAUGAUCUGCAGUUGCUGGAGGAUCUGUGUCCUAAAACUCCAGAUUGGGAGAACGAGCUCUGUGGCUUGAGGAGAGCAAAAAUAUUUCUAGGAACUUUCAGACCAUUUCUUCUAUCUGUGAGAAACUGGGGCGAUGAUGAUGAUGCAAAUCUGGGAGCAUGGGUUGCUAGGAUGAAAGACUACACUUCCAAACUGAGACAGGCGAUUCACGAGUUCUAUCUUACUAGUGUGGAAGAUGGAUAUCUUACUACUUUUGAGGAAUAUAUCACCGAUGAUCUAGGCGAAGAAGAGUAUUCCCUCAAACUAGAAUUCAAGGAUUUAGACAGCUCAUCAAGGUUGUCUAGCAAGUCCCCGGUAAAGAAAAAUGACCUAAUGGAUAUCAUGGACUCUCUUCUGGAGAGCCUUCGGUACGUUUGCUUAAUAGGUUUCUUCGAGGAUCUGGAACUAUGGGCAGACUUAGAAGAGAAGCUAGCGUUCUUGAAAAACUUCAUCUGUUUUGUUACACUUCAUGGCAUCGGUGAUGGGCAAUUGGGACCUUUACUGACUCACACUAAAUCUAUUGCUGUCAACGCAGCACGCAACUAUCUCCUGCGGGGCUUUAGAGUAUUCCCGUUAGGAGAAAAUCCUGUUCGGGACCUGCUGCCGAAGAUCAUUCCUGUAGAACCCGAAGUCCAUAGGACUUGUUUCCAGGCCCUGAUUGCUUCAAAGAUAUCAAGACAGCCAUACGAGAAAAAAGAUGAGCACAUAUUCAAAGUCUUCAUCGAUUCUCUCCUAAUCUAUCUUUGGGAGAUACUAAAGACUGGAGCUUGUGUUAUGAUGUCUUUGAAGGAUCGAUUGAAAAUGAUUUACGAUGGGUUGAGGUCCUUGAGAAUGAUUCUCAAGGAGAACCCCCCCGAUUUUGAUGAGAAAAUGAGAGAUCUUACUGGACUCCUGCUCUGUGAUGCAGGACUUGUUAUGUUUUCCCUUUCUCUCAACGAAAUCAAAGAUGGAUCAGUCAAGGAAAUGGAUCUGGAGUCUUUUCAUGAUUUCCUGAAAAGGAUAAAGCUUAUCAAGGCAAUAGUUGCAGAGAAAUAUCCAGAAACAUCACCAUCAUCCAAGUUUCCUCGGACUAAUGAGUUGGGAUUUAUCGAUUUUCUUCUAAAAUAUAUCGGAGAUUUGACAAAUCCUGAUCCUCAUUCAGUUGCUCUUUCAAACUAUCCAAUUCAUGCAAUCCAUGAAGAGCUUGCUUGCUUACGCUCCUUCUUGGGAAGAAUUGUGGAAUUGCGCAAUGAAGAUCAGGAGCUUCAAGCACUUUGGGAUCGUGUUGUUGAGGUGGCAUACAAGGCAGAAUUUCUUAUCGACUCCUUGUUGGUUGGAGACAUUCUAGAUUCUUCUUCAACCUCAUUUGAUUCCGUUGAAGAAGAAAUUAAGAUCAUCAAAGCUGCAGCCUUGAACAUUUCUGAUAAAAAACCACUUGAUCUCAAUGUUAAGGAAGCUACCAAGAGACCAAAUAACAUGCCAUCACAGGGAAGCAUGCCAAUAAUCAAUGACAUGACCGUGGGAUUGGAGGACGAGGCAGCCUCAAUAAUCAAUCGACUCACAAGAGGAUCCUCCCAACUGCAAAUUGUCCCCAUUGUAGGUAUGCCAGGACUUGGCAAGACAACUUUAGCUACAAAAGUUUACAAUAAUCCUUUAGUUACAUCGCAUUUUUAUACAUGUGCUUGGUGUACUGUCUCUCAAGUGUAUCACCGAAAAAAUCUGUUACUUGAAAUUUUGACUUGUAUUCACUCCAAGCUUCCUGAGAAAUUUUCUGAGAUGUGUGAAGAAGAUUUGGCUGCAGAAGUCAGAAGAGGUCUGCUAAGGACUAGAUAUCUCAUUGUUUUGGAUGAUAUAUGGGACGCUGAAGCAUGGAAGGGAUUGGAAGCAUCAUUCCCUGACAAUCAAAAUGGCAGUAGAGUGAUCGUGACAAGUCGAAAGUCUGAUGUUGCUACUUCGAGAGAUAAACUUGAUGAAGGGCCUCAUUUCCUCCGUCCGCUGACUCCUGAUGAGAGCUGGGACUUGCUAAACAUGAAGUUAUUUCCUGGAAAUGAUUUGCCUCCACCAGAAUUAUGCGAACUGCAAACGAAGAUCGUGGAAAUGUGUCAAGGACUGCCACUUACAAUCGUCAUUGUAGCUGGAAUUCUGGCAUGUGAGGACCAACGUGGUUGGAAAGAACUUGUGGACGGUUUAAGUUCAAGAAUCGUCUCUAGUACAGAACAAUGCUCUGCUGCAAUAGAGUUGAGUUACAAGAACCUACCAGAAAAUUUGAAGCCAUGCUUUCUAUACUUCGGAGCAUUUCCAGAAGACCAUGAACACACUGCUGAGAAGUUGAUUUGGUUAUGGGGCGCUGAAGGAUUUACCCAGAAAACUCAGUUCAAGAGUGCAGAGGAUGUGGCAAAUGAUUUCUUAAUGGAUCUUAUCCAGAGAAGCUUGGUCAUUGUUUCCAAGCAAAGAUCCAUUGGUGGUGUCAAAGCUUGUCGCGUUCAUGAUUUGCUGCAUGAGUUUUGUGUGACAAAAGGCAAAGAAGAAAAUUUUCUGCAGCUGGUGCGUGGGUAUGAUGAAAUAUGUAAUUUCAGAGUGCCACGCAACCUACGCCGCCUAUGCAUCAACUCUAAGCCAGAGCACUUUUGCAAGUCCAGGUUAUUUGCUCCCACAAUCCAUUCUCUAAUACACUCCGAUGGAGGUAAAAGGCACCGAUAUUUGGGAUUUGAGAUUUCACCCAUUUUUGGUAUCUUCAAACUUGUUAGAGUGUUAGAAUUGAGCAACAUAAAUCUAGGUACUACUUUUCCUAGAGAACUAGAAUUACUGGUUCAAUUGAGGUACUUGGCAAUUCUAGGAAAUAUGAAGUCAAUUCCAUCUUCUAUAGCCAAUCUCUUGAAUUUGGAGACUUUCAUCGUGGAAAAUGAUCAGAAUGUUUUAUUACUACCUGCUACUAUAUGGAAUCUGAAGAAGCUAAGGCACUUACAAAUAAAGAACUUUAUGUUGCCCAUACACAAUCUUGACACUGCUGCACACUUGUGUGAUUUGAAUAGCAUCUCCGGUGUGUAUUUUGAUUCUUGGGAAACCAUGCGCAAGGUAUUCAUUAAAAUUCCUAAUAUCCACAAGCUGAAAUGCAUUCUUGCGGAUAAUGAACAUAAUUGGUUUUCAGCAGACAAGAUUCUGGUACUUGACUUUCUAAGUGGACUAGAAUCACUGAAUCUGAUGUUCAAUCCUUAUGGACAUCUUCCAAAUCCAUGCCAGUUUGAGUUUCAAUUCCCUUUGGCAAUUAGAAAGUUGGCUCUGUCCAAUUUUCGUUUCCCUUGGAGCAAAAUUUCAGCGAUCGAAAAUCUUCCCAAUCUGGAGGUUCUCAAAUUACUCCGUGACGCCUUUGAUGGGGUAAUAUGGAACAUGAAAAAAGAGGGGUUCCCUAAAGUUAGAUUUCUGGAAAUAUUUGCCUUGAAUAUUGUUAAGUGGACUGCCGACGAGGACGUGGACUGUUUUCCAAGUCUACAGAAACUAGUAUUGACAAGCUGUAGCUCUUUAAAGGAGAUCCCUUCUUGUUUGGGGAGUUCGACUCUUGAAAUUAUUGAGGUGUCUCAUUGUCGCUUCUCUGCUAGUUUUAUAGUGCCACUUCAGGAAGAACAAAUGGACUCGGGAAAUGCUGAUCUGAAGAUCCUUAUUUCAUAAGGUGGGCAGCAGCCACUACUACUGGCUUUGCUGUAUCAGUCUAGCAUCAAGAUCAGUUAAUCAGUUUGGGCAGCCACUUUCACUCCUUUUACCUGUUUUUUUUUCUUCCUAGUCCUUUAUUUCUGUACCGCUACUGGCUUUGCUGUAUCAGUGUAGCAUCAAGAUCAGUUAAUCAGGUUGCUUUAAUGUUUCUUAUCCCGUCUCAAACUGUAUGGUGGGAUCAUUCCCAGGAUUCGUGUUGUUUCUGAAGAUUGAAAUGAAUGAAGCAGCUAUCUUUUUCCCCCCUAAGCUUUUAGUUAUGAUUCCAAGAGUCUUUAACACAUUCUGUAAGUUAAUACUACUCCUCAGCUGCAUAAUUGUAACAAAUUUAUUGCCUUUUUACACUAUUAGUAAUUUGUUUUCGAAUGCCGCCGAUUAAUGUAUUUACUUGGAUUUGCCAAUUUAUCAAUUCUUUUUUCUUAGUGUUACUUGCAUUACAAUUUCUGAUCUUCCCGACUCCUUCCCGCUAGCUCAAUCUAUGUUGUUUAGAGCCCUAAUCAUUAAAUCAGGGGCCUCACAAGUUUCGUUUCAAUCCAGUUUGUCCUAGAGUAUAAAUAAGUGAAGGUCCAAUGUAAAUAAGUUUUAGUAAUGUGUAAACAAGACUUGAGUUUGAAUAAGACUCUCAACUGAUUUGAAUUCAAACUUGUAAAACCCAUAAUCCCUAGCGAAUCCAACCAAAGCCCAAUAAUAAGAUUAAAUGAGUUUUGCACCCACUUCGUGCUUAGGAAUCUUGGGGCUAUUCCCAUUACUACGUUGACUGGCCUUUCCAUUUUCACCGUUGCGUUGCACAUGGUGUUUUGCUGGCAGCAAUAAUGGCGCGAAAGACGGACGGAGGAAUUGUUAAUAUACGUUGUUGGACGUUCAAGGGAGCAAAAAAAUUUAUUAAUUAGAGGGUUAAAAAUACACAAACUUAAAAAGUUAAAAAGUUGAGGGUUGACUGAGUUUUUUACACAAACUUAAAAAGUUGAGGGUUGACUGAGUUUUUUACUCUUAAUAUGAUUGUGACUUUAUCCUUCUUCCAGCCACCUAUAUUUCUGCUGGUCAUUAAUUAAGGAAAAAUCAUCUAAAACUUGUUUCAUAUUUUGUGAAAUAAAUUUUUCAUCUCACAUUUUUAAAAUAUUGACUUUACAUCCCUUAAAAAAUGAAGUCGAUCAAAUUUACUUAACUAAAAAUAGAAUCUGACCUUUUUGCACCUAUUAAAAUGAUCAUGUGGUGUAUUCAAGUCAAAAAUUUGUUAGAAACAUAAGUUGAAACUAAAUUCGGUCGACUUAAUUUUGUAAGGAAUAUAAAAUCAGCAUUUGAAAAAUGAGAGAUAAAAAAAUUCAUUUAGCAAAAUGUGAGAUAUGUUUUAAACAACUUUUCAAUUAAUUAGUUCUUUAAUUCUAUAACUUUUCAAUUCAAUAUUAGAUGAAUCUAAAAGGUGGGGUUGUACAUUAAAGUUCAAACAAUUCUAAUUUAUCAUUUUUAAUUUAAUUUUUUAUAAUUCACCAGCUCUAGUAGGUCAUGGAAAAGGGGAAAAAUCCACUUUCAUCCCCAAAUUUUGAGUUAGAGAUACAUUCCAUCCCCAAACUUUUAGACGUACCACAUUUAGCACAUGAAUUAAUAAUUUUUGCCAUAUUUAGUCCAAAAACGGUAAAUUGCUUAAUUUGGUUGGAGAAAGUCACGUGUUUGGCAUGUGACCGUUUAAUAAAAACAAUUUCUCAUUCAAAAUCAACGGCCACAUCAACAUUCUCCAUCCAAAUUGAAUAUUUUACCGUUUUUGGACUAAAUGUGGCCAAAAAUAAUUAAUUCAUGUACUAAAUGUGGUGCAUCUAAAAGUUUGGCAACGAGAUAUAUCCCUAACUCAAAGUUUAAGGAUAAAAAGUGAAUUUUUCCCCAUGGAUAAAGUAUAUGUUGGAGGAACUUUUUUGUCAAAAAUAUACAGAAUUUAAUGAAAGUACUUACGACUACUAUUGGAUCUUGAAUUCUUGGGAAAUUCUUCACUAUAUAUUCGAGAUGUUAUUGUGAGUUUUCCUGUCUAUUUCAUGUGUAUGGCAUGAUAGGUUGUUAGACAAUCAAAAUAAAAUUACUUAUUCUACAAUAAAUAAAAAUUAGAGUACAGUGGUAAGUAAGGUUAUGUCCACAUGGAUUAGAAUAGUUUAUUAUUUUCAGAGCGACAGUUAAAUAAGGGGAUUUUUCGAGGAAAUUAAACUAACUAAUUAACUCUAAUAAAGACAAAUAUGUAAAAAUUAAUUAAAUCUAAAUAAUGAUAAUGAAGGUUCUAGCCAAAGUAAUAACUUCAGAAAUGGUUCAUACAACUAAUUAGUGAUAUUUUUUUAAUCUGUUGCGCACUUGAAAGAUGUAGGCAACGGAAUGAGGAAUUAGAUUUUGACCAAAAAAUAGAAUGAGAAAUUGGAGAUAGUUACUUUAUGUUUUUUUAAUAUUUCAUUUUUCCCCUAUGAUGUUUUGAAUUGUUUUCAAGGUUCCUAAAACAUUUUCUAAUGUCAUUUGCAAGGUCAAUUUUGAUGUAUCUUUUCAAAUAAGUCCCCUACAUUUUGUUAUAGACUCAUUAAUUUGCAUUUAAAAUUCACAAAUAUCAAAUUAGGGUUAGGCUUUAAUACUUUUGAAUUUUCCUAAGCUGUGUGAAACAAAAAUUGAGACUAAAGGAUACUUAUUAUGUCACUAAUAUAUCUAUAGGUUAUUUCUUCAUGCUAUUUUAUUUAUAAUUAAUAUUUAUGACAUAAUGAUGAUGUCACCCAAUUUUGAAACUGGUUCGACCUCGAUCUAAUUCAUUGGCCCCUAAACCCUGAAUUUGGUCAAGUCGGCAUCCAGUCCGAAUUUGAAACCAUAGCUUAAAAAGAUUGAGGUGUGACAGGUGUCUGAUUGCCCCUUCUCUGCAAGUUUUAUAAAGCCAUUUCAAGAGGAGCAAUUAGACAUGGGAAAUAAUGAUCUGAAGAUCUUCAUUUCAUCCAAAGAAAUGGAUUACUGACCUUCUCAGGCGCGUUUAGCUUGGACAGCCAAUUUACUCAUUUUACACCACCGAAUUUUUGUACUUUUGUACUUUUUAUGGUUGUGUUGUUUUAAUGUUCUUUAUCCUGUCUCAAACUGUAUGGUGGGAUCGCUUCCUUGGAUAUAUGUUGUUUCUAAGGAUUUAAAUGAACGAAGCAGCUGUUCUUGUUUCCCAAAUUUUAGUUAUGUUUCCAACAAAUGUUGCAUUACGUUCUUUUACUAAUUAGCUGCAUUGUAACUACAAAUUCAGUCAAUCUUUUCAUACCAUUAAUAAUUUGGUUACAAAAUGGCGAUCUACUAAUCUAAUUACUAAGUUGCGACAAUUUAGACAUCUCUUUUUCAUAGUCGUAUUGUACAAUUUCUUAGUCUACUCACUCAACUUCUGGUCAUCCCAACUCUACCCGUAAUUGGAGAGGCCCUUGGUCCCUAAAGGACAGCUCCCCAGUUUGCUGAUUGAAUGUUGAUACUAUGUGUUUAAAAGAAAAGCCAUAGAAAAGACCCACGCACAGUUGGUGAUGAACGCAGUAAACAGUAGAACAUGAUUGUCUGGGAAGGAGGGGUAUGAACAUAAUUGUGAUGAUAUAGACAAAGACGCAAGUAUGUAAAUUAAAAAAGAGAGGGGUUAAAUCCACACCUUAAAUGUCAUAAAACUAUUGAAGCCCUUGACAGUUAAUGGGUUUCUGCUAACUUUUUGUUUAUUCUAAAUUUUGCUUUCACAUAAAAUAAAUGAUUUGCUAUGUAGUUUUUUUUUAUGAGAAUAAUUACUUUUCAAUCUUUUUACCUUGCACAUGUGUUUCAAUUUUAUAAUCUCUUAUUUUAUAAAAACUAUCUAAUGGACAGUGAAUUUCAAAACAUAAAUUUCAUGGCAUGACAUAUAAUUCAAAGAGUAAAUUUUAUAUACACUGACAGUGUAUACAUUAUCAUCGUUGGAUUCAUAACAUGUAUGCAAAAUUUGAAUUUCAAUUCAACUUUUACAUAGUUGUUAUUUAUCCAAUACUGAUAGUGUAAGAAAAAUUAAUUUAAAUUUAAAUUUAAAUUUAAAAUUCAAAUUUUAUAUACAUAUCGUGUAUCCAAUUUUAACCGUGCAUGUACUUAAAUGUAUAUAAGAUUUACUGAUUUAGUUCUUGUUUAUUUGUACGUAAGCGCCUUUCGUGUGGUGUCACAUGGAUGUGUCCAUUUGUGCAUUUGCCGUUCCCAAUGAAAGCGAUUUCACGCUCUGUUUGAAACUCGGACUGGACCGGCUGGUCGAACCGGGAACCGGCCAGGUAGCCGGUCCGAGUCAUAUUAAAAAACCGGAAAUUGAAAACCUGGUCAAAGACGGUCAAAAACCGGGUUUGACCGGGCAAAAACCGGUUUUUCCGGUUCAAUAGUAAUUUUUUUUUAAAAAAAUUCAAACUUUUUAAUAUUAUGUUUUGACCCCCUAAAUUGUUAAAACUUAUUGAUAUACCUCAAAUAUUUGAUACUUUAUAAAUAUUGUCCUAAAAUUUGAUGUUAUUUUUAAUUAAAUUCAUAAUUUUAAUUCUAAACUUGUUAAUAUUUAUUAAAUAAUAUAAAUUGCUACUUCAUUGUUCUAAUUUCUUUGUAUUUUCUUGUUAAAUAUAUUUGAAACAUCAAAUAUAUAUGAAUAUACCUUUAUUAAUAUCAAUAUAUUAUUAGAUAUUAUAUAUAUAAUAUUUUAAUUUUUAAAUAAUUUUUUAUUUAUGACGUCAUCCGGUUCGACCCUUAUCGACCCCGAUCGAACCCAUUGACCCUGACCCCUGAUCUCGGCCGAGUCGCUAUCCGGUCCGGUUCUGAAAAUAUAGUUUCCACGCUCAAGGCCAAAAUGCCUUCCUCACUGCCCCACCAAACAGUACACAGUACCAGGUAAACAUAAUACUGGAAAAGUCACCUAUAAAAUUCACCAAACAAUACAACUGUUUAUUCGUACGCGAGCACCUUUCAUGUGGUGUACUGGUGUAAAAGGUACUAUUUGGAAUCCAAAUUUUUUGGUAAGUUUGUCUGUUAAGAGUUUUUUAAAAAUUUUAGUUACAGUAACGUCAAAAAACUUUUCAAAAUUUUUAAAUCAUACACUUCAAAAUAUUAAAAAAUUUACAUACCUCAAAAAUUUUUUAAAAAACUUCUACAAUACGUUACAGUAAAAUUUUAAAUAAACUUCCAAAAAACUCACUUUUCAAAUGGGUUUGACACGUCAAAGUUUUGAUGUGUCUAUUUGUAUUUGCAGUUCCCCGAUAAAAGAAAUUCACCCGCUCAAGGCCAAAAUACUGGGCCUUCCUGACUGGCCCACCAAAUAGUACACAGUACCAGGUAAGCAUAAUACUGGAAAAUUCACUUGAUGAAAAUUACUCCGUAAACCUCUACAGUAAUAAAAAAUUAAUAGGGUUUUCUAGCAAGUGCUAUCUGGACACUCAUUUAACACAUCUAUAUCUCACCCAAGUUAUCGUAUAUAUAUACACACUAAUAAUUUUUACUUUUUCUCGCAUUCAUGCACUUUUUCUAAUUAAUCCUUACAUUUGUACGCUUUUUCUAAUUAAUCUUAUAUUUCUAAACAUCUAACACCUGAAAUAAAUCUUAAUGAGUGCCCAUCCGUAAGACAGAUCGAAUCAAAUAUAACACUUGUAGACCAACAUAUGUGUAUGUUUCAAUUCCAGACCUGCUAAUUAAUUGCUUCAAACUCCGAUAUUAGCGGUGAGAUCUGUCAAGAUAGGCUCGAGGAAUCCAGAUCUAACAACCAAUUAAUCUAAAAUACUUACAUCUAAUAAUAAAAUGUAGUAAAAACUUGCAAAAACUCCUAAAAAUUUUAAGAGAGAAGAAAACUCUUAUUGAGAAACCUACGAGAGGAGAAAAUUCUUGUUAGGAGCCCCUAGAUUAGAGACUUCAAGUACAACAAGCGUAAGUUUACUUGAGUGUUUGCCUUGGAAAAUAAGAGGGAAUCACAUGCUUAAUUCGAGAUAGAGAUUAAUAAGCAUCCGAUGCGUGUGUACUAGAUAAAAAUUUCAUUUUUAGAAAUAUAUUUCACAAAAAUUGAUUUUACAUUUUCACUAAAUAUAAUUUAAUAAAAUAUGUUUGUGCAACUGUGUGAGUUGAUGGUGAUAAAACUAUUGCCUUAAAGAAACGAAGAUUCUAUUUAUCGACUUGCAAUAAUUGAAGACAUGGAGUUCAGUACUGGGCUUGCUAAGAAGCGGAAGUUGCCCGAAAACAAAUUAGCCCCACAACUAGCUUAAUUGUUUCAUUUCCCUUCUAUUCCUUUUCCUUACCCCACCUAAUAACCUAGUAGCACAUUUUACAUAAGACAAGUUCCUUUCAAACAUGCUAAAAACAACCUCUGGCAGAAUUUGACCAUUCAACUUCAGCAAGAAUAGACACAGCUACGUCUUUGACUAUCAAGCAAUCAUAUUAAAAAGAAAGAUUAAUCAUAUAAAGAAUACAAGUCAAUUAUCCAAUAUCGAGCAGUGACAGCAGAGUAGAAAAAAUAUAAGAGGCCCUCAUGAAGGUAGUUUUUGCGUCGAACCACAGACUGCAUACUCCUUGUUUGAACUGUAUAUCUGCCUUUAUCUCAUUCGUUGCAAGAUGGUUCAAGUUCUUGUAAAUUUUCCUUUAACUUGCAUUCAGCCUAAUUUGAAUAUACUCAAAACCAAUUCAAGAUCAGGACCUCUUCAUCAUGCGUAUCGUGUCCAAAAAACUUGGCAAACAAGAUGCAGUAAUCAAUCUGCAGAGCUGACGAUCGACCGCCGGACAGCUAAUUACCAGCCGAGUUCGUGGAGUCAUAUUCUCUUCGAGCCGACUAGUGAGACAGAUAAUGAGGUAUAUUAUUUUCUCAGUUAAUCCAUUUAGGAAAUUUUAUUUAGUAGUUUGAUGUAAAAUAAGUGAGGAAGUAACUCCGUCUAAAACACAAUACUAAUAACAGUAAUAGUAGGGUAAUAGAAAUUAAGGCCAUCAUGUAGGAGAUUGGUCUUGUGGAGGAAUUAAGCUUGAAAAUAAAUUCAUACUAGGGAAAACGUAAUCUCCUUUUUCUCGUUAUGUCUUUUGUUUUAGUUAAUGAUAGUUGGAUGUUACGGAUUAAAAUGCCUCUUGGCUCAUCCAUUCAGUAUCAUGUUGCAUUUUUGUGUCUAUGCGAAGAUCAACUGUUUAUUAUCCUUACCUAUAUGCAUACAAGAGUUUUGUACCGAUUGGCAUGGCUAAAUUACCUUCGAAAAUGCAUAAGAGAAUUCUACUAGAUGGCAUUUUAUAAUUUGGCCUUUAUGUUCAUUUAUAGCAUAUGCCACACGAUGUUUUCCUGAGAGGAGAUCAGUUCUUUCAAUAAGGGUAAAUUACACCUUAUUCCCCAGUGGUUUAGCACUUUUCUACACAACCCUUAUGUAGUUUUAAAAACUAUAUAUAACCUCCUUAUGAUUUGAACUAAAGCGUCAAAGUGAUGAAAUUUACAUUUCAUAACAGAGUCAACUAAAUAUAUCAAAAGUACUCCUGUGUAAAAUAAAAAAUUAUUUAUUAACCACAAGGGAAUUAUGUAUAUAUUUUGAAAAUCAUUAAAGAGUUAUGUGAUAAAACUCUAAAUCAUAAAGAGAUUAUGUAGUAAAACACAAAAUUAUAAGGAGUUAAAGUGUCAUGCAUGUUAUGUUUAUAUAUUUUGGUCAUUUCAACUAUUUUAGUUUUUAAACCAAAGUAAUCUCGGCAUUUUUUUAGUAACGAUACAAAUGAUCAUUUCUGUUACCCUGACACUUUAGUCCAAACCAUGAUUGGGUUAUAUAUAGUUUUUGAAACUCUAGGAGAAUUAUGUAAAAAAUCGAUAAACCACAAGGGGUAAAGUGAUAAGCAAUUAAAUCCUGUGAUUGAAAUCAACAAUUUUAUGACUUUAUUAUUGCUCAUAAAAGAAUCAUGUUUUGUUCAUGCAUGUAGCAUCAUUAUUAUGAGAGUAAAUUACCUUUUACCCAUAUGAUUUGGUGUUUUAUCACAUAACUCCCUAUAGUUUAAAAACAUAUGUACAACUCCCUUAUAGUUUGAGUUAAACUGUCACAGUUAGUUUUUUUUUAAAACUAAUGGUUAAUAGUAAAAAACCAAAGUCAAAUUAUUAAAUUGACAAAUUCGUCUUUCACUACUUUGUUUUCUUUUUUCAUUUUUUCCUUUUCUUUCUCUCUUUUUUCUUGGAAAGAGAAGAGAUGAUUUUGAAAACUUAUACUUUAUUCUAUAAUAUCUUAAUUUUCUCCAAAUACAAAAGAGAUGAAGUGAAAUAAAAAAGAUGGAAGGGAAAUAUAAAACAAACAAAUAAGAAACAAAAAAUAACAAAAUCUUUUUUCACUAUAAAUAUGAUUAUAGGUUUUUAAACCAAAUUUUAUUUUCUAGUUCUUAUUUAUCUAUUUUUUCAUGUCCCACAAUCGUGUUGGAUAAUUGGAUUAUCAAAAAAUCAUUUCUAAGAAAAAUAAACUUUAAAAAUUCCAUAGUUACCCGUUAAUCCAUAAUGUGUUUUAGUCUGUCAUAACUUCUCAUUCCCUACUUAAAUUGACCUCAAGAAAUCAAAUUAAUUCAUUCUGGAAUCAAACCCAAUUUAUGUCGCAAUCAUCUUGUUCAAUUAAAAUACAAAGUAUCCAAUAUAUGUUUUUGCUAAUCUUUUGUAGUGGGAAAAUCAGACAAAGAUUUUAAAUAAGUUGGAGAGCGAAGUUGGCAGCAUGCUUGAUUGUGAAGACUUGGAGCCACAGGCUCUGAUUGAACUGAUUAAUGACAUCGACCAGCUUGGCCUCUCUUACCGAUACAGGCAAAAAAUUAAAAAUGCCCUUAAUAAGCUUCGAGAUUUGGAGGAUGCAACUGGAGAUAAAAUUAAGAGUAGUCUACAUACUUCAGCUCUCUAUUUCAGGUUGCUUAGGCAACAUGGUUUUGAGGUUUCCCCAGGUAACACAUUCCCUUUGAACAAACUCUCUAAUUUUGGUUGCAAAAGCGUACUGAUAGUUGUGAAUCUUUCCUGUCAUUGCAACAACAUCCCUUUGAUUCAGUCAUGUGUCUAGAUUACUUAUCUACUUUGUCAAAAUGGUGGCGAAGGAUUUUGCUUGGAUCCCACAAAUUGAGAAUUGUAACUUUAUAUGUAAUUGUGUUCUUUAUUUUAUGAUUAACUUUAUACCCUAAACAUAAGAAAAUUCUACAAUCUCUUUAAGGUAUCAUACUGUUGUAUUAAUUUAAGUAUAAUGCUGGUUUAAUUCACUUAUGUUUUCUCGUUUCAUUCGUUUGACUAAUUUUUACAAAAGAGAAAAAUAUUUCAAUCAAUGAGCAAGUGGUGUUUAGCAGCAAACCCUAACGGGAUAAGUAAGUAUGCCUCUAUGAAGACCAUAUAUUCCAUCGUACAUGAAGCCCUUCUUGGCCUGCGUAUAGAGGCUAAUUACGUUAUCACUCCAUUUUAAGGUCCUUUUCUUAAAAAGGAAAAACUUAAAAAAAUAAAACAGUAUUGGUCAUGAUGUAGAUAAAAUAAAAUUUUGGCAUCAAUUUUCUUUGAUUUGGUAUUGAAAUAGAAUCCAAAUAAACCUAACCCUAUCCUCCCACCACAAAAAAAAGGACAUGGGAAUCCGUUUAUUAUCGUAUAUGCAGCUGUUGUAUGAUUGUAUCUUUCCUCAAUAGCACCAAGUUAUCAAAUUUCUAUUUGGUGCAGAUGUCUUUGAGAGAUUCAAGGACCAAAAUGGCAACUUCAAUGAAGACCUUUCCCGGGAAGUUCGAGGAAUUUUGAGCUUGUUUGAGGCUUCACAUCUUGCAUAUGAAGAAGAGAAUAUACUAAACGAGGCCAAAUCAUUCACAAGUCUACUUCUUAAGGAUUCCAAAAAGCUGGUUGGGGCAAACAUGUCAGAACAAAUAACUCAUGCUUUGGAGCUUCCGUAUCACCAUAGAAUGCGAAGGCUAGAAGCUAGGAGGAAUAUUGAAGCAUAUGCUCAAAGAGGUGAGAAAAAUCAAGUGCUACUCGAGUUAGCCAAGCUAGACUUCAACUUGGUUCAGACUAAGUUCCAAAGUGAUGUUCAAGAAGUAUCGAGGUAAGAUCACGCAGGACACAUCUGCAUCUGAUUGCAUGAACUAUUAUUUUCAUUACUUUUCUAGUAUUGUCGUAAAUUACUCGAAAUUAUUUUUGUCAUAUCACACAAUAUGUCAUUUAGAAUUAUGGUGCUUUUGUUAUAAAAGUACUUUUGUUAAUUGAAGCACUUUUGGAGUUUUUUUUAUGAGCAUAAUUCAGAAAAUUUAUGAGUAGAAUUUUUUUUAUCUCAAAAGUAUUUUUAACAUAAGCUCAAAAUUGGUGCAUUCAAAAUGACUUUUAUAUUUUAAAAAUAAAAUUGUAAUUCUAGCCAUUUUAUUAUCAAUUCUAAACUAAAUAAAGAGAUAAGUUUUUUGGUUUUCAAAAACUCAAAUUACACAUUAUUUAAUAUGAUAAGAACUUAUGUAAGUGUGUUCUCAUAAUGUAAUUAACUAAUCACUAGCCAUGGGGACUAGUGGCCAGGGAGUUGAACUCUUGCCUGAUGUACCAGGGUUCAAAUCUUGACAGGUAUGUUUGGGGAAGGAGGGAAUAGGAGAGUGAGAGGAGGUGAAAAAAAAUUAAAAAAUUAGCAGGUACUUCUAUUGAAAACUCUAUUAAAUAAAGUGUUUUUGUUAAGAAGGCUGAGAAGGUUUUAGUCUAGUGCUAAAGUUGAGACUUAAGGAAUUAAUAGUUUUAGAUUUAGAUCUCCUUUCUUCCUACCCACUUUUUAAAUCUCACCUCCGCCAUAAAAUAAAUAAAUAUACACACACACACACACAUUUCAGAUGCUGGUCUUCCUAAAUAUUUUUUUUUCAAAUGCUAAUUACUCAUAUUUUAAAGUGUGUAAACUUAAACACAAUUUCAUAUAUUUUGGCCAGAUCACUUUGUAACUGGUUGCCCUUGGAAAUUAUGAUUAGGUGGUGGAAAGUUAUGGGCUUAGCAGACAAGUUGGACUUUGCAAGAGACCGGCUAAUGGAAAGCUUCUUUUGGUCAGUUGGAAUGGCCUUUGAGCCACAAUUUAGUAAAUGCCGAACGGCAGUAACCAAAGCCCUUACGCUGAUCACUGUCCUGGAUGAUAUCUAUGAUAUUUAUGGUUCCCUAGAUGAACUCGAGCAAUUUACAGAUGCCGUUGUUAGGUAUAUAUACAAAAUGCAUUGGCUUUCUAUUGUAACAAAAACUGUUCCUUGUUUCCAUCUUACUAACGUCACUAAACUAUGUUGGUUCAGAUGGGAUCUUGAUGCUAUGAAAGAUCUUCCCGAAUAUAUGAAAUUGUUCUUCCUUGCUCUUUACAAUACCAUAAACGAUUUGGCUUAUGAAACUCUCAAGGAAAAAGGAGAGAUGAUAAUUCCUUGCCUGAAAAAGCAGUAAGUAAUUGAACAGAGAUUAAUUCCUCCAUUCCCUCCAACAUAUGCUUAAUUACUAGUCUAAUCGCUCAUGUAAACAGAAUAGUCCAUCUCUAAUUCAUAUGCUUUUUUCAGUGGGCAGAUAUGUGCAAAUCAUUCUUACAAGAAGCUCAAUGGUAUCACAAGAAAGGUACUCCAACCUUUGAGGAGUAUAUGGAAAAUGGAUGGAUUUCAUCAGGUGGCGCUGUGCUAUUAAUUCAUGCGUACUUUUGGUCACUGAAAAUAUUUCAAAUGAGGCCACAGAGUCCUUGGACAAUCAUCAUGAUUUCUUGCGUUGGCCCUGCAUAAUUUACCGUCUUACCAAUGAUUUUUCCUCAACGGUUAGUAUGCUCAUUUACCAUAUUUUUCCUCUACACAAAUCAUAAUUGUCAAUGCCUCUUCAUUGGUUGAUCAGUCAAGAUUUAACCUAAAUAAUAACGUACUCGAGCUGAUCUAGGUUAAGUCUCAAAAGUGUAGCAUGGAGAAUUAUAAGAAUGCGAAGUUAUUACAUUGAAUUAUAAGGAACCUUUGCUGCAACCAAUAAUUUAUAUCGGAUUUUUGGAAAUAAAAAACAACUAAAUCAUAACAAAAAUUGAACCCAAAAAAAAAGGAUGUGUAAUAUGUACAAUUUUCCUUGUGUUUAUGCUACUGCUGCGAGCCCGAGACAGCACCUUAAUACAUCAUGUGCCAUGUUGUAGGAUGAGAUAGAAAGGGGUGAAACUACAAAUGCAAUUACGUGCUACAUGCGUGGAACUGGCCUGUCUGAGGAAUUUGCUAAAAAAAAUGUAAGCAAAAUGAUUGAAGAAUGCUUGAUGAAGAUGAACAAACAAUUGUCAUCUCCAUCACCAUUUGAGGAAAAUUUCAUUGAAGUUGCUAUGGACCUUGCUCGAAUUGCUUUUUGUCAAUACCAGUAUGGAGAUGCUCAUAGUGCUCGGAUGUUAAAGCCAAAAACCGCAUCGUGUCAGUUAUGUUCGAUCCUAUCCAGUUGAGGGAGGCAGAAAAUGAUGUCAAAGGAGGAAACAAUUAGAGGCAAUUCUCUGAUUUGUUCCUGGUGUCUUUAGGAACAACCGAAAUAUGUCUGCUUUGUGUACGUGUGUGUUUUAAUUUUUAAGAUUCUGAUAAAAGCUCAAAACAGGAGCUGUUUUGCUUGUUUCAAGUACUUUGAAAUGGGCCAUUGAAACAUUUUAUGUGAUAACAUGGAAAUGAAAGCGAUGAAUAUAUUGCAGGUACAGGGUCGGUUCUUCCUCCCUAAUAACUGCUCACACUAAUUUACAUAUUAUCAUAACGUUUUGCCAUGAGUCUUGAUUCCACUUAGCUUUCAUCUUAACCUAAUUAUAACCAAGGUUUCAAAAAAGCGGAAACACUGACCGGAACUUUUUAAUUAUUAUGUCGAGGCAAAAGCCUACGGUGUGAAGAUCAGUCCUAUGAAUUUCAAUUUUUAAUGAUUUAAAAAUUAACAGGAUGAUAGAAAUAUGUAAUUUUUAUAUAAAUAAGUCAUUUUAUUAAAUUAUUUGAAAAUAGUCGAAUAAUGGACUUCCCUUCUAAUUCUACACUUGGGAUUCCGGUGACAUGUUUUCUAUGCCAACUCAAUGCCACCAAUAGUGUUGCGCCAAGUGUCAUGUUAUUAUUUACACUUUAAUUUUCUAAUAAUUCAACUUGGCUUGGUUUAACACAAGUGUAAAUAAUAACAUGACACUUGGCGCAACACUAUUGGUGGCAUUGGAUUGGCAUAGAAAACAUGUCACCGAGGAUCCCAAGUGCUAAUUCUAAGGUGCUACAAGCAUAACGUACUUAGAGUGUGUUUGUUUGGAUGUAAAAUGUUUUCCUGAAAAUGUUUUCCAAAUUUUCCCGUGUUUGGUAAUCAUUUUAUCUUGGAAAAAGAUUUACGGGGAAUAUAUUUUACUUCACUUGGUGGAAAAUAACUUCCCCUUUUGACUUACUGAAGUUAUUUUCCUUCAUUAAAACGAGCGGCUCUUGCACUUUACAAUAGAGCUCCCUACUCCCACAUUCUAACAAAAACAAACAAAGACAAAAGCGGCUAAAGAUACAGAGAGUGAGCAAUGGAGAUUGGAGAGACUGAGAAAUCACCAACACAAUAUGAUCAUUUUUUAUGGCAACCAUCUCCAACUUUGGCAAGGUGCCUUGGGUGAGAUUCUUAUUUAGGGCUUUGUCUUGAAUAUCUUUAUUUUUUUCCAAAAAAUCUGAUAAAAUUGGUUGCUCCAGUCUAGGAUUCUAUCGAUUUUUUUUUAAAUUUUGAUGCUAUAAUUCUUGAGAAUUGUGGCACUAGUUUCACGGAGGAAUUUGGAUUUUUUUUUUCUGAAAAAUGCUUCUUUUGUUUUUAGUUUUCUUUUUCUAUAAUUAUAUGAAGCUCUAGGAAUUCUGGUAAAAUUUAUUGCUCCGUUCCCCUUUUCUGACAAUUCUUAUUGAGGUAAGGGCUUGAGCUUGCAUGAUUGUUUUUGUAUCAAUUGAUUGAUAGAUUAAGAAACUUCAAUAGUUUUUCUGUAAAUUAUCAAUCAAUUGGCGUCCUUAGAGUUUUAUUUUGUCUUUCUAUUGAGAAAUUUGUUGUUAAAUGUAUAUAGUUGUUAUUGAUUUCUCUGAGCGAUAUGAAUACUGAAUGUUGGAUUUCUUGUCUAGAGAAUUUAAAUUUUAGAAUUUAUGUUUUGGGAUUGGGUAAAGGUUAAGCUGUUAAGACGUUUGCAAGUUGUUUAGAAAUGUUUUCUGCUUGAACUGAACAAUAUACUUGAUUCUAUUUUGUUUUUUCACACAGAUCUAGAUUUUCACUUCUCAAUUUGGAGAGUCUAGGCUAUUACUCAUGCUUGAAUCUUUUAGUAUGACUGCUCGAGUUGCUAAGGAUAAGAUGUUUUCCAUAGUGGUAGUUGUAACAUUAAUUGGAAGGCCACCUUGCUACCUAUUGUUUUGUUCUGUGGCAUCCAAUAUUUAGAUAUAAUUUGAGUUUGCGAUUCUUUCCUUUAUUGUAGGAAUUCUUGUUCAAUUUGCUGAUUGGAGUAAUUCAAUGUUGAGUUUAGUAAUUGAAGCUUUACACUUGUUAUAGUCUUUGCAACCUAGUAUGUAUGCUUUUCCCUCUUCUAUUGUUUGCAAGUAUAUAGUGUCUAAUUUUAACUAACCAAAGUUGGCCUACAUCGCGAGACAAAACUACCUUAAGCACUCUUGUAUGGAGCCAAGAGAAGCUGAAAUCAUUAUUGGCAGAGAAGAAUGGAAGGCAUAAACGGGUUGCCCUUUUGUUUUUUCUCCUUUGCUUGUGCAUCUUGAUAGCUGAACAAGGGACGUGCAAUGGCUGUAUUUGCUUUUCUUCUUUCUUUGUUGUUCCCUCUUGGUGUGUUUGUGAGUUUUGGUUUGGUCUGAACUCUUUAAGAUAUUUAAGUUUUUAACUGGUACUAGUUGAUUUAGAUGGUGAAAUAUCUCAUUUCUUAACUGUACUAGUAAUAUGGUAUACUUGAUCCAUUGAAUGCAUUAGCUUGUUGCUUUGGAUGGUAAAAUCUUAUUGGAACAAAUCCUGAAUUUGUUGAAUAAGUGUCUUGCAGUACUAUGUAGAACAAUCGAAGUCAUGAUGAGUCCAUCAAGAUGUAGGACUGACUUCAUGAAUCAGCAGGCGAGGUUCUCUAUUGGUGAUGACUAUUGAAAUUGAUUAAUUUUUUGAAGAUGGGCAAGAAGGAGAGAACAGUUCCUAUGGAGCGUUUGAUGCUUGAGAUUCUUGCCAAUGAGGUGAAACAUGGAAUAGGCCUAACAAUAGCUUUGAAUCAAGUUCAUUUACACGUGUGGUAGACGCCAUGAAAGAUAAGUUUGGGGUUACGUGCUCAGCAGAACAUGUGGAAAAUAGCUGAUCAGUGCUUGAGUUGAGAUCUAUUCUACUUUUGAAUCUGUAUAUCUAGAGAUUGAUUGAAGAUCGGGGGAUCAACUGUCUUCUUGGCUUGUAAUGUAUAUAUUGCCAUUUCUGCAAUGUAGCAGCAGCAAUUGCUACUACACUUGAUGAUUUAUUGCCGUCCAAUCAUUGCGCUCUAUUUGCAGUAAUUGCACCAACUACACCAAAAUAUAUAUAUAUUAUAUAUAUAUUAUAUAUAUACUCGUAGUAUAUAAAUAUAAAUUUGGGAUGCAGGGAACUCGACUUCCUGUUUUGUUGUUCGUUCCCAUUUUGUCACCAGAAGUUGCCAUUUGCCCACUAAAGCAAGAUUUUUUUUGCUUCAAUGCAAAGAAUUAUACUUGAAACAUUUGUGUCUUGAUAAGCAAAAAUGAAAUGUUAAUCGCAUUUCACUUUUUUAUAAUGCCACUCUUACUAUCAUUUUUAAUGUAAAGUCUAACAAAUGAUAACUAUAUAAUAAAAAUAAUAAUGAGAUUGUUUUUACUUGAAAAAAAAGGUGUGAAAUUUAAGCGCAUGCAAGUGGGGAGCUUGUUUGCAACAUAUCAACAAACAUAUCAUAAAAUAUUUUCAUUGACAAACCAAACACCAGAAAAUUCUGAAAAAAGAAAUUUGAAAAAUAUUUUCACUUAAUAACCAAACACUGGAAAAUUAUGGGAAGGAAGUGAUUUUCAGGAAAAUGACUUCGAUGGAAAAUAUUUUCCUAGGAAAAUAUUUUCAGUCCAACCAAACGAACCCUUAAUGUGAAAUCUAAAUGGACACUCUGCAUCUGGCAUUCUCCAGAUUGAUGGUAGCGCAAAGUUAAGAGUCCUGUCGAGUUUCAACUGUUUUGCUAGCAUUCGAGUAGUCCUUCUGCCUUCUAGACUUCUUUGAAAUAGCCUAGAUAUUUUUUGAUCAUCCUCAUGUUUAUUGUCUUUAUUGCUUCCUUGGUCACGUGCAAAGUUGGUUUCACCAGAAAUUUUGUUGAAUUUGGACUCAAAAGACUCUUGAAAAUCCUUAAAAAAUUGUAUCAUCUUUUCUCAAUCACUAUCUCGUAGAUAUGAGUAUUUUGCGAUUUGAAGUGUUUAAUUUUGUUGCCGGGGAGCGUCAAUAGUAGAGGUUGACAAACUUUAUUAGUUUAUACUUGUUUUUAUUUUUGUUAAAUUUUCUUUAAUAUAUAUCAAGUGGUUUGGUAUGAAUUUUCAAAGUUAAUAUAUAUAGUAUAUGCAUCGAACUUUAAGAGUUGUUGUUGUUCCUUUUUGAUCCAUCAAGGCAAAUUUCUUGGUUAGUCCUCAAACUAUUAGUUAGUACAUUUUAGCCCUCUAACUUUUAUUUAUUUAUUUUUAGCCUUCCAACUCCUGAAAGUGUAUAUUUCUGUCCUUUCGUCUAUUUGAGUCGUUAAAACUAACGGGAACUGAACAUGGACAAUAUACAAGCCAGAUCUACUCAUAGCUAGCAAGAUUCAUAUAAAUUUGAGUUCAGGUUUAGAAUCUAAGUGAAAGACAGAGUCUCUAUAUAAUUUUGUCUAAAUUUGACAACACUAUAUUACUAGAAUAGUGGUCAACUAUUGUCAACGAUAAUCAAUGGCUGUUGAUUAGCAACUCAUAGUUGCAAUGGUGAUUCUACAUGAUUGAAGGAUUAAAGAUGUACAAAAUUAUGUCAUUUUGAAGUGGAUUCCAUAGGAAUAACGAUUGAAAUUUACAGAAGGACUUGAAUGUAUGCUUUUAGAAGUAAGAGGACUAUAAGUAUACCAAUAACAGUUGAAAGUUAAAAGUGUACAACAUUAAUACUUUGAGGACCGACUAGGUUUUUUACUCUAUAAACAAAUAGUCAAAAACAAAGAUGCGCAUAUGGUUUGAAUUUCCGAACUUUCUUGUAUAUAACAUAGCAAGACAAUCAAUAAAUAAAGAGUAUGAUGAAAUUCUUUCGCCAAUAACAGGAAAGAUGGAUGUUAGACAAGUUCUUCACAUGAAAGGAUGAUAGGCCCAGUGAACUGACCCAUGAAUGCCUCGUUGCACGUUGAGUGCCCUGGCAAUGAUAUAUUUUUGAGUGCCCUGGCCAUGUUGAGUGACCCAUGAAUGCCUCGGCCUAGAGCAAGCCCUGGCAACGAUAUAUAUAUUUUUUCUUUUAAAUGGAAGGUCUUGAAUCUACAAUCUGCUAUUUAUAAGUCCUUCCAACUGACCAUCCAACCAAUCCCUCUAGCAAUGACUUUUAAAAUCAUUGUUAAAACAUAGCCAUAUUUGGCUUACAUCUAAAUUUAUGGCUCCAUCUAAUAUUCAAAUAGGAACCUGUCAUGUGAUAGAAGCAUCUAAACUGCCAUAUGACGCGGUUGCCACCACAUGAAAGAUGCUCAAGGACAUAUAAAGAAAUAGUCAAAAACGAAGACGCACGUAUGGUUGAAUUUCCCAACUUUCUUGUAUAUAAACGUACCAAGACAAUCAAUAAAUAAAGAAUAUGCUCAAAUUGUUUCGCGGAUAACAGGAAAGAUGGAUGUUGAAGAAGUUCUUACAUGAAAGAGGGGAAGACAAUGCAAGCUAUGCAAGAAUUCAUCAAUUCAGGUAAGUGUCCAAGCCGGAGAUUAUUCUCUACUCUACAUCUGGUAUGAAUCGAAGUCUCUAAUUUCUCCAAAAUUCAAUCUUUCAGAGUCUAGUAUCAAAGAAGGCAAAGCAUGCACUUGAAAAAAGCAUGCAACAGUUUGUGUCGACUGAAUUUACCCUCAAAAGAGUGCAUAAUAGUAGGAGAUUUUGGGAUGUGCAUCAGGGCCAAAUACUUUGGCUUCCGUCAAGGAGAUUAUAGAGCUCAUUGACAGUGAAUCCCGUAACAUGAAUUAUGGGCUACCCUAAAUUCAAGUUUUCUUGAAUGAUCUUGAGUCCAAUGUUUCAACUCAUUUUCAAGUCAUUGCACUCGUUUUAUGAUAAUCUUGAGAAAUAUGGCGUCAAUCAGGAUCAUGCUUCAUUGCUGUAUGCCUGGCUCCUUCUAUGGUAGACUUUUUCCAGACCAUUCCAUCCAUUUUAUACAUUCAUCUUUUAGUCUCCACUGGCUCUCUCAGGUGCGUAGUUUUCAAACGUCAGGACUCAGUUUUUAUGCAGCUAUAAUAAAAAAGUGCAGUAUUAACAUAAAGGUUAUGUAUCUAAUUAAACUGGCACACAUAAUUGGAAUACUUUUGCAAUUUUAUUUUGAGGAUAGUCGAUAAAAUUAAAAAAAAAAAAGAUUCAUCUUAUACAUCUUUAGAAAUUGUAACCCUCUAAGAAAGUUGAUCCUCUACAGUUUGUUUUAAUGUCAAUGCAGUCAUAGUAGAUAUUGAUAUCUGUCGACUUUGUAAUACUGGCUUAGAAUGAUAAAAAGUUUGCGAGCAAUAUUUUGGAAACCUGCUCUGUGAGUGGACCGGUUAACCAUUAACGAUAAAUAGGUUGAUUGUGGUUCAGCCAGUUGAACCGCUUGGGUUAACUAGUUUUUCUUUCGUUUUUUUUUUGUUAGUUUAAAAAAUUUUCAAAGUUGAACACUCAUACAUAGGGUUAAUUGCAAAAUACCCUCAACUAUUAUUAGUUUGUGACUUGCCUCGUAUACAACUGAGUUUUAGCAUUUGACCACCUUGAUGGAUCAAUUUUGGCACCUUACUCUAAUCAAAUAUAAGCCAACAUAAAAAAAUGUUGUGAUAACAUUUUUAUCCUGCUAGGAACUGUUUAAAACCCAAAAUUCCAUAUUAUUUUCUUUAACAUUUUGUCUCUCCUCUCUCCACUAGUUUUCUCAAAUCCUAUUUCUACAAAUUUCAUCAAUCGCCAAAUUCCCAUAUCAAAUGCACUGUCGCAAUUUUCUCUCUAUUCCUUUGGCCCUUCAUCAGAAAUUACCAAGUGUCCAGAAAAUUAAAACAUCUUAUCUGUCCUUUAUGCUCUUGGCUUUUUAACAAGUGAUAAGUCAAAACAAGAGUUUACGUUCAUCAAUUUUUAACUAACCAGCGAGCGAGACUGAAUGGAGCCGCAAAUCGCCCAUUGGAGCUAGAACUUGAGGAGAGCAUCCAUGUGGCUGUAAUGUUCUUUCAACCCUUUAUCAACAGAUCCUUCUAUUCCUCAUUUUCUUUCAUGCAAUGCCUUAUCUUUUUAGAUGUUUUAUUUUUUCUCUAGGAAAAAAAUUGGAAUUUGUGUGACUAUUGCUGAUACUUUUUUCCAAAGGGAAAACUAAAAAAGAAAAAGGCUUCUUACAGUUGCUGUUCUUUUUGAAAGAAAAAAGAGGAAUAAAAGGAAAGUGAUGCAAAUUGGCAGCAAGUAACAAGACUGAUAAACACAAACCAUAGUUUUGACUUUAGGAUGCAACUUACAAAUUAAAGAUAGUUCAAGGGUACAUUUUGCCAUUAACCCUUUUUCAAUAUAUCACAAGUAUUAUUCUGAUUUCACCCACAAAAGAACUCAAAAUGAGCAAAAUGAAUCCAAACCCGGUCCUACUCAACCGUCCAGCCUGUCCAGAAUUGUAGCAUUGGUUGACUUGAGUUUGAACCAGAUUGAAACGUUAGAAGUUACCCAUCGACAAUCAAUAACAUUCCUGGUAGGAGACCUCCCAUGGUAUAGGGGCAUUGGAAGUUGCAAAAUGAUUAAAGCAUUAAUAAUCAGAAGAAAAUGAGAUAAAACUAAGUCGUUGUCAUUGGAUAAAGUAUGGACGGCAGAAUAUGGUUAUCUCUACAAUUAACCAAGAACAAUAAAAGCUGAACAGUGUAAGGCUGAUGAUUAUAGAAAGGGUAAAAUGCAAUUUUCAUCCCUAAUGUUUAAGGUGUUAACCAAUUUCAUCCUAAAGUUUCAUGCAAAACACAUUUCAUUCUUAUAAUUUUAUAAUUUUGAUUAAUUUCAUAGUUAAAGUUUUACGCAAACACAUAUCAUUCUCAUAGUUUCCUAAAUUUGGUUAAUUGAGGACAAUUGGUAGAUUGUCAAAUAAUUUGAAUGGAAUAGCGUCACUUGACCAUGGCAUGCCUAUUAGUUAAAAAAAUAUAUAUUGGAUCAACAAAAACUCAAAAAUCUUUUCUUAAUUCACUUUCUCAUUUUUGUACAAAAAAGACUAAGAAAUUUUUAACCACCAUUACUCCCUUUUUAAUCACAAUCAAACUUGAAGAUCCAAAAAAAAUGAAAUCAGUACAAAAGAAACAACCCUACUAUAGCCAAUUGGAGAAAAAUGUCAAAGAAACCCAUUCCAACUAAUUGGAGAAAAAUAUUAAUGCGAAAGAACAAAUGGUUUGGAUUGUCAUUUAUUUGCAAAAUUUUGUUUGUUGCAUCAUAUACAUGUUUUUCAAUCAUUUAUUUAUCUUUCAAUCUAUUUAUUUUGUAUCAAAUACAUCAUAUCACAAAAACACUCGUUGUUAUUUCUAUAAUUUAAUCAAUAAUUGAAUUAAGUAUUCAUAAUACAAUUAUUAAUGGGACAUGUGAUGUUAUUAUGUCUAAAUUGGUUAAUAAUCAUUUAAUUGUCCUUAAUUGGUAGGAAUUAUAAAAUUAUGAGGAUGAAAUUGUUCUAUACAAACUUUAGGGACAAAAUUGGUCAAAAUUAAAAAUAAUAAGGAUGAAAUGUGUUUUGCAUGAAACUUUAGGGACGAAAUUGAUUAAUACCUUAAACAUUGGGGAUGAAAUGUGCAUUUUCCCUCAUAGAAAAGCAUCUAGAUUCACAGGGUUUUUGAUCUACAAAUCAAGGCUUCUCCAAAAUGGGUUUAUCUCAUAAGCUAUUCAUUAGAAUGACUCAAACUUUAAUUGGUUUUCAAUUUGUCGACCGCAAAAAUUCCUUGAGCUGAUGUGCAAGAUAAAGAAUUCUCUCUCUCUCUCUCUCUAUUGAAGGAUCAUAUAUGGUGAAUUUCUACCUGCUCAUUUGAUGACUUAAAUCAACAAAUUUAGAACUUAUAGAUCCAACUAAUUUAUUGACUAAAUUGCACUGCAUACCAGAAUUAGUAGGUAUUAUUAAUGACCCAUUGGUAAAGGGAGGAGUUUUCCCCACUAUCAGGUUCACACUUCGAAUCUUAAAUCUGAGUUGAGAGUAAGAAGAGUGUGAGAAAAGGAGGGAGGGACAAAAAAGAAAAGAAAAGAAAUAGUAGGCACUAUCAAGGUUAGUGUUAAUGCUAUAGAAAAUGAUGUAGAACAUAGUACACCAACUCAGGACUAGUAAUAAGCUGUGAAAAAGAUAGUUAAGAAUGAACUGUAUUUACAUAAGAAAACAACUCCUGUUGUUGUCUUGUUCACAUCAGAUACAAUUAUAUAUACAGAAAGACAUGAACCCCUCACAAUUAAUACCAACUAACAACUAAAUGACUUCAGUAAACCAAAAGAUAAUUCUAGACUCUACAAAAAAGUAACAAUGGUAAAUGACAAACUAAUUGCUCUUCAUUAGUCUUAAAAAAAUCAACUUUAAUAUUCAACACUUCCCCUUAAAGUGAUUUUUUGGAAACUAAUCCAAGUUUGGCCUUAAGCACCUCAAAAACUGCCUUAGAAAGUGCCUUAGUUAAAAUAUCUGCAACAUUCUUAUCACUUUGUAUGUGUAAAACUUUGAUAAUACCAUCAAGAAUUUUCUCUCCAAUGAAAUGGUGCUUUAAUUCAAUAUGUUUGGCUCUUGCACGACAAACUAGAUUGGAAGCAAGCUUGAUAGCACUUUGAUUGUCACCAAAAACUUUAGUGGGUCUAGAAAUAGGAAGAUAAAUAUCUUUAACAAGCCUUCUAGGCCAUACACAUUCUUUAGUAGCAAGAGCAGUGGCUUUGUAUUCCGUCCUUGUUGUUGAUAGUGAAAUAGAAUCUUGUUUCCUACUACAUCAUGACACUGCUAUUGAACCACACAGAUAUACAUAUGCUGAAGUAGAUUUAUGAUCAUCCAAAUCUCCUCCCAAAUCAGCAUCUGUGUAUCUAUGUAGUGAAAAAUCAGCUCCAUUCUUGUACAGCAAUCCCAUAUCAGAUGUGGUGCUUGUGUACUUCAAAAUUUUCCUUGCCAUUUCUAAAUGUGGCUUCCGUGGUGGUUGAGGAGGGGAAGCAAGAGUUUGAGGAAGGAGAGAGGAGAAGGGAGUUAUGGGUGGUGGUGGUGAAUGGUAUUAUUUUAAAUUUUUUAAAACUAUCUUAAAAAUUUUUAAUUCUAAAAAUACCCCAAAAUACAUUCUCAAAAACAUCCCCAAUAAUAUUCGGUAAGAGUUUUAAAUAUGCACUGCUGCAGUAAAUUUUUUAAAAGAUACCUCUAAAAACACCUAAUCCACAUAGAGCCUUUAAAAAAAAAAAUACAGAGCCUUUAAGUUAGUUUAUUUUCUUCGUCAAAUGUAGGCAAACAUAAAAUGAGUCAAGUAAAAUAUGUUGUUUACAAUAGAAGAAGCGUUAAUGAGUUAGUCAAAUCAUAUGUCAAUCUAGCUUUUAUUCAUUUAUUUUGUUUAAUUAUUUUAAUUUAUUUUUUUGUCUUCUUGAAGUAGGUUUUUUUUUUUUUUUUUUGAAGUAGGGUUGAUUAACCAAUUCACAAUAAUUAUGUGUGUUUGGAUUGUAAAUUAUUUGAGAUAUUUUUACUGUAGUACUUUUUGUGAUCUGAUGUAUGUGAGAUAAAAAGGUAAUUGGGAAGAUAAAAAGGUGUAUUGAAAAUUGUAAUGGUGAUGUAAGCAAAUAUAUUUGGACAAAUAAUCUCCUGUCCAAACACACUAGCACCAAUAAGAAACUUAAAAUAAGUCCUAUAUGCCUAAACUCUAAGUAGUAAAGGCUAUUGCACCAAAGGAAAAAUAUUGAAGAAUAAGAAUUAAUCCACAUUGUCAGGAAGAUAGAUAGAAAAAGGAAAGAAUUAGAGGUGGCAAUGGAUUAUGUGUGGUACCGUAUUCGUGUUGUGUCCUUUUCAUGUUCGUGUCGAAAAAUCUCAACUCGAACCCAAUUCAUUAGGUUUCUGUGUCCUAUUGUGUUGUGUCAUAACUUACAUAUCAACAGGUUGAUACGAUCCAACUCACUUAACCCAUUAAGUAUUUUUAGCCAUAAUAAUCAUGUUAAAUGAACCUGUUUGACACUCUCUUAAACCUAUUAAUUUAUUUAUGUACAUAAUUUAGUGUUGUUAUUAAAGAAUUUUCAAUGACAAAUUGCUCAAUAAGGUCUUCAAAGUUCAAAGUAAUAAAGAAAUGAGUAAAUCUUAUAUACACUGACAAUGUAUACACUAUCAUCGUUAGAUAAAUACCACAUAAAUGAAAUUUAGAUUUGAAAUUCAAAUUUAGCAUAUGUAGCAAUCAUCUAAACAUGACAAUGUACAUACUAUCAAUGCAUAGAAGAUUAAUCCUAAAGAAAUUUAAGAAUUUCAAAAUUUAAAAAAAAAAUUCCAAAACUUUGAAAUUUGUUUUCAACAAAAAACAAAUCUAUAAACGAAACUUGUAAACUCAUGCAACCAUGCAUCUUACUAGCCUUCUUUAUUCAACAACCUUCUUAAUCCACGAACAACCGAAUGACAUUUCCAUUAUCAGGGCAGCGGUUUUGUAGUAUUCAAUUGUCCGUUUGUUUCGACGUAAAAUGUUUUUCAUGGGGAAAAUAUUUUUAGUGAAAGACAUUUUCCAUGAAAAUAUUUUUACGUUUCAUGAUUUUUUGAUUUUUGGUUAACUUUUAAAAUAUCAUUUUGACAGAAUAUCUGCAAGUACUCUACAUUGUUUAUCUUUCUUAAAGACCUAAACUGAUUCUUUCCCAAACGAGUAAAAUGUUUUUCAUGAGAAAAUAUUUUCAGUGAAAGACAUUUUCCAUGAAAAUAUUUUUACGUUUCAUGAUUUUCUGAUGUUUGGUUAACUUUUAAAAGAUCAUUUUGACAGAAUAUCUGCAAGUACUCUACAUUGUUUAUCAUUCUUAAAGACAUAAACUAAUUCUUUCCCAAACAAGAAAAUAAGGUCUCACAAGAAUAUGCAGUCGUGAUACGAAUAGGUAGGGAUGGCAACGGGGGCGGGUUUGAGGACAGAGCACCCCAAAAUUGCCAAAAAAACUCCCCCCGCCCUUUUCCCCCCCCCCCCCCCCGGCUUCUCCUGCAGUUGCUCGUGGUUGAUAAUUUGGUUUUUUCUAGAAUCUUUUAUUCAAUAGAUCAAACCUAAAUUCAAACAAUAAAAUAAAAUACGGAGUUGGAAAAAGUGAAAAAUAAAAAAUGAAACAAGAAAAGUGUUGAAAUAAAACAUCAAGAAAAUUAAGAAACUCAAUUGGAUUGUAUAGAUAAAAUCUGAGAAUAUUCAUAGAACGCAUAAUAUGUUUGUAGCAAAUAUCACCUAGGAAUUUAGAUAGAAAUGAGAUAAAAAUUUUAUUUAGUUGUCGAAUAUUCUAUAUUUAUUAGUAGAUUAUAUAAUAUAUAACAUUUAUUUAUAUUAAUAAAUCGGGGAAUGGGGCGGGGGUCACUCCCCGUUUAAAACAAGGAGAAAAGUUCUCCCCGCCCCCGCCCCCGCCCCAUCGCCCGCACCAUUACUCCUCCCACGGGUACCCGUCCCCGUUACCCCCCUACGAAUAGGUAGUUUGGUAUGUUAGGUUCAUAACUCACGGUAGUUGGGAAAAAUAACUUCAGAAAAUCUAUUGCGUAAGUUGUUUUCCAGGAUUUGGGGCAGGGACGGUCAUCAGUAUCCAUGCACGGUUAAGGGCCAAGAUUUGCCCUCAAAAUUUUGUGCGGCUGAGAUUACACCAUGUAACUCGAUUUCCGCGCCAAGUGUGGGGCCCACCACUAUCUGUUGUGAAAAUACAUCCUGUGAAAAAAAAGUUAUAUCGUGUUUAACCAAUGUUACGCGCAGUGCAAAAUGAAGACAACCUACGCACCUGCAACCGUUUGUGCCCCGUAUCCUGUUUUCCACUAAAGGAUGUAAAUCAUUUGCUGAAGAAAAGGUUUUCAGUGGUCUAAUUGCAUCCAAACAUUGGAAAAUUGGAAAAGGAUUUUUCGAAAAAUAGUUUACACCAAAACAAACGGACACUGAGGCUGUCAUAAAAGGAAAGAAAAACAAGAUGGGGGACAAUUUUUAGUGAUGUUCAUUUUUUUUUUUUAUCAAAUUAGCGUGAUAACCUGCAGGCUAGUCCAAUUCGACCUGCUUAAGUUAAUAUCGUUAAUGAAUUGGCUCAAUAAUAAUUCACUUACACUCAAAUCGUGAUAAACUUAAAACUUUUGGAUUGUAUUUUAAUCGUAUUAUCUUGCCGCUUCAGAAAUUGUCAUCCUUAAAAAGAAUUAUUCACAUGGCCCUAAUUAUUGGACAUGUCCACAUGUAACGAUCUAGCUAAGCAUUAGGGCUUUUCAGACCAACCCUACAAUUCUUGCACAUGGACAUCCCAAGGACAUUAACAAGAAUAUACAGGUUUCUGCUCAUUUUCAUCAUAAAUGCAUCAAAUUCUAUGGACAGGUGUCUAAUAUUUGGCUGAAUAACAUAUGAGCUUUUUACUCAUAAAAUUUACAAUUUUCCAUGCCACAAUUAAAAUGAAAGAAUACCACGCCACGAGGAAAAAAAAAAGAUCAUAGCAGAAUUUCCUAUUUAACAAAUUCGAAGCUUAAAUUUGUCGAAGAAAAAGAAAUUGUCACUGAAGCAAAAUACCAAUUGCAGUGACAUCCAAAAUUUUUCUAUACAAAAGAAAAGACAUCUAAAGAUAACCAAUUUUAAGAUACUAUCAGAUGUGAAACAAAAAAAUAAUAAUAAUAAAAUAAAAGGAAAAAUUGGCAAAGUGAGAUGAAUGAAUCAGUCAGAGAUCAAAUGCAGCAAAGAUUGGCUGGGACCUGGUGUAACCAAGGCUGGACUUGGAGGGCUCAAUGCUGGUGGUGGAGCUUGUGAAACCAAUGGCGGUGGAGGCGGCGGAGGUGGCGAAGAUAAUGGUGGAACUGGAGGUACUGGAGGUGUUGGUGCUGGUAAUGGUGGUGGUGGUGGUGGUGGUGGUACUGAUGUAGAGGGAUUUUGUGGGCUAGGAAUUUCACCACCCGCAGGCGGUGCUAGUCCUCCUCCUCCUGCUGGUGGUGGUGGUGGUGGUACUGAACUUUCGCUAGGACUAGGAUUAGGAUUAGGAUUUGGAGUAGGACUUGUAAGAGACGAGCUUGGUGGACUGGGGUUAGGCACCACUGGAGAUUGGUAACAAGCAUCACCAGAACAUUUGCUGUUGUGGGACUUGUGAUUGCCAUGCCUAAGAAGCCCAAAUCCCAAGAUGAGUCCAGUCACAACAAGAACUGUGAUAAUGAAGAUGAAGAUCUUGGUUGCCUUCCCCACAUAACACAUCUUUUCCUUUCCUCUUUUGCACUUUCACUUUUAGUACUAUGCUCUGGUUUGCGCUCAGAAAUGGGCUCAGGAAUCAGAAUUGGUAUGGUAGAUUGGCAGGGAUGGUUUUUGGUUGUCUUUGUUAAAGACAGAAAAUGUGAGGUGAGUUGUGGUGAGUUUUGUGAUAUUUGAGGUAAUAGUACAGUACAUUUUGACAUACUAGUAUUUAUUUCUAGUGCUCUUUAUGUUGUUGUUUUCUUCUUUUUCUCUUGGUUCUUGUCAUGGUGUAGAGAGUGAAGAUGAAGAGGGACAAGUAAGCAUUUGAUGAGCAGGGAAAGAUGGGGUUGGAUUUGGGCAUUUCACUUGGUUUUGGUUGGUUGGAGGGGGAAAAUGUGCAGACUGGCACAUGGAACCAAUGAAGGUGGGGAAAAAAAAAAUAGUGGAGUAGUAUUUGUUUUGCUUGUAAUUUUUGGCUGUUUCUUGAUUAUGCUAAUGACAAGUUAUUAGAUUUUGGAAGAGAGUGUUUUGUUUUGAGAAUAUAGUGAAUCCUGAAUUGAGAACUUUUUAAAUUGGCUGUAGUAACUCUUGAUCCCUCGUAUUGGUUGUUGAGUUAAUGACUUAAUGUGAGUAAUUUUUCUUGACAUUAUCCUCAUGUUUUUUCACCAGCUUUUGAUUAUUGAUUUACUCCAUUGCGUUGAAAAAGCAAAGGUAGGGAUGAGAAGACCAGCAAAACAAUCCCUUUUGGGUAACAAGACAGGAAUUCAGCGAGUAUGUAGUCGCUUAAGUUUUUAUUUAAUAGAAUGUGUAAUGUGUUUUUUUUCUUUUUGUCUGGUAGAAUAUUAUUUGAAAUAAUUAUUAUAGUAUUUUUUGAGAUAUAAUAUAUAUGAGAUAAAAAAAUUUGUUAAAAAAUUUAAAAAAAAUUGAUUAAAAGUUAUAUUUUCUAUAUAAGCAAAAUAUUAUUUAGAAUAACUUAAUCCAAAUAGAGUGAAUGACUUGAGUUGGACAUUCUACCCUUAUCCCUUGGAGCCUUCCCGCUAACUACUGGGCUGGAUGAACACCAGAUUGCUAAUGACGAACUUGUCACAUCUGAAAUGGGCAGAAAAUGUCGGAAAAUGUAUAUCCGUAUUCUUCUUUGUUCUUACAAAUUUGGAUAUGUUUGUAGAUCACAAUUUUUUUAAAUAUUAGUUUGCUUGCAUUACAAAUAUAUUUUUUUUUAUUUUAUAUAUAUCACGUCACAAAAAGUAUCAUAAUAAUUAUUUCAAAUAAAUUUUUUUUCUUUUUUUUUUAAGGAAAAUCCAAUUGGAUUAUAUAAGGGACUAGAGGAGAGAUAGACUCGUUUAGAUCAAAAGAGUAAUCUGACAUAUUCGAGAGAUAGAUCCAUCGAGAUAAAAAUGAUGCAUUAGCAUACCCUUUGAAUUGUUUUAACUGCACAAUGCGGGAUUUAAACUUUCAACCUAUUCAAACAAGAAUUUUAAAUCCGUUUUGGUAGCCAACUUGCUUAAGACAAGUUGGUUGUGAGUUAAAAUACCAUCUGAUGAGAUGAACUGAUAUUUGUUUUAUAGUUAAAAAUUAGAAAUUCCAAAAUGUUUGGGACUGUUAGCAAUCUGGCAAACUGUCAACGUUCAGCCCUUCCAAUGUCACUUUAAUGCAUCUCAUCACUUAUGCUUUAGACAACAAACAAUUCAAUUUUAACAAACCAAUCUGGCAAAUUGUCAACGUUAAGGAAUUGUGGACAAUGAGGUGGCCUUUAAAGUUGUAACUUCCAACAAAGAAUCAAAUGUAAUGAAAUCCAACUAUUAAGUAUUAAGGAAUGAAUAUGAAUAGGAAACACAAGGAUUUAAAAUGUGUUUAAGCUGCAUUACAAGAAAUCAAUGAGUCUGUUUGGAGAGAAUUGUUCACAAGGCAAAACACAAAAGAUUGCAUUUCUUCCGGUAUUGUUUGGACUGUUGAUUAUUUGCACAAAAAAAAUUUAUUUGCUUUUAUCAGCAACAAAUUUUUUAAUCAUCUUUUUAUUUCACAUACAUCAUAUCAAAAAAUGCUAUAGUAUUUUUUUAAAAAAAUUAUCCCAAAUAAUUUACUAUUCAAAAAUAUAUUUGCUUGCGUUUCUUCGGAUUCGUUACUUUUGCAGUUUUACAUUCUACUUCUUUUCUAUUUUUUUGUGGGGAAUCAAUUAUUUUCUUAUUUUAGUUUAAGGAAUUAAAAUGGUGAAUUUUGAAUAAGAACAGAGAAAAUUAUUAAAUGGAUAUGUGUUGAGCACCUGUAGGAGGGAAUAUUUUGGAAAACGAGCCCGAUAUUUUGUCCGCCAUGUCAACCCUUGACCUAAUCUGGCAAAACGUCAGAUCUGUUCGUCAGCUCCUUGGUUCCAUAAUUGCCCUUAAUAUUCCAGUUAAAUUACCAAAUUGACACAGUCGCUUUUUUACCCAUAGCUGUAUUUGGAUUAGCUGUUUUUGAAGGUAUUUUUUAAAAACUUUACUGUAACUGUGUAUAUGAAAAAUUUUUACUGUAAAUGUUUUUUUGAUUGUAUUUAGAGGUAUUUUUAAAAUAUAUUUUUAAGUAUUUUUAUAAUUUAUAAUUUUUUUGAGAUAUUUUUUUUAAAAUUUUACACGACCCACCACUAUUCCCGCCCUUUUCUUCUCCUUCUCUCCUUUCUCUUCCUCUCAUCCUCCUCUCUAUUUCCUCCCCCUCCUCCUCCCUCUUUCCUCUCCCGUCUCCCUUCUCCACCCUCCCCUCAACCCCAAACCCCUCUCUCGCUCGCAGGUGGUGGCUGUGACUUUAGCCACCACUCUAACAACGACAGUUUUGGUUGCGGCUUCUGCUCGUGAUCAGAUUUGAUCGUGACUAAAAAGGUUGCGAUCAGUCGAGGGGAAGGAAAUUGGGGAGCGGGGAAAGGGAAAGAAGAAAUGAGGAAGGAGAAAAAGAGGGAGGAGGAGAAAAAAUGAAGGAGGAGGAGGAGAGAGGAAGGAAAGAGGGGAGGAGAGAGAGAGGAGAGAGGAGAGAGGAGAGAGGAUCGUGGGUGUGGUGGUGGAAAGUGAUGGAUAGUUGUGUAUUUUUUUAGUAUAUUUGAAAUUAUUUUUGAUAUAUUGUAUGGAUAUGAUAUUUUUGGAGUUAUUUUUGUUUGUGUAUUACUGUAGCAUUGUAGAUGAAAAAAAUUGUUUUUCAAAAAAGUCUGAAUCCCCCAAUAGAGAGUGCGCCCACGCACAUUACUGCACUGGACCGUAUUGAAGAAUCGAUGUCAAUUGAAUCACCAUUAAAUCAGACGGAUACAUUACACACUCAUAUAAAUUUAAGUCACUUAAAAUCUAAGUUAGUAUAAUGACAAGUGGUGAGCGAAAAAUUUGAAUAUUUAAUCUUCCAUUCCACAAAGUCUUGAGAUCAUGGUAAUGGCCAACAGUCAUUUUCACUGCACAACUAUUUAACCUCAUAAUAUUCUUCAAGUAGUGGGCACGCCCAUCGAGGUUAGUACAAUUAACUCAUUCAUUCUUGACGCGCUAGCAGUAGCGUGUGAUUAAUAACUCUUAACUUCCCUCCGAACUGUGGAUUUUUUUUCCUUUCAAUUUUGUCCAAUUGAUCGAGGACAGAAGGGAUUAAUUGCAGUAGGAGUAUUUAGGCAAUUAGAAUAUUUCAUACACUUUUUUUUUUUGGUUUAAGAAUAUUUCAUACACUGCAAUGAUGCUUGGUUUAGCAGUAUACACGACCAAAGUCAAAUUUCAGAAGAGAUUCUGUUUAAAUUUCAUAAUUAGAGCUAUAGUUCUACACAUAAGGCUAGUAUUUGUCUCACCUUCUGCAAGUUAAUUAUCAUAUUAUAUGCAGAUAAUAUAUAUAUAUAUAUAUAUAUAUAUAUAUAUAUAUAUAUGAAAACUCAGCUAAACUAAAGGGAUAGAAUCUCCAUAAUGUGUAUAAUAAUUUAAGGAACCUAUCCUUCCUAUCAAAUUUUAAAGAUAAAACAUCCUUGAAGCUAUCCUAGUAAAAAUGGCCUUUGAUUAAGGAAAAUUUAAUUGGGUUAGUGAACUUUGAUGAUUGAAAAGGAACAAACUCAAGUCAGCUAAGUUACAGUCCCUUCAUAUGUCGCGGUUCUAAUCUUUCAACUAUCAUAAAAUACUCUAAUAAUAAACAUAGAUGGCGAUUCUAAUCUCCCAAAAAACAACUAUUAUAUGAUGCUUUUAUAACCAACCCUCUUGGAUCCUCCCCUUCUCAAGGACUAGGUUAGAAAUUAUCAUCCCGAUACAAAAAUAAAGACAAGUGAAACAGAUAAUCUUAUUAACAUUUAAAAUGUUAACAAAGAAAAUGUUCCAUAAUGAAAUAAGACGGAAUAGAAUUUUCUCUCUCUUUUUUUGGGUACUUAUGGAAUCUUCUCUCCCAGAAGUCACUUCGGGGCUCCGACUCAUUGGCCAGUGAGGCAGCGAUUAAUAAAUUUCUUGGCCAUUCUCUGGAAAGAGGAGGGUAAAUUUCUAGAACUCCUUUCCACAGACUAUGACUUGGAUUUACUGGCUAAUCGAAACAAAUGGAUGACAAUGACAGAAAAUGCUGUCAAAGUCAGGAAUUGCAUAUGAAAAUGUUUGAAGAUUUUCCAUAGCCAGCUACUACAGUAUACAGUCAGUUUCAUCUUUUAUUUUCCCCACCACACUUGCAACUACUAAUGACCAGAGGACUACAAUACUCCAAAACAUGUCAAUUUCUAGAUCAAUGCAGCCCACACGAAAUGGUUCAAGAAGCAGGAAAUGGAAAGAAUCAAGGAUCCAGCUUGUUUGAGUAACCUCCAUGUCCUUAUUCUAGAUUUUUAUGUUGAGCUUACCACAACACUCAUCCAGCAAAAAUCACAAUGACAAGCAUUAUAACCUCAAAACCAACUGGAACACUUAGAAGAACAGGAUUCCACAAAGCACAACUGCUCUCAAGCCUGCCGAACAAAAUUGAGCGGAAGAAUGGACAAGGCCUCAGGUAUAAUCUCACAUUUCGUUCUCACAGAAGGAUGCAAAACCGUCAAGUAAUAGCUUCUGACGUUUCGACCACGCAAGCAGAGGUAACUUGAAGUGAAGUAUAAUAACCAUUGCAGGUUCUCUCUCUCUCUCUUACAUUUCAAACCCCCCCCCCCCUCUUUGCCCGAACCCAACCCAAAAUUAUAUUCUCUUUUUCCAGAAUUCUAUUGGAUGCAAAUGCACUUGUUAAGAUGUCUGGGAAAUGAAUGCAACCCUAAAUCCUAGUAUAGUUCCAAUCCUGCUGUCAUUAUUCCUAGCAACAGCUCUUAAGUUGAAAUCAGACGAGCUACCGGAGCAUGAAAAGGAAAUUAGUAGUGGAGAUUUUCUCCUCCUUCAGCACCCAAUCACCCAUGAAGUCACGUUACUGCCAUGAUAACAUGACUUCACGGCCAACAACCUAUUAGCAGCCUUCUCCAAGUUCUUUAUUAUCGCACCUAUUUUUACAGUCUGAUUGAAUAAGUACUAAAAUGUUCCUAAACCACAGAAUGCAUGCACCAAGUGUUUGUGUGAUACUUGCUCUUAUUUGACAUGUGAUUCUCAAAACCAAUCACAAGUCAGCAAUCAUAAAAAGUGAAAAAUAAGUCAAGGAUAAGACAAGGAAAAGCACAGCAUAUAACAUCAAAGCUUGCAGUACCAACACAUUUGUAGUUUAUCCAAACCAAUAAUAAUCAGAUAACUGCAAGCAAGAGAAGAAACUGUGCUUUCAUUUUUCUGUGAUACAUAUUUAAGCUUACCCUUUUUCCCACCCAGGGUACAGCUCCGAAACCCUCACAUAGCAUAUUGGUAAACUAUGUACCAGUUUAUGUCAUGCUCCAGGUGAGUCAUAAUCUCUACUUUAAAGCACAAAAUACAUUACAUUCCAAUUAGGUGGUGGGAAACAAUAACUGCCUUAAAAUCACAUAUUCCUUUUCAGUUUAUUCUAAACAUUUCUGCUGGUGAUACAGCUAGAUGUUAUUUCAACAAACAAUGCUAUCUCAAACCAAGAAAAGCUUGAGAAGCAGCUGCACGAACUCAGACUAGCUGGAGUUGAUGGCAUCAUGGUUGAUGUCUGGUGGGGCAUUGUAGAAUCCAAGGGUCCUAAAAGCUAUGACUGGUCUGCUUACAGAAACUUGUUCCAAUUAGUUCAAAAACAUAACCUUAAAAUACAAGCAAUCAUGUCAUUUCACCAAUGUGGUGGCAAUGUAGGAGAUGCUGUUUAUAUUCCACUCCCAAAAUGGAUUCUUGAAAUAGGAGUAGAGAAUCCUGAUAUAUUCUAUACAAACCGAUCAGGUACUAGGAAUAAGGAGUGCCUCUCACUUGGAGUAGAUAACUUGUCUCUCUUUGAAGGUCGAACUGCUGUCCAGGUAGAUGAUUUCCAUGAAAUUCUCUAAUGCUGUUCAAAGAUCAUGUACUUAACCAUUAUAAAAGCUCUUUUCUUGAGCUAAAAAGAUGUCAAAAAAGAAAGGUUGACUUAAAAAUCUGGUGUUUGGGUAAAAUCCUUUAAAAUUAUCAUUUGGUUUGUGGCCAUGUUUUCAUUAGUAUGCCAAAUAUAGAGCCUGCUUCCUGACCAAGAGUUUUAUUAAAUAAAACUAAAUCCACUCUUAUAAGUUGAAAGAGUAUCGAGCUUCAAACUGUUGGUAGUAAACUCUGGUCUGCCCUUUAGCUGACAGUGGUCACAAGAAUUAUACCAAUCACAUGUAGGAGAUGAGGUUUGACAUAAGCAGCUCACAAUUUCUGUGUUCCUCUGUCUUUAUUAUACAAUUUCUUAUUCCUCGUAGUGCUUUUGAAGGCCUAACAUUAACCUAAUGAACUAUUGAGCCUAGCAUAUUGUCAUUUCAGUUUUGAUUUGUAAUUAAUCUCCGAAUGUUUUAGAUGUAUAGUGACUAUAUGAACAGCUUCAGAGAGAACAUGUGACUUUUUGGAAGCAGGAACUAUCAUAGACAUUGAGGUAGGCUUAGGACCAGCAGGAGAGCUCAGAUAUCCAUCAUACGUAAAAACUCAAGGAUGGAAAUUUCCAGGGAUCGGAGAAUUUCAGGUUAGAUUUUCAGCCUAUUUGUUGUAAGACUACAUCUUAUCCUCCCGUUAAUCAAAAGAAAGUCAUUCCUAACUAAUGUUCUUUCAAAACUAACACACAAUCAUAACAUAUUUCAGUGCUAUGACAAAUACUUAAGGGCAGAUUUUAAAGAGGCUGCAAAAAAGGCAGGAUAUCCUGAAUGGGAUGCGCCAGACAAUGCAGGAACGUAUAAUGACACACCAGAAAAUACAGGCUUCUUUGGACCAGACAGGAUAUACCUCUCAGACUACGGGAAUUCCUUCUUGACCUGGUACUCCAACAACUUAUUGAAACACAGUGAUCACAUCCUCGGGGAAGCCAACAAAGCUUUUCUGGGAUGCAAAGUCAAGCUGGCAGCUAAAGUAAAUGCUCAAUAAAAAGAAUAACACUUAAAGUAGUGCUUUCCCUAGACAUACUAUUAAAAUUUUCUUAUACCCACUGCAUUAACAGGUCUCUGGUUCCAUUGGUGGUACAAGGAUGACACUCAUGCUGCAGAGUUAACUGCAGGAUACUAUAGCUUAAAUAAUAGAGAUGGGUACAGACCUAUAGCCAGGAUGUUGUCUAGGCAUUAUGCUUGCUUAAGCUUUACAUGUCUAGAGAUGCUGCAGAGUUAACUGCAGGAUACUAUAACUUAAAUAAUAGAGAUGGGUAGAGACCUAUAGCCAGGAUGUUGUCUAGGCAUUAUGCUUGCUUAAGCUUUACAUGUCUAGAGAUGAGAGAUUCUGAACAUCCAGCAAUAGCGAAGAGUGGACCUCAAUAACUAGUUCGACAGGUUAGUUAUGUAGGAAAAGGCAAUUCUUAAUCAUGAAAUUAUCCACCCUGUCUUAAAGCUUGUAAGAAACUAUCCUUUUCCAGUUACAGAUAUAGUUAGUGAGAUAUACCAAGACAAAUCUUGUUAAAAAAAAAGAGAAAAAAAAAACUUAAGACCUUUCCUAGCUGAACGAUACUCACAUCUAGACAUUUGUCACACUUGUUACACAUUUUUGUGCAGGUUUAAGGUGCUGGCUGGAGAGAAAACAUUGAUGUUGCAGGAGAAAAUGCACUUUCAAGUUAUGAUCGUGUAGGCUACAAUCAAAUCCUCCUUAAUUCUAGGCCAAACUGUGUCAACAAAAAUACUUCACCAAAGCUGAAGUUGUCAGGAUUGACUUACCGCCGACUAUCAGAUAAACUACUAGGUCGGAAGAACUUCAGCAUAUUCAAAACUUUCGUUAAAGAAUGCAUGCUGACCAGGUUAGCGGCUUUCCACAAACAUGCACACAAGGAACAUAGAUGAAAAAGAAGAUAUGAUACUUGAACAUUAAAAAUGGCCAUGAUCUCUUAAUAUUUCUAUGUCUAAUAUCAUUACUAUCUUUUCUUAGGAUUAUGAUCCAGAUCACAUCAACUUACCAGCCCUGAAAGCAUUCAAACCGAAGAUUUAUUUUGACCAACUUUUUGAUGCAACUAAACCAAUUGAGCCAUUUCCUUGGGAUGAAGAAACCUAUAUGAGCGUGGGUGCUUCAUUCUUUGAAUUCUUGGACAAUCUCUUUCACCAUUGUUCUCCAUACAAAAGUGAGGGAAAUUAUUUAGCUUCUUGAACCCCGUGAAGGGAUCUCUCUCUCUCUAACCAACAGGAAAAAGGGUGAAAAUUAUACGACAUGAAGGCAAUUUGCUACUUCCUGAGCUCUCAUACACCCCCCAUUAAUAUCAUAGCUUGUUACUGUAAGCACCACAGCAUUUAUCCACUUUAAAUUUUGCUUAAUUGCAUACCCAUGUGUCUAUGAAUCUAGAAUCUGAAAAACCUAUUUUUGAGCAUUGAAAAGCUUUCUUAACAUUUAUAAUCCACUAAUUCUAUAGUAGGAAAAUGUCACCCAGUUUCCAUAUGAAGCUUCUGUAACGGUGAUUGCAUAAAAGGAGGGCCAAAAAGUUCAUCUAUUUGAGGUGAACCAUCAACUCACUCAGAGGUGACAUGGAAAUAACUACCAAAAUCUAACUUGACCGAAUUAAACUAUCACUGAUCAUCAGUCAUUUUUUAGAUACAAGCUUGAUACAAAGACUAAAAGCAUAGCAAUAUUACCACAUUUCCUCUCCCUGAACCACAUCUUUUCAUCUAGGAAUAGCUAAAAGACGUCUGACCAAGCAUGAAUGAGAAAAUAUCAACCGCAUAAGAAGUUAAGGCAUACUGGCUCAAAAUCAGAUGCUAGAACUCAGAAGCAUGACUAGAGGUGGCACAUAAUUUAAAUCACUAAGCUACAAAAACUUCAAGAAAUAAAAGCUUCUUAUACCUCAUAGAUGUUGCCAAGGAAAAUGAGAUUUUAGCAAAAUGAUUGCUUUCACAUUUCACUAUGUUAAAAUUGCUGCAGCAUUACAUCUAAAACUGAAGGAAGAUUUUGAUUGAUUCCUCUUUAACUUCAAGCAUUAACCAUCUUCCUUCCAGUUUUCUCUUAACACAAAAUACAGAAAAAAAAAUUGAAGGAAAAAAGACAAUAAAAGAAAAAGCCUAUCCAUUUUCCUCACCAAAAAUUCUGUGUUCCAAUCGAGGACUAAGACGCAAAAAUCAUUUCUUUAUCCUUCCAUGACUUUCCUCUCACAUAUCUUCGAAAAGCCAACCGUAACCGCAGCGAGAGACGGUGAGGUUCGAAAUCAUCAAAGACGACGCCGUUGCGCUGUGGUACGGCUGCAUUGACUCCAAGCAUGCACUCAAUUCUACCGGACACCUUCAAAUUAUGAACAAAACAAAGCUUAAUCAGUAAAAGACUCAUGUACUCCGAGAACGGAGAAAUGAAUACAGAUAAGAGUAGAAACAAACCUAAAAAUACGACGGGAGAGAGGCUUGGAGGAAGGUGAACGGAAGGGAGAAGUAGAUGGUUUGGACUUAGUGGUAAGUCUGGCGGCGGCGCUGCGGGAGGCGUUUGAUCGGAGAAAGGAGCGCGCGGCCGCAGAUGCGGUGGCGACGACCAUGUUAAACCCUAUGGGGAGUGUUUCGGUGUAGUGAGUCUAGCCCAGCUACAGCCAGUCGAGUGGAUUUUUCAUUUUGUUUAUUGAAUUUAAAAUUUAAAAUUAUCAUUCUCAAUUUGAAUAGUUAUUAAAGCUUAUUCAGUCUAAAGAGACAUGAAAAAUUUUUCUUUCAAAAAUGUAUUAAAUGAGUAAAUUUAAUUAAUUUAUUGUAACCUUGUGGAGGAUUAUUUACUAAUUAUAAUAAUAUUUACUAAGGUAAGUUACUUUGUGGAGUUAAAACGAAAAUUAUACAAAAUGAAAAGAUAUAGUAUAUCUUUAGAAAAGAGAUAAAUGAUGACAAAAAAAGUUUGAUUUGACGAGGGGAAUUUUGUGUUUUGCAUUUGAUUCAUUAGUAGACAAAGAAAGCUUGAAUAAAAGAAUAAACUCGAAGAAGUUAUCACCCAUAUGUUUCCUGCAAUUGGAUGCCAAGGUCGCAUAUUUUUAAGACUAGGAAGUGUUGUUUUCCAACACAAAGGGGAAAGGAUGCAUAAAGAAGUGAAAAGUCGAUCAUUUCAAAUGGCAAUAGUAUAAUAUCAUCAGGAAUUCUCACGUAUCGCCUAUCAACAAAAUUCGAAUAUCGACAGUGAGAUUCAAUAUAUUUCUCAUAUCGAUAAUAAAAUUUGAACAUCCGACCUUUUAUGAGAAAGUAAUUUAUUCUUAUCAAUUGAAUCAACUUGUGUUGGUACAGCUACAGCGCUGCUAAGUGCAUUGUAAUCGGUUGUUUUGGCCUCCCUUGAAUCCAAAAAAAUAAUAAAAAAAAAGCUUCUACAAAAUUAACCAUACAGUCAAAUCAUAAUUGUAACAUUUUUCUUAGAAAAAAUGUAUUAAAACAAUUUAUGUAGUAAAGAUGAGAAUGAAUAAAAGUGUAAAAUUAUUAAUACCAUAUUUAUUCAAAAUUAGAAAGGCAUAAGACAGUAGGAAAGAACUUUUUCAAAGGUAGUUCUAGGAAAAUUGUUGUUCGGAUGACUAUCCAGAGGCAUGCAGAUAUGAUUAUUAGUAUUCAAAAUGCCAGUUAUACAACGCACCAGCAGUCCAUUGUCAGCCAGCCACAGGAAGAGGCUUCCUUGGGUUUAACAAUUUCCUGAGUCUAAUAGGAAGGUGCAACUUUGCAGGCUUAGUUUCCAUGCUGCAAGCGUAGGAAACCAGGGCGUAAUCCAUCCAGGGCGGAGCUAGCUGGGGACAAGGGACCCAACAGUCAUCAGGAAAAUUGUUCAGAGCGAUUUUGUGCAAAAUGCACAAGAUAUAACUUUGUAUACAUAUGAUGCAACUUACUUUCAAUAAUGUAUAAAUAUAGAACAAAUUUUUGUGAGUUUCACACGUAAUGUGAAAAGCUAUAUACAAGAUGUAAUUUGGGCCUUACAUUUUUUUUGACCCUUCGUCCUGGUCCGAGAUAGCGUCUGGUCAUAGGACAGAACUUCUACAAUUUUUAAUUUUUAACUUACUAAUUUAUAGUUGUGCCCCAACUAGCUAAAAGCAAAAUUUAUUUUAACUAGUGAGUUUUCUUUUUAAAAUUUAUUUUCCAGAUAAUUUGCAGAAAGUAAAUAUACGCAUAUGUCAAUAAUAAAUUGACAAUAUUUAUUAGUAAGAUAGACAAAUAAUUGACACAUUUCAUCACUUUGAUAGUGACUACAAGUACAAGGUUAAAGGAAUUUAGUUGAUUAGUAAAUUUUUAUAUACACCUAAUUUUAUACUUCAAUGAGUUAUAGAGCUUUAGCGGGUUACAGGCCUCCUAAAAAUUAGGUGUACAUUCACCCGCCGCCGGCCCUGUUUCUAAAUGGGGGAAAAAAAUUCCCCCUGCCUCGCCUUCCCCACCCCCCAAUUUGCUUUCUGCAGGAUGACUGCCUCAAUUGCCAUCCCUACUCUUAGAUCUUAUAAGUUAUAACUGCAUGCGUAUGCCUAUACUUGCUAUUAGUCAUUAUGUGAACAUUGAACAUUGCUCUUGCAUACUUCUAGUUACAGAAUAAAUUUUUUCUAGCUAUGCUCCACUGAAAAUUUAUUUAGACUCUGCCACUAAAUCUAUCCAAAUUCAAAUUAAAUGCAUCUGAACCAUCAAUUGCACCAUGCAAUUGUUUGGAUGAGAACCGUGCAGUUACUCGAUCCACUUACAGUGCCCAAGGCAUGUGGUUAUAUGAUCUUGGACAUGCCACCAUUAUUGGGCCAGAACUCUAGGCCCUUAUAACACUGCUUGACGUUGGCAUGUUAUAUUAGAAAAUAAACAUCUUUACGUUAGGGGUGUCAAUUCGGCUUUUUGAGCCGAACUUUAAUAAACAUCUCUAGGUUAGGCCUUUAUAUAAGGUUUCAGUUUCUUGCUUUUGAAUUUUAGUUCAAAUUAAAAGGUUGAAACUCAAUCCAGUUCCAGCGAUCAAUGCAUGUGGUUAUAUGAUAUUGGACAUGCCACCAUUAUUGGGCCAAAUCUCUAUCCCUUUGUAGCAUUAGGGUGUCAAUUUCGCUUUUUGAGCUGUAUGGCAAGUUCGGGCUUUGCUCAUAAAUUAUAUGGAUUUUUGAGUUUUGGAUUUUAGUACAAAUUAAAAUGUUCAAACUCAACUCACACUGUUAUGUGAAUUUCCGGCUCAAAAGUGGCUCACUUCAAACUCAUAAUUAAAUACGUAAUUAUAUAUAAUAUAUAUUCUAUAAUUAUGAAUUACUAUAAAUUUAUAUAUAAAUUAUUUAACAUUUUAUGUCACACACACACACUCUCGUGUGCAGGUCAGGUUUUAACGGGUUUAAGCCUAGCAUGACCAAAACUCAAUUCACAUUUAGUUUGGAUCUAAUAUUUAGACCAAAUUUUGUCCAAUCCAAUUAAAGCUAGACUCAAUAAUCCUUUUCAGGGUUGAAUGGGCAGAGUUCGGGUUGGCCUUGCCUCAUUGACCACUAUACUCCUCCGGGUGGAAUUGGAUUCACUCGUCAUAUGUAGAGAUGCAAACAAGUCGAAUCGAGUUGAAUUUUGGCUUAAUUGAGUUGAGCCUCAACAUAAUUUUACGAAACUCGAACUCGAACUCGAGUUUAACGAACUCAAAAUGUCAAGUUUGAGCUUAAGUCGAGCUCCAGCUUAAAAAAUAAAAAAUAAUUAUUUCAUUUUUAAAAAAUGACUAAAAUAAUAAUUUUUCUUUAAAAAAUAAUAAAAUAUUAGGAAUAUAUAUGUAAUUUUACUAUUAUAUUUCUAUAUAUAUAUAAUCGACUUCGAGCCAACACGCGAACUAACGAAUUUAGUAUUUUUGACCUCGAGUUCGAGGUCGAUUUCGACUUGGUCAACUCGAACUCGAUGUUGAUCGAUCUCGAAUCGAGUUCAGACUCGAAUUGCUCGUGAUCGGUUCGAUUUGUUUGCAACUUUAGUCAUAUGAUCUAGAAAAUUGAUAGAGAUUUACUGCGUGGAAAGUUUAGUCAUGAUCGAAAUUGGCAAUGUACACUGAAGUCUUAGCAUGCAAAUGGGAGCGAAAUUGCUCCCAAAUCCUCUUGAUGUUGUGAAUAUUAUGCGAGUAUCCGAUUUUUAGCAGUUUAGCGGGCUUUGCCCUUCUUUCCUACCAGAAAAAUAUAUAAAAAAGAAUUUGUUUUUUCUUUUCCUUCUUUUAUUUUUUCUUGUGCUAUUUGAUGUUCCAAGGUACAUUUCAGUUCGAUCUGGUUGGUAAAAUCUAAUAUAAAAAGCAGAAACCUAAACAAUUCUCAUCAAAGAAACAUAUACUCAUUUUUAUUAAUUUUGAAUCACAAACAACAGAUACCAAAAUAAUUCAGUUUUCAAUCAAAGUUAACUAAAAUAUACGAAAGAUUGAAAAAUUUCACGGCAUGAGCAUAUGGUUUAUGCUUGAAAAUAAGAAAAAGAACCAAAAAAAAGGUGAAAAAUGAUAUUUUAUGGUUGACAUUUAUUAUGGAGAGGCUUUUGAAAGUGAAAUUUGGGAUGCAGUCACAUAAACAUUUCCCUCGUACGACAAUAACUCCUUGAAAAUAAUUGUCGUAUCCAUUAUUUUUUGCAGUUCUAAAGUAAAAAUCAAUUUGUUAUACAGCCCAAAAAAUCUCCCAUCUCAAAAUAUGCACUUCAUGCAAAUAAAUUGUUUAAUUAAUCCCUUUUGAGAACUCUUAUUCAUCAGCCAUGCUGGUUAUUCUUUCUAAUAAUUUUUUUUAGCUUACUAAUUAAUCAACAAUUCCUCGUAUGGAAUACAUAGUUUACAAUUUCUAUAAAAAACUAGCAAUUCUUUUUCCAAUCUAACUUCUUAGCAAAUCCUUCAAAUUUACUCUCGCAGAAUCGAGAGCUAUACCAACAAGUGAAAUCUUCCUUUACAUUUUCGGGGACAUGAUUUUCCGUAACAGUGAAUUCUUAUCGCUUGCUUAUUCGUCAUUUCCAUCCAGCUUAUUUGCGAUUUCACCAAUGGAGCAAUGCCGACAAUUUUCUUCCUCUGGCUUAAAUUUUAUCACGUGGUCAUGCACGGAUGGAGAUUUGAGAUUUUUGUUUUGAUCUUCAAUUAUUAGCCGUACAUUUGGUUGAAGUAUGGCCAGUACUGAUUGCAAAACGAAAGCUAUCCCAGAUGUCACGCCAUUGACGGAGGAGCACAUUGGACCUCUUGAGACUGGGGGACCUCCACUUUACUUUCAUUUUCUUGUCACCUUUCAACUUUUUAUCCACUUGAACUAUUUAAAAGAAAGGUCCUUUGGAUUGGCUCGGAUGAUUUUGGGGUAGUCUAGUUAGAUCUCGAGGUCGUGUGUUCGAAUUAUUUCUCUAUCGCUUAUGUAUUCUUGGGAGGCAGGGUGCAGAAGUACAGAGACAUUAGUCCGACUCCAAAUUAGGAUACUUUCUGUGUUGACAAAAAAGGAGCUGUUUAAAUUGUCCACAAUAUAAACCGAUAUAGAUGGAUGAUAUAUUAUCCCAAUUUGGAGUGCAAAUUGAUUAACAAGUUAUCUAGUUGGCAAAUGAUAUUAUUACAUCCCAAAUUUUAUUGUGAUUAAAAUGAAAAACUCCCCCUCCAAUUUGCAUUUUGACUUAAGAAGGAAAAUUGUGAGUAUUUAAUAGACAAGAAUAGGUGUGGAAAUAAAAUUUGCACAAUCGCAUUAGAAGAAGCCUCACUCAUUGAGGUUGGAUUCUUGGUUGGUGGUGAUGCUAGUACUUAAUAAUAAUAAUAAUCUAUUUCUAUAUAUUUUGUUCACCCUCUCUCUAGCUGUGAAAGAAAGAUGAAAUCAUACACGAGGACUAUAACAUUGCAAAAUAUUUAUUGCUAUAUGAAUUUAAGUUACACCGGAUUGCAUUUUUUUUUUAAAUAAACGAAUAAUAUAGCUUUUGAAGAGCAAAAAAGAAUGAUGAGAAGACGUAUUCGAGAACUAUUCUGAAAUAUUUUUGCAAUAAAAUGAGCAUCACAAACACUAGAUAUAAGGUGGUGUUCACAUUUCUAAUUAUCUUUUCCUCUUCUAAAUAAUUGCUGCGAGUUUGCACAAGUUAUGUAUGUUAAACAAGUUAUUGAUCAUAGGGUGAACUAAUUUCAAAUUGUAGAUCCAAAACAACCUCGUUCAUUUGCAACUAUAAACAGCUGAGAAUGGAUAUUUGAAGUAAGAAUGCUCUAGCAAAUUGGAUGAAACGCAAUAAAUGGUCCUUUUUUAAUUAUUACUUUGUUUUUUCUUGGAGCAGAUGUCAAAUAGAUUGAUAUUUAUAAAUCUUUCUUGACUUGCUUGGUUGGUUUAGAGGAAGCAAGCAUCAUUAUUUUUUAUUUUGACACAUUAACUCUUUACAAUAACACAAGCAAAAAAAAAAAAAAAACUCAUGCUCAUAAUAUUCGCUAGUGGGACUUAAUUCUCUGUAAUUUGGUUGUGCAAUUUUGCAUGAUUGACAGGUAAAGGAUUGUCUAGGUCUUGAAUGCCUCAAUUACAACAUUUUGGAGAUGUAGCACGAGACAGAUUUUAUGUACUUGAACUUAAAUAACAUUUAAGAUUUUGUUAGAGGAUAUUAUUAUUUUUUAUCAUGUCCAAUCUGAUUAACACACCUGAUUUUACAACCAUUAUUUCAAGAUUAGAAGUACUUUUUUUUGUUGUCUUCAUCUCCCAUAGGUUUGCAUAAUCAAUCAAGUCCUCACUUAUGAGCUUGAAACAAAGCUAUGCUAAUUAUUGUGGAUGAAUUGAUUGAUUAUGAAUCUAUGACGAGUUUCUUUAUAAAAUCAAGAAAUGACAGUUCAAGAAAAUAAAAGCUUAUUGACCUUACGAUCUCAUAUACAUGUCCUUACUAUUCAAGGAAGUUUUUUUUUUUUUUUUUUUUUUUUUUUAUGGAGAAUAACUAGAAUGUCAAGCCAAAAGGAGGGGCUGGAAGUAGAGGAACGCGCGGGUUUAUGGGGUCAAGUGCAAGCUCCUACUAAGCUUGUAUUGAAACAAAAAAAUUUGGCACUGCCUGGUUUCUUUAGUGAGCAGUAACAUAAUUAAUUUUCACUUAUAAUUAAUUUUCUUUAGUGAGUAGUAACAUAGAUCAACUAUAAUGUUCAAUAAUUUGAUUACCAUCUUAGAAAGGCGUACCUUAAGUACCUUGAUCAUUAGCUUAAUAGCAAAUUAAUUAGUAUUGUUUGUAAUAUAUGCUGAUUUGAGUUGUUAGAUCAGAAGCCUAGUCAUGAUAGGAAAAAAAUUAUAACUAUUUAGGGUUAGCUAUUUUCAUAAGAAGUUUUCUUGGUACAUUAUUGUGUUGACAAGUUAUGAUCAAAGUUCAUUGGCUCAUAAUUACUUCAAGUAAUAUGAACUUAUGGAGUCCAGGCAAUUGAAGAGUGAAUUAUUGCGCGUUUUUCUUUUUCUUGGUAAUUAGUACUUCCAUUUGUGAAAGGAUAAUUUAGUCUAAGGCCUUAUUUGAUAUCUCAAUUUAGCACUUAAAUUGAAUUGGUUCAGAUCUUAAUAUGUUUAGACUUGUUUGAUAAGUAAAAAUAGAACAUCUUAAUUAAUUAAGUGAAUCUGAAUUAUCGAGGCAAAAUUUACUCUAAAAAAUAAGUGAUAAAUUAUUCAUUUAUCACUUAGGGUCUGUUUGUUUCGACUAAAAAGAUUUUCCAAAAAAUAUUUUCCGUGAUUUCCACUGUUUGGUUCAAUUUAGCGCUGAGAAAAUGAUUUCUCUCGUAAAAUCUUUUCCAUAAGUGGGUGUAAAAUAACUUCACUUAUAAACUUACUGAAGUUAUUUUCAACCGUCUGAUCCUGUCCCUUUUGUGCUUAGUUACAUUCAUCAACAUAAGAAGGAAAAGGACAUAGGAAAUAGUUUCGGUGGGAUUGUCCGAUAUCUCUCGGCAAAACAUCAUCGAUCCUUUCAUCGCCCCUCUAUUCAUUCCAUGUUAUUCCUCCUCUCACAGAAACGCAAUCCAACCUAUCGCACGUCCCAUUGCAUCUGCGUCGGACUUAUAGAAACAAUUAAGAUCUACAGAAAUAGGGAGGAUCUAAAGAGACUAAACAAGGAGAUUGGCAGCAUAACGAAAGAAGAGAUCUCAGAGGAGCUUUUACAUGAGCAAGAAAGUCUUUUAAGAUUGGCCACGGAGGAGAGAGAUGAACUAAUUCUAUAUAUCACCAACAAUGUCCAGCUUUUGCUUUGGAAAUUUCAAUCCAAGAUCUCCUAGAUCUUUGAAAGAAUUUUAGCGGUAAAAAUAUUCUUGUGAGAGUUGGUUAAUUUCAUUGUCAUCUUCAAUGUUUUAUGACUGAUUGGUUGAGCUGGAAAAUUGAUAUUGAUCAUUCAUGUGUCUAUUGCUUUAAUCUCCUCGGUCAAAGAAUGAUGGCAGGGGCGGUGUAUGUGGUGGAGGAAAGUUUUUUGUGGUGGAGACGAGAGAGGAAUGGUGGAGACGGCCGAUGGGAGAGAAUUUCUUGAUAUGGUGAGGAGUUGAAUUAAUUACUCAUGAGGACAAAUGUUUUCCGAAAGUAACCAAACAGAUGAAAAUUGGAAAGAAAACAAAACUUUUCCCAGAAAAAGGCUUCCAAUGAAAUUAUUUUCCCAAAGAAAAUAUUUUACAUCCUACCAAACAGACUCUAAAUGCAGAAUAGACUCAAAUAUUAAGAUUCAAUAACUUAAUAGAUUCAGAUUUUAAUAUCUUAACAAUUCAAUAGUUUAACAUAUUCAAAUUUCAAUUUUAUCAAACGCACCCUAAGUCCAAGUAAGGGUCAGAAAUUAUUUAUAACGCUUGGCUGAGUUCCUUUUUUCAUGUUUUUCUACCCUUAAUCCUCGAAUAAAAAGCUUACUUCGUACCAUUCCCGUUCUUAGUUAUUCAUUUAUUACCUACAAAAUAGAAAAUAGAAAAUGCACUUAACCUAGUAGCUAACUGGUAAAUUUCUUGAACAUUCUUAAGGUAAUUGAAAGACUAAUGAAUGAUGUCAUACUACAAACCAAGAUGGAAGUAAGUGCAGGGACAGCUGAGCCAGGAUUGAAAUGGAAAUGCAAUGCAAGUGACAAAAAUCUUGUAACGUGGCUGAUUUUUUCUUUGUUUUCUUUUUGAAGUAAUAAUAAACUAGAUAAUACUAAUGAGAAGCAAGGUUACAAACGUACGGUACAAACGUGGGCUGAUUAGCUCCUUGUCAUCAGGUGAUUCAUUGUCCAUUUAUGUCACAUUCGACGCCAAUUUGCCCCAUAUCCGUAAAAGUCUUUGUCCUUCUCAACACUACUGUUUUCUGCAUUAUUGCGCCACGAUUACAAAAUCUCGACCUACUCCACGUGCAAUUUUCUUAGCCGUUCUUUCUCUCCUUUUUUUUAUAUGAGGCCUACUUUUUUUUGUUAUAAUUAUUAUUAUACAAAUGGCAAACGAAAUUAUCGAAAUAUAAUGGAAAGAAAACCCAACCGAUCUUUUAAGACAUUAAAGGAAAAGAUCCAUCUAAACAAGCGUGAUGACUCGUAAGUGUAGUUUGGUUUUGAUUUACAGUUCAAAGUAGGGGUGUGCAAAAUCGAAAAAUUUCGAUUUAUCGACUGAAUUCGAAAUUUUUGAAAUCGAUAAUUUGAAAUUCGGCACUGAAAUCGGAAUUUUCAAUUUCGAAUUAUGUGAAUUUGGUUCAAAUUCGGUAAUGGAGUUUUUGAAAUCGGAAAUCGAAAUCAGAAUUUCCGAUUUCAAUUUCGUUUUAUAAUAUAUAUAUUAAUAUUUUUUAUUUAUAUAUAAUAAUAUUUUUUAUUUCAAUUUUGUUUUAUAAUAUGUAUAUUAAUAUAUAUUUAUGUAUAUAACAAUAUUUUAAUAAUAUAUUUAUAUAUAAUAAUAUUUUUUAUAAUAUAUGUAAUAUAAAAUUUAUAAUAUAUAACAAUACAUCUAACAAAAAAGAAAAAAAAGGGAAAAAAUGUUUCUGAAUUCGGAAUCGAAAUCGAAAUCGAAACUGGUGAAUUCGAAAUCGAAAUCGGUCGGUAAUUCCUAUACCAAAAUUCCGAAUUCAAAUUUUCGAAUUACCGAAUUCGAAUUCGAUGCACACCCCUAGUUCAAAGAGUAAUUUUAGAUUGUACUUUGAGUGGGUGUCAUCUUUUUUUUUUUUUUAAUAUAUUUAGUGGGAAUCUAUUCAAAAAAGUUUAAUAGCUUCACUCACGUUGAGUCAAUAUUAGAGUGGAACAAAAACUCAAAGAAUUUUUUAUAUCUCUUCAUAAUUUUUCAAAUCUAUUAUAUCUGUAAAAUUGCAUCUCUAGAAUUUUUAGUGAAUGUUUAACCUGUCAUUAGAACAAUGAUCCAAAUAAUUUUCAGCAAUUUGUUAAUCAAAUUUACUUUUUAUGAAAAAGAACAACCUAAAGAAUAAUACACCGACAAAAAAGGCAAACCUUAUUUGCACUCUAGGAAAAAUGCCUGGUACUUCAACCAUUGUUUUUGAGUUCCAAAAAUAUCUUUGCCAUCAGCUGCUCAUGGUGGUCCUUCUGCCAAAGUCAUGGUUGUUGCUCUUUCAAAUCAAGAUCAACUUUUCUCAUGGACGGUAAUUCAACAUAGCUUUCUACCUCAAAUAAUUUCUUUUUGGUUACAAAUUGUAACUUACAAUGUCACAACGUUUUUUUAAUAACCCAAACUAGCCCCAAGAUUUAUGUUUAGCCUCAAUGCAUCCUAGUAUCACCAAUGAUAACCACCAAUUGGCGUGUAAAUUAGUAACAGUCCUCUUCAAACAAUCAUCACCUAAUUUUGACAAAAUCUAACUCUUAGUACAUAGAAUAUUUUUUUAAUCUUUAAUAAAUAGAAAAAAACCAAUUUUUCCAAAUACUUGCACAAGAAAAAAACCCAAUAAUAAAACAAACUAUUGAACGAGUUUUUUUUUUCUUUUAACUUUAUCCUUCCAUAUCUUGGAUUACCUGUACUCAGGUGCUCCUUAACAUCGCAAGUUUGUUAAUCUAGUUGUGGUGUAAAAUGACAGUGAAUUAGUUGUCAAUAUUUAUUUGAUUGUAUUAUUAAUAUAUUUUUUAAUUAAUUUUUUAUUUUACAUACAUCACAUCAAAAAAAAUAUUAUAAUAUUUUUUUAAAAAAAUUAUCUCAAAAACACAUUCAUUAUAUUUUGAAUAUUAAAAGGAGAGUCACCACCUGUCACUGAACUUAGAUGCGUUUGCCGUAAUUUUUGACGUGUUGGUUUAUGGGACAUGGACAAUGAUGAAGAUGCUGGCUAAUAGCGCCACUGAAAGCGCGAAGACAAAAGAAAAAAGUGGAGAUGGUUUCGUCCGUUGAAACAUAUAUAUAAUGGGGUAAAAUACACUUUACCCCUAUAAUUUAGUACUUUUUUACAUAAUUUUCUGGGAAUUUAAAAAAUUAUAUAUAACCCCCUUAUAAUUUAGUCUAAAAUAUCAAAGUAACGAAAUUUAUAUUUUAUAAUGAAAUCAACUAAAAUGUCAAAAGUUCUCUUCUAUAAAGUUGAAAAUUAUUAAUUAAUCAAAUAGGGGUUAUGUAUAUAUUUUAAAAAUUAUAAGGAAAUUAUGUGGUAAAUUAGUAAACCAUAAGGAGUUAUGCAAUAAAACACAAAAUCAUAAGGGGUUAAAGUGCCAUGUAUAUUACAUUUAUAUAUUUUAUUUAUUUUAGCCAUUUUAGUUUUUAAAUAAGGAUAUUCUAGACAUUUCUUUGGGUUCUAUUAUAUAGAAUCAUUUUCAUCACUUUGAAACUUUAGUCCAAAUUAUGAGGAAGUUUUGUAUAACUUUUAAAAUUGCGAGAGGCUUAUAUAAAAAAUUGCUAAACCACACAGGGAUAAAAUAUAUUUUACCCUAUAUAAUUUAGUAACCAAUAAGUUUUAGAAACAUUUCUGGAAAUGCGAAUAUCAUUUGCUUUAAAAAGAAAAAGGCAUGAAAGACUAACUAAGCAAUUGUAUAAAAGGCUUCUAUAUUGGGGUUUGUAUUUCUGUUUUUAAACUCGGACUGGACCGAUUGAACCAAAAAUCGAUCAAUUAUCCGAUUCGAGUUAACUUAAAAAACAGGGAAAUUAAAAAUUCAGUCAAAUCAAAUCAAAAUCCGAAUUUGACCAGAAAAAAUAAGAGCCGGGAUUCCACCAUGAUCUCAGAUCUCACGCAAGGAAAGGAAAGAGAGGGACCCGCAUCUCCUUGGCUCCAUGUGCCCAGCCAAAAUCCCAAAACGCAACACACGAUUUUUGUAGUGGGACAUGCAUGCACAGUUGGUUACUGCUAUAGUGCUGCUACAUCCCUGGCCACAACUCGCUUGCACGUGUUCAUACAACAUCCAUAUCUUCUUGCUGCCCCCUCUCCAUGCAUGUAUAUAGACUCUUUUUUUUUUUUUUUUUUUACUUUUUUUUGAAAGGUCAAAAUAUUUUUAAUAUUAUAUUUUGAUCUCUAGGUUAUUAAAAAUUAUUAAUAUAUCUCAAAUAUUUCAUACUUUAUCUUAAAAUUUGGUAUUGUUUUUUAAUUAAAUUCAUAAUUUUAAUUCUAAACUUGUUAAUUCUCAUUAAAUAAUAUAAAUUGCUAUUUGAUUGUUCUAAUUUCUUUGUAUUUUCUUAUUAAAUAUAUUUGAAACAUCAAAUAUAUAAAUAUACCUUUAUUAAUAUUAACAUGUUACUAGGUAUUUUACAUAUAAUAUUUUAAUUUUUAAAUAAUUUUUAUUUAUGACAUCAUCCGGUUCAACCCCGAUCGAAUCCGAUUGAACCCAUUGACCCCUGAGCUCGAAUGAGUCGAUAUCCGGUCCGGUUCUGAAAACAUAGGUUUGUAUGAGUAUUGCAUUUACUAGUACUUGGCCUAAUGCACAUUAUCUAUCUGAGGUUGCAAAUUACAAACAUUAUUGUAUAAAUGGAUACGAGAAAUUCCGGAGUGUACGUGCAUUUGAACAUUUCAAUCCAAUUCAUGAUAGACAGCUGAUAGCGAUAAUUCAUUACCACAAAAGGACAGACAGAUUAUCAAACACUUCAGAAAUGUGCUAUGGAUUUUGUAAUGUCCAGAGACACAUCUAAAAUUCAUCUAAUCUACACUACAAUUAUUAUCUUCAUUUACCUUUAUAUACUUUUCCUAUUUAAUCUUACCUAUCCUUCUUUAUAUUUAUUUAAUUUUUUAAUUAAUUUUAUAUUUUAAAAAAUAUGACACCUAAGAUAUAUUUUAAUGUUAGACAGACCUUUUGACUAUUUAAAUUUGAUGUAUCCCAAAUUAAAUUCACCAUAUGGGAAAUAUAGAUAGAAUUCUUCUAUUUUGUGGCUUUGUGACACAAGAUAUAAUGUGGGUCCCAUUUAAAUUUCGAAUGCUAAAAUAUAUAUGGGCUGUAGAUGCCGUUAGAAUUUUAUGGUGAACUCAUCUCUUUGUUUUGUGUGUUUAUCUUGUACCUUUAUGGCACAAUAUAGAAAAAAAAGAAAGAACUAUGAUUUCCACUAUUCGAUGCGGUUAAUGUUUAAAAUGCACAGCCACCUUGGUAAUUUAGAGUAGAGAAAAAUGCAAUUUUGGUAUUCAAAUUUUGACACGUGAGCGGUUUUAGUUCCCAAACUUUGGAUAAAAGCAAAUCUGAUGCCCAAUUUUUCAACUUUUGAGCACAUUUAGUAUCCUUGACGAUUUUCCUAAAUUGCUACCGAAAAGAGUCACGUGAUAGUUACAUGUCUGGCAACUAUUGUAUAAAAAAAUGACUAAAAAAAGUAAAAUAUCCUUCUCACACUAAGUUUAAGAACUAAAUUUUAUGUUUUUUGGCAUUUUUUUUUUUACAAUAGUUGCCAGACAUGUUACUGUUACGUGACUCUUUUCGAUAGCAAUUUGAGAAAAAUCUAUCAAGGGCGCUAAAUGUGCUCAAAAGUUGAAAGAUUGGAUACCAAAUUAGCUUUUGUCCAAAGUUUGGGAGUUAAAAUUGCUCAUAUGUCAAAGUUUAGAUACCAAAACUGUAAUUUUCUUUUUAGAGUAACAUAAAGUCGCCAGGCACAUUCUCAAUAAUUACACCAAGGACAAACAAAAAGUUACACUCAAAAUCUUCUAUAAAAGGGAAUGCAAGUGAGGUAUUGAGAGGCAACAAACUUCAAAUCUUCUGGCAUCUCAUUCUUCACCCACGCAUUUCCUCAUCACCAAGGAUGGCAUCAACUUUACGGUCAAACUAUGUUCCAAUCUUUGUUAUGCUCCCGGUUAGUCAUAGCUUCUCUUAUCAUCUCUAUUGUCUUUUGCAAAUAGAAAAUGAACAUACCCUGAUCAAGAAAAGAUGUGUGUGUGUGUGUAUAUAUAUAUAUAUAUAUAUAUAUAUUUUAGGUUUACAAAGCAUGAUAUAUACAUUUUCACUUUUGUUAAUCACGAUCAAUAACAUAUAGAAUGUGAUCUGACUAAUGGUCUUUUUUGUCUUUUUUUUUGGUGGUGACAAUAGUUGGGAGUUGUUAAUGUUAACAAUGUUUUUGAAGACCCGGAGACUCUUGAGAAGCAGCUGAAGAAGCUGAAAGAAAUUGGAGUCGAUGGCAUCAUGGUAGAUGUUUGGUGGGGACUCAUUGAGAACAAAGGGCCUAAGCAGUAUGACUGGGCUGCUUACAGAAGCUUGUUUGAGCUUCUUGUGAAAAUUGGCCUGAAAAUCCAGGCUAUCAUGUCAUUCCACCAAUGUGGUGGCAAUGUUGGAGAUAUUGUUACCAUCCCACUUCCCAAAUGGGUGCUCGCAAUUGGAGACAAAGUCCCUGAUAUCUUCUACACUAACCGAUCUGGUACCAGGAAUCCGGAGUACCUCUCAAUAGGUGUUGAUAAUGAGAAUCUUUUUCAAGGUCGGACUCCUGUGCAGGUAAGACAUGUGACAGCUUCUUGAAUUUGAUCACAUUAGCCAAUUGUGUUAUUCUUGAGCAGAUUUUUUCUUGAAAGCAGGACAGAAUCAUCAGCUCUUGAUCCUUUCAAAGCUGGAAAUGAUCGAUACUGAUAUGAGAUAUCUAGUUCAGUGUCUUUCAACUUCAGUUCUAGACUGAUAGUCUGUUAAUAUUUAGUACAUGAUAUGAUAAUGGAUCAGCUUUUGGUCGUGAGUUUUGAUUUAUCCCAGCUCAAUGGAUUCAGAUCUACAGUGACUAUAUGAAGAGCUUUAAAAACGCCAUGGCAGGCAUUUUCGAGGCUGGACACAUAACAGACGUUGAGGUAGGGCUUGGUCCAGCUGGAGAGCUGAGAUAUUCUUCAUACCCAGAAACACAAGGAUGGAAAUUCCCUGGAAUUGGAGAAUUUCAAGUGAGUCUAAUUCAAACAAAUCAUAUUCUGUAUCACUUAAUCUAUUAAGUUCCUUCAAGCUAAUUUUUUUUUUCACUCCAAUAUUUGAUGGUGUGCAGUGCUAUGACAAGUAUUUGAAAGCAGAUUUUAAAGCUGCUGCAACAAAAGCGGGGCACCCUGAAUGGGAUCUUCCAGAUAAUGCUGGAACAUACAAUGAUACACCAGGUGAUACAGAGUUUUUUGCAACUAACGGGACCUAUCGCACCGAAAAAGGGAGGUUCUUCUUGACAUGGUACUCAAACAAGCUUAUAGAACACGGAGAUCAGAUUCUCGAAGAAGCCAACAAAGUUUUCAAUGGAACCAAAACCAGGCUAGCUGCAAAAGUGAGUAGCCAAUUAUUGCAAUUUGAUGCCUACUGCUUUCAGCCACUGGCGAAGCCACAUAUAGUUGAGGGUGGGCAAUUGCCCCCUCUCAACUUUGGUAAAAUCAUAAAAUUUUGUGCAAUUACCAUUUAUAGUUGCAUUACCCCCUUAACUAUUAAGAUAUCAUAGUGAUUAUCUUUUGAUUGAUGGACCUACUUCAAGUUAUAUAAUGAUUGAUCCAUUUGGAUUAAAAGUUAUUUGAAAAAUUUUCUUUACUAUUGUAAAUUUUUUUAUGUGAAAUAUGUGAGAUGGAAAAAAUAUUGGAAAACGUGUGUUUAAGACACAUAAGAAAUACUUAUUUUUAAAUUUUUUAAUAAUUUUUUAUGUUCCUAACUCAAAUAAGUAGAAUGAUCUUAUAGUCAAAAAAAUUAGAUUUAAUGGUACAUAUAACUAAGGAUUAAUCUUUCCUACACUGACAGUGUAUACACUAUCAGCGUUGGAUGAUUGACAAUUAUACAAAUUUUGAAUUUGAAAUUCAACUUUUGCACACACGUCAUGAAUCCAACGAUGAUAGUGCAUACACCGUUAGUGUAAGAACGAUUUACUCUAUAACUAAUAUGUCUAUCAAACAGUCUUAUCACAUCGGACAAGAUAGUUGCAAAUUACACCCGCUGAUUUAGGGUCUUGGCUCCGCCACUGCAUGCUUUCAGCCAUCUGCUGAGGAGCACAUGCAACUAUUCUCAAGUUUUUUUUUCUUUUGUUUACUCAAAUAGGUUUCUGGUAUCCAUUGGUGGUUCAAAGAUCAGUCGCACGCUGCUGAGUUAACUGCAGGAUACUACAACUUGGACGACAGAGAUGGUUACCGACCCUUGGCCAGGAUGUUAACCAGGCACUAUGGUACUCUAGAUUUUACUUGUCUUGAGAUGAAGGACUCUGAACAACCAGAAACUGCUAAAAGUGGUCCACAGGAACUUGUUCAACAGGUUCGUGCAUGAUUGUUACAUAGCAUAGCAUAAAUUAAUACAAUUUUGUUCACUUCAUAUUACAAAGCAAAACCAGUGAUGUUUACAGGUUCUGAGCGCUGGCUGGAGAGAAGUCAUUGAUGUUGCAGGUGAAAAUGCACUUUCUAGAUAUGAUGCCACCGCUUACAAUCAAAUGCUACUGAAUGUUAGGCCAAAUGGGGUCAGCAAAGAAGGCGAACGCAAACCGAAGAUGUCCGCAUUGACUUACCUUCGCCUGUCAGAGGAUUUAUUGUCAAAGGAAAACUUCAGUCUGUUUGCAUCAUUUGUGAAGAAAAUGCAUGCUGAUUUGGUAGUGCUGCAGCUUUUAUUUUAUCAUCCCCUCUCCAUCAUGAUUUUGAGUGACAAAAUGAAACACAACAGACUGCUUUUGCUAUACUAACUGUUGUAUUCUUACGUUUUCUUCAGGAUUAUGUCCCAAAUAUAAUUGACUUAACUCCAUUGGAGCGAUCAAAGCCAAAGAUCCCAAUUGAAAAACUUGUGGAAGCAGCUACACCAAAAUUGGAGCCCUUCCCAUGGGAUAGUGAGACUGACCUGCCCGUUGAGUCUUCCUGAUCAAUUGGGCAUCAAGCACCAGCAACAUCAUUUGAAUAAUAAAUUCAGGCACCACUCUUUGUUAGUAAAAAAAUAAUUCUGCACUUCAAGAAAAAUAAGUUUGAGUAGCCAGAGAUUGAGGUGCCUGCCUCUGAAUCCUAUGUACGUAUGAAGGUAGUUAAAUAUCCGUGUUGUUGUCAUUUUCAUGCUGUUUGCUGUACUGUGGUUUCGUUCUGUAAUGUUAAUAAAUGUGUAUUUUGAGCCAAAAUGAAGUCAUGAAGAAGCUGAGAACAUUUUCCCUUUUUAACUUGAAGUUGACCAAGCCAAGAACUUUUGAUGCUGGAAAUCCUAAUAAGGUGGUAUUAAUUAAACCACUAUGCAUAGGAGGUGAAAAACAAUAUUAAUAUGUCUCUACUUUAUCCCUAACAUACAAUUUUCACAUUCACAAAAUCAUUUAAAGUUCAUCUGUUAAAUUAAUAAAGGAAAAGCUAAAGUCGGUCUAGAGGUAUUUGGGUUUGUAAAAAGGUAGUCCCAUCUCCAACCAAAAUGCAUAGAAUGAAAUUAUUUACUAAGGCAUCUCAUAUAUAGGGAUUAUUUAUCCUAAGAUGACUUAACCCAUGAUUUAUAAUCUGUGAAUAAGCAUUCCUACUUUAUCCAAUCCGUGCACCAAAUGUAGCCUAGCAGCGAUUAAUUCACCAGGCUAAGCAAUGGACACCAGAAAAGAACUUUACUACUAAUGGUAAAAUACUAGGAAAAGUAGCAAUUAAUAUACAGCUAAUGGCUAGAGAUGUCAAAAUGGAUUAACGGAUCAUUAAUGGUUGAUCAUUAACUUGAAAGGCUAAAUUCUUAAUUUUGAAACUGAAAAGAAUGGAACCAAAAAAAGAUUAAAAAAAAAAAAGGGCCUUCAAUUGAAAGGAAGCUUUUCAGCCAAACCCCAACCCUAUCCAGACCUCAUAUAUUCUCUCUCCAGGACUAGAAAGCUCCCCCUUAAUGCAGAAAUUUUCUCGAAAUCAUUCUCUUGCUACUACUAGGUGAAUAGAUAAUUGAGAUCUUUACUUGUAAAACCUGUUUUUUUUUUUUUUUUAUCUAUUUCUUAUUUUAGCACCAAAAAAAAUUGUCUUUCUUGAUAGUCUCCUGCCAAUUACCUUCAAACCAUAUGAUAUUGCAUUUCUGCAAUAAAUACCGCGAUAAUCACAACUUUCAACAUUAGCCUGACAAAGCACACACGAAACUGAUGCAACAACACCAUAAUUAAGAAGCUUAUCAUCUUGGGUUGAUAGUCUCUCUUGAACAGCUAACCAAAGGACGAAGGAGUGAUGGGGAAUAGCUUUUGGCUACCAAACAAUGUUGGGCCAAGUGGUUUUCGGGUACAUGAUCUAAAAACUUGAGAAAAUUCUUUCUUUGCAUUUUUGGGUACAUGAUUUUCAGUGGAUUUUUAUUGCAUAUUCGUUAUUUCCAUCCAGCUUAUUGUGAUUUCUUCUAUGGACGAAUGUCGAAAUUUUUUUUCCCUUGGCUUAAAUUUUAUCAUGUGAUCAUGCAUAGAUGGAGACUUGAGAUUUUGUUUUGAUCUUCCAUUAUGAGUCGUCCAUUUUAUUUUUCAGAUAUGGCUGAACUGAAACUGAAAGCAAAGCGAAAGCUGCCCGAGAUGCCCUCAUUGGCGGAGCGCAUUAAUUGGACCUCCUGAAACUGGGGGACCUCCAUUUUAAUUUCAUUUUCUUGUCACCUUUCAACUUUUUAUCAAGCUGCAUUUACUAUUCGAAAAAAGGGAAAUCUCCAAAUUGUCCAUAAUGUAAAUCGAUAUAGCAAGUAUUUUUUUUAGAUAUAGCAAGUAUAGACGAUAUAGUCCAUAAUGCAUAGACUUGCUAAUACAAGAUAAUUCAAUUGAUAAGUACGAGCUACUUCCUUUACGAAGAUCGCGUGUUUAAAUUUCAUUGUCGAUGUGAAAAUCGUAUUGAUAGGUGAUUUGUAAGAAUUUUUAUAAGUGAUCUAUGAUUUUCAGAGAUAUGCUCUGAUCCAUAGUGGUGAUCGAAUCCGAACCCACCUAAACUUUUGAGCAUUUAGAGCAAGAAGUAUCCUUUUUUGGACUGGAAAUUGAUUAACAAGUUCUCUCGUUUCAAAUGGUUUUGUCACGGUCCAAAUUUUACGUUCUAAACAAUAUUGAAUAAAUGAUAAAAUUUACCAUUUGAAGUCCAACUUGCAUUUUGGCGUAAGAAGUCGAAAUUUGCUUGACGAGAUGACGAUUUCACGACAAUUCCACGUCGUUAGUUUUUGUGUAUGUUUCUAUUCGAUCAAGGGGUAAUUGAUAUCUCUAUUGACGGCCUAUGGCUAGAUUAGAGUCGGACGGGUCAUGUUUGAGACUACUAAGAAAUCUUAGAAAGAUUAAUUAUUGAGGCAUUCUAAAAGAGUAAAUUUUAUAUUAACUGUUAGUGUAUACACUAUUACGGUUGGAUGGAUAGUACAUGAACAAAUUUUAUAAAAUGCCUCUCUUCUGUACUAUUUUGUGUUUUUUUUUUACCUAGUUUCCUUUGCAUUUCGUACUUGACUCUCCUUAGAUGUUAAAAGGAAACAUCAAGAUUGCACUCUCUUUUCUUUUUAUUCUUCAAAAAAUCAAACUUUGCCUAGUUUAUUUUGUAAAACAACCUCAAUUUUUCCAUUAAGAAUAUAAUUUUCGAUACCAAACCUAGACAAAAAAAAUGAUACUAUUUUUAUUACGGUCCAUAAAAAUGGAAGAGUUAUUUACGAAAAUCCAAAAAUUACUGCUCACACUCACCAAGCUUACUCCAAUCUUGCGCCCUUAUGGUACAAAUUCAAACGCUUAAAAACCCAAAUUACAUUUCUAUGCUAUUAGCCCAUAACCAAUUGAUGUGUGUAAAAUGCCAAUACAAGGGUGUCAUGUUGUCAAGAAAAUUAAUUUCAGUCAAUUACCACUCAUGCUGAAAACGCACACACUUUUGCUAAGCAUCGCGCCUACUUUUAUUAGACAUGAAAUCAAAUAUUAAAGGAAAAAAACCCAAUGUACAUUAGAAAUUGUCAGCCCAUAACAAUAAUGUGAUAUGUGUAAAUUGCGAAACAAAUUUACCCUAUUGUCAUGUAGCUUCAUUUAUUGGGCUAAUUUCUUAGAUUAUACGUAAAAAAAAAAAAAUCCGCCAAAUGUAUCUCUGACAAGGGGCAUUUCUCAAACUGACUCAGCACGGCCGCAUAAUAAAUUUAAAUUUUUUUUUUUUGAAAAGUCAGCAAAGUCAAAAUGUUCAUGGCAGUCAUUUUGUCAGCUGCGGACGUGCUGACUGGGCACGUCCGCGCCUGACAUUUUUGAUGAGGCUCUCGCCUCUCUUUUUUAGCGGUGAAAAUCCCCAUGCUUGUGCAAUUAUGUGAUACUGCCAAUCCUUCAAGCUGCUUCUCUUCUUUUUCUGUUUCUUUUUUCCGCACCUAAAGUUGUUAACUUAAGUCUAGUUUCUAAAAUUGUUAAAUUAAAAUCCUAAACUUAUUAAAUUUACUAAAACCCCUAAUUAUAAUUUAUAUCUAAUUAUAUUGCACAACAAAAAUCCUAAAAUCUUUUCGAGUUUCAAUUUCAAUUUUUACAUUUGAACUGAAUAUUUGCAGUAUUAUUUGAUGAAUAUUCUCCUAAUACUUCUUUUACAUUUAUGCAUUACUAGAGAGGAUAUUUCAUUAUAUAUUGAGUUGUCAUAAAUUUCUUUAAUCAGAUUUGUAUUCAAUAUCUACUAAAAUGUAAUUGGUUUGAAAAUUUGAACAUAGCACAUUAUACCCAUUUAAUUUUUUUGCAAAAAAUUUUAUAGUAAACGAUAACACGAUUUGAGUGAUAGAAAUAAAUUAAAAGAUAGCUUAUUCCCUUGUUUUGAGGAAUUGCAUAUAAUGAAAUAUUAUAUAUUAUAUAAAUAUUUAUAUAAUGAAAUAUACAAUAAAUAUUACAAAUUGAAAUAUUAUAUGAACACCAUAUUUAUAAUAUUAUAAUAUUUAUAAUUAAUAUUAAUGCAUAUUAUAUAUAUUAAAUAUUUAUAUAUUAUAUAUAUUAAAUAUUUAUUUAUACAUAUUAUAAAUAUUUUAUUUUAUUUAAAAAAUAUUUUUAUAUAUUUAUAAUGUAUUUAUAUAAAUUAUAUAUAAUAUAAUAUAAAUUAUAUAUUAUAUAUUAUACAUUCAUAUAAAUGUAUAUUUAUACAUAAUAUAUAUUAAUGUAUAUUUAUAAUUUACAUUUAUAUUAUGUAUUAUAUAUAAUAUAAUACAUUUAUAUUAAUAUACAUAAUAUUAAUUUUACAUUUAUACAUAAUAUUAAUAUAUAUUUAUAAUAUAUUAAUUUAUACAUUUAUAUAAUAUUCAUUUAUAAUUUAUACAUUUAUAGUAAUAUAAACUUAUACAUUUACAAAUAUAUUUAUAUUAUGUAUUAUAUAUAAUAUAAUACAUUUAUAUAUUUUUAUAUAAAUAUAUAAAUAUUUAUAAAUGUAUUAUUAAUAUAUAAAUGUAUAUUUAUAUAAAAUUAUAAAAAUUAUAAUUUAUACAUUUAUAUAAUAUUCAUUUAUAAUAAUAUACAUUUAUAAAUAUAUUUAUAUUAUGUAUUAUAUAUAAUAUAAUAGAUUUAUAUUACAUUUAUAUAUUUUUAUAUAAAUAAAUAAAUAUAUUUAUUUAUAAAUAUUUAUAAAUGUAUUAUAAAUGCAUAAAUGUAUAUAAAUAUAAAAAUUUUAAAUUAUAAAAAUACUCAAAAAUAUGUUUUAAAAAUACCUCUAAAAAUAAUCUAAAAAACAUUAACAGUAAAAAUUUUUCAUAUAGUUUUUGAAAAACAACCUCAAAAAUAACUAAUUCAAACGGACUUGUAAUUCAAAAAUAAAAUACUACAGUAUUAUUUUUGAAAAUAACCCAAAAAUAGCUAAUCCAAAUAGACUAUUCAAUUUUAAGAGCAAAGGAUUUGAAAGACAAGCAGGGGUGGAAAAAAGAAACAGAAAAAGAAGAGAAGCAGCUUGAAGGAUUGGCAGUAUCACAUAAUUGCACAAGCAUGGGGAUUUUCACCGCUAAAAAAGAGAGGCGAUAGCCUCAUCAAAAAUGUCAGGCGCGGACGUGCCAAGUCAGCACGUCCGCAACUGGCAAAAAGACUGCCAUAAACUUUUUGACUUUGCUGACUUUUCAAAAAAAAAAAAUUUAAUUUAUUAUGCGGCCGUGCUGACGGCCGCUAUAGUUUGAGAAAUCACCUUGUCAGAUAUACAUUUUGACGGAUUGUUUAUUGUUUUUUUUUUUUACGUAUAAUCUAAGAAAUUAGCCCAUUUAUUGUGGGCCUCUUUUGUGCCCAAGUCACACGUUCGUUGCAAAGGAGAAAAAUAUGUCAAUGAGGAGAUGGAGAUGCGGGGUAUCGAUCCCCGUACCUCUCGCAUGCUAAGCGAGCGCUCUACCAUCUGAGCUACAUCCCCGGGCGAGUUUUGAUGCUUAACAAUAUCUUUUAUUGCUUACAAUCUGCGGCCUCCCAAUCCUUCAAACACGUCAUUGUUUCCUAUUGCUGCAGGUGUUGAGCUGCAUGGCAUGCGGACCUGUGCUGCUGACAACUUCUUCACUCUCAAUGGAAGUGAAGGGAAUAUUCCUUCAAGUUUAUUCUCCUCCUUCUUGUUUGUUUUUGCCGUGGGAUUUUAUGCACUUGAAUGCAUUUGUCUUCACUUCUUACUUUUCUUUUUUUUUUUUUCAUCUUCUUGUUUGCUUAUUAUUUGCGUGCAGGGUUCGUGCAUUCAGGGUCUGGGUUGCUAGCGGAAAAGCAAAGCCCAGAAACUCCCCAGUGUAAGAAAUAAUUCAAUUUUUUUGGGGUUAAUUCUCGAUAGAAGAAGAGAAGGGAAUAUUCCUCCAAUAUUAUUCUCCAUUUUUUACCACCAUCAUUCUAUCUACUUGAAUGCAUGUAUCACAACUUCUUACUUUUUUUUCCCCUCUUCUUGUUAAUUAUUAUUUUUAAUGCAGGGUAAGUUCAUUCAGGGUUUGGUUGUGCUAGCUCAAAACUAGUAGACUCAGAAACUCCUCAACGUAAGAACCAAUUCAACAUUUUUAGAAUUAAUUCUCAGUGGAAGAUAAAGGAAUAUACCUCCAGGAUUAUAUAUUUUCUGUUUUUUGUUUUUAAUUUCCUCCAAGAUUUUAUGUACUUGUAUGCAUUUAUCACACUUCUUACUUUUUUUCCGUCUCUUGUCUACUUUUUGUUUGGGUGCAGUCUUCGUUCAAGGUCUGCCUGUGAUGGCUGAAAACUAGAUUCAAAAUCUUCCGAAGUCAAGCACAAUUUCACGUUUUAAGGUAGUUUUUUGCGGUAAUUUUCGUAAUUGAUCGAUUGACAUGCAUGCAUGUUUUCACUUAGAGUAGUGUGUUUUAUUGAUGAUGAAAAUGUCUGAGGUAUUGCUGAAUUUUGAUGAUUUAUUUUAAUGUGAUUGACUGAUUGAUAGUCAUUUAGCAUAUUUUACUGUGAACAUUGUAGUAGAUUGAACUUUUGUCAUAAGAAUAAAGACUAUGGAAAUCCUGAUGAGUAGUAACCACGGAGUACAAUUGUAGCACAAUUCUCUAGCUGUCUUAGUGUGAGGACAAACCCUGCUACCCCUUGUCAUCAUGGAACAAAAAGAGAACAAAAAAACAAAAAACAAUUCUUGAAUUUGAUAACUGUUUUGAUUAUAAAAUGCGCCAUAUAUAAAAAUUUAGCCUUGGAAAACUUUAUAAGGGCUGUUUAUGGUAAUUGUUGCAAUGGUUUCUCUACGCAGUUUGGGAGGUUUAUGAUGUUGGAGUAGGGAAAAUAGCAAGUCUGAAAGGCUAGAACUUUCAUUUUGUACUGCCUGUUACAAGGCUUCAUUUGUACCUACUUUUCUUUCUUUGGUUUGACAUUCAUUGUUGUGCUAUUGUUUGGACUUUGUUGCACUUAAGCAGUGUUAAUGGCUAUUGUUCCUAAUAGUGAUCACUAUAAGAAUGGAGGGACCUUUUAUGGACUUUUGUAGUAUGCAAAAUGGAUCAGAUUUGAUGUAAAAUGCAAGUUACAGCACAACAAAAAAAACAAAGGAAAAAAAAAGAAGCAAAUAUUACUCGACAAAAUCAAAGGGCACAAAAGCUGGGGUAAUAGCCUCUGAAAGGAUGCACCUUCCGAGCUAUAUCUCCAAAUGACUUCCUACCUCAUUAAACUUGGACAAAGAGUUAUCCUACGUACAAUAGUACCAAAAUGAUUCCUUACAUAAUUAGUGAGGAUAUUGAUGCAAACAUCUGAGCUUUAGACCUUAUGCUGUUUGACGUCCUCGUAGGAGGAGUGGGGAAUAAUCUACCAUUGCCAACUGCAAUCCAAAUAGAUAACAGUGCUUACUAAGCCUUUGUUUGUUUGAAGUACUGAUCUGAAAGUACCUACUAGCUGGACACAGACUGACUAAUUGCUAAAAGCUCAUCCUAAGGGUUGUAACUCUCAGUAGGCAUUCAGUAAGAAGUAAGCCAAUUUCUCUUAGCCUUUAGGGUGACUCGAGAAAACUUGAAAGGGAAAUCUGAGAGCCCUUAAGCUUCAAGCUAUUCGGCUUCAAGCCAUUAAGUUGGAAUCCUAGUUUCAUACUAAAAUAAGAAAAUUUAUCAGCACUUUCAGUUACUAAAAGUCAAUCAAGUGCUUAAUCAAGUUAAUAUUAUUGCUUGGAAAGGAGGAGCUAUGGCACUUGAUUCAUUCCUUUCUUUGGGGAAAACAGAGAGCAAUUUGCCAUAGGUAGUGCAUGAACCAAAGUUCAGAGGUGGCUCAAAGUCGAAUCUUGCAGAUCCUAGAUCCUAGUUCACUUACUAAUCGCUUCCUGAUCACUAAAAAACCCAUUUAAAGAUGUCACAUGAUUAUAUUGGUUACAAUAGGUCAACCUAUUUCCUGGUAAAUGUGUACUGGAUUUUCUCCAUAGAUUUUACAAUCCAGAAUUGGAGGGAAUGAAAUCGGUUCUUCAAGCUGGCCUUUGCGAAGACUAUCUUGACAGCGCUGUUAAAGACAUUCAGUUGUCAAAGGUGACUAAAUGGUGCUCCUGACACGACCAUACCGUCUUUUGAGCACUAAUGCGUGAUGUAACACUUGCAAGCUCUAGUUUUUUCAUUUGAGUUUCCUCCUCCCCGUUUUUUGGUCACUCAAUUUUGAAGAUAAACAUAACAUAAAAAGGAAUGAAAUUUCUGUGCGGGCAAAGCCACUCGGGAAGCAGGUUGCUGCAGAAAAUCCUGAAAAUGCUCAGGUAGUAUAUAUUCUGGACUUAGCAGCAAUUGGACUAAAACCACAAUAUUGAAAAUUCUGAACUCAGGUAGUUUCUCUGUACUAUCAUUAGGGAAAUUCUGUCAGGAUGGACAUUGGAUCUUCAACAGUCAAUCAGGCAGCAAACAUACGCCAAAGAAGGUACGACAAUCUGAUGGCCUGUGGCAAAGAUAUCAUUUUUUUUUAACUUUUUCUUCAUUCAUCGCAGAUAUGAGAAUUAGAAGCAGGAUAUUUAGCAAUCACUAUUUUCCUUCUAUUCUUCAUUUUCUUAUUCCAAAUGAUAAUCCCAACCCAGAAUGGGAAAAAGCCUUUCUGCUACAUUGCCACUGUAUACAUGCUUGUCACUAUGUGCAUGUCACCAAUUAUCAGACAGAGGUUCAACACUCUUGCGUUAAGCCUACCAUUAGUUUUUUUGUCAGCUUAUUUCUCAUCGACUUAAAGAGCCCUUAUGUAAUGACCGAGCUGGAGUCUAGUUAUUUGACGUUAGGAAGUUAGUUGUAGAAGAUAUUCCAAAUAACAGAUUGCAUGUGUCGGUUAAUUGAUCGAGCAUGUGAGUCCUUUCAUAUUGCAUGCGUUAGUUAUAUUGUUAGAAUACCAGAAACUAGUAUAAAGCAGAGGAGGAAGAGGAGAUGUAGUUUUUGGAUGUAACAAUUCUCAUUUUCCGUCUAUACUAUCUUAGUCUUCCCCUGCUCUCUCUUCUCAUUUCCCCUGUAUCUGCAUUUCUCUCAAUUUCUGUCUUGAAUCCGUCCCUUGUUGGGCAGGUCCAGUACAAUUGGUAUCAGACGCUUGCGGUCCUUGGAUCUGCAAGCUCAGCUACCGAAUCUGUAGCUGACUAUGGCGGAGGGCACCAGAAUGAAAGGCUUCGAGGAACAACUGAGGAAGCAGGAUUCUCGGAUCCAGAGCAUCCUUGAAGCCAAUGCAGCUGAACGACUAGCACUGGAAGAGAAAUUGGCAACAAAUCACUCUGAUAUGAAGGCACUCUUGGAAGCGAACUCAGCUGAGAUGAAAAAUUUCAUGGUUUCCAUGAAUGCUCAAUACACCGCUUUUGUGAGAAGCUUGCAAAGCGACCGAGGGAUCUUAGGAAUUUCACCAGACAAUACGGAGAGGCAACCUGUCCAAAGGCCUCAGAGAAACUUGGAGUUGGGGCUAUCCAAUCAAGGAGAGAGGAAUUUCCUACCUGUAGGGACUCCUAAGGUGGAAUUUCCCAAAUUUGAUGGCUCUAACCCCAGAGAAUGGGUCAGGAGAUGUGAGAAGUUUUUCCGUUUAUGUCGCAUUCCUGAUUCGCAGCAUAUGGAUUUAGUGGAAUUGCAUCUGGAUGGGAAAGCUAGUAUUUGGUAUCAAGGUUUCAAGAUGGACAAGGGGGAGUUACGAUGGGAUAGAUUCAGCCAAGAGUUUUGUAGUCGAUUUGGGAAUUUAGGGGAGGAUGACGUUAUAGAGGAGUUUAACAAGCUUCAUCAAACUUCCACAGUAAUUCACUACCAAGAAAGGUUUGAAGAGCUGCGAGCUGCCGUGAUGCUCAAGGUCCCUGGUCUUACUGAAUCAUAUUACAUCUCCAGUUUCCUAAGUGGCCUAAAGGAGGAGAUUAAGUCUGUGGUCAAGAUCCACAAACCUGCGACCUUGCAAUCAGCAUUUGAGAAGGCGAGAUGGCAGGAGCAUUACUUACAGGUUAUGGCUAAGCAAUCUAGGAUGGCUACAAAACUAACUCAGGUUACGGAGACAAUACAGAAGAAGCCUGCACAUCAGAUGUUUGAUAGCAGCAACAACAAAACUACUCCCCAAGGCUCUAGGAGGAUUACCCCCACUGAGUUCCAGUACAGGAAGGAUCACAAUUUAUGUUUCAAAUGUGGAGAGAAGUUCUCCCCUGGGCAUGUUUGCAGGAAUAAGGGAAUUCAUUUGCUGCUAGCAGAUGAGGGCGAGGCUCAAGUAGAGGAAGUAGUAGAUGAAGAGGAUGAGGUCAUUGAGUAUCAAGGCAACAAGUAUGGCAGGGAUAUUACACUAUCCCUCCACUCAGUUUCUGGCCAAUUGUCUUCCAGUACCAUUAAGAUGUUGGGAGAUUAUGGUGAUCAAGAGGUGUCAAUCCUGCUGGAUGGAGGUAGCACCAACUGCUUCAUAAAGCCAACUAUUGCUCAACUCUACCCUGAAGCUGUUAAGAAUCAUAAACCUUUUAAAGUCAGAAUUGCUGAUGGGAAAGAAUUAGUUUGUGAGCAAUGGAUUCCUGGUAUGAAGUGGAUGAUGCAAGGCCAUCAUUUUACUCACAAUGUGUAUGUACUAGACUUGGAACCGUACGACCUGAUUUUGGGGGUUGACUGGAUGAAGUGUUAUAGCCCCAUGACUUUUGACUUUCAAAAGUUGUCAUUAUCAUUUGAGAAGGAGGGUGAAAUGGUGUUACUACAAGGGGAUUCCCACUCUGCCAAGGUGUUGAUGAAGCAAGGAGUAUCAGCCCAGAAGUAUUGCAGAAACAAAAUCAGAACAGCCUUGCAACACUCUUGCAUGAUACGAGUACAAAACUCACAGGUAACUACUGUGCCCAAAACACUCACUCAAUUACUUGCUCAAUAUGAUGACAUAUUUGCUGCACCUACAACUUUACCCCCCAACCGUAGCCUCAAUCACCAAAUACCUUUGAAACCUGAUGCUAAACCUUUCAAGAUUAGACCCUAUAGGUACCCCCACAGGCAAAAAACAGAAAUAGAAAGGCAAGUCAAGGAAAUGUUGGCCACUGGUAUCAUCCAAACCAGCCAUAGUCCUUUUGCAUCCCCAGCCUUACUAGUUAAAAAGAAGGAUGGCACUUGGAGGUUAUGCAUUGACUAUAGACAACUUAACAGCCUCACUAUCAAAGACAAGUUUCCCAUCCCAAUCAUUGAUGACCUCCUAGAUGAACUGCAGGGUGCCAAAAUUUUUUCAAAAAUUGAUUUGAGGUCAGGGUACCAUCAGAUAAGAAUGCACCCAUCUGAUAUCCAAAAAACAGCUUUCAGAACCCACUCUGGCCUCUAUGAAUACUUAGUGAUGCCAUUUGGCCUCACUAAUGCACCAGCAACUUUCCAGGCUCUAAUGAACUCGGUAUUUGAACCUUUUAUUCGAAAAUUUGUGCUAGUGUUCUUUGAUGACAUUCUAGUUUACAGCCCCGAUUUUGACUCCCAUCUCAAACACCUCUCCCUUGUUCUUGACACCCUCAGAAAUCACUCAUUAUAUGCAAAAAUGUCUAAGUGUUCAUUUGGGCAAGAUAGAGUAGAGUACUUGGGGCAUAUAGUUACUGGUGAGGGAGUCUCUGCUGAUCCUGCAAAAGUGGAAGCUAUGCUGUCCUGGCCAUCUCCUACCACUGUUAAAGGUUUAAGGGGUUUUUUGGGACUGACAGGAUACUACAGGAGAUUUGUGAAGGGAUAUGGGAAGAUCGCUAAACCUUUAACUAAUCUGCUAAAGAAGGAUGGUUUCGGGUGGGAUGAACAAGCUGAGCAAGCUUUCCAAGAACUCAAACAUGCUAUGACUCAAGCUCCUGUACUAGCACUUCCUGAUUUCCUUGGAACAUUUGUAUUGGAAACCGAUGCUAGCCAAAAGACCAUUGGAGCAGUUUUGAUGCAGCAAGGUAGGCCUAUUGCUUUCAUGAGUCAGGCACUUGGACCCAAAAAUCAAACACUGUCCAUAUAUGAAAAGGAAUUAUUGUCAUUGAUUACUGCAGUAGGGAAAUGGAGACACUACUUGCUAGGAACUCACUUCAUAAUCAAAACUGAUCAUGAAAGUUUGAAAUACUUACUGGAACAAAAAAUCACUACACCUCUCCAGCAAAAAUGGUUAGCAAAGCUGAUGGGACUAGAUUAUGAGAUCCAAUAUAAAAGGGGUAAGGAUAACUUGGUGGCUGAUGCUCUAUCUAGAAGGAUGGAAGGAAGGGAUGAAGGGUCAGGUGGUGAGGAGGUGCAGGUCCAUGCCAUUACCACAGCAAAGCCAUUAUGGUUAGCAAGGGUCUCUAGCAGUUAUAAUGGGGAUGAGAAGGCCAAGGAACUACUGACUGCACUAGCGGUAGACAAAUCUAGUGUGCACGAUUACACAUACCAUCAAGGGAUUAUCAGGUAUAUGGGAAGAAUGUAUAUUGGGAGUAACUCAGAAUUAAGGGCUCAGCUCAUCAAUUGCAUGCAUGAUUCUGCAAUUGGAGGGCACUCGGGGAACCAAGGAACAUACCAGAGAAUGAAGAACUAUUUCUACUGGCCGGGCAUGAAAAAGGAUGUGGAAUCUUACGUACAGGCUUGUGACAUUUGCAAGAGGAGUAAAGGGGAGCAUUGCUCCUACCCAGGGUUGUUGCAGCCAUUGUCAAUUCCUGAGCAAGCAUGGCAGGAAAUUUCUAUGGAUUUUAUUGAAGGACUACCCAAAUCAUAUGGUCAUAAUGUCAUUUUUGUGGUGGUAGACAGAUUUACAAAAUAUGCUCACUUCACCUCCAUGACUUCUCACUACACUGCUAAGAGUGUGGCUCAGGUAUUCUUCGACCAAAUAUUCAGGUUACAUGGGCUGCCUAAUGGGAUUGUAUCUGAUAGAGACAAAGUGUUCACUAGUAUAUUCUGGCAAGAGCUUUUUAAGCAAGUAGGGACUGAACUUAGUUUCUCUUCUUCCUAUCACCCUCAGUCUGAUGGACAAACUGAGAGGGUGAAUAGGUGUCUAGAGACUUACUUAAGAGCUAUGUGCUUGCAGCAACCAGGCCAUUGGAAAAGGUGUUUACCUGCAGCUGAAUGGUGGUACAACACUAACUUCCACUCCAGUUUGCAGAUGACUCCGUUCCAAGCUUUAUAUGGCUACAAACCAUCCCAAUUGAGUUUGCACUCAAGUGACACUCAAGUUGCUGCUGUGGAGGAUUGGAUAAAGGAAAGGGUAAACUGGAAUACAUUGCUCAGGGAAAAUUUAUUGCAGGCUCAGAACCGAAUGAAGCAGUUUGCAGACAAACACAGAAUAGAUAGGUCCUUUGCUGAGGGUGAUUGGGUGUAUCUCAAGCUGCAGCCGUAUAGGCAGACUACGGUAGCACUAAGGAGGAACUUGAAGCUGGCAGCCAAGUAUUAUGGCCCAUAUCAGGUGGAAAAGAAGAUUGGGUCAGUUGCUUAUAGGCUCAAGCUUCCACAGGGUGCUGCUAUUCACCCUGUUUUCCAUGUUUCACUCUUGAAACCAACGUCUAAGGGAGCUCCUAUCAGCAAUGAAUUGCCACAAAUAUCGGAGGAAGGGCUCUACACUACUGCCCCCACUGCGGUUCUAGACAGAAGAAUGAUAGACAGGGCUGGUCAGCAGGUGGAGCAGGUCUUAAUUUGUUGGAAGAACAUGAAUGAGGAGGAUGCUACCUGGGAGGACUUGACUGUUAUACAAAGCCAAUUUCCAUCCUUCAAUCCUAGAGACUAGGAUUGUUUGAAGGGAGGGCAACUGUAAUGACCGAGCUGGAGUCUAGUUAUUUGACGUUAGGAAGUUAGUUGUAGAAGAUAUUCCAAAUAACAGAUUGCAUGUGUCGGUUAAUUGAUCGAGCAUGUGAGUCCUUUCAUAUUGCAUGCGUUAGUUAUAUUGUUAGAAUACCAGAAACUAGUAUAAAGCAGAGGAGGAAGAGGAGAUGUAGUUUUUGGAUGUAACAAUUCUCAUUUUCCGUCUAUACUAUCUUAGUCUUCCCCUGCUCUCUCUUCUCAUUUCCCCUGUAUCUGCAUUUCUCUCAAUUUCUGUCUUGAAUCCGUCCCUUGUUGGGCAGGUCCAGUACACCUUACCUCUGUCUAGCAAUAAAGGCUGGGCUUCAGCUAGUUGCUAAGUGCCUCCCAGUAGAUGUACAAAGGGUAAGGAUAAUUCGUAAAUAGUUCCGCUGGAUGUAGGUUUGAUGUUCUAAUAUUAUUUUCCAUCUCUUAAUGUGCUUUACUUGUCUGUUUCAUUCCUGACAUAGAAUGAUUUUAUUGAGUGUGAAAGACAGAAACUAUGAACAUUCCUUGCUUGUAAGUUAACUUCUUUAAGCAAGAAAACCAGAACCAAAAGCAAAAUCGUUUGUGCUGCAUACAGAAUGACAAGUUUGUGAGUGAAAAAUAAACUUGAUAUAGGGUCAAAAAACUUUGUCUAGAAUUUAAUCAUCAAUGUCACCUGCUAUAUGCUUCCCAUGUGUUUUGGACGGGAAAUCUUGGAGCAUGCAAGUCAAUUUACAAUACAAGCUUUGGCCUUUACGGAGGUUGCAUUGCUACUAUGUCAAUUACUUGUGGUUACGUUAUAAAUAGAAAGAGGUUUUUCUUCUUUUUAGUGUUUGAAAUUAUCCUCUUUGCUCUAGCUUGCAUGUUGAAGGAGGCAUGCAUCAUGAAUAUUCAUCAUUUAACCACGUUGAAACUCAUGUUCCUUUUUCUCAUACCUAAUGGUUUCUGCACUAUGGUCAUUUUAUCACUAGGACGUUCCUUCAAAGGCAGCCUGGUGAAGGGACUUCCCGAUCAACAGGUCCUCAUCUGAUCAUUGAUUUCAUAAAGGCACAGCUGGCUGCCAGACAGGCUCUUAAAGAGUAAAAGGUUACACAGCUUAAGCGCGAUAUUUCCAUAGGUCGAAUGCAAGUAAAUAAAGUAGCAAUCAUUGAGUUCUUUGUUCUGUGACUCAAAGCUUUUAUGGUACUAAACCUUUAAGGAGUUCUUGAUUUACCAGCAUAAUAUUAAUGUAGCACUAUGACUUAGAUUUAUACUUCUAUUUUGGUUGUCAUAUGUUCUGAUAUACAGCUAGUAUUCUUAUGUUUGCAUAUUUGGAUAGUACACUGUGGUCCUUAUUGUCAAUUUUAUUCAAAUAAUGAUUAGAAAAUCUUUUUUAUUUGUUAGCUCAACACUUUGUCUCGCCGUGACCUUCUCUUGAAUUCUCAAAACUAUUAGAUCCAGGAAGCAAUCAUAUAGACCAGCUUGAUUGUUCUGGGACGAGUUAGUGAACUUUCCUUGGCCCAAUAGGAUUUGAGUGUAGCAUAAUCUUGCUGCCUUUUUCCAGUUUCUGUAAUUGACAGCAUGCAUCAUGCAGCAUCUGCGUGCCGUUUCUUUUCAGCCAUGUUAAGAAAAUAGCCAGUUUUAUACAGGAAAUUUUGGUGUAGGAAAGAGUUCUGAAAAUUUGAGUAAGACAUUGAUGCUGUUUAUAGUUUAGGGUUAUCUAAUUUUGCUUUGACGUAUACGUUGGGUAACAUAUAGUAUUAAAAUUUUCUAAAGAUUACUAGUUUUCAGUGUUCAGCAAUUAAGUAAUCAAAAGAGAUGAUGAAACAAAAUAGCAUGCAAGAAAGAGUACAAAAAAUCUAAAGAUCCCAACUAUGUAUUUACCAUGUGGGGUUUAGGCUAGGCACCAAAAAGUUUGAAAAUGAGCACAUCAUAGGAAACAGAACAAUGCUAGUCUCCAAUUGCCAAAGUAUGUAAAUAUACACACUCAAAAUAUUAUUCUACACCUAAUUCAGUGUGUAAAUAUGCACACUCAAAAUUAUUAUUCUACUUAGAUUUAGACACUUUACAUGUCUAACUUAAAUCUUUCACAAUAUCUAACUUUAACUUCUCAGAAAACAAAAACUAAUAUUCAGCCUUUUUGCAACAUCUUUGCACCUCUAGGUUUAGAGGUUUUUUAUUUCAUGAAAGUAAGAGUUGUAAUCAGACACAAAUGGAAUCCAAAAGACAAGGGAGGAUUCAGAAAAGAUGAAAAAAAAGUGAAUUGAUCAUUAUUUUUUCAAGAAAACUACAUAAUUAAAAUUUUCAAAAAACAAAACUACUAUUCCGCCUUUCGCAACUUCUUUGCACCUCUAUGUUUACAGGGUUUCUUAAUGAAAAUAAAAGUUGUAAUCUGACACAAAUGCAACCCAAAAGACAGGGAUUCAGAAAAGAUGAAAUGAUCACUUUUUGAGUAAAAUUGUCUAAUUUCGAGUUAGAUUAGACAGAUGAUUGGAAACUCUCUUUAAUAUUAGUGUAUAUAUAACACCUGAUACAUGACUUGUUGUUCGUAUUUUUAGAAUUUUAUUUUCUACUUGCUAGAAAAAUUAUAAAUUACUAAAAAAUAGAGAGAUAGGACCAAAAAAGAAACAAUUAUGGAUAUCUAAUUUUGGAGGAUUCUCAAAUCUUAACAGAAACCAAAAAAGAGGGGAAAAAAAAUGUAUACAAAGUCUACAGUGGCCACCUACAGCAAAGCUUAGAGAGCUAGAGGUCAAAAUUAUUUUCUAUUUUGCUCUCUCCCUCUCGCCUCUGCGUAGUUCUCUGCACCUUUGUGUGUUCGUUUAUCUGAAAGAUAAAUCUGUAUUUGUCAUUUUCCGGUCUCUUUUCUUCUCUUCAUUUGAUUCUUUGUGCCUCCGAAAAACCUGAAACAUUCCAACGAACAAAAAUCCCAACUGAAAAUCUGACACAAAAAAUUUCAAACGUUUUCUGCAAAUCCCCUUUUUGCCCCCUUAUUGCAUCAGAGAAAGAUAGCUUGGUUUAUGAUUGCUUCAUAUAUUCAAUCUCCCAACUAUCUUGAAACAUUUGUGGGUUUUCAAAUUCAGCCGAAAGGGAUUUCUGGAUCCUCAUUCUUUCUUGUUUUUAAGGACUUUUUGCGUUUGCACUUGGGCUUCUUCUGCAUGUGCAUGGUUGGGAUUUUUUGUCUCGUUGGAUGAAAAAUAAAAAAGAAGAGGCCAACAAAUCUUUCCUUUUUGGCUUGCCUGAUCCUCGAAUUAUUGUGUUUCUCUGCAUACAAAUAUAACAAAACUGAAAGGGGUUUUGUUUCUUGAGUUUGUUUGUUUGAUGAAAUGACAAGAAGUGAAUUGUGGGAAUGGCAAAGUCAUCUUGAUAAUCAAUGGACGUUGGAAUGUCCCGUACAAACUUUCUUUUUGUUGCUUUUUUGUGCGUUUUUGCAGCUAGUAAUUUAAAGGGCAUUAGGAAUUUUGCAGAGGCCUUUAGUGGCAAUGAAGUUUCUUCGGAUAUUGAAAAGAUAGAUUAUGAUAAGGUAUGAGCUUCUUUUUAUGUAAAUCUUGAUUCAAUACCUGCGAAAAAGGACAUAAAAACACACACUACACAAGACAAAAGUCUUUUAGUAGCGUAAAUUUGAUUUCUGUUGCAAGAAUUUGAUGCUUGGUGUGUGAAUAUUACCAUUCAUGGGUUGGUAGUUUCUUCUUUCUUAGAGACUUAAUAGUAACUCUUAUAUUAACAGCUCAGUUUGCCAGACUUCAGAGUUAGUGUCAUCUUGAAUUUGAGUGACUCUUUUAACAUGUAGAAUGAGAAAGACAUGAACCGUUACAGCCCGCAUAUUAAAGUAAACAAAAUUCUGUGUGUGUUGGUCUUAUUAACCAAAGUUUUUAGCAACUUAUUACUAGUAAAUGCUUGAAAACCUUGAUAAACUGAAUAUUAUUUUGGAGUAUUUCAUAAAUGACACUGUUAAAUUGGAUAAGUUUCUGUGGCAACUUGCCAAUAUUGUUGCUAGGUCCGCAAUGUUUUGAGUUGGACUUCUACGGUCCUAUUUCAGUCAUUCUUAUUUAUGAAAUUUCAUGUCUCUAAGUUCUAGAUUAAUACUUUGGGAUGAAUCGAAUCUCUCUGCAAUUCUGGCCAAAGCUAUGGGUAAUGUAACCAAAAGUUUUUGUAAACUUUGAUGAGGGAUGGAAAAUUUUGGGAUACGCAGUCAGGCUGUAUAUUUUGUGUUGUUAUAUCUCGUGCGAUACUGAAAAAUAAAAUUUUGGUUAUUAUACUGAUUAUUGUGGUAGUGCAGUUUAUAGGACUAUUUCUAACCGGAAAUGAUUUUUGUCUAACCCAAUCAUCAAUGCUACCUUCCAGUCUAUACGUUGUGCUGAAAAUUUCGGAUUACCCCUUUAAAUCUCAGACAUAGCAUAAAGUGGACAACUGCUUUUUAGCUAGUAAAAAGAAAAGGAACAGGAUUGCAUUUACUAAAACAUAUUCAAGAUGAAUUCCAAGCUUUACAUAUUUCAAUGUCUUGUUCAUUUAAGAUGUGACUGUUUCACAGGCAGAAGAUGUAUGGAUACAGUGUAGAAGAGAAUUGAAGGAGUGCCUUCAGUUUCUUGAAAGUUUAGAACUAUAUCUCUCUCAGAUACCAGAGCCUUAUGAAAAUCCAACAUUGCCUGUUGAUUUGUUGGCUAAAAGAAUUGUACAGCAGACCAUACCCAAUUUAACUUUCCAAGAUAAGCAAUUUCUCUUUGAGUGCUUAAGAAAGAAGCCAUUGCAAAAUCAUGAAUCUGGAAAAGAAUUUGGUUCCAAUACUCAGUUCAAUAAGUGCCCGGAGCUAUUUUCGAGUUGGUCCUCUGCUCCCAGAAGGUUCUUAAGACAUCAUAAUCAUCAUGUGCUAAGCCUCGUUCAAGCCCCAGGUUCUCCAGCUGCAUCGCCACAUCACGCUCCAGCACCAUCUCCAGUGCCUGCUAGUUCUCCCUCCCCAACUCUUCAUUCCCCUUCUCCAGUUUUAGAGCCACCUUCACCAGAACCAUCUCCUCUACAAAAUGUCAUCCAUUCUCUUCUACCACCUCAAACUGGUGCACCAACUCCUUCAGGAAAUGGCUUGGACAGAAUUUAUGGCACUGCAGCCAUAGCUGCAAGUGCAGUGGCAUCGCCACAUCACGCUCCAGCACCAUCUCCAGUGCCUGCUAGUUCUCCCUCCCCAACUUUGCAUCCACCUCCUCCAGUUUUACAGCCACCUCCACCAGAACCAUCUCCUCCACAAAAUGUCAUCCAUUCUCCUCCACCAUCAUCCAUUGUUGGUCCUCUACCAAGACCUCAAACUGGUGCACCUACUCCUUCAGGAAAUGGCGUGAACAGAAAUUACGUCAUUGCAGCCAUAGCUGCAAGUGCGGUGACAGGUUUGGCUCUUAUUGUACUGUUCUUGAUAUGCUGUAUCAACAAGAGAAAAGAACAAGUUGCCCCUGGAAAUGGACAAAAGAAUGAAAAAAGAGAUGAAAAGCCUCUUCUAAACUUCUUCUCCAGUGAUCUUUCUGCUGGUAUUUUUCAGUAACAAUCAAUUAUCCUUUUUCAAAUAUCAUUCUGUAUUCAUUUUUAUGACUUGUAUACUUUGAUUAUCCAGGUUCUCCUCAGAAGUCUCAGAAAAUAGUAGCCUUUAAUAACCAAAACCUCAAGAUGUCAUCUACUGUCAGCAAUAUUCCUUUCGCAGUUAAUGUUGCUGAUUCAUCAACUGAAACUCAGUCAACAAAAGUUACAAUUGAUGCAUCUGAAAAUGUUAAUUCCUUAUUGCCGCUUCCUCCAGGAAGACCAGCACUUCCACCGCCUGGACCACCACCACCUCCUCCCCCUAAACCUCCAGCUCCUGCCCCUCCUCCUCCUCCAAAAGUGGCUCGACCUCCUCCUAAUCCACCAAAACCUAGUAAUUUGGGAAGGCCUUCUCCUCUUGGAGCCAAUAAUCCCAGAUGUUCUUCUGGAGGCAAUACAAGUGAAUUGUCUGGUGAAUCUGAUGCUCCAAAAGCUAAGUUAAAGCCAUUUUUCUGGGAGAAGGUUCCAGCGAACCCUGAUCACUCCAUGGUUUGGCAUGAUAUCAAAGCUGGAUCUUUCCAGUAAGAGUUUAUAUGGUUAACUAUUGGCUAAUUCUGGGGAUCUUUAUUUUAGUAGAUGUGUCAUGUGAACUGUAGAGUGGUUUUUUUUUUUUUUUGAAUUUACAGGGUUAAUGAGGAGAUGAUGGAAUCCUUAUUUGGUUAUGUCCCAGCCGAAAAAGGCAAAUUUGAGCACAAGAGAAAUUCAUCUUCUGAAUCUUCAGUCCCCUAUGUUCAGAUAAUUGAUCCGAAAAAAUCACAAAAUCUUGCAAUUCUUCUUAAAGCAUUGAAUGUGACAACAGAAGAAGUGAUUGAUGCUCUAAAGGAAGGUCUCUCUCUCUCUCUCUCUGUGCUCUUGGACAUGUCUGUGAAUGUGCAUCUCAUCUGCAUCGAUAGGGUGUAGAUUUUGUCUGAAGUCUUUGUUGACCAGCACUUGGCACUGACGUUGUAUUUAAAGAAAAACUGAACACUUAUACCAUGUAGGUAGUCUUGAUAUUUGAUAGUUUAUUCUCUUUGGUUAAGUCUCUUCUCCUCCUAAACUAUCAUUAGGUUCUCUAUGAUGACUGGACUUCAAAGUAACUCUGGAAAAUAAUGUGAAGCUCUAGCCUUAUUUCAAGAUAGAACAGUAUAUGCUCGCCACAGUUAGAUUCUUAAGAAUCCAUAAUGAUAAUGGAAGUUUCAAGUUGAUGACACUUUUUUCUAGUAUUAAUAACUUGGUAUUCAAUUCUUUGUUGAUUGGCUAAUUCUUGGUAGUGGUGAUUCCAUCUGAAACACUAGCUGAAAGUAAUCUUUACGCUCACAACUUUUGUAAACAGCAGGUUGCUGCUUUCUUUCCCCAUGUGGUUACCAGAAAAGAAUUUCUGUUUCAUGUUCUUUUAAUUUUACCUUCCCAGGUUUUAUUGUGAUUUCAAUAGUCCAGAUUGAGUAACAAAAUUGAAUUUUCAUCACUCAGUUUCUACAUUUUUUCCUUGUUUUUGGUAUAAUGAAUAGAGUUGUUUUUGUUAGUGCAAUAUUUAUCUUCGAUAUUGCUCUUGCCCAUAGAUUCAUGAAUACUGUGUGGAUGUCUUUGUCCCUCAACCAACUUAUAUUUACUGAUAGAUAUUAUUAAGAGAAAGAUAUGGAUUUUGAGUGAAUCAUUUGGAUUCAGUCUUGGCGACUUACCUAUGUGCAACUUAUAUCACCUGAGCAUGUAUGAAUUCACAUUCUGCACUCAUUCAUGUUUUGUUAUGGGUUUAUGUCUUGGCUGAAAUAAUUCAACGUUGUGUUUGCUAAUCAAAUCAGGUAAUGAGCUGCCAAUAGAGCUUGUUCAGGCAUUACUGAAGAUGGCACCUACAACAGAUGAAGAAUUAAAACUGCGGUUAUUUAGUGGGGAUGUCUCUCAGCUUGGCCCUGCUGAACGCUUCCUGAAAGUCUUGGUUGAGAUUCCAUUUGCCUUCAAAAGGAUGGAAUCAUUGUUGUUCAUGAGUUCUUUUCAGGAAGAAUCUUCUUCCGUCACGGAAUCCUUUGCUACUUUAGAGGUUAGUGUAAAUUGAUUUACAAAUUUAGAUGUCUAACUAAUUAUGAGUCAUCUGUCUUUCCAUUUCCCAAAGUCCAUAAACUGUUCACAAAGUAACUUUUUUCUUCUUAAAAAGUUACAAAGAAAAUACUAUGUUAACUCAAUUAGUUUGUAUCUACUUGCUCUUUCUGUCCAAUGACUCCGAGAAUACACUAACAAUUUUAUGAAUAACUGGAAAUAUUGUUGCAUAAAAUAGUUUAGAACAUAUCACAGAAAAUGGUGAGAAAAAGAGGAAUUGUGUUUGGUAAGUAAACUAAUACACCAGAUUUCAAAUUAGAUAAUAUAAAGCAUACCCUCAUGUAUGCAUUACACACUAUCAUGCUUUGUCCAUUUACGACCAACAUGAUGUGUACUAAAAUCUAAAAUAGUUGGCAACAUGAUCGACGUUUACCUUUUGGCUGCCCUGCUGUUGUAUUAGGUUACCCAAGAUCUGAAAAUUAAUUCAGGGAAGUGCAAUGCAAUUUGUUUACUUGUCAAAGUCUCACUGAUUCAAAGACUUUAUAGUGUUCAAGUUUUUAUUAUUUUGCACUUGGGAAAUAAUUCUGGGAUGGCAUUUAAUUUGUUGGCUAUUAUAUGUAUAGCUGUGGUCUAUCUGAAACUUUCCUAUUUGCAAUUGGUUGAGAAAUAUUUAACUGGAACAGCUCCAAAGUAGCCUUUUAACUUUUAUGCAGAAAAUGUACGCUCCAGAGCAUCUUGUUAUUUUCAGUGGUUGCUAAAUGAUUCAAAAAAUCAUGAUUUUCAUUUGUUUCUUUUCAAAAAAUCAUGAUUUUCAUUCGCAGGUAGCUUGUAAGGAACUGAGAAACAGCAGACUAUUCCUGAAACUCUUAGAAGCAGUUCUGAAACUUGGAAACCGCAUGAAUGAUGGCACUUACCGUGGUGGUGCAACAGCAUUCAAGCUUGACACUCUCUUGAAACUGUCAGAUGUAAAAGGAACUGAUGGUAAGACCACACUCCUUCACUUUGUUGUUCAGGAAAUCAUCCGAUCUGAGGGUCUAAGGGCUGCACGUAGAUUAAGAGAAAGCCACAGCAUGUCCAGUGUGAAAACAGAAGAUCUAGUGGAGGAAUCAUCAGAGGAAACAGCUGACUACUAUCGCAGCCUUGGUCUUCAGGUGGUAUCUGGGCUGAGCAACGAUCUGGAGAAUGUACGAAAGGCAGCACUUAAAGAUGGUGACGACCUAGCUGGAGCAGUUUCCAGUCUUGGGCAAUCGUUUGUAAAGCUUAAAGAUUUCAUAAACAAUGAAAUGGCGAAUGUUGAGGAAGACAGUGAGUUCCGCACUACACUGACUAAUUUUGUGGAGCAUGCUGAAGCUGAUAUCACAAAGCUGCUGGAGGAAGAGAAAAGGAUAAUGGCUCUUGUGAAGAGUACAGGAGAUUACUUUCAUGGAAAUGCAGGAAAGAAUGAGGGCUUGCGCCUCUUUCUUAUUGUUCGUGAUUUCUUGGUAAUGGUGGAUAAGGCAUGCAGAGAUGUUAGAAGCUCAACAAAAUUGCCAGCCAAGACCCCUCGAAAAGAAGCGCUAGCACCAUCACCUUCUGAAGAAUCCAAUCGGGAGUCUUUGCCAGAUUUUCGGCAACGAUUAUUUCCUGCAAUCAAAGAAAGGCAUAUGGAUGAUUCCAGUUCAGAUGAAGAUGACAAAUCUCCUUAGUAUCCAGUCCCAGAAGGUACUUUAGCUAAAGGGUAAGUAGAGAACAAAUUAAAAUUUUCUUCUCCAUUUGUGGGAAAUCAGACCUCUUAACAGGUCUUUUGAUAAUGUAUCUCAGGGCUUCUUGUUAUUAACAACUUUCUUGCUUUGGCAGUCCAAGUGUUUAAGAGUUCAAUUGAAGGGGAUAAUGUGGCAAGGAUGGGAUCCAAAAUAAUGCUUACUUUACCAAAUAUUUUGGGGACUUAGGACUGCAAUCACUUUAAUUGAGGUUGUCACGAAAUAAAAGUCAAUUGAAACUGCAUCACUAUUUUUAGCCUGGCAAUGAACAUUUUGGAGAGCUGAGGUACUUGGGUCUAUGAUUAUAUGAAGAAAACAUUUAAGUCUAUGAUAUGCAGUUUUUUUAGAGCAGUAAUUUUAUGUUUGAUCUGUUAAUGUUUCAUAUUGCUAAAGGAGAAGGAAAAUGAAAUCGAUGUUGUAACAGUCAAUAAUCUGGUGACCUAUUCUGUGGCUGGACUAUCGUAAGAUACUUGACUGGUAAAGUAGUUGCUUUUGUUGAUUGUCCACAGUACAACUCAGGGUCCUUAAUUUCCUGGUUAAUUCAGGUGGAAAUGAACUUCUGAUACAAGCUUUUAUUAACUGGAGUCCUCAAGUUCUGACGGGUCACAACUCUCCUCUAAAAGAUUCUCGGAUCAUUGGUUUACAGGUGCUCAAAUAAUCUGUCGAUCAAGUACAUGAGGCUUAGCAUCUUGUUUUAGUCCUCUAAAUGGAUAUUGUUUCUCAAGAAAGAGGAUGAGACUCUGCCAUUGGGCUUUAUCCAAGCAUUAGAGGGGCAAUGUGAAGAAAUCACACUAUUCCUGCUGUUAUUUAGGUGUCAGUUGAAACCAACAUUGUAAUUAUGUUUCUCUGUUGUAUUGCACUCAAUAGAUGUGCAAUUUGUCGAUAGGUAAAACUCACCCUUGUCCACAGCAGAUCCAAGAUUUUCUUGGUCUGAGGUACUGAUCUUCCAUAAUCUCAGUCCCGUUGUGUUGUCAACACGAUCUAAUUGUUGAACAAUCUAUAUUGCUUACUAUCAGCUUCUCACUGUUUCUCAUUAUUUUUCUUAUUUAUUGGUAGCCUAUUGUUGCAAUUGACUGUGAUUUGAUGUAAAUGCUUGUGUUUGUAUGAGCUUUUGAACAUGUGAUUGCAAGUUUGAGAGAUUACUUUCAAAUGGAUGGUAUCCAUGAUACCUGCGAAAGGUGACACUCAUGCUGUCAUGCAUACCCCGAAAUGGAGCAGGAUUUUGGUUGGAAGGCCAUUUAGGAAAUAAUUGUUGGGACCAAAAUGAAUAUGAAACAUUUUUUCUUCCGUGAUUCUUUGCUUAGUUUGCCUCUCUGUGUUCUAGGAGUAACUUUCUUGCAGUAAAUUCUUUAAGUCAAAAGAGCUCUUGAUUAUGAAUAUAGCUCGUGAGUUACUAACAUCUUUAUCCAGUAAGUACUAAUGUUUUUCGCUGUUGAACAUAUUCCUGCAUAAUUGGUGGUCUCUUGCUUGUAAGAUCUGUGUAAAAUUUAUUUUAUUGUUCUCCAGCCAGACUUCUUCAAGGACGAAUUUCUCAUGAUCAAUAGGACUAGCUCAACAAUGGCUUGGAAGGAAAAGGUAGAUUGAUGAAAUUAAAGGUUUUUGUAUCGCAUAAUUUUAGUUUUCUGACCGAAAUGCCGGUCGAUUUAACGUGGCAUACUUACCUUACAAUAAUAAAAUUAUAAAGCCACUGAUAUUACACAUUUAAUAGAUAGUGUUAUAUUGAAGAAUGAAGUAGACUUGUAAAAUUAAUAAAAAUUGCAAAGUACUGCUAGUCAACAAUUCCUCGGUAUUAUGUAAAAACCAAGAAACCACACCACAGGCAUUUUGAGUAGGUUGACGAAAAACUUUAUUUACAUUUGAGACGCAACAAAUCUCGGAUUGUCAAAGUUUGAAAAUGGAAUCUGAAGACACUAUUAAAUGUUGUUCGUGAGUGAUUUGGAAUUGAAGAUGUGAAGACUCGUCAAAGUGGAGAUUUGUUGACCAAAGUGCCUCAUCCCACUAUUCAUCUUCUAUGGCACUUUUCUUCUUUCUCCCUCUAUUGUAAUAUUUCACUUUGGUAUCAGAGCUGCACAAACUUCACUGAGAGAUAUAGUAGCCUUCCCGUGGAGUAGAGUGGUUUCAAGAAAUUCAAACUCCUCAGGAAGUGAUCCCAAUAACAUCAGAGCUAGAUCUUCAUCUUUGAAUGUUUCAUCCAUGUUCAUUAGAUCAGUAACCAGCUGAUUAAAAUUGGUAAUAUGAUCAUUCAUUGUGGUACCUGGAACAUAGGUGAAGCGAAACAGUCUCAUUUUCAUAUGGAGCUUGUUGCUUUUCUUCAAAAACUUUUUUUCUAGUGCCAUCCACAAUUUAUUUGCAGAAGUUUCCUUUGAAAAUACAUACCUCUGCUCCCUUGAAAGGCAAGAUCGAAUUGUAACACAUGCUAAUCGAUUGAUAGUCUUCCAAUCUUUCUCCUCAACAUCAUCUGGUUUCUGUUCUUCAAUAGCAAUGUCUAGACCUUGUUGGAAGAGAAUGUCUAGAACCUCACUUUGCCACAUGCCGAAGUGACCGGUGCCAUCGAAAAUCUCCACUGCCAAUCUCGUAUUUGUGACAGCAGUUCUUGCCCAAAUAGACGGUGAUGAAACUGCUGUCGAGGUGGACAUCGAUACUUUUGUACUAUUUUUCAUGUCGGUUACAAAUAUUCUUCAAUAACAACAAUGAGCGGACCCCACAAAAUGAGCGGACCCUACAGGUUGACCUCACAGACAGGGCCUACUGGCCCUACAGGCGAACCCCACAAGUGGACCCCAUCGGUCUCACAGGCGGGCCCCACAAACAGGCCCUACUAGUCCCACAAGCAGCUCCCACAGAUGGACCAAAGUCCAAGGAUAUUUUUUGCGACCACAGAGCAUAUUCAAAAUAACCUCAAACUCUGAUACCACUUGUUGUGCAUCAAAUAAUAACUACACUCUUUUAUAGGUGAAUAGAGAGUGAAGUAUUGUACUAAAAAUUACACGAGGGUUAAUUCCCAGGAAAGAUUGAAGGAGUCACAAACGGUCCCGCUUAAAAUCCAAUCUCCUUAGACAGAAUUACCCUACUAAUAUAAUUUACUAGCACAAUAUAACACUACAGCUAUACCCUAUAAUAGCUAUUGAAGAAAUAAAUAACAAAUAAAAAAUACUAGAAUUUAACGAGGUUCGGCCAAUAAUGCCUAUGUCCUCAGACACUACCAAAUUAUAUUUCACUGAGAAUAUCUACAAAGUAAAAUAUUACAACAGAGAGAGAAAGAAGAAAAUUGCCUUAGAAGAUGAAUGGACAAUUUUGGGAUGAUUCCAAGAUAAAGAGCCAGGGCCCUUAUUUAUAGUUAGGAAAGGCCUUCAGCCCUUCCUAAACUUCCCAUGUGGGAUGAGGCACUUUGGUCAACAGUUUGGCAGUGAAUGUCUUCAGAAAUUUAUACCACAAUAAAAGUUUCCAAGUUUGGGAAACUGGCUAUGGAUGAUGCGAUGGAAUUCGAAUCAACUAGAACUGCCAAGUACCUCAAUAGAACUAGUAAACUUGGUUCUCCAAGAAAAGUAGAAUCUAGAACUACCUGGCUCAAAUCUAACACUCUAACAAGUUUAAAGAUGCCAAAAAUGAAUGAUAUAUUGAACAUAGGUCCGUUGUACCUUUUCCCAUGGCUGAAGAAUAGUAGGCUACGUAUUGUGGGAACAAACAACCUGGACAUGCAAAAGUGCUCUGGCUCAGAGUGGAUGCAUAGGCGCCGUAGAUUGUGUUGCAUGUUCAAAGUAUACAGUUCAUCAUACCCACAUGCCAGCUGCAUAAAUUUUUCUUCUUUGGCUUUUCUCACACAAAACUCAUGUACCAAAUCAUGAAUUCGACAAGCCUUGAUCCCACCAGUGGAGCUUUGUUUGGAAACCAUGACUAAGCUUCUGCUUAUGAGAUCCAUCAUGUAACCAUUUGCUACAUCCUCGGAGCUAUUGGAUUCUGCUUUUUGCACUAAUCCAUCAGCAACCCAUAGCCAAGUCAACCUCUUAGGAUUGUGUUCAUAAUCUUCUGGAAAUGCUCCAAAGUACAGAAAGCAUGGGUUUAUAUGAUCUGGUAAAUUCUUGUAACUCAGAUCUAGUGUAGCAAUACAUUGUUCUGUACAGAAGAGAACGUUUGAACUCAAACUUUCCACAAUUUGUUUCCAACCACAUUUGUCCUCAUUUGCAAGAAUUCCAGUAAGAACAAUAAUUAUAAGUGGUAGCCCCUGAUACAUUUCCAAGAUCUGCCCUUGAAGUCCACAUAAUUCUGGAGGAUGUGAAUUUUUUCCAGGAAAUAACUUUCCCACUAGCAAAUCCCAACUCUCAUCAUGCCUGAGUGAACGAAUAAAAUGAGGUCCUGCAUCUAGUUCACCCAGCGGAGCAGCAAUGUUGCGAUUUCGACUUGUCAGGAUCACUCUACUUUCAUUUCGAUUAUCUGGCAAUGUGGCUUCCAAUCCUUUCCAUGCUUCAAUAUCCCAUACAUCAUCCAAAACUAUGAGAUAUCUGUUAUUUUGCAACCGUCGUUUGACUUCUAGUUCCAGAUCUUCUUCACUCUUUUUAAAAAUUUUGUCAGGAAGAUUUGAAUCAAGACAAAUCAAAAUUUCAAGGAGCAGGUUUUUGUUGUGAUACACUUGAGAAACAGUACACCAAGCACGCUUAUAAAAAUGGGACAUCACAAUAGAAUCAUUGUAAACUUUUUAGCUAAAGUGGUCUUACGAAGUCCUGGCAUACCUACAAUGGGAACAAUUUGCACCUGGUUUGAUCCCUUCUGAGUCGAUUGAUUAUAGCUGUUGCCUCAUCGUCGAUUCCCACCACCACGUCAUUGAUUGUUGGCUUAGUUCUGUGUGACGGCAUGUGAUCGAGUGUCUUGGUAACUUCCUUAACCUUGACACCAAGUCUUUUGGUCUCAGAAAUCUUUAAGGCCUCAGAUUUGAUGAUUUUAAUUUCUCCUGCAAUGGAAUCAAACGACAUUGAAAAACAAUCUACACAAUCUCCAACUAGUAAGGAAUCCAUGAGAAACUCUGCCCUGUAUGCCUUGUCCACCACACGAUCCCAGAGUGAUUGGAGCUCCUCAUCUUCAUUGCGCAGCUCCACAAUUUUCCCCAAGAAAGAGGGAAAGAAGUCAGGCUUGUCCUGCAUUAUUUGAACUGUACGACCGACAAGAGCAGCUGAGCCAGCCUGAGAACUUUUCAGAUCCAUCAUAGACUUUAGAAGAGAAUCAGUAAAGGCCAACUCGUUAGUCCUGGGAAAGUUGAAUGGUGAUGUUCCCAGAUAUUUCUCGGCAAUUGUUGCCUUUAUGAACUUAAUCCUUUCCAUCAAACAUGAAGGCACAAGAUACAGUAAUAAUCUUUUGCAGCCAAUCCAAUGUAGCAUUCCUGACUGAGGUGUCCAGUUCUCUACUCGCAUCAACGAUCCAUCUGAAAUAGAGACAUGCUGCAUUGACAGCGGCAGAUUCAGUGUGAGUCAAUAAAGGUCCCAAUCGGUCAUCUUUAAUGCCGUGCAGUGUGACGAAACAGAUAAAGUUUUUCAAGAAUGUUAGCUUCUCAUUAAGGGCUUGUGUUGGUUCUGCUGCACCUUCGAAUGGAAGAUCUUCAAAAAGAAUAGUUUCACGGAAAGCCUCAAGAAAAGAAUGAAUCCCAUAAGAUCAUCUGUUUUUAUCAGGGAAUUACUAGACUGCCUUAAUGAGCGAUACGAGAAAAUCAAGUACCACUCUUUUAUUUCUGCAAAAGGAAAUUCCUUAAUAAAACAACAGGCCAGAUUUUCCAGACUGUGAUCAGUAACACCAUCUUCCAGCUCUGAAUGAGUAAGACACAAGGAAUGGAUCUCCUGUCCGGUUUUGGAAAUGGCAGCUUCAAGCCCAACCAGCAGGGUUCCUAGACUUGCAUCAUCAUUGUUGCCCCACUUUCUCGCACACAUAAGGAAUGAUUUUAACAUUCCUAGGCCACUCUCAGGGAACUGAACUCUGGAGAAAAUGAAUGGACUGCACAUCUCUUCUUCAGCAACUACAGAUCAUCCAAGAUGGAAGAAAUGCAAGUAAGACUACUGGAGGCCAUCUAGUAAAAGGAUGAUUAAUAAGGUAACCAAAAGUGAAUCCAAUUUAGAGAUGAAAUGAAACAACUCCAAUAUUUCUGAGGAAGGAGAAGAAAUCAAGGGAUAAUGGUAGGAAGAUGAAAAAAGUUAAAAAACUUUAAUCCAGAAACUAGUAGUAUAUAAUCACUACUAGCAACUAGGAAAACUCUGAGCCUAGAAGUUAGAUUGGAGGUUCAUUUAAAGCGCUUCCAACCAAGUAGGCAAGCACUUGCUGGAUACUUCUUACUUCUGGUCGAAAAUGAAAAAAGUCACAAAUAAUGACUCGAUUGCACUUGCUCAUGCAUCUUGUACUUGGUCCAAAUGCUUAGAUCAAAACAAAAUGGAGCGUUAAAGUUUACAAUAACAUUAAAAAAAAAAAGGAAAGUCAACGACUAAUUAAACAUAACUUAUUUAUGUUUUUUAUAUUAGAAAUUUUGAUAUAUGUGUAUCAAUUUUAAUCUAUAUUAUAAAAUUAGUAUUAAUUUUUUUAACCUUUUCAUAUACUUCAUCCUAUACUACAAUACAUAUAUAUAUAUUUAUUAUUUUGAAUUGAAAUAUAAACUCCUGCAUAGCACGAAUCAAAAUACUAGUAUAUCAAAAUUUAUAAUAUAAAAAACAUAAAUCAUAACUAAUUCAUUUUCUAUGAUUUGAGGAAAAAAAAUUUUCUCCCAUCCUGUACCCCUAAUAUUGUUGAGUACUUAUAGAAUAGUGUUUUUCAUAAACUUUAAUAUAGAUUAAAAAACAUAUUUGUAAGCAAUGCUUUUAGAUUUUAGAAUUAUUAAAAACUAUCACCCUUUCCAUCUCUUUUUACUUGCCAACUUACCAUCUGCUGCCUCGUAUGAUUUUGGUACCUCCUACCACAAUGCUAUCCUUCCUAUCAUCUUUUGCCACUUCUGCCAUAUCCCCACAAAUCCCUUCUUUUUUUCCUCCUCUCUCCUAUCAACUUUAUAGUUCAUCUUCCUUCUUUGACUUUUUCACCAUUUAUUAACUCUCUAUUAUUCCCUUCCCUCUCCUUUAACUUCCUAUCCCUGCCCCCAAUUUUCUAUCCCCUUCUCCUCACCAUUCUCCCAAAUCCUUGGAUAGCUGCCCAAUCUCCAUCCCUUACACCCAACCUCCUCCAUUUCAUUUUUCCCUACUCAUCUCUUCUUCUUAUACCUGGUCAACCAGAAAAAAUUAAUAUUAUAGUUUUUUUAUUUGAGAUAUGUUAUUCGAUCAAAAAUCUCGCUAAAUUCAAUAUUCCUUUACUUCAUUGAUGACACUGUAUAGACUUGUAGUAUAGAUUACAGGUUUCUUUUCUUGAUUUGAUGUAUUCGAUUAAGGGACAAUCCUUUCUAUAGUGUACAUUCUUCUCUGAAUCAAUAAAAGAUUAGGAUUUACAUAAAUAAAAAAAAAAGGAAAUGACAAGCAAUAUAAAUCUGAUCAAUAGAAUUAAGUACAGAGCUAUGGAUAUUGGAAUAGACAUAGCCAUUGGUCAUUCAUUGUAACUGAUCAAUGGAACUAAAUAAAAGCUUUUCACUAAAUUCUCAUCACCAUGACUCCUUUAUGCUAGUCUUCAAAGUAAUACAAAUUGAAAGCAACACGUUUCAGCCUGAGGAGCAAGACAAGGGAAACUUGAAGCUGGAAAGCAACUUUACUAGGUCGUAGUCCUUCCUUCGUUUCCAAACAAAAACUACAGCAAUUUCAUCAUUUAACACAAGGAAGGGUACAAUACAUCGGAGCAAGAUUCCACGUAAACUUAACAAUACAAGGAAACAAGAUGAGGAGGUAAAAACCAAACCUCUAACAGGAAGAAAAGUACAAGACCCUAGAUUCAAUGCAGCAAGAGUUUCCUGGUGGAAAGAGAAUAUCUAUUUCAAUCACUGAAUUUGCCAGAAGAUCCAUGGCCUUAUUUCUAUCACAACAAUUGCUCAAAAGAAAAUUUGACAUUUUCAAAGAUACUGAAACAAAAAACAAUGCAAAGAAAUCAUAGCAGCUGAAUGUUGUUGCCCAGAGCCAGGUACUGGGCCUUUAUUACUGCAGAAUAGAGAAGAAACACGAAAGAUUGAGAUAGAAGCUUCAGCGUCUCCACAUUACGAAUUCAUUCAGGCGAGCAGA